NNNNNNNNNNNNNNNNNNNNNNNNNNNNNNNNNNNNNNNNNNNNNNNNNNNNNNNNNNNNNNNNNNNNNNNNNNNNNNNNNNNNNNNNNNNNNNNNNNNNNNNNNNNNNNNNNNNNNNNNNNNNNNNNNNNNNNNNNNNNNNNNNNNNNNNNNNNNNNNNNNNNNNNNNNNNNNNNNNNNNNNNNNNNNNNNNNNNNNNNNNNNNNNNNNNNNNNNNNNNNNNNNNNNNNNNNNNNNNNNNNNNNNNNNNNNNNNNNNNNNNNNNNNNNNNNNNNNNNNNNNNNNNNNNNNNNNNNNNNNNNNNNNNNNNNNNNNNNNNNNNNNNNNNNNNNNNNNNNNNNNNNNNNNNNNNNNNNNNNNNNNNNNNNNNNNNNNNNNNNNNNNNNNNNNNNNNNNNNNNNNNNNNNNNNNNNNNNNNNNNNNNNNNNNNNNNNNNNNNNNNNNNNNNNNNNNNNNNNNNNNNNNNNNNNNNNNNNNNNNNNNNNNNNNNNNNNNNNNNNNNNNNNNNNNNNNNNNNNNNNNNNNNNNNNNNNNNNNNNNNNNNNNNNNNNNNNNNNNNNNNNNNNNNNNNNNNNNNNNNNNNNNNNNNNNNNNNNNNNNNNNNNNNNNNNNNNNNNNNNNNNNNNNNNNNNNNNNNNNNNNNNNNNNNNNNNNNNNNNNNNNNNNNNNNNNNNNNNNNNNNNNNNNNNNNNNNNNNNNNNNNNNNNNNNNNNNNNNNNNNNNNNNNNNNNNNNNNNNNNNNNNNNNNNNNNNNNNNNNNNNNNNNNNNNNNNNNNNNNNNNNNNNNNNNNNNNNNNNNNNNNNNNNNNNNNNNNNNNNNNNNNNNNNNNNNNNNNNNNNNNNNNNNNNNNNNNNNNNNNNNNNNNNNNNNNNNNNNNNNNNNNNNNNNNNNNNNNNNNNNNNNNNNNNNNNNNNNNNNNNNNNNNNNNNNNNNNNNNNNNNNNNNNNNNNNNNNNNNNNNNNNNNNNNNNNNNNNNNNNNNNNNNNNNNNNNNNNNNNNNNNNNNNNNNNNNNNNNNNNNNNNNNNNNNNNNNNNNNNNNNNNNNNNNNNNNNNNNNNNNNNNNNNNNNNNNNNNNNNNNNNNNNNNNNNNNNNNNNNNNNNNNNNNNNNNNNNNNNNNNNNNNNNNNNNNNNNNNNNNNNNNNNNNNNNNNNNNNNNNNNNNNNNNNNNNNNNNNNNNNNNNNNNNNNNNNNNNNNNNNNNNNNNNNNNNNNNNNNNNNNNNNNNNNNNNNNNNNNNNNNNNNNNNNNNNNNNNNNNNNNNNNNNNNNNNNNNNNNNNNNNNNNNNNNNNNNNNNNNNNNNNNNNNNNNNNNNNNNNNNNNNNNNNNNNNNNNNNNNNNNNNNNNNNNNNNNNNNNNNNNNNNNNNNNNNNNNNNNNNNNNNNNNNNNNNNNNNNNNNNNNNNNNNNNNNNNNNNNNNNNNNNNNNNNNNNNNNNNNNNNNNNNNNNNNNNNNNNNNNNNNNNNNNNNNNNNNNNNNNNNNNNNNNNNNNNNNNNNNNNNNNNNNNNNNNNNNNNNNNNNNNNNNNNNNNNNNNNNNNNNNNNNNNNNNNNNNNNNNNNNNNNNNNNNNNNNNNNNNNNNNNNNNNNNNNNNNNNNNNNNNNNNNNNNNNNNNNNNNNNNNNNNNNNNNNNNNNNNNNNNNNNNNNNNNNNNNNNNNNNNNNNNNNNNNNNNNNNNNNNNNNNNNNNNNNNNNNNNNNNNNNNNNNNNNNNNNNNNNNNNNNNNNNNNNNNNNNNNNNNNNNNNNNNNNNNNNNNNNNNNNNNNNNNNNNNNNNNNNNNNNNNNNNNNNNNNNNNNNNNNNNNNNNNNNNNNNNNNNNNNNNNNNNNNNNNNNNNNNNNNNNNNNNNNNNNNNNNNNNNNNNNNNNNNNNNNNNNNNNNNNNNNNNNNNNNNNNNNNNNNNNNNNNNNNNNNNNNNNNNNNNNNNNNNNNNNNNNNNNNNNNNNNNNNNNNNNNNNNNNNNNNNNNNNNNNNNNNNNNNNNNNNNNNNNNNNNNNNNNNNNNNNNNNNNNNNNNNNNNNNNNNNNNNNNNNNNNNNNNNNNNNNNNNNNNNNNNNNNNNNNNNNNNNNNNNNNNNNNNNNNNNNNNNNNNNNNNNNNNNNNNNNNNNNNNNNNNNNNNNNNNNNNNNNNNNNNNNNNNNNNNNNNNNNNNNNNNNNNNNNNNNNNNNNNNNNNNNNNNNNNNNNNNNNNNNNNNNNNNNNNNNNNNNNNNNNNNNNNNNNNNNNNNNNNNNNNNNNNNNNNNNNNNNNNNNNNNNNNNNNNNNNNNNNNNNNNNNNNNNNNNNNNNNNNNNNNNNNNNNNNNNNNNNNNNNNNNNNNNNNNNNNNNNNNNNNNNNNNNNNNNNNNNNNNNNNNNNNNNNNNNNNNNNNNNNNNNNNNNNNNNNNNNNNNNNNNNNNNNNNNNNNNNNNNNNNNNNNNNNNNNNNNNNNNNNNNNNNNNNNNNNNNNNNNNNNNNNNNNNNNNNNNNNNNNNNNNNNNNNNNNNNNNNNNNNNNNNNNNNNNNNNNNNNNNNNNNNNNNNNNNNNNNNNNNNNNNNNNNNNNNNNNNNNNNNNNNNNNNNNNNNNNNNNNNNNNNNNNNNNNNNNNNNNNNNNNNNNNNNNNNNNNNNNNNNNNNNNNNNNNNNNNNNNNNNNNNNNNNNNNNNNNNNNNNNNNNNNNNNNNNNNNNNNNNNNNNNNNNNNNNNNNNNNNNNNNNNNNNNNNNNNNNNNNNNNNNNNNNNNNNNNNNNNNNNNNNNNNNNNNNNNNNNNNNNNNNNNNNNNNNNNNNNNNNNNNNNNNNNNNNNNNNNNNNNNNNNNNNNNNNNNNNNNNNNNNNNNNNNNNNNNNNNNNNNNNNNNNNNNNNNNNNNNNNNNNNNNNNNNNNNNNNNNNNNNNNNNNNNNNNNNNNNNNNNNNNNNNNNNNNNNNNNNNNNNNNNNNNNNNNNNNNNNNNNNNNNNNNNNNNNNNNNNNNNNNNNNNNNNNNNNNNNNNNNNNNNNNNNNNNNNNNNNNNNNNNNNNNNNNNNNNNNNNNNNNNNNNNNNNNNNNNNNNNNNNNNNNNNNNNNNNNNNNNNNNNNNNNNNNNNNNNNNNNNNNNNNNNNNNNNNNNNNNNNNNNNNNNNNNNNNNNNNNNNNNNNNNNNNNNNNNNNNNNNNNNNNNNNNNNNNNNNNNNNNNNNNNNNNNNNNNNNNNNNNNNNNNNNNNNNNNNNNNNNNNNNNNNNNNNNNNNNNNNNNNNNNNNNNNNNNNNNNNNNNNNNNNNNNNNNNNNNNNNNNNNNNNNNNNNNNNNNNNNNNNNNNNNNNNNNNNNNNNNNNNNNNNNNNNNNNNNNNNNNNNNNNNNNNNNNNNNNNNNNNNNNNNNNNNNNNNNNNNNNNNNNNNNNNNNNNNNNNNNNNNNNNNNNNNNNNNNNNNNNNNNNNNNNNNNNNNNNNNNNNNNNNNNNNNNNNNNNNNNNNNNNNNNNNNNNNNNNNNNNNNNNNNNNNNNNNNNNNNNNNNNNNNNNNNNNNNNNNNNNNNNNNNNNNNNNNNNNNNNNNNNNNNNNNNNNNNNNNNNNNNNNNNNNNNNNNNNNNNNNNNNNNNNNNNNNNNNNNNNNNNNNNNNNNNNNNNNNNNNNNNNNNNNNNNNNNNNNNNNNNNNNNNNNNNNNNNNNNNNNNNNNNNNNNNNNNNNNNNNNNNNNNNNNNNNNNNNNNNNNNNNNNNNNNNNNNNNNNNNNNNNNNNNNNNNNNNNNNNNNNNNNNNNNNNNNNNNNNNNNNNNNNNNNNNNNNNNNNNNNNNNNNNNNNNNNNNNNNNNNNNNNNNNNNNNNNNNNNNNNNNNNNNNNNNNNNNNNNNNNNNNNNNNNNNNNNNNNNNNNNNNNNNNNNNNNNNNNNNNNNNNNNNNNNNNNNNNNNNNNNNNNNNNNNNNNNNNNNNNNNNNNNNNNNNNNNNNNNNNNNNNNNNNNNNNNNNNNNNNNNNNNNNNNNNNNNNNNNNNNNNNNNNNNNNNNNNNNNNNNNNNNNNNNNNNNNNNNNNNNNNNNNNNNNNNNNNNNNNNNNNNNNNNNNNNNNNNNNNNNNNNNNNNNNNNNNNNNNNNNNNNNNNNNNNNNNNNNNNNNNNNNNNNNNNNNNNNNNNNNNNNNNNNNNNNNNNNNNNNNNNNNNNNNNNNNNNNNNNNNNNNNNNNNNNNNNNNNNNNNNNNNNNNNNNNNNNNNNNNNNNNNNNNNNNNNNNNNNNNNNNNNNNNNNNNNNNNNNNNNNNNNNNNNNNNNNNNNNNNNNNNNNNNNNNNNNNNNNNNNNNNNNNNNNNNNNNNNNNNNNNNNNNNNNNNNNNNNNNNNNNNNNNNNNNNNNNNNNNNNNNNNNNNNNNNNNNNNNNNNNNNNNNNNNNNNNNNNNNNNNNNNNNNNNNNNNNNNNNNNNNNNNNNNNNNNNNNNNNNNNNNNNNNNNNNNNNNNNNNNNNNNNNNNNNNNNNNNNNNNNNNNNNNNNNNNNNNNNNNNNNNNNNNNNNNNNNNNNNNNNNNNNNNNNNNNNNNNNNNNNNNNNNNNNNNNNNNNNNNNNNNNNNNNNNNNNNNNNNNNNNNNNNNNNNNNNNNNNNNNNNNNNNNNNNNNNNNNNNNNNNNNNNNNNNNNNNNNNNNNNNNNNNNNNNNNNNNNNNNNNNNNNNNNNNNNNNNNNNNNNNNNNNNNNNNNNNNNNNNNNNNNNNNNNNNNNNNNNNNNNNNNNNNNNNNNNNNNNNNNNNNNNNNNNNNNNNNNNNNNNNNNNNNNNNNNNNNNNNNNNNNNNNNNNNNNNNNNNNNNNNNNNNNNNNNNNNNNNNNNNNNNNNNNNNNNNNNNNNNNNNNNNNNNNNNNNNNNNNNNNNNNNNNNNNNNNNNNNNNNNNNNNNNNNNNNNNNNNNNNNNNNNNNNNNNNNNNNNNNNNNNNNNNNNNNNNNNNNNNNNNNNNNNNNNNNNNNNNNNNNNNNNNNNNNNNNNNNNNNNNNNNNNNNNNNNNNNNNNNNNNNNNNNNNNNNNNNNNNNNNNNNNNNNNNNNNNNNNNNNNNNNNNNNNNNNNNNNNNNNNNNNNNNNNNNNNNNNNNNNNNNNNNNNNNNNNNNNNNNNNNNNNNNNNNNNNNNNNNNNNNNNNNNNNNNNNNNNNNNNNNNNNNNNNNNNNNNNNNNNNNNNNNNNNNNNNNNNNNNNNNNNNNNNNNNNNNNNNNNNNNNNNNNNNNNNNNNNNNNNNNNNNNNNNNNNNNNNNNNNNNNNNNNNNNNNNNNNNNNNNNNNNNNNNNNNNNNNNNNNNNNNNNNNNNNNNNNNNNNNNNNNNNNNNNNNNNNNNNNNNNNNNNNNNNNNNNNNNNNNNNNNNNNNNNNNNNNNNNNNNNNNNNNNNNNNNNNNNNNNNNNNNNNNNNNNNNNNNNNNNNNNNNNNNNNNNNNNNNNNNNNNNNNNNNNNNNNNNNNNNNNNNNNNNNNNNNNNNNNNNNNNNNNNNNNNNNNNNNNNNNNNNNNNNNNNNNNNNNNNNNNNNNNNNNNNNNNNNNNNNNNNNNNNNNNNNNNNNNNNNNNNNNNNNNNNNNNNNNNNNNNNNNNNNNNNNNNNNNNNNNNNNNNNNNNNNNNNNNNNNNNNNNNNNNNNNNNNNNNNNNNNNNNNNNNNNNNNNNNNNNNNNNNNNNNNNNNNNNNNNNNNNNNNNNNNNNNNNNNNNNNNNNNNNNNNNNNNNNNNNNNNNNNNNNNNNNNNNNNNNNNNNNNNNNNNNNNNNNNNNNNNNNNNNNNNNNNNNNNNNNNNNNNNNNNNNNNNNNNNNNNNNNNNNNNNNNNNNNNNNNNNNNNNNNNNNNNNNNNNNNNNNNNNNNNNNNNNNNNNNNNNNNNNNNNNNNNNNNNNNNNNNNNNNNNNNNNNNNNNNNNNNNNNNNNNNNNNNNNNNNNNNNNNNNNNNNNNNNNNNNNNNNNNNNNNNNNNNNNNNNNNNNNNNNNNNNNNNNNNNNNNNNNNNNNNNNNNNNNNNNNNNNNNNNNNNNNNNNNNNNNNNNNNNNNNNNNNNNNNNNNNNNNNNNNNNNNNNNNNNNNNNNNNNNNNNNNNNNNNNNNNNNNNNNNNNNNNNNNNNNNNNNNNNNNNNNNNNNNNNNNNNNNNNNNNNNNNNNNNNNNNNNNNNNNNNNNNNNNNNNNNNNNNNNNNNNNNNNNNNNNNNNNNNNNNNNNNNNNNNNNNNNNNNNNNNNNNNNNNNNNNNNNNNNNNNNNNNNNNNNNNNNNNNNNNNNNNNNNNNNNNNNNNNNNNNNNNNNNNNNNNNNNNNNNNNNNNNNNNNNNNNNNNNNNNNNNNNNNNNNNNNNNNNNNNNNNNNNNNNNNNNNNNNNNNNNNNNNNNNNNNNNNNNNNNNNNNNNNNNNNNNNNNNNNNNNNNNNNNNNNNNNNNNNNNNNNNNNNNNNNNNNNNNNNNNNNNNNNNNNNNNNNNNNNNNNNNNNNNNNNNNNNNNNNNNNNNNNNNNNNNNNNNNNNNNNNNNNNNNNNNNNNNNNNNNNNNNNNNNNNNNNNNNNNNNNNNNNNNNNNNNNNNNNNNNNNNNNNNNNNNNNNNNNNNNNNNNNNNNNNNNNNNNNNNNNNNNNNNNNNNNNNNNNNNNNNNNNNNNNNNNNNNNNNNNNNNNNNNNNNNNNNNNNNNNNNNNNNNNNNNNNNNNNNNNNNNNNNNNNNNNNNNNNNNNNNNNNNNNNNNNNNNNNNNNNNNNNNNNNNNNNNNNNNNNNNNNNNNNNNNNNNNNNNNNNNNNNNNNNNNNNNNNNNNNNNNNNNNNNNNNNNNNNNNNNNNNNNNNNNNNNNNNNNNNNNNNNNNNNNNNNNNNNNNNNNNNNNNNNNNNNNNNNNNNNNNNNNNNNNNNNNNNNNNNNNNNNNNNNNNNNNNNNNNNNNNNNNNNNNNNNNNNNNNNNNNNNNNNNNNNNNNNNNNNNNNNNNNNNNNNNNNNNNNNNNNNNNNNNNNNNNNNNNNNNNNNNNNNNNNNNNNNNNNNNNNNNNNNNNNNNNNNNNNNNNNNNNNNNNNNNNNNNNNNNNNNNNNNNNNNNNNNNNNNNNNNNNNNNNNNNNNNNNNNNNNNNNNNNNNNNNNNNNNNNNNNNNNNNNNNNNNNNNNNNNNNNNNNNNNNNNNNNNNNNNNNNNNNNNNNNNNNNNNNNNNNNNNNNNNNNNNNNNNNNNNNNNNNNNNNNNNNNNNNNNNNNNNNNNNNNNNNNNNNNNNNNNNNNNNNNNNNNNNNNNNNNNNNNNNNNNNNNNNNNNNNNNNNNNNNNNNNNNNNNNNNNNNNNNNNNNNNNNNNNNNNNNNNNNNNNNNNNNNNNNNNNNNNNNNNNNNNNNNNNNNNNNNNNNNNNNNNNNNNNNNNNNNNNNNNNNNNNNNNNNNNNNNNNNNNNNNNNNNNNNNNNNNNNNNNNNNNNNNNNNNNNNNNNNNNNNNNNNNNNNNNNNNNNNNNNNNNNNNNNNNNNNNNNNNNNNNNNNNNNNNNNNNNNNNNNNNNNNNNNNNNNNNNNNNNNNNNNNNNNNNNNNNNNNNNNNNNNNNNNNNNNNNNNNNNNNNNNNNNNNNNNNNNNNNNNNNNNNNNNNNNNNNNNNNNNNNNNNNNNNNNNNNNNNNNNNNNNNNNNNNNNNNNNNNNNNNNNNNNNNNNNNNNNNNNNNNNNNNNNNNNNNNNNNNNNNNNNNNNNNNNNNNNNNNNNNNNNNNNNNNNNNNNNNNNNNNNNNNNNNNNNNNNNNNNNNNNNNNNNNNNNNNNNNNNNNNNNNNNNNNNNNNNNNNNNNNNNNNNNNNNNNNNNNNNNNNNNNNNNNNNNNNNNNNNNNNNNNNNNNUUAUUAUGACAGCUAACUAUGGCCAAUGGGCCGUGCCGGCACCAAUUGUCGGCCCAUAAGGGCUCGUGGGCCGUGCCGUGCCCAUAUUUUUUUCAGUUGAGCCCGGCACGGCCCACGGCACGAGCCCUCUCAUGCCGUGCUCGUGCCGUGCCGUGGGCCGUGCCCAAAAAAAGCCCACCAACUUUUUUUUUUUUUGCGUGCUUAAAAAAGCCUACGUGCCUAACGUGCUUUAUUCAAGCCCACGUGCCUGACGUGCUUUUUUAAGCCCACCAACAUAAUAAUAAUAAUAAUAAUAAUAUUCAAAAUCAUAAUCAUAUUAAUUUUUAUUAAGAUAGCAAUUAACAUUUUUCUUGUGUAUAAAAUGAAAAAUAUUUCAUUCACAAAUGAAACAUAUCUCUAUUAAAUAUUAAUUAAGUUAUGAUUUAAUAUUAAUAUGAAAAAUAUUUUAUUAUUAAUUUUGUAAAAAAAAAAAUUUUUAUUUAUAAUAUAUAAAUUUAUGAUAUUUAUAAUCUUAUUUAUUAAAAUCAUGAUAUUUAGUUAUUUACUUAUUCAUUUAAUAAAUUAUAAACGUAAAUAAAUAAUUAAAUAAAAUUAAAUAACAUUAUUCAUUUAAUAAAUAUCAUAAAUAAAAUUAUGAUAUUUAUAAUUUUAUUUAUUAAAAUCAUGAUAUUUACUUAUUCAUUUAAUAAAUUAUAAACAUAAAAGAUUAGAAUAUUUAUUUAAACUAAGAUUUAAUGAUUUAAAUUAAUUUUUAAAAGUCUAUGCUAAAAAAUAUAUUAAAACAUUUAAUUUCAAGAUAUUGUACUUUAAUUUCAUAACAUUUUAUAUUUACUUUUUGUUAAAAAAAUUUACUUAGAUAUAUUUUGGCCCACGUGCUAUUAAUGGCUCACGGGCCGCGUGCUAGCCCACUAAUGAACCGUGCUUAUUACGUGCUUUUUCGCGUGCCGUGCUUUGGCCCAUCUCUUAUCGUGCCGUGCUUUAAGGCCCGCGUGCCUAAAAUUCUAAGCCCGGCACGGCCCACUUGCAUGCCGUGCCGUGCCGUACGGACACGUGCCGUGCCCGUGCCGUGCCACGUGCCGCCCGGCCCAUUGGCCAUCUUUAAUGACAGCUUAUACUCACAAAUAUCGAAGAGAUACUCACACGAAAAAUAUGAACAAAUGUCUAUUUCUACUGAUACAUAAUUAAAACAAAUGAUAAAAGUUUUCGAGAGGAGACUUCAGCAUUAUUUUCUUCAUUUCUUUAAGCAGUAACAAUAUUUCAGGUACAAGUAGAGUUGACAAAAUUUGACACGACUCGAUUAUACGGAUACGACACCAAUAAAUAGAUAUGGGUCAUCAAAUUUAACAUGUUAUUAAAUGGGUUGGGUCUGGGUCGAUUAUUUUCGUAUUGAGUUAGUGUUCAAGUUCUUGACCCAUUUACCUAACUAAUGACAUGAUUAUAUUUUCUUUUAAAAUUAAUUUCUAGGUUCUUGUUAUUGGAACUCAAAUAUUAAACAUGAUUAUCUCUUUUUAUAUUUUUGGGAAGAAUAGACACUUUAAUAAUGUAAGUGUGUAAAAUAUCAAUACACAUGUAUAUUUUAUGAUAUUGAUAUAUAGUGUUAUUCACAUAUAUAUAAUUGAAAUUUUAAUAGUGUAAAUGUGUAAUAUUUUGGUGGGUGUGUGGUGAAAAAUAUAUAACAUUUGUUAAAUAUAUAAAUAUUAAAUAGGUUAUUGGGUAACCUAUUUAUUUUUCAUGUUGGGUUUGAGUUUUAAUAUUUUGACACGAUCAUUGGAUGAGUCAUCUUUAGGUUGACUUAAAUUUGACACGAUAUGAAAUUAACACGACACAAACACGAUUAGAUAGUUUUGCCAGUUCUAGGUAUAAGGAUGUUAGCUCUGUGUGACGCAGCUCAACCAGAUUACACUCAAGGCACGGCCUCACGUGGACAGGAGGCAUUCUUAUGUGUACGUACAGUCGAUAAAAUAAUCAUAAAAAGAGAUUCGGAUCUCAAAAUCGACUUUUAUUAUUUUCUAUAAUCAAUUUCCAAUAAUAUCUACGUGAUUACUUCGAAAUUUAAUAUCGCGGUAGGUACUCGUGGACUGAACCAUAAACGAACUAUACUCAGAUGCCAAUAUUUAUAUUAUUUUGAUAUAUCUUUGAUCGAUUAGUGUACGUCAACACUCAUUAAGAAAAAGAGAUUCAUUUUAUUGGAUUAUCAGAUUUGACAAUUUUCAAAACAUGUGUGUGUGUGUGUUGUAAAAUAUUAUUGAAUUAUCAUAUAUUAUAAUAUAAUGUUAUAAUUCAAGGAAAAUAUUAGACAUUUUGUCGUUCAGAAGUGGUUGAAGAAGCCUAGCAAAAGGAAAAAUAAACUACUUGGUAGCCACAGGAGCUCAUGUAUCCAUAAAAGCAAUUAAUAUGGUUAGUCACAUGUGGUUGAGGGAUAAUGAAAGAGGCCGUUUGUAUUUUGGUGAUAUAUGUAUGAUUUAUGGGAGUUAUAAAACAACGCUUUAAUUUUCGCAUAAUUUCAAAUAAUUUUGUAACUUACAUUUGGAAUAAUGACCAAAUUUCAUUUUAGUUCGUGGUAAUUGAUAUUGAUAGUGGUUAUAAUUUAGGACAUUCAACCCCCCAACGUUUAGGAAAAGGGACAAAAAAUCCCUCAACGUUUUAAAAAUGACUUAUAAUCCAUUUUCCGUUAAUAAACACCAUUUGUUUUAACAAUAAAUUUAUUUUUAAUUUUUAAUUACUAUUAUACCGUUAUAAUAAAUAUAAAUUAAUAUAUUGAUUUGAGACAUGUCACAAUUAAUAAUUUUUUUAAAACUAAAAAUUGAGAUACAAUUACAUUUUUGCUCAAAUUAUUUACUAUAAAUUAUACCUUUCUAACAAUAAUAAUAUUAACAGCAUAAGAGUUAACAUUUUAACAAGGAAAAUUGCUUUAAAAUUUAAUAAUCAAUUCCCCUGUUUUAGUUCAAUCAUUGAGAUAAUUUCACUGGCUGGUGUCUAAGAUUCUCUAAAUGUUUCAAGUCUUUCCGUCUUCAAAAUUAAAAUAUAAUUACAAUACAACUAAUAAUUACUUGUAAUAGGACAAGAAACAAAUGAAAUUAUUUCUAUAUAUGAUGGUAUAGCUUAAGGAGUAUUGAUUUGGUUCAGAAUCCUAAAUUUUAUUAAAGUAAAAAAAAAGUUUUUAAUUCAUAUUUUUAUAAUAGAAGGUCAUUAUAUUAUUUAACUAUAUAGUUUAAUAACUUUUUGGGACUUUAAAAAUUUCAAAAUUCUGAAUUAAAACAUAUCUAAUAAUUUAAAUUACUACACUUAAGCUAAAAAGAAAAAUUAUAUCGGUCUGUAAAGGCCAAAGGGCACACCAUGACCACAGAUAUGGCGGCGCCCUUCUUUUAUGGGCAAAUAUUUGUAUUUUACUGAAAGAUCUUAUUUUUAAAGAGAAAAUUACUCUUAAUUGGGAUAACGAAAGGACUCCAACGCACCCUCCAUUAUGAGGGUAGAAAGUUAGGAACGAGUUAACACCAGUAUAGCCUCAAAUCUAGUUAAAAUGACAAGCUGCUUUUAAAUAAAAAGUUUCCAUUUCAGGACUUCCAAAGUUCACCAUUAUAUUUCAAAGUUACACGUUAUCAGUUAUACGAAAAAUUAGUGGGUGGGAGCAACUAAUUUUGACAACGGCCCGUUAAAAUGCAAUAAACAGUAGGUCAUCUAUAAAUGAAGGGCAUUCAUUUUUCACCAAUCACCGGGACAAGGAAAGCUUGCAAUUAUAGAGAAUGGUCGUUGCAUACUCGAUCAUCUGUUUAAUUAGAAAAAUCGUAUUCACAAGCCAACAAGGAUAAAUAAAUAAAUAAAAAGCCGAUAAGGGAGUUCGAGCUCAUAUAUGUUUAAAGAAAAUAACUAAGACUUAUCUGAUCGGGCAUUGGACAAAAUUAUGGUUCGGGUAAAAUGAAAUAGAUCUGAACUACUCGAAUCGGUUCGAGUUCAGGUUCCAUUUUAGAUUUGACCACGUCUAUUUUGUUGUUUAUAGACUGAGCGCUCACUCUUCUAAAAUCCUUAUAAAAUUCCUCUUAAGUUUACACCAUUGUAAUUAGAGUGAUGAUACAGCCACAAACUCUUGUACAAACAUAUCUUGUACGAAUUGAUGUGGCAUUAAUUCAUUGGUUGAAUGAAAAUAUAAAAUAAUAGAAAUAAAUCAUGUGGACAAAAAAAUAUUUAAUUCAAUCAAUUUUAUCAUGCCACAUCAGUUUGUACAAGAUUCAAGUAAAGAGAGACAAACUACUCGUCAUCGGUGUCGUAGUUUUGGCAUAGUGAUUGUAGUCCGGUGCUGUCCUCUGAUUUGUUCUCUGAUUUUGCAAUAACUUUGGUGCCGGAGACCGCAACUGGUUUCGUGAUUACUUGAAUCCGUAUUGAUGAAGACUUUCGAGGCGCCUUGGCAUCACGUUCAGUUUCUGAAACAGUUGGAUUUUCUGUUGACAACAAAACAAAUAAACAUGAAAUCUGUCAGUAUGCUUUAAGUGCAAGCUCAAAUUCCACACAGAUCCAAUACACAAUUCAUUGAUUGAAAUAAUUCAUACAAAGCCACACGGACAUGACAGUUUGCGCGCGUGAAUGCAUCAACAAAACACUAACAGUUACUGACCUACUGAUUUGUGCACAAUGGAGUGUUUACUUAUCAGUAAUGGGAAUGAGAAUUCUGCAAUUGGAAUUAAUGACACGUUUACUUGUAGAAGUAAGGCUUGGAAUCGAAAUCGAAAUAGUGUUGAGCCCACAAAUUUGGGAAUCACUACCUGAGUUCUAAUUCCAAAUGGGGAGCUACGGAAUCAAGACUCUAUUUCCAAAAAUGAUUUUUUUACCCCUAGUUAAAAUUCCUAAUACUCAUUUUAUCCUUAAUUUAAAUAAUAAUUAAUAAUUAAAAAUAAUAAAAUUAAAAAUAAUAAUAAAUAUUAAAUUAUAACUAUAAAAAGAUUUUAAUAAAUAGUAAUAAUAACUUAUUAUUAUAACUAUUAUUAUUAUAAAUUUUAAUUAUAAUAAUUUCUUCAUAAAUAAUAAUUAUAAUUAUAAUAAAUAAAUAAAUCAAUAAUAAUAAUUUCAUUAUUUAUUAUUAAUGUCAUUAUAUAUAUUUAAAAUUUAUAUAAAAGUGCAAUGCAUUUUUUUGUUUAAAUAUGUCGUGGUUUUAUUGAAAAAUAUAUCAUGUACAUAAUACAUAAAUAAAUAUUUUAGAAAUUUUUCUGUGAAAACUUUACUAACGUCCCAUUAAUAUGUCAAUUACAAUUUAUGCACAUAUAUAUAUAUAUAUAUAUAUAUAUAUAUAAGUCCAAUGCAUUUUUUGUUUAAAUAUGUUGUGGUUUUGAUGAUUUAGACAAACUAUAGAUAAUUAAAAAUAAUAAAAUGAAUCGGAAUGAGCUGGAUCGGAAUAGACUGGAAUCAAAAUCAGAAAUAGGAAUCAUAAUAAGUUAUUUACUUGAGCUGUAGGAAUUAGAAUCGAAAUGAAAUUCAUUUCCAUUGAUAUGUUUACUUUGUCUUGAAAUCGGAAUGAACUAUCAUAAUUUACUAAAAUGUCCUUUAUUAAUUAUUGUCAAUUGGUAGUAGUAAUAGUAAUAAUAAUAAUAAUAAGGACAUUAACAAUAAAUAAUGAAAUUAUAAUUAUUAUUUAUAGAUUUAUUUAUUUAUUAUUAUUAUUUAUGAAAUAUUAUUAUGAUAUAAUUUAUCAUUAUUAUUAUAAUAAGUUAUUACUACUACUAAAAUUUUAUUUAUUUCAUUAUUGUUAUUAUUACCAAUUGACAAUAAUUAACAAAAGGCAUUUUAGUAAAUUAUGAUAGUUCAUUCUUACAUGCUAAUAUAGUUAAAAUAAAGUUUCGGUACGUAGUUUGCAGCUAGAUUGUUAUGUGCUUAUAAUCAAUUGUAGUUUUAUUUUACUUUUUUCAUUGCUUGAGAAUUCUAAAAUUUUCUAUGACUUUUUGGAACAUUGACAGUUGUCAACUUGACGCUAAUUGAUCUUCCUCGGCUCACAAAAGCAAUGGCUGGAAAGUUAUAUUUGUUUCCUUUCUUUUAAUUUUGGUGUUUGCUUCUUGUAUUUCAGGCCUUUUAGCUUUGUUUAAUAUUAUUUUCAUUAGCAUUGGCAAGUGGCAGGGCAUGUUGUUAAGAUGAAAUUUUUUCUAAUUAGUAAUUCAAUUCAUUACUAUCUUUACAAGUAACAUGUCCAUGGUCUAAAUUCCAGAGCUAAAAUUGCGGUUGAAAAUCAUGAGCUGGUUAUGGAGAUGAACACUGUGCUUGAAGACUGUGGCAAGAUCAAGAAGUUUGCCAAGUUGCCACGGGGCGUGACUGAGUACGAUCUCAUGGCAUCCUAUGACAAUAUUAAGAAUUUAAACCCACAUAAACCUGACUCUCACAUGAGUUUAGUUUAUGCGGGUUUGAUAACAUUACAAAAUAAUUUGACCAACACAAUGCAAUGAGGAGUAGUUACCAAACAUAAGAUUAUAAUAAUUUAAUAUUAUAACGAAUGUUAAUACCAUGUAAUGAGUGCUACCAAACAUCCCAUACAAAACUAGAUGUAUUUAUAUUAGCAAAAGACAAAUGCAGCAAUAAGCACAGAAAAUUUCAACGCUACCAGGUAUGAUCAAGUUUAUUUAUAUAUUUAUUUUUUGACCAAUGGUGGUAAUUCUAAGCAAACAUAUCUCAAGGAACACACCGUAAUUGUAAUAGCUACUUUAAUUAACACAACAUACUUAUAGGUCAACCACACUAAUGGAAAUCAUCAAUCCAUUAUAUUAGUGCUUAUUUUUUCAUUACCAGACAACAUGAGAAAUAAAAGUAAAAUUCUUCUGCAUACCUCUUCAGAUGGAUUUUAAUUCGUAGGCAUUACAAUAACAAUAAUUUCUAGUGUUAGCUGGACUAAUUUACUACUAAAUCUGCCAAAACAAAGGCCCUUAUUUACACCUAGGGUUUCAUAGUCAUCGACUACAUCAAGUCUAUAGAAUAACCAAAAGAACCCUAGAAAUUGACGUAAACCCAAUUCAAAGAAAAUGCUAAAUAAGCACAAAUUAGAAGUAUUCAUCCAAACUAGUUCAGUGAUUAACACCUACGAUAUUAUUAAAUAAAACAAAACUGUAAUCCCUAGAUCAGUUUCUAAAUUACCUAUUCUAGUGGCCAGAUCAAUAAUGCAAAACCAACCAAGCAUCCUCAACAAGUCAUUUUGGCAGAGAUAAUAUAGAACGAAUACAGAGGUAGCAUUGGCAGAGAUAACAACAGCUAAAACUUAGAAUUGAAUUAGCUUAAGAAUGGCGGAGAAGAAGCAAAACCAUCUCAAGGACAGCUAAGCGCAGUACCAGCAUACUUGAACGGAUUUGACAGCAUUGGCAGCGUGGGCGUUUGAUAGCUUAGACAAAGUUAGGGCUGGGUGUGUGUAUGACUGUGUGUGAGUGUGUCGUUUUGAUUGUGAAGGUUGAGGAGGAAGAGAAGGAGAAUUGGAUUUAGCAUUUGCGCGACCACUGCUUUGUGCUUUUCUUUACAUUUUUUAUUUUUGUUUUCCAGGCAAACCGGAUUGGCUUUUUAUUUCAGUUCGGGUUCACUUGACCCGAAAUAAAAUCUAUCGGUUUCUAAAUUUAAAACCAUCGGUUCUAAGAGUUACACCAACCGAAUCAAACCCGAAAUACCCGACCCAAAUGUCUACCAAGCAGUCAAGGUUGUUAAAGAAUUGCAAUUUACAGUUGGUUUAGGAUUUCGGAGCGGGACAAAAUCUAAGCUCGGAUUUAGCUUAUGGAUCCGGAUAUAAUAGGAUAAAAAUAUCGGGACUUUUUUAACCUAGGUAUUGACCUACAUUUUUUUUGUUUUUGCAUUUUUUUAUUUUGUAAAUUAUUAUUUUUUAUAAUACUUAGCAAUGGCAAAAUAUUUAUGUGGGAAGAGAUCCUGCUAUAAUUCUAAUUUAAGCAUCGUUAAAAGAAAGUGUCUCUUGUCCGUUGGUUAGACGGGUUGAGUAUGAACAUGACACUUUGGCCUACACCUACUGUUAAACCUGAUGUUAAAAUUGGUCACUUAUUUAAAAGGACACCAAAUAAAAUAAUAUGAUUAAGAGCGUAAAACGUAAAAUUAGUAGCUUGCCAAUUACUAUCUCGUUUUAAGUUUUGAGGAUAGCAAAAUUUACUCUCCUAAAUAAAAAUAUCAAAAGUCAAUUUUAAAGACAUUAAUCCUAUUGUUUACGAAAAAAAAUCAAUUGAAAGAGGUUCUUUAUUUUGGAUUUUACAAAACAUAAUCAUCAUUGAUCAUAAAUAAUCGAUAUAUGUGUAUGUGGGCAUAAAUAUAUUUAAUAUCCCUAUUUAUUAACAUAUUGAUUAUUAUAUAUACAUAUAUAGAUAUAUGUAUGUAUGUGUGUGUGUGUGUGUGUAUAUAUAUAUAAUUUGAAACUGAUUUUUUUAAAUUCUUAAGAUAAUAAAAUUGAGGUAUUGUAUGUCUUUUAGUUUAAAAUUUAUAAUUUUUUCAAAAUUUGUGCAAGAUAUCAAAAUAAUAAGGGGGAUAUAAUUUAUAAAGGAUAGGGAUGGGUAUAGGUAUUUAUAUUUCUUUAUGGGAAUUUACCAACCCGUAUCCAUUUAAACCCACAAUGCGUAAGGGUCAAGGAAAGAGAUUUUUUCUAUUCUAUCGAUACGGUGUGAGCAUUGGCCAUCCCCACAUUAUAGCAGGCCCACUGCCAUCCUUAAUAAGAGAUCAAAUUUGUGUUCAAACAUUAAGACACAUUUCACAUGACCCAUUAACACUUAUUACUAAAAUUUUAAUUAUUUAAUAAAUUUAAAUUUAAAUUUAAAUUUUUUAAAGAUAAAGUAUAUUUACUUUGUUUAAUAUUGUAUAAAAAAAAGAAAUUGAUUUUAAAUUUGCUAAUUAUAUAAAGUUGUCAGAGACCCAUAAAAUCUUUACUAGGUAUUUAUUGUAAAGGAUGAACAAUGCUUAGGAAAGAAAACUCUCAUUUUUCUUCUUUUGUUUUUAUGAAAGACCAUCAAUGGACCAAACUAUUUUUAUUUUAAUUUUGGGCAAGUAUUCUUAUUUAAAUAGUUAUAUAAAUUUGUGUACUAUAUUGUUCAAUCAUAUUAAACAUGAUGAAUAUUAAGGUUUUCUUUCAUUUGUCUUCAAGGGUGUGGUUGAGUGGUUGUCAAACAACUUUAUUUGGCUGACCAUCUGAGUUUGAAUCUUUAUAAGGGUAAAGGGCUAAAAAAUGAAUUUAGACUUUGUCUAUACCUUAACUUUUUGAAAAAAUUAUUAAAAUAUAAAGUUAUAUUUUUUAAAAGAACCUAAAAUAGUCGAUCAAAUAAUACGAUAAUAGUAAAGUAUGGAUUCAAGUUUGCAUUUUUUUAUCCAAAUAAAUUAAUAGAUGAAUUUGAGUCUACGUAAUUUAGCAUGACAGAAAAACAACUCAAAUAUGACCCAUUACCAUGCCUAAAUGUGUGGGUGCUUGUACAAAUCUAUGUCCAAUCAAGCUUGAGUCGAACCUGGUGCCUAAGGGGCCAGGCCGUGCUUCAAAUGUGUUGGCCCAGAUCGACCUUUUCAAGUCCAAUGAUAUUGUUCUUACUUAGUUACAGUUCUUAGUUUGUAUCACAACUAAUGUGUCACUAAUCCAAUUUCACCAUUUGAAAUAGAAAUAAUAAGUUUUAAUAAAUAACUAUCACUUAAGUCAAUUAAAUAAUGACACAUCAUUUACAACAUUAGUUGAGCUAUAAACUAAUUACCUCAACUAAGUAAGCAUAACAUUAUUGUUCUAGUUCACACUCGUAACCCGAGCUUACUAAAAACGCUUGGGAUUAACUCGAUUCUCACUAUUUGGGCUAGGUUUGGCCAGGCCAUACCUAGGUCAAACUAUUUUACCAUCCCUAUAUCAAUACAUACCGUAUUGUCUCCCACGAAUGGUCAUAUUUACUUUUUAUCUUUUGUAUCAUAAAAUUAAACUAAAUUUAUCAGGGGUGUUCAUGGAUCGGAUUUUGGAGAUUGGACAUGAAUCCAUAUAUAGUCCAUGACUUCUAAGAUGAUAUAUAUUCAAUUCAAUUCAUAGAUUAGUAAAAUUCAAUCUAAAUCCAAUCCAUACAUCAAUAGAUGGGAUGUAGAUUUGACACAAUAAUUCACAUCUAAUCCACCAUUUUGCCAAUUGAUUUAGGGGUUAAAUUUUUUUUAAUUAUAUCCAAUCCACGAAUUAAUUAAAUAAAAUGUAAUAUAACAAUAAUUUUAUUACUGAUCAAAUUCAAUAUUGAAUAAGAUUUAAAUUAAUUAAUUGUUUGAAUAAUGCUAGAAUAAUAUAUUCAAAGCUUCAAAAUAUAACACACUAAAAAGAAAAUUGAAUAUUUGUUUAUUUUUAUUAUUUAGUUAUUUUUAUUUUGUAUUAUUAUCAGUUAAAAUAUACUACAGUGUUAAUGUAACUACAUUUUAACUUAUUUAUUUACUAGUAAGUAGUAGUGCUACAUUUAUAAGUUUUAUUUUUUAAUUAAAUAAAUAUUUUUAUUCUUUUUGUGAACUCACUGAUUUAUGCGAAUUUAUAGAAGUAAAUUCAUAUCCAAUCUACCAACUAUGAAUUUUUAAUCUAAUUCAGUCCACUAAUUCACAAAUUGGUUUUUUACGAAUCGAAUUUUUGCAAAUUAGAUGGAUUAAGCAAAUCAGAUUGAAUUAUGAACACUCCUAGAAUUUAUAACUUUUGUUAUCAAUUUGAUAUUCUUUGCCACAAAUAAAACAUGACUUUAUGUGUUAAAUCAACAUUUUGUUUUAUGUUAAAUUCAUUGGAUGGGCUGGCGGCUAAAAGUUUUUUGGUUCAGUAGCCCAGACGGGAUCGGGACCUAACCCAGCCAAUACGAUGACAGGUAAAACCCGAACUGUAUGCACUAGUAUACAUGCCCCAGGUAUGGAAAAUGAAUAUCCGGAUAAGUCCGGGCAAGGAUUCAAGCACGGUACAAAAAAGCCGGAACCCAAAUUCGUGCCCCUUUUAUUAAUCAGUUAAAAAAUAUAAAUAUAAAAUUACAAACCCAAAAUCCAAAUUAAACUCUAAAUCCGUAUUACAUACCGAAACAAGCACGCCACUUCAGUGCAGACGCUCCUGUAGCUCUAAUGCUCCAAGCCAGUACCCACCACGGCACACCUCCACGAACCUCUCUCUGCGCGUCGGCAUCAUCGCUUCUCAUUUCUUAGCUGCUGGCCUUGGUGUGCGAAUUCUCUCUAUUCUCCAUCAUCAAUUCUUCACUGUCACAACUCACUUUCUUAGCCUACAGUCGCGUUCGUGCAGCCAUCUCUACUCCACCAUCACAACCACGAGGCAUUGACUUUUUUUCCAGCUUUAAAAAAAAAAUGAUGAAAUUAUUAUUAUUAGGUGUUAUGCAUUAUGUUUUUCUUGGAUGCUAUGCUUAGAUGUAGAGGUGGCAAAAAUACUCGCCUGGUCCGGAUCUGGACCGUACCCGGGUAUUGUGGGUCGGGUAUUAUUUAGUUCGGGUACGAAGCCGGGUCGAUCUUGGGUAUCACUUGAUAAACUCGGAACUUAGAUUUUAUUAAAAAAAUAUUAUAAAAUAUAUAUUAUUUUAAAUAUUUAUAUUUAUUUGACUCAUUUAUUAGACAUAUAUAAAGUUUUAAACACUUAAAGUUUAUAUUUUCAUGUCAAAUUUUAUUGAAAUAAAUUUAAAACUUAUAAAAUUACCAAAAAAUAAAAAAUAUAUACACAUAUAAUAUUAAAAAAUAUAAAAUUCAGGUACCCGGAUUAAAACCCGGCCCGGACUCGAAUCCGGACUGAUUGCAUCCGGGCAGGGUUUGGUCAUUGCAAUACCCGAACCCGGCCCGGGGUUUUGCCAUCCCUACUUAGAUGAUUAUUUUUUAUAAUAAUAAACAUAUGUAAUAGGAGCUGAAUUAGGCUACUUUUAACUAUUAAAUUAAUUUGUUACAUAAUUAUUAUAAUUACAUAGUUUAUUAUAUAAUAUUUGUUAUGUAAUAUUUUUGUUGGGGAGGAGGUAAUUUUAGAUGAUGAUGAUGAUGGGCCACAAUCAUUGAGCAGCAUGACAUAAAGUUGUGAUUUACUUAUUUUACAUGUAUUUUAGAAUCUUUUAUUAAUUAUUUUGCCAAUUGUUAGAUAUUUUGAGAUUUUCAUAUGUUAUAUUAGUAAUUGGUAUCAUGAUUAUAAAUUAUGAUAUGUUGGAUAUUAUCGUUAUUUAGAUUUAUUUGUGAUUAUUGUGUUGUUGAAUUUAAAUUUUUGAUUAAAAUUGAAUGAAUUUAGGUUAGAAAUUGAAUGCAUUUAGGUAAUAAAAAGUAGAUUGAAUUUUUUUUUUUAUUUACUAUUUGUGUAAAAUUUGCACUAUUACAAGUUUUUUUUGUUCAGUUUGAAUCAGGGAUGGCAAAAUCCGGGUCCGGUUCCGGGUUCGGCCUUCCCGGUUCCGGACCCGGAUGUCAUUUUCUUUUUACCGGACCCGCAUAUAACCCGGAUUUUUUACAUGCGGGUCCGGUCCGGGUUCAACCCGGAAAAAUUAAGGGUUCCGGAUUCCGGGUUUGAAACCCGGAUUGUCUUUUGAAUUAUGAUUAAAAAAUGAAAAAAAAAAUUGGAAACUACAAUUCAAUCACAAAUUAAAACCGAUUAACCUUUUUUUUCCGUGAAAUUCAGGCAGGUACACAAGAUAGAUCUUAAUAUGAAGGCGUUGCAAAUACUACCAACAAAAUUCAAUAAAUUAAUAACCUAAUAUAGGAAGUGGAUGCACGAAAAUUACAAUUAAUUUUGAAUUGUAAUGGCAUCAAAGACCGUGGCCCACCCAAAUCCACCAUGCAAUGCCAUCAAAGACAGCCCCCACCAUGGAAUAUGACAAACAAGAAGCACAGGCGGGCUUAGAGGUGGAAGCUAAUCCAGGCGAUUUUGCAACAGUUGAACAAUUGAGAAGGAAUGGUGGUCGCAGCAGUGCAGAGAAGAGGAACACAGCAACUGAUGAUGAUAAUGAACACAGAGAAGAGAAAAUGGCCGAAGUGAUGACGACGACGACUUGAUUUGAUGAAGAGAAAAGGAAAUAUGGUUGGCGGCCGGCGGAUGUGAGAUUUGAGAAGAGGAAUGCGAAUUGCAAAAUUAGGGCCGGCUGUGCGCAUUAUUAUUUCCUUCCUUUCUUUUCUAUUUAUAUUAAAAAUUAUUAAAAAUUUAAUAUUAAAAUGAAAGAUAUCCGGGUCCGGGUUUCGGAUAUGCGGGUUCACCUAAACCCUGACCCGGACCGGAUAUCAUCCGGGUUCAUAAAAUCAAAUCCGGAUCCGCAUUUUAUAUAACUGCAAUACGGGUUCAACCCGGACCGGAUUAUCCGGGUUCGUCCGGGUCCGAUCCGGGUCCGGGUUAUUCUGCCAUCCCUAGUUUGAAUAUGCGGGUAGGAGAACCCCGGCUUAAAAAUCCGUGUUUGGGCGGCGUUGGGCUUAUGUUGGCCCGCAUUGAAAAAAUCAGGGUAUGAACCAUGGUUCGGGUGGCCGUUUUAUCCAUUCGGGCUAAUCUUGGGCGAGUCCAAACUCGAGCCGAACCCAGAAUUUUGCCAUGCCUACUUAGCCAGCUAGCCCAAAUAAAUGAUUUUAAAAUUCUUAUUUACUAUUUUAUUAUUUAUUUCUUUAAUCUAUUUUUUCACCAUCUGAAAUCAUUGCGAGUAAAUAUGAGCUCUACAGCAGCAAGUCAUGUCUCUCACUUCAAUGUCGGGAGCUCGCUGAUAUAAUUAAUUAAUUCAUCAAUCUUUUAAUACUAGAAAAUCAAAUCUUAAAUAUUAUUUAAUUAUUUCUUUUUUGUGAUUUUUAAUUAAUCAAUUAAUUCAUCAUGGUUAAGUUGUACUUUUUUAAGUUCUGAAGGGGUAGUUUACGAUUCAUUUCUAUAAUAUUGUGAAAAAAAUUAACCCAUGAUAUUCAAUCAUAUGUAUAUUAUAAUGAGAACACUACAAAUUUACUAUUUAAGUCAAUUCAAGAUAAAGUUUAUUAUGACAACUUAUACUCACAAAUAUCGAAGAGAUACUCACACAAUAAAUAUGAACAAAUGCUAUUUCUACUUAUACAUAAUUAAAAAAAAUGAUAAAAUUUUCCAGAAGAGACUUCGACAUUAUUUUCUUCAUUUCUUUAAGCAGUAACAAUAUUUCGGGUACAAGUAGAAUUGACAAAAUUUGACACGACUUGAUUAUACGAAUACGACACGAAUAAAUUGAUAUGGGUUGUCAAAUUUGACAUGUUAUUAAAUGGGUUGGGUCUGGAUCGAUUAUUUUCGUAUUGAGUUAGUGUUCAAGUUCUUGACCCAUUUACCUAACUAAUGACAUGAUUAUAUUUCCUUUUUAAAUUAAUUUCUAGGUUCUUAUUAUUGGAACUCAAAUAUUAAACAUGAUUAUCUCUUUUUAUAUUUUUGGGAAGAAUAGACACUUUAAUAAUGUCAGUGUGUAAAAUAUCAAUACACAUGUAUAUUUUAUGAUAUUGAUAUAUAGUGUUAUUCACAUGUAUAUAAUUGAAAUUUUAAUAGUGCAAAUGUGUAAUAUUUUGGUGGGUGUAUGUGUGAAAAAUAUAUAACAUUUGUUAAAUAUAUAAAUAUUAAAUAAGUUAUUGGAUAACCCGUUUAUUUUUUAUGUUGGGCUUGUGUUUCAAUAUUUUAACACAAUCAUUAAAUGAGUCAUGUUUAGGUCGACUUAAAUUUUAUACGAUACGAAAUUAACACGACAUGAACACAAUCAGAUAGUUUUGCCAGCUCUAGGUAUAAGGAUGUUAGUUCUGUGUGACGCAGCUCAACCAGAUUACACUCAAGGCACGGCCUCACGAGGACAGGAGGCAUUCUUAUGUGUAUGUACAGUCGAUAAAAUAAUCAUAAAAAGAGAUUCGGAUCUCAAAAUCGACUUUUAUUCUUUUCUAUAAUUAAUUUCCAAUAAUACUUCGAAAUUUAAUAUCGCGGUAGGUACUUGUGGACUGAACCAUAAACGAACUAUACUCAGAUACCAAUAUUUAUAUUAUUUUUAUAUAUCUUUGAUCGAUUAGUGUAUGUUGACACUCAUUAAGAAAAAGAGAUUCAUUUUUUUGGAUGGUUAUCAGAUUUGCUAAUUUUCAAAACAUGUGUGUAUUGUACAAUAUUAUUGAAUUAUCAUAUAUUAUAAUUGAAGGACAACAUUUGUCCAUGAGGUUCCUAAAAACGUAACUUUUGUGCAGUAAAAUUAAAACGGAUGGCGGAAGCUCUAGAAACCUCGGAUAGGCUUCAUUCAAAAACGAAAAUCAAGAGGAAAUAUUGACGUUUAAUGAUCUCACUUGUAGUUUCAAAAACGACUUCGUGAAGUAGGAGAAAAUGACUGAAAACAGCAAGCUACGAACACUGUCCAGAAAAUAGACCUCUGCACGAACAGCUCUGUUUUGCCACGAUUUGAGAUCCUUAAAGCAACCCAAUUGUAAUGCCUCUAAUAACUCCACACAUAGAAAUUUUUUAGGAGUUCAUAGGAUUUGGAAUCACGAAAUUUCGUUUAGAAAUGAGAGAGAUAAUGGAGAAAAAUGAAUGCUAGUUCAUGAUGAUUCAUUCUACCAAAUAAAGCCACCAUUAUCUUUUGGAAAAAUAUCCACCGUCUACUCGUUUUUUCCAACUUUUUCAAAAAUACACAAUUCUUUUUUUUUUGCUGGAAUCCACCUGAAAUUGCGUUUUGUUUCACUUUUCCACUUCCGUUUCGAAUCCAUUAUAACAUUACUGAUGUCGUAGGGGCAAAUCGGUCAUUUCAGCAGAGCAACCCCAAACGACGUCGUUUACAACACAUUGAUCUUCGAACAAUUCAAUCCAGGCUUGACAGAGAGCUUUACUCCAAUUGUUUCCAAAAAAUCUUUAGAGAUCUCCUUUUGUUAUUCAACAACUUCGUAAUUUUCUUCAGAAAAAGCUCUUAGGGCAAAAGAUUUGACUCUUUUAAUUUUCUUCAGUUGUAGCGCUAGCUGCUACUCAAAAUGGCUGAAAGGAUCCACCCCAAAACGACACCGCGCAACGAACAAGAGCCCUCACAUCCGCCGGCGCUCGUGGCCGCAGGAACCUACGUCAACGAACAAGCUGCCACUCGUGCUCCCGCCGCCGCAAAUCCAGCAGCACUACCUGCUGCUGCUUCCGUUUCUGUUGCUGCUCGCUGCUUCUCCUUGUCCUCCUCUUGGCCAUCGCCGCCGGCAUCUUCUACCUCAUCUUCCGUCCCGAAGCGCCCAACUACUUCGUCGACGACAAGAUCGGCAUCUACUACGGAGAGGCAGCUCGGUGGAGGUCUACUACAAGGACGUCAGCUUAUGCGACAAUGUCUGGCCUCAGUUUUACCAGCCGAGCAACAAUGUCACGGUUUUCAAAACGGCGCUGAAAGGAUCGUCCAUCGAGUUGACCAGCUCUAUGCAUAAAGACCUGGUUGCUGCUCAGACGAGUGGCAAGACAGUGCCUUGAAAAGAAUGAAGCAGAAUUCACCUUGUGAAGUGAUGGAAGAUGAUGACGAUGAAGAAGCAGAUGACAACGAUAAUGAUAACGAUGAAGACGACUCGGGCGACCAUAGCAAGGAUAGUAAAGUAGAGGAGGAGAAGAAGAUGAUUUCUUUUGAUUAGUUUAGUGUUUUACUAAGUUUGGGGGGGGGUAAAAUAGUCAUUUGACUAAGUUUCUGUUAGUUUUCCUAACGGAUUCCAAACGGAAGUGGAAAAGUGAAACAAAACGCAAUUUCAGGUGGAUUCCAGCAAAAAAAAAAAAGAAUUGUGUAUUUUUGAAAAAGUUAGAAAAAACGGGUGGACGGUGGAUAUUUUCCCUUAUCUUUUCAAUAAUGACACCAAACAUUAUCAUGUGCUAGACCCACCCACUAAGCCAUUAUUUAUUGAAUGUGAUCUUAUCACUUCAAUAAUUUAUUUAAUCAAAUUAUUUUGAAUAAAUAAAUAGCUAAAUUAAUUAUUUUUAUCUUUAAUUAAUUAAUCCCAUUUUGAUAAAAUCAAAUGGUUAAUUAUGGGCUUCUUUUGUGACAUGUUCUAAUGCUUUCUCCUAAUCCAUAUUAGGUCCAAUAAAAGCCUAAAAUUCUAAACCCAAAAUUGGUCUAGAAGUCCAUAAUCAUUUAUGAACCGGAACAUGUCCAAAAUGGUCAUUUACGUGCUCGAUAUUAGACAUAAUGUUUAAUUGAGGAUUUAUGAAAUUUAUUUUGUUCCUUAGACUAUUUAUGGAACAUCUAAAUUUCUUUCUUAAAUCAUAUUUAAGAUAUUUAUAUUCAUUCUUAAUGAUUAUAAUAUAAAUACCAAUUUUCCUAAAAUUAAGAAAUUUAACUUCUCAUUUUCUAGUAACUCCUUUUUCAUUUCUAUUAGGUGUGUGAUCUUUUAGGUUCUUUAUUAUAAGGUAGUACAACUAUUUUAAUGAUAACUCUUUAUUCAUUAAAUGAUGCUAAACUCUUUAGUCAUCAAUUAGAACGUUUCUAAUGACCUUAAGAUACAUUGGUAAUACGCUUUGCCAAUAAUGAUCUUAAGGUUUCUACAAGUCAUGAGUGACACCUAGCAGUAUUUCACAACCACCCAAAUAACAAGAAUAGCUGGAUCUAUAGAACCUAUUCCAUUGUAUCUCUAUGUCUUGGUCUCUUCAUCAUCCAUGUCCAGAGAAAAGCACGACUAAUGGUUUAGUGUGUUAAGCAUUUAUACUUUAUCUCAAAAUAAAUCUAAAUGAACUCAACAUGAAAAUAUAAUUUGAACUCCUUCAAACAUAUUUUAUCUUGGCUAAGGAUUUCUCAUGCUAAUUCAUAUUAUCUCACAGGGACAUCCCUUUUUUGUAUAAUACAAAGUGAUGAAUUCCAUAUUGGCCAUACACUUGUCUCCAUACAUAGCCAACCAUGACAACUAUUGCUAGAUCUCUUUCUUGAUUAUAAAUCAAUCAGAGAUGUUUAUGUACAAGAUAUCUGUGAUGCCUCAGGUCUAAAGACCAUUACUAAACAUAGUGUCUAUCACAAUGUAUAAUAAGCCAUUAACACUCAAAACCAUAUGGCUUAUUAUAUUUGGUCAAGUUCAGUAAACUCGUUCUCUCAACAAGUACCUAUGUGUUUGACUUGACAUCUCAUGUCAAUGAUAUGAAACUCACUAUUCAUUUUAGUAUCACAUACUAUAAAUGAGUCAUAACACAUACUAGUGUUUAUAAGAAUUCAUGACGUCCAAUCGUAAAUCCACCACUAGGAACUAUUUUAGAAGUAUAAUACAAAGGUUACACGUUUCAUAUUCUCGACAAACUCGAGAAUGUGUUCCUUAACGAUUUUACUUCUUGGACUAUAUUCAUUAAAUUAAUUUAUGAAUAUUGAUAGCUUUACCAUUUUAUAAAUAUUAAAAUGCUAUUCAAAUACAAUAAUUUAGGGCAUAUUACUAACAAUAAUAUAAUGUUAUAAUUCAAGGAAAGUAUUAGACAUUUUCUCGUUCAGAAGUGGUUGAAGAAGCCUAGCAAAAGGAAAAAUAAACUACUUGGUAGCCACAGGAGGUCAUGUAUCCAUAAAAGCAAUUAAUAUGGGUAGCGACAUGUGGUUGAGGAAUAAUGAAAGAGGCCGUUUGUAUUUUGGUGAUAUAUGAAUGAUUUAUGGGGGUUAUAAAACAACGCUUUAAUUUUCACAUUAUUUCAAAUAGUUUUGUAACUUACAUUUGGAAUAAUGACCAAAUUUCAUUCUAGUUCGUGGUAAUUGAUUUUGAUAGUGGUUAUAAUUUAAACUAUUAAAGGACGCUGAUAAUAAUUUUGAACUUGUUCGCUUACAAAACCAAACAAAACCCCCUUUUAUGAUUCCAUCAUCAUAAUUGAAUACUAAUUGAUAUGGAAAAUUAACCAAAUAAGAGUUAACAUUUUAACAAGGAAAAUUGCUUUAAAAUCUAAUAAUCAAUUCCCUUGUUUUAAUUCAAUCAAUGAGAUAGUUUCUCUGGCUGGUGUCUAAAUUUGGUGAAGAUGCAGUUAAUGUUUCAAGUCUUUCCUUCUUCAAAAUUAAAUUAUAAUUACAAUACAAUUAAUAACUACUUAUAAUGAAGACAAGAAACAAAUGAAAUUAUUUCUAUAUAUCAUGGUAUAGUUUAAGCAGUAUUGAUUUGGUUAAGAAUCAUAAAUUUUAUUAAAAAAAAGUUAUUAAUUCAUAUUUUUAUAAUAGAAGAUCAUUAUAUUAUUUAACUAUAUAGUUUAAUAACUUUUUCGGACUUUAAAAAUUUCAAAGUUCUGAAUUAAAACAUAUCUAAUAAUUUAAAUUACUACACUUACGCUGAAAAGAAAAAUGAUAUCGGUCUGUAAAGGGCACACCAUGACCACAGAUAUGGCGGCGCCCUUCUUUUAUGGGCAAAUAUUUGUAUUUUACUGAAAGAUCUUAAUUUUAAAGAGAAAAUUACUCUUAAUUGGGAUAACGAAAGGACUCCAACGCACCCUCCAUUAUGAGGGUAGAAAGUUAGGAACGAGUUAACACCAGUAUAGCCUCAAAUCUAGUUAAAAUGACAAGCUGCUUUUAAAUAAAAGUUUCCAUUUCAGGACUUCCAAAGUUCACCGUUAUAUUUCAAAGUUACACGUUAUCAGUUAUACGAAAAAUUAGUGGGUGGGAGCAACUAAUUUUGACAACGGCCCAUUAAAAUGCAAUACACAGUAGGUCAUCUAUAAAUGAAGGGCAUUCAUUUUUCACCAAUCACCGUCACCGGGACAAGGAAAGCAUGCAAUUAUAGAGAAUGGUCCUUGCAUACUCGCUCAUCUUUUUAAUUAGAAAAAUCGUAUUCACAAGCCAACAAGGAUAAAUUAAAAAAAAAAAAAAGCCGAUAAGGGAUUUCGAGCUAACAUAUGUUUAAAGAAAAGAACUAAGACUUAUUUGAUCGGGCAUUGGGUAAAAUUGGGUUCAGGUUAAAUGAAAUAGAUCUGAACUACUCGAAUCGAUUCGAGUUCAAGAUCCAUUUUAGAUUUGACCAUGUCUAUUUUGUUCUUUAUAGAUUGGUGGGGCUUCUAUCACUAUUUUAAAAUCCUUAUAAAACCUUUCUUAAGUUUACAUCAUUGUAAUUAAGGGUGGGCAUGAGUUGGUUUGGUUUGUAUUUUAAGUCAACCCAAACCAAACUAUAAAAAUUUGGGCUCAACCUAAAUACUUUUAACCCACCUCAAACCAACGCAUUUGAGUUUGGUUUGAAUUUUAUUAUCAAAAUAUUUUUUAUUUUGAUAAAUUUAAUUACAUCAAAAUUAUAAUAUUAUUAAUUUUUAUUAAUUAUUAAAUUAAUAUUAAAAUAUGAAAAAAUAUAGUGGAUAAAAAAUUAUAAAUAAUAGAUUUUACGGUAACUUCAUCCUUAAAUUAAAGAAUACUAGAAAAUUAAAUAAAGUUUAAAAACGAAAAUCAUUAUUUCUAAAUAAAUAAUAAUAAACUUCGACAUUCGAUUAAAAUUAUACAAUCAGAUCAUAUUAUUAAAUUAAAUUAAAUUAAAUUAAAUCAAAUCAAAUUUAUACUCCAGCCUACAUGUCAAGAAAAAAAAAAAAUUAUAGUCUAACCUUAAGAAAAUUUGGUUUGAAAUUCUCACCUAAAGAUGGCCAAAAUCUAUUCUAAAACGUGAUUCUUCCUUACUCUUAUAAGUGAAUGCAGAAAACUAAUAUAAAAGGUAAAGCAUAAAAUUUAUGCCUUUUGUUGAGCUUUCUUUUCAGAAGCUCGAAUAGCAACUCAUUUGGGCUCUGGCUCAAGAGCUUCAACAACUAUGCUCUUUGUGGCCAGUUUGUACUCAGAUCAUACGAAAUUUUUGAAUUGAAAAUAAUGCAAUUAAUUUGUUUUCAUUUAUUUUGUUUAAUAUAUUUUCUUCUGACAUAUCACCUUGAGUUUUAAGAAUUUGUCCAUGGCCCAUGAGUAAAUUAUUUCUAAACCAUCAUGAAAUGGUUUCUUCCAUAAAAAACCCAAAUCUAACUCAUUUUCAUGAUUUACCCAAUCCAAACCAUUUUAUUUAAUUGGGUUUGGGUAAACCCAUGGGUUGUGGAUUUAAGCCCACCCCUAAUUGUCACUACAAGAAAAAGUGCCUACUAUGACAGGCAAAAACUGUUAUAGUAGGGGGUGGAUGACGGUUGUUCAUACCGUUAUUGUAGCCAGCGUCAAGAAUUGAUGAUAGAACAAUACCAAUCAUAAUCUGUGAUAGAAAUUACCGGUCACAUAACUAUCAUAACUUUAUUUAGAGGGGAAUGUAAUAAAUUUGAAUUUGGCUCUUUUUUCAAAAAUUUUGCGCGCCAUAUUUUGAAUUUUUGGUGGGAAAAUUAAAUUUGGCUUGAAAUGAAAAUUAUAAUUAAAUAUUUUUUCAAUUAAAUCGAAAAUUGAAAUUAUAAUUAAUAAAAAAUGGGUAUUUUGUUUGCACCAUGAAAUUAUUAUCAUUUUAAUAAAAAUCCUACAAUUGAUUUAUUAGAAAUUAAUAUUUCAUAAAUUGGCUAAUUAAUUAGAUUAUUAAAAUUAAUAUUGCAAUAAAAAAUUCACUACAAAGAAAAUGAAAUGGAUAGCAUUGAUUAAUUAUUCAUAAUUGUCAGCAAACAUAAUUUAAUCAAAUACGAGUGACAAGUCCAACAUAAAGAGAAAAGUAUUGUAACAACAUAAAAGCUAAAUUCCAGCAACAUGUACAACACCAAUGAACCAUGAUCAGUUCAAUUCCAGUAGCAUAAGGAAGCCAAAAACAUAAUCAUUUCUACCAAAAUGAAGAAAGGCAACAACAUAGUUCAUUUCUAGCAACAUUUCCAACAACACAAGAGGAAGCCAACAAUAUUGAUAAGAUAAGGCCAGCAGUUCCCAAACAUGAAAAUCCAACCUAAGAACAACCAAAAUGUGUAAAAUUGUAUCAAUAUCCAAAACUUAUUUUCCAAACAAAGAAAAGAAAACUAGCCAACUCCAGCAAGACCUACCAUCUUCAUCAUAUUCCAACAUAGAAGUAUAAUAAGCUAGAUAACUGCCCAAGUAAAAUAUACCUUCCUUAAAUUCAAAGUCCAUGACCACAUAUAGAUUAGAAUAUUAGGCAAUAGAAUAAUAGCUAGUAAAUUAAUUUAUUUCAUCAAUGAACUCACAAUAACAACAUAAUAGGUAAGGGUUACCUCACAUAACAUCAAUUACUCCAGAAAAAUGAUUUGCCCACUCAAUACCGACUUUAUCUAAUUCAGCAUUGGAAUAUGUUGUCUUUCUAUUGAACUGUUUAUGAAAAAUAAAAAUUAUGUAGUGAGACUUUGACACAGGACAUGUUCUUUUUUAUGAAGCAAAUUAUGAUCAAGGAACUCACAUUGUUCAUUAGUAAAGAGAAGUCAUUAAUCAAGUCUUUCAUGAAUCUCAUGACAUAAAAUCCACACAUGACUGAACAUGCUGGCUGUUGUGGGACCUAUUCACAAUCAGCAAUUGCACACUUCAUUAUAAUAACAAUUAAGCAUGGUAAUAUAUAAUUAUAGUUAAGGUAAUAGUUCAUACCUUUACAGAUCUAACCAUCUUAUUAUAAUUCCAUUUCUCCUUACCCUCUUGUGCUAUAAACAUUGUCAUAGAGCUAUAUACAAAAAUAAAUUGUAACAAAGUAUCUGUAAACUAUGUAAAAGUAAUUUUAUAUUAACAAUGGUAAUAAAAAAAAUUGAACAUACACUUUAAUGAGCUCUUUUAAAUCAUCAUCAGGAUCUCCCCCACAAGAAUCGAGAUAAUAAACUUCCUUUUUCAACACAUCAAAGAUGGCCAGCACCCAAUGAUAACUAUAAUAAAAGAAAGAACAUUAAGGUAGCAAUUUCAGUAAAUUAAGGUAAGAAAGGAAAUUAAUAUGCGUUGAAAAGUAUUAAAGGACCAUACUAGGGAUUAUAAGGAAUAAAGAUGAAUUGUCCCUUCUUCGCUUUUUUCUAUCGAUCACUAACUCCACGUGCCCUAAGGUCAAAUGAUGCAAAAGGAUUACGUUCUUCGCCUCGUGAAUCCAGACCCAGACGAACGAAUCCAAAUGGUUUGACUCAUCUUUUCCCAGGUAGAAUGGAAGCAUACAACAUCCGGAUAAACAAUAGACAAACAAUGUUAAAGUCCAUUAAUUGGAACUCCCAUAAAAAGUACACAUAAAACUAGAAUGAUUAUAAAUCACUUACGCAAUAUAGACUUCGAUUACGUUUACUCCUAUAACAUCCAUUGACAGAACUGCAGUGCAGUCACGCCGCCCAAUAUGAGCUCUAAUCCCUUCCAUUUGGAAAACACCAUCAUCCAUUAGAUAUGGAAUCCAUUCUUGGUCUAAUAUCUUAGCUUCACACAUUGUGCCAAACAACUGUAACAACAGAAUCUUGUUCCGCUGUACCCCUCCUGCAUGCCUUGUGUUCCUCAUUGCUAGCAAAGGCUUCACUGCAACUUUUUUGCCCUCGUCCUUAGUUUCCUUUACAGCUUCUGUAUGUCCAAUCUCUAUUAUAUCAUUAUGUUGUUCUGCUGAUUCAAAGUUCAAAUGUUUUUUUGUGCCUUGAUGUUUAGGGUUGCCAUUUUUUUUCCUUGUAACAAAUCAUUAGGCAUCUCCACUGGGAUUUCAGAUGGGUUCAAUCUUGGACUCUUUCUUGCAAUGACAGAGAGUUUUUUGGCAGGUGUAUCUUUGUUUUUGUUUGCUAUGUUUGUCUCUUUUUUACAGUUUAGUAUUGGCAGGUUCCUACCUACUGUGUUUUUAGGUGUCCGUUGCUUCUUUUUUUUUUUUUCAAUGAUCAGGCUGCUACAGACAUAAUUGUUUAGUGUGAUUGGCAUAAAUAGUUUCUAAAUACUCUAAAUUUAUCUUACAAAGUAAUUAACAGUAAACUAUGUAUAAAUAGUAAACUUACAGCAAACUAAAUCCACAAACAACAGGUAAGAACAAUAACUACAGUAACCCUUAUCUAGCAAUAACAAGUAUGUACAGUUAAGUAGAAGAAGUAAAAUUGCAACAAACUAAAUCCAGAAAUAAUAAGCAAAAAUAGUAAACAAUCUGACCUUUGGUGCUUUAGUAGCUGCUUCAGUUUUAACAGAGUCGAUGCCAUCAUCUUCAACAGCAUUAUUGUUUUCAAUAGGUACUCGAAGGUAGUUGGAAUUUGCUAUAUCUAAAUGACGAGGUGUUUUUCUCAGUUCAUUUCUCAUUUCUUCCAACUGCCAGUUAAUUGAUUCCUUCCAUAGUCGGUCAUCUCUUUCCCUGUCUCUAUCAGCAGGCCUCUGGAAAGUUUGAAAAUACAUAGACGGGGUUACAAACUUGCCCACUCCUUGCAUAUGACCACAUCUUGGAGCUUUUCCCAAAGAUUGUGCGAGAAUAUCAUUUUUUUUUUCCGGACGACCGCAUCUUCCAUUUCUUAGCUUUCAUCUCCAGUUUAUUCUACUACACAAACGAAUUAAGUAAGCUAAUGUUAUCAAAGUAUAAGUAAUCACAACUAGAAUUACAGUAGUAAGCAAAAAAAUUCUUACGAUUUUUUUAAUAACUGGUUCAACAUCGGGGUGGUAUCCUCCGUUUUUCAUUUGCCGAGCUCUCUUCCAAAGAACACUCCUGUCCACUUUUUCUUCAGUAAAGCCUGUUUCUGAGCACUAUCAAAACAUGAGUAAAAAAAUAAAAUGUUAGUAACAAUCAAUAUUUGCAUCAACCAAACAACAGUAAAAUGUAAGCAACUAACUCAUAGUACAUACCACUUAUUGCAUUAACCUAACGUAACCUUUUUUACUUAGGCGAUGAUUAAACUUGUUUUGUGCCCGCCUAAGUUUAUUCACACCACUAACUUUCUACUUAAAACAACCAAACAAACAAUGGAUAAACACAUAAGGAAAAAUGUCAUAAGCAUUGAUAUAUUAUUAAUACUUUAAUUAGACACACUCACUUGAAAUUUUUCAGAGUCUUUUCUUCACAAACUUAACCCAACUUUCCUUAUCAAUCGUGCUGUACCAUGCUGGUGGCUUGAAAAGCCUUUUACAGUCAUUAACAAAUGGUAAAACAUAGUUCCUCAUUAUAGUGUACUUAAAGUUCCGAAAUGCAGCUCUGAUUGCUUGAAGUACUUGCUUCUUUCUUCGAGGAUGAACAACGAAGUACACCUUCAAGUUUCAUUAUCAAAAUGUGAGAAUGAAGAUAUUUACAAUCACGAAAUAAAUUUUAUUUCUAAUUUCGAAUUUUUCCAGCAAUAAUAAAAUUAGACAUAUCAUCUUAAUUUCCUAUUUUAUACCUUAAUAGACUCCAACAGACGCUCUUUUGUAUCAUCUGGAACUCUACGCCAAUCGUUGUAGAGGAUUGGAAUUGAUAUACGAGUCAAAACACCAAUAUAUGUAGACAGCUCAAUGGCUUCUUCACCAACUGGAACACCAAAGAUGUUGUAUUUAACCACAAACUUUCCACUUCUUUUCCUCUUCUUGUUUUGUUCUGACCUAACAGUGCCACCUCUACUUUGCUUACUGCUCUUAGGUUCAUCCUCAUUACCAUUUCCAAACUCAUCAAGAUUAGGGACAUGAUCGGCCAGGGGCAUUUCAUGAUCAUAUCCUUCGCAGAUAAGUGCCUCAUGGUACUCUGAUUCCUCACCAACAGAUCCAUUAUUUUGUUCAUCUAAAAACUCAUUGAAACAGGCAUCAGAUUGCUGUUGUGCAAAUUUUAUUGAACUCGCACGCGCACGAAUCUAUUGUAGAAUAGACUAAUGGUGACGAGUGUUGAUCCCACGAGGAGGUGGAUUUUAAUUGUGUGUAGAAUUAAUUUUGUAAAUGGCUGGUUGGAUUUGUGGUGAAAAUGAUUUGGAUUAUCCUAAAAUUGGAAUUGAAAUGGUGAGAAUAAAUUGAAGAGAAAUCUAUUGAGAUGACGUACUUGGGUAUCUGAAUCCGUAUCAACAUGCAUCAUGGGCUAAAUAAUCCUUAUUAAUGCCAAUUAAAUCAUGAGGGGGGAAUCCACACCUCAUGAACCACGCUCUAAUCAAUAUGGUGCUAAGGGCUUAUUGUGCCAAAUAAUAAUAACCUUGUACUAGGGGGCUGGUGAAACCAAGGCGGUACUAGACAAGAUUAGUAUUAUUUGUCGACGAGAAGUCAAAACAUCCACAAAAAUUAGAGGGGAAGAGAAAGUAAAUUUACCAAAUAAAGCCCAUGACACAUGUUGAGACUUCACCUUCAACCCAAGCUUGAAAAAAAAUUAGCCACUCAUAAUUGAACUAGGGGCAAAAUGGAAAUUUAUUAAAAUACGUAGAAAAUACAAGAUGGAGAAGGAAUUACAGAAAAUGGAUCCCAAAAAUGGAUUCAGAGAUAUCAAAUUAGGGGGGAGGCCCUCUUUUUAUAAAUACAUGGAGUAAAUCAUGGCUAUCGGAUUAAAAACAGUUUGGACGCUUAGGAUUGCGCCACGUCAUCAGUCAACAGUACGCGGUUUGACCAAGCGGAUGAACAGUAACACGGUUUGACCCGGGUUGAACAGUAACACGGUUUGACCCGGGUUGAACAGUGACGCGGUUUGGUUGAAAAUAAUUCUGUGUGAUGCAUGUACUGUACGCGAGAUUUUUGGUCCACUGAUAUACUGCCACGUUACCAUCAACAGUACAUAAGAAUUUUAGUCCAACAGGAUCGUGACACCUCAUCAGUCAAUGCCACAUCAUCGGUCAAUACCACAUCAUCGAUCUGUCUAUGUGAACAGUGUCGUGAACAGUAACGUAGACAGUACCGUACACGUAAAUAGUACCGUACAUGUGAACAGUACCAUUUUUCCUUUUAUGCUCCUCCUGAGGUUUUCGACCGUCCUGAGUUCAAAAGUGAUGUCCGUUUUGCCGUCUGAUCUCUCGUUUAUUGUAAAAUGACUAUGAUGCUCCUAAAAUAUAUAAAAUACUUAAUUAAAAUAAAUCACACAGAAUUAAAUCAAAAGAAGGUUAAAUACAUAAAAGUAAGGGUGUUAGUAAAACUUGAAGUGUAAAAUGACGAUUUUCUCCUUUAUAAAUAUACAUUUUCUAACACUCAACAAUUGCUCGGGCGAAGAAAUCUCAUGGAUAUUUUUCCCUUAUCCAUGAUGAAUAUCACAGCUGCAGAACAAAAUCAAAUAAUGAGAAUAUAUUACCAUAUAAAAACUGCCAAAAAAUUAAAAAUAAAAUUAUAACAGAUAGCAUAAAAUACUUCUUGUAUUAACCUUAGCAUAUAUCAUUUUGAGAAGGACUCAACAGACUGCACAUGCAAAUAAACACAGAAACCAUAUUCAAGGUCUAAUCCAAAUUCCCUCCUUGUUGUCUCAUGUGUACAUUGCAACAUCAUCAUCAAUAGAGUUUAUGUUAUCAGCAUUUGGAAAUUUAGUGGUCAACAAAGGGUAUUCCACUACAUCUUCACUUGUUUGUGUGGGUUUACCUCUUCUAGGCAUUUGGCAUACAAUUGACCACUUCUUAUCAAGCUGAUCAGGUACAUAAAAAACUUGGUUGGCUUGCGAAGCUAAAAUAAAUGGAUCAGAUUUAUGACCCAUUCGUUGCAAGUCUGCCAAAGUAAAUCCGAGUCUAUCCUUCAUAACUCCACUUCUGGUAUGUACCCAGUCACACUUCGUUAUUGGAAUUCUAAAGAUAACAUAAUCUAGAUCCCAAAUCUCUCUAAUCACUCCAUAGUAUGUGAUGUUAGAAGUGACAUGAUUUUUAUCUUUUGAACUUGCGACUGAAAUUGUUUGUGCAACUAAUGACACUCCACUAUUUUGAGUAACUCUAUUUAAGUCUCAAUCUCUUGUAACAAAGUGAAAACCAUUUGUCAUAACCAGGAUGUUAGAAAACAUAAGGACGAGGCCCUUGGGAUAACCAACAUAAUGUUUGAGUAACAUCUUGACCGUUUUCUAUCAGCACAUUUACCUAUUAUUAAUCGACAGGAAUAUAAUGUUAAACAAGCACAAGCCGAAAAUGGGCAUGCUUUCCAUGUAUUCUGCGCAAAAUUCUAAUGCUUCCUCGAUAAUAUAACUCUCCGCUACGCAACCCUCAGGACACUUACUGUUUCGAACAUAACCUUUUAGAGUUUUCAUGUAUCGCUCAAAAGGAUACAUCCAUCGAAGAUAUACGGGGCCACAUUGUCUAACUUCACUCACUAAGUGAAUAGUAAGAUAGACCAUUAUGUCAAAAAAAGAACGGGGAAAACAUUUUUCAAGCAAGCACAAAGCCUCUACAAGGUUUUUCUCCAAUUCAUCUAGCGUUCUCACAUCAAUCACAGUUGCACACAACGAAUUAAAGAAGAAACAGAACCUGAUGAUAACUUCUUUGACAUGUUUGGGCAGCACACACCUUACGACAAUUGGCAAAAGUUGUUGCAUAAGAACAUGACAGUCAUGGAACUUAAGACCCUGGAGUUUAAAGUCUUUUUUUGACAUAAGAUUCCUAAUAUUUGAAGAUUAUCCAGUAGGAACCUUGAUACUUUUCAAAGGUGCACAAAAUCUUGUUUCUUCAUCCUUAGUUAAGGUGUGGCAAGCCGGAGGAAGCCAUGUAUGAUUGUUGUUUUCUUUAACUUGUGGUGCUAAUUUGGGCCUAAUUUUUAUUUCCAAAACAUCCAUCCUUGACUUCAGUCGAUCUUUGGACUUUCCAAGAAUAUGCAGCAGUAUACCGUAAAUGUUCUAACGCACAUUCUUUUCAAUGUGCAUAACAUCUAAUUGAUGCCGCACAAGCAAUUGCUUCUAACACUCUAAAUUAUAAAAUAUAGAUUUCUUUUUCCACCACACGAGAUCAUCAUUGUUCUCACUUUUGCGCUUUUUAUUAUUGCUUUUCCCUCCAUCUAUUAUCAAUAGAGUCGACCAGCUGGAAAAUUUCCUCCCCGUUUAACAGUUUUGGAAAGGUUUCAUCACACACACUAUUGUUAAAGGCUUUUGCUUCGAACCAAAAUUCAUGACCAUGGGGAAGCUAAAGCUGAUGCCCAAUGUAUACAUUUUUUCCAUUGUGUUUAAGUCUACAUUUUGGUGUUUCUACAUCAUAAUAUGCUAAAUUUCCGUAUGCCGGGAAGUCAUUUAUUGUCCAUAGUAAUACAACCCGCAAAUUAAAGUACUCAUUUUCGUAGGCAUCAUAUGCCUCCACCCCAACUUCCCAUAAAGUUUGCAAAUCCUCAAUAAGAGGUUGCAAAUACACAUCAAUGUCAUUACCUGGUUGUUGAGGACCAGAAAUCAAGAGGGACAACAUCAUUAAUUUUCAUUUCACCCACAACCAUGGUGGAAGAUUAUAAGUAAUAAGAAUUAUUGGCCAGCAGCUAUAUGUACUGCUAAGAGAGCUAUGUGGAUUGAUUCCAUCAGCUGAUAGAGCUAGGCGAAGGUUUCUAGGAUCGGAUGCAAAGAUUGGUCAUUUCUCAUCUACUAACUUCCAAGAUGGUGACUCAGCUGGAUGUCGGAGUUUACCAUCAACCAUCCUCUCAUUUGCAUGCCAAGUCAAGUCCCUAGCAGUUUCUGAUGUCAGACAUGCGUUUAAACCUAGGUAUAGGAGGAAAAUACCAUAAAACUUUUGUAGGAACCUCUUUCCUAUGUUGGUCUACAGUACCAUCUUUUUUCUUCCAUCUACAUAACCAACAAGUAGGACAUUCAAAAAGACCUUUAUACUCUUUUUUGUAGAAUAUGCAAUCAUUUGGGCAAGCAUGAAUUUUAACAUAUUCUAAGCCCAAAGCUGACAUUGUCUUUUUAGCCUUAUACAUAGACAUUGGAAUUUCAUUAUUUUCAGGGAAAGCAUCUGCUAAAACACUCAAUAAUGCAGAAAAACUACUGUUAGACCACCCAAAUCUACCCUUCACAUUGAACAAUUUCACUAAAAAUGAUAACUUAGUAAAUUUUGUGCAUCCUAGGUAUAAGGGCUUUUCAACUUUUUUUACCAAUUCUUUAAAUGCCUUAAGGUCCCCACAACAACCCUUAUAAGCAUCAUUAACCAUUUCUAACCCAUUACCAUUGUCAAACUCUAUAUUUUGUUGCUGAAAAUGGUUUUCUCUUUGAGGAGAAGGACUCUUACGAAUCUCUUCCCCGUGCCAAAACCAAUUGUCAUAUUUCACAUCAAAACUAUGCAUAUAUAAAUGAUCUUUUACAGUUGUAGGUGUUUCAAAUGAUAAAUUCCCACAAUCAAGACAUGGACACCUAAUGACACUACUAUCUCCAGCACUUUUUAUAGCAAAAUUUAUAAAUUUCUCGACACCCUCUUCAUAUUCUAUCGACAGUCGAUUACAUUGAAUCCAAGAUUUAUCUAUUUCAGGCUUAACAAUUAAUGUUCUUGACAUAUACAUAAAACAAAGAAAGAAUGUAUAUACUUAGAAUAUUUGUCUAAUGUUACAACACCAUGUGAAAUAAACAAAGUUAAACCUACAUGAGGCCAGUCAAAUUAAACACAAUUUGACCUAUAUAGUUUUCUCUUUUAUAUUAAAGAAACAAUAUACUUUACAGAAAAGUAUAGUCUGUUGGGAAAUAUCAGUUUUUUUUAUUUAUAAAAAACUUUUAAGAUCGCUCUCAUACAAUAUAUAAGAAUUUGUAAUCUAGAAAUCAUACCUUGAAAAUCCGAUUUAGCUUUUUCCGCUGAAGUGAUUUAGGCUCUUAGAUCACGAUCCGUCACCACCACGCCUGUUAGAUCACGAUCCGUCACCACCACGCUUGUUAGAUCACGAACUGUCACCAAUGAUCUUCCAGGUUAUGACUCAGGUUUGAUCUGCACUUGACGUGUGGGCGCCUUUAUCACUACCAAAGCAAGUAGCACGAGAAAAGUUUUCUCUCAACAAUAGAGAGAAAAAGAUUUUUCUCUGAUUUGUAUAAAGUGGCUGCUCUCUUAUCUUUUGGGAGAAAAUAAGCCUUUUUUAUAUUUCUAUCUAGUGGAAACCCUAGGCACCAUUUUUUAUAUUAUUUUAUUCUAUUAAAUCAAGUUUGAUUUAAAUUAAAAAUAAUAAACCAAAAGUAACGUUACUUCUUUCUUAUCAUAAGGGCCCACCUUGUAAAAUAACACAAGACCCCUUAGACACAAGUACAUUACAUGGAGCCUCCCACUAAAUAAUAUAUUUAGGCUUUUAACCAAAAUAGCUAAUUAUCUUGCUUAUUAAUCUAGUAGUGGCACAGUCAAUUAAAUGAACUAACCCGGGGAUCAUUUGGGAACAUACAAUAGUGGCUACAAUAAUUAGGUCUGUAAUUAAAUUAGCCAAAUUAUUUAAUUCCAAAUCUACUCCACUAAAAGAUUGGAACUGACCUCCAUAAUUGUAUGCUCGAAUAAUAAUUCGUCCCAAGCCACAUUGAUUUCUUUAUUUCACAAUCCUUUGUACCACAUCAUUAAUUAAAUCGAUAUCUCAACUGUCCAAUUAAUUUAAUUACAUAUUGUUCCUUGAUUCUUACUGGUUUUCUCUAAUGAUCAUUUUCAACAUACUAAAUAUGUUGACACACUUUGGCAAGAGAAUUCUAUGAUCAAGUGCCGAAAACCUAUAAAGAGAUGUGUUGUACAAAUUCUAUAUUGUCAAUCUAUAACUCCAAUAAUCAUUAUUGCUCCCACCAAGAUACCGGGUAAUCUUAACUACAAGUAUAUGUCGUGCCCAUUGGUAAUUCAAAUGGAAUAACAAUUAGAAUCAUGAAAUCAUAAUUAAAUCAAGAUUAAGAUUAUAGUAAAACCAAUGCCUAUGAGAUUUAAUAAGCCUGACAGUCAUUUCAAGGUUAAUUAAAUCUCAUAUGUGAUCCAGCUCAAUGUAGUCAAAUUACAUCAGUAAAUUCAUACAUGAUUAAGACAAAUCAUUCAAUGAAUUUACUACAGUCUAAACAUAAAUAGAGCGUCCAACUCUAUUUAUCAACUGCGAACUAAAUUUAUUUAAUCAUAAGAUAACUUGUAUUUAUGUCUUCUGUGAAUCCAUAUGAUUAUCAUAUAAAUACAUAUAAUAUGAUUAAACGGACCUUAUUCAAUAUAUAUUUAUGCAAUUGAAAAUAUCUCAAAUAUUUUAUUAACCAAAAAAUAAAUUAAUAUGCUUUAAAAGAGCAUAUAAUCCCAACAAUCUCCCACUAGCUCUUAAAGCAUAUCUGGCAUAUUGCACAUGCUUUAGGGCUCUAAGUGCAGGUUAUAAAGGUUUCCCACUAGUGGCCAUUUUGAUAAGAUCUGCCAUUUAGCAUCUAAUGCCAUUUGGGGUACUGUCAUAUAACCUUUCUACACUAUUCCCUUAUAAGAUGAUACUUCCUUUCAAUGUGUUUUGUUUCUUGUGGUUCUUGGUUCCUUAGUUCCUUAGAUUGAGCUACCGUACCACUAUAAUCACAAAAUAGUUUAAGGGGUGCAGUUACAACAGGUACCGCCUCAAGAUUUUGUAGGAACUUACGGAGCCAUAUAGCUUCUUUUGCAACUUCAGAUGUAGCCACAUAUUCAGCUUCAGUUGUUGAGUCUGGGAUACAAGAUUAUUUCACACUCAUCCAACUAAUAGCUCCACUUUCUAAUGUAAACACAUAACCGAAAGUUGAUUUUCUAGAAUUCUUAUCUGACAAAAAGUCAGAAUUAGUAUAACUCACUGGAAUAACUUCAUCACCAGAAUACACAAGCAUAUAAUUUUUAGUUCUUUUCAGAUACUUUAUAAAAUGCUUGAUUGUAGUCCAGUGUUCAGGUCCAAGAUUAGAUUGAUAUCUGCUAACCAUCCCUAUUGCAAAACAGACAUCUGGCCUAUUGCAAAGCAUGAUAUACAUGAGACUUCCCACAGCUUCUGCAUAGGGAACUCAUCUCAUUUUCUCUAUCUUUUCAGAUGUUUUAGGUGAUUGAUCCUUAGAGAAUGCAAUUCCAUGUCUGAAUGGUAAUAAACUAAUCUUGGAAUUUUCCAUGCUAAAUCUAGCCAAUAUCUUAUCGAUAUAGACUGCUUGAGACAAGGCUAAAGUUUUAUUCUUUCGGUCUCGUAGUAACUUGAUACCAAAAAUAUAACUUGCCUCUCCCAGGUCUUUCAUACCAAAUUAUUUUGCUAACCAACUCUUUAAUGUAGUCAAUACUCCUAUAUCAUUUCUAAUUAGGAGAAUAUCGUCUACAUAAAGAACUAGGAAUGCUACAAAUUUUCCCUGAAUUUUCUUAUGCACGCAUGGUUCAUCAAUGUUCUGAAUGAAUCCAAGCGAUUUAAUCGCUUAUUCAAAUCUGAUGUUCUAUGACCGAGAUGCUUGCUUUAAUCCAUAAAUGGAUCUCUACAACUUACAUACCAUGUGUUCUUGGCCUUUUUGUACGAAUCUAUCUAGUUGCUGCAUGUAGAUGUCUUCUUCAAAAUGCCUGUUAAGAAAGGCUAUCUUGACAUCCAUUUGCCAAAUUUCAUAAUCUAGCACUACAGUAAUGGAGAGCAGAAUCCUGAUGGAUUUAAGCAUAGCAACUGCAGAAAAUGGUUCCUCAUAAUCAAUUCCCUCUUUCUGAGUAAACCCUUUGGCUACUAAUCUUUCAUUAAAUAUUUCCAUCCUUCAAUCUACUCCUCUUUUUCUCUUGUAGAUUCACUUGCACCUUAUAGGUUUUACCCCAUUUGGUGCCUCUACAAGUUUCCAGACUUUAUUGGAAUACAUAGAUUCCAGUUCUUGAUUCAUGACCUUUUUCCAAAAUUCAACAUCUCUAUCUAUUAGAGCUUCGUUGUAGCUCAUUGGAUCUUGUACAUGUUCAUCUGAGAUCGCCGUAUGGGUUUCUCCCAAUAACAUAUAUCUUGUUGGUAACCUAGUUACCCUCCCACUACGACGAGGUUCUAAAAGUGAUGGUUGUUCAAGGAUAAUCCUGUGCUAAGCAACUGGUUGUUGCUGUUCUUCCUGUUCUAUAACAGGUGUCGAAAGCUGAGCAUCAACCUGAUCUCUUUUAUUUCUUUUGUUUUACCUUACUCUUAGGUUAUAAGUCAUUAUAUAGUCUUUAUCAAAGAAAGUAAAGAAUAUGUCUAUAAAUACAUUCCUAUCUUGAGAACUAUAAUUCAGACUUUCCCUUAUUCCUUUAAGAUACCUAAAACAUGCAAGCUUCUGAACACGAAUCCACCUUCUCUACCUCUGAUUCUAGUACAAAUACUAGUAAACUCCAAAUUUGAAUGUGUCUCAAACUAUGUUUGUAACUUUUUCAUAAUUUCUUGGAGUAAUAGACACCAAGAUAGACGAAACUAAGUUCAACAAACUUUACAGUUUUAAAUACUAAUAUCUGGAAUAAAAAAGGUAAAUGAUAAACCACUUAGUAUAUGUCUUAUCUUAUCCAAAAGAAUCUUGUUUCUCCAUUUAAUUACACUAUUGUAUCAUAGUGUUCUUUAACAACCAAAUAGAGCUUGAAUUGCUCUCUCUACUUCUCUUAAAUUGGGAUGCAUUCAAAUGAACAAAUGGCUUGGUAUUUAUAGCUAAAGAUCAUGCGUGCAUUUAUCUUUUGUUCCCAAAAGUCUUUAAAAAAUGGCAACCAAAAUCAUCAAUUUUGAAAAAAUGAAUUGCCUUAUAGAAAACCAUCACAUUUUUCUCCAUGCAACUUCAAAAAAAAAUCGUGCAUCCAACUUUGCCUUUUGAAAUUGGCAAACCAUUAUUUGACCUUUCAACAAUUCUCCACCUCAGUGAAGAUUUAGUAAAUCUAAAUUGAUUAUCAAUAAAUCAACCUCCAGUCUCUGCCUUCUCCGACUACUUUUAAACUUGUAGAAUAUUGAUCAAGUUUAGACAAUGCUCAAACUUGAUCGUCAUCACUACCUUUGGUCAACAAUCUGCAGGAUUCUCUGCAGUCUUGAUUUUUUGAAGAAAAAUCUUUCCCUCAUCAAUAAUUUCCCGCACAAAGUGAAAUCGUACAUCAAUAUGCUUUGUAUGUGCAUGAUAAACUUGGUUUUUUGUUAAGCAAAUACCACUUUGACAGUUGCAAUGCACAUUAAUGUGCUCUUGUACUAAUCCCAAAUUUUCAAGCAAGCCUUGUAACCGAAUAGCCUCUUUAACAGCCUUUGUAAUCGCCAUGUACUCUGCUUUUGUGGUCUAGUGCAACUGUAGACUGUAGUGUAGACUUCUAACUGAUUAGCCCUCCAGCAAAAGUAAAUACAUAUUCGGUGGUUGACCGUCGUUUGUCUAAAUCACCGGCAUAAUCAGAAUCGACGUAUCCGAUCACAUUUGGACCAAGUGUAUCAUCUCGCUCAAAUAGUAAACUAACAUCCAUGGUCUUCUGAAUGUACCGUAGAAUCCAUUUCACAGCUUGCCAAUGUCUUUUAUCAGGUUUAUGCAUAUACAUGUUCACUAUACCAACUGCAUGUGAAAUGUCAAGCCUUGUACACACCAUUACAUACAUCAAGCUACCCACUGCAUUUGAAUAUGGAACUUGUAACAUGUAUUCUCGUUCCGCAUCUGUUGAAGGAGAUAAUUGUGCAGAAAGCUUGAAAUGAGAAGCCAACGGGGUACUCACAUGUUUUAUCUACUUUAUCAUGCUAAACUGCUGCAGUACCUUCUUCAAAUAUUGCUUAUGAGAUAAGCUUACUUUGCCACAAGCUCUAUCUCUGCAUAUCUCCAUGCCAAGAAUCUUCUUAGCUUCACCCAGAUCUUUCAUCUCAAACUCUUGAUUGAGUUGAGUCUUCAACUUCUCAAUCUCAUUUUUGCUCUUCGAUGCUAUUAGCAUAUUAUCAACAUACAAUAGAAAAUAUGAAAGAUUUUUCUUGUAGCCUGCGAAAAUACACAUAAUGAUCAAAUUUAUUUCUUGUGUACCUUUACCUUUUCAUAAAUUGAUCAAAUCGCUUGUACUACUGUCUCGAAGAUUGUUUUAAUCCAUAAAGUGACUUUGUCAGUUUGCAAACCUAAUUUUCUUUUCCAGCAACUUUGAAUCCAUCUGGUUGAGUCAUGUAGAUUUCCUCUUCUAAAUUACCGUGUAAAAAUAUGCAGUUUUUACAUUAAGUUGAAUUAGUUCAAGAUCAAAUUGCGCAACCAUGGCUAGUAAAAUUCGAAUAGACAAGUGUUUCACAAUUGGAGAAAAUACCUCAUUGUAGUCUAUUCCUUCCUUCUAAGCGUAACUCUUCGCUACCAAUCUAGCCUUGUAUCAAAUUUCAUUUUUACAAGAAAAUCCUUCCUUUUUUGCAUAUACCCAUUUGCACCCAAUUGCCUUAUUUUCCUUGGGCAGUGUAACUAACUCCCAAGUUUCAUUUUUGUGGAGAGAUUGCAUUUCUUCGCUCAAUAUUUCUUCCACUAUAUGCUUUCUCGGUUACUUACUACUUCUUUGUAAGUGGAAAGAACAUCAUCAUCUACAAUUGGAAGUGCAUAGGCCACCAUAUCAACAAAGCGAGCAGUUUUGCAAAUCUCUCGGCGUGGCCUUCUAUAUGCAAUUUAGUCUUGUUGCUGUGAAGGUUCCUGGGUCAGAAUCUCUUCAUCAUCUUCGAUUGAUGGAGAAUCACUAUUCGUUUCAUCAACACCAGCUGGAUCAGAUUUAACUUUUUCAAACUCCACCUGCUGCAAAGUGCUAUUGGUCUUGUCAUCCUCUUGAGAAUCUUUCUGUUUCAAUAUGGCUGAUUCAUCAAAAGUUACAUCUUUGCUGAAAAUAAUCUUCUUCGUAAUAAGACACCAGAGACGGUAUUCUUUUACUUCACCAGUUAUACCCAUGAAUAGUGCUUUCUUUGCUCUUGGGUCUAACUUAGAUUCCUUUACAUGAUAAUAAGCGGUUGAACUAAAAACAUGUAAAGAAUUAUAAUCAGUAGCGGAAUUACCAGUCCACAUCUCUAUGGGUGUUUUGCCCGCAAUUACAGCUGAUGGCAAACGAUUGAUCAGAUGGCAAACAUAUACAGCUGCCUCAGCCCAAAACUCUUUGCCCAAUCCAGUAUUGGACAACAUACACCGAACUUGCUCUAGUAUACUUCGGUACAUGCGUUCUACCACCCCAUUCUACUGUGGUGUAUCUCGAACAGUGAAGUGUUGUACAAUACCCUCAUAUUGGCAUAUUUGAAGAAAUUAAUCAUUUUUUUACUCACAACCAUUAUCUGAGCGAAGUCUUUUGACAUUUCGACUAGUCUGAGUCUCGACCAUUUUCUUUUGUUUCAGAAAUAUGCCCAAAACUUCAUUCUUAUUCUUCAUCAAAUAAACUUACACUUUUCUUGAAUAAUCAUCAACAAAAGCAACAAAAUAGUGCAUACCUCCGAAAGAAGCUGUUUUGGUAGGUCCCCACACAUCAUUGUGAACACAGUCUAGAAUUCCUUUUGUAUCGUGAAUUACUGAACCAAACUUUACCCUUGUCUGCUUGCCUAGAACACAAUGGUCACAGAAUUCUAAUUUGCAAGAAUUUGCACAUUUCAAUAAGCCUUGCUUCACCAAAGUCUGCAAAGCAUUUUCACUAGCAUGUCCCGAACGCAUACACCACAACUUGGUUGCUUCUGAAUCUGCAUCUUUUCCAAAAACUAUUGAUGUUGAUCCAAUAAUUGUACUUCCUUGGAAAUAGUACAAGUUAUUUUUUCUUGUACCUUUAAUCACCGUUAGCGCUCCAACUACUACCUUCAACAAUCCAUCUCUCAAAGUGAUUGUGAGCUCUUUAGAUUCUAGGACUCCUAAUGAGAUGAGAUUUUUCUUCAAGGUUGGUAUACAACAAACAUCCGUUAAGACUUGGAUUGAGCUAUCAUUAUCUUUAAUUGGAUUGUACCUAUUCCCAUGGUUUUACAAGCAUUGUCAUUGCCCAUAAAAACAACUCCACCAUCUAGUUACUUAAAGUUAGAAAACUAGCCCUUGUUAGGAAACAUUUGAUAAGUACAACCCGAAUCCAAAAUCCACUUAUCUGAGUGACAUAUCAACGUCCUGCCAACUAGACUAAAGUCUGACUCUUCAUCAUGCUCUACUACACAUGCAUCGGAAGUAGCCUUGACCUUUUGUAACUUAGGACAAUUCUUUUUCCAAUACCCUUUCUCGUGAUAAAAAGCACAUUCAUCUUUAGCAGGUCUCCCUUUAGACUUACUUUUUUUUCCAGGUUUGCGGCUUUGCGAAUGACCUCGUGCUGUUAAUGCUUCUACAAUUGUAUCUCUGUGAUCAUUUUUGUCUUUCGUUCUGGUCUCAGAGUUGUACAACGCAUUGCAUACAACAUCGAAUGUGACAUUGUCCUUCCCAUGAAGUAAAGUAGUUUUGAGAUGAUCAUAUUCAUUAGGAAGGGAAUUCAACAACAACAGUGCCUUAUCUUCAUCUUCAAAUUUCUCAUCCAAAUUUAAAAAAUCUGCCAAUAUUUCGUUGAAUGAAUUUACAUGGCCAUUCUUCGACAUGCCAGAUGUGUACGUGAAUUGAUAUAGUUUCUUCUUCAUAUAAAGCAUAUUUUCAAGGUUUUUCUUCAUAUAUUUUUCUUCUAGUGUCUCCCACAAUUUCUUUGCCGAUAUCUCCCUUAUGACAGAGUAUUUUUUAUCUUUAGCCAAACAUAGGCGAAUAGUACCACAUGUCUGUCUAUUGAUCUUUAUCCAUUCCUUGUGAUCCAUCAUGUUAGGUUUUUCUUCAAGAGCAACGUCCAACUCUUGCUGACAUAAGACAUCCAACACCUCACAUUGCCACCUACCAAAUUAUUGGUACCAUCAAAUUUCUCCAUUUCAAACUUUGUAUUAGUCACAGUAGUCCUCGCUGAUGAAGACGACGACGAUGCCUCUGCCAUCCUCUUUAUCUUAAAUGAUCAGUUUCUUCAACAACUAUUUACACUUGAAUAAUAGCCUCUGUGAUGUUUAUUUCACGUGAAUAAAUGCAUUAGGAAAGUUCCCAGGAGAAUGGAGGGGUCACAACAGUCCCACUUAAAACCCAGACUCCUUAGGCUCUUAUCGCCUUGUUAAUAGAACUUUCCUAAACAUGGAAAAAUACAUACUACUUACAAUAGACUGUCUCCCAAGUAUAAAUGAUCGUCUCUAUCGUAUCAAUGAACAGUACCAUAUACGUGAACAGUACCAUAUACGUGAACAAUACCAUAUCUGCGAACAAUUCUGUAUACGUAAAUAGUGUCGUAUACGUGAAUAGUAAUGUUUACCCCAAGCACAAACCUUAUCCUCUAAUAUCAAUUGUUACGGAAGCGCGAGGUUGAGCAAUUACCAAUAUUAAGAUGACAGUAACUUUUGGAGAAAUAUAAAUGUGACAAACAAAUGCAAAGAAAAUAGGACACAAUAAUUUACGUGGUUCGGCGUAAUGCUUACGCCACGGGCAAAGACUGGAAGAUAAUUUUACUAAUAAUGAGUAGGAGUGGGCAAAAAAUGUUGAUUAAUCCAAAAACCAAACCGAACGGUUCGGUUCGAUUUUUAUGUGGUUUUUUUACAUCCAAAAAAUCGAAGGAGAAAUAUAAUAAAAAUAGUAAAACCAUUCGGUUUGGUUUUCGAUUUAAAAAAAAACUGAAAAACCGAACCGGAAUUCAAACAAACCGAAUGUCAAAUAACAAUCCCUAAAGUCUAAACUAAACACUUCUUCUGAUCUUCAGCCGCUGGAAUCUCAUCCCCGCUGCUCGUUGCCGCCGCUGCAAUCUCGUCGUCGCCACUGCUCGUCAGUCGUCACCGCUGCUCGUCAGUCGUCACCGCUGCUCGUCCUUCACGAAUAUGAUUUGCCGCUGCUGCUCGUCGCUGAGUCUCCACAGCCGCUACCACCUGUUGCAGUCCCUGUCAUCUGCUGCUGCUGCCACUGUCAUAAAAAACUCUUUGCUGAACAAAAAAUCGAACAAAAAAUGUUCCAUUUUUUAUUUCUUUCUUGAUGAUUGUAAUCCAUGUCGUUUUUCUUGUUUUAUGUUGAUGAUUAAAGUUGUGUGUGUAUAUAUAUAUGCUGAUGAUUGAAGUUGUGUGUGUAUAUAUAGAGAGUCCAAUUAGUCCGGGUUUAAUGGCCAAUGAUGGAGUUUUAGGGCACACGAUCCUUUUUUUUUUUUGAUGAUUUAAGAGCAAAUUAUGCUCAAUGUGUUUUAAGAAAUUUAAGUUGUAAAUCAAUUCGUGUUGACAUUGCUUACGUUGAGAAUCACUAUUGUAAAGUGUAAAUUAUUGGCAUUCUUCUGAAAUUGCAGUGGAAAUCACAUUGAGCUUGCCAACAGUUUCAAUGUUUUGGUUUUCAUUUAUCAACAGUGAGAUGGGUCAGAGCUCGAGUAAAGGACUUAUAUUAAACAUCUAAAUAUUUUGUUCAAGUUAAUUUCCAUUCAAAUUCUAGAUAAAACUUCAAAAAUUAUUUCCUGUUACUAGUUAUAGCUGCAGGCAUGAACAUGUUAGUGAAACUCAAUUUGCAGACUCUAGACAUUAAGCAGAUACUCAAUGACAUUAAGAAACUACUCAAGUAUUAAUUAUCAUAAAUGAAACAAUUAUAAAAGAAUCCCGCAACAUUUUGAAAGCUUGAAAUCGAAAAGGAAAUGAAAUAAGAAUGACCAAAUAAAUACAGGAGCCUGGAUAGAACUAUAGGUGAAAAAGAUAAAACAAAAGAGAAACCUAUACAAUUUAAUUGUAUUCGACAAGCUAGUGGGUGCCAAUCCAGAAGAGAUAAGGAAAAGGAUUGAUAGUUUUGUUCAAUCCAUUCGUGUAUAUGUAUCCUAGUAACAUCAGAUUGCCUUGUGGUUUUUGUACAUAGCUUGAACCUGUGAAAUAUGUGGUUGUGCUUCAGUGCUUCUGUUUUGCAUUAAACAUGUUUGUUAAGUUGUUUGAUUCUGGCUUUCAAGCAUUUCAAUUACAAUCUGGAAUUAUGUAAUGAACCUGCUUUUGUUUUCAUGUUUUACCCUACCCUGAUUUUUUAUUUGUUGCUGCUGAGUGCUGAUUUUUUAUUUGCCACAAUUUUGUACGAAUGAUUUUAUCUUCUUUUGUUCUAAUAUGUCUAUGUUAUUGCAUGUGUUUGUGUAGAACGGAAAAUUAUGAUGAGGAGGAAGUGCAAGAGGUGGAGGUUGAUGAUGGGAAAAAAAGAAAAAUACCUUUGAGAUAAAAUGUUUGGGCUCAUUUUACCAAAGUACCUUGUGGAAACAAAGGAAAAUGUCAUCAUUGCCGUGAAACCUUUGCAGCUAAUAGAGGAAAUACCACUAAUUUGAAGAAUCAUUUGGAUAGAUGUAAGUCAUAUCAAGAUGAGAAGGUUGAAGGGGAUUCGAAGCAAUAAGUACUUUUCCGUCAAAAGGGAAAAGAUAAAGAUGAUGGAGUUGUUAAAGCUAGUGGCGGGUUUAGUCAAGAGGCUUGUAGAAUGGCACUUGUGAAGAUGAUUGUCAAGGAUGAAUUACCUUUUAGCUUGGUGGAGGUCGAAGGGUUUUUAGAGUUUAUGCAAACUUGUUGUCCAAGAUUUGAUGUGCCAUCGCGAAGAACAAUUACAAGGGAUAUUCUUGAAUUGUAUUAGCAUGAAAAAGGGUUGUUAAAAAGUGUUUUGGGUGCAAGCAAGCAGAGGGUGUGUAUUACCACAGAUACGUGGACAUUAAUUCAAAUGCCUAACUACAUGGUCAUUACUACUCAUUUUAUUGAUGCAGAGUGGGUGUUGCACAAAAGGAUUCUUAGUUUCACACUUAUAGCUAAUCAUCAAGGAGAUGGUAUUAGGAAGCUAAUUGAGGCAUGUUUGAUUGAUUGGGGGAUUGAGAGGUUGUUCACAAUUACAGUGGACAAUACAAGUGUCAAUAAAGUUGCAAUAACUUAUGUGAAGAAGAAGUUAGCAAAUUGGAGUGUGAAUUCAAUGGUUUUGAAUGGUUUAUAUAUGCAUGUGAGGUGUUCGGCACACAUAAUAAAUUUGAUUGUGCAAUAUGGGUUUGAGGAGGUGAAUCAUUCAAUAGCUAGUAUUCACAAUGUAGUAAAGUACGUUAGAUCCUCUCCAGCAAGAUUGCAAAAGUUUAAAAUAUGUGUUGAUAGGGAGAAAAUCUCAUAUGGAGCGCUUAUGGUGUUGGAUGUGCCUACUAGAUGGAAUUCAACAUAUUUGAUGUUGCACAAAGCGGUUGUGUUUGAAAAAACAUUUGAUAUGAUGAAGGAAGAUGAUGGACAUUAUGUUAAUUGGUUUGUUGAGGAUAAGGGUGAAAAGAAGAGGGAGAGGCCACCGAGCGAUGACGAUUGGGCAAAUGCAAGGAGGUUAGUCAACUUUUUAUCGGUUUUUUAUUAUGUGACCUUGAAAUUUAGUAGCUCUCUUGAUGUCACUUCCAAUGAUUACUUAAAUGAAAUGGCAAAAGUUCUAAUUCAUUUGAAGUCACUUGCUACUUCUAGUGAUGAUUUGUUGAGGAAAACCGAAAAAAUGGAGCAAAAGUUUGCUAAAUAUUGGGGUGAUUCUUUUGAUUACGUUAACAUGUUAUUAUUUGUAGCAAAUGUGCUUGAUCCUAGAUGUAAAUUGGAGUUUGUUACAUUUUGUUUUAGUAGCAUGUAUGAAUCUAGGAAGGUUGAAGAAUUGAAAUCUAACAUUAAGGAGUUGUUGAUGAAGCUAUAUAAUAGCUAUAUUGGUGAGAGUGAAGUGAGGAAUAGUGGUGGUGUUUGUUUUGGUCAAAUCCAUGAUGGUAGUAGUGGUGGUGGUGGUGGUUGUUGAGUGUUAGAAAAUGUAUAUUUAUAUAGGAGAAAAUCAUCAUUUUACACUUCAAGUUUUACUAACACCCUUACUUUUAUAUAUUUAAGCUUCUUGUCAUUUAAAUAUGUGUGUUGUAUUACAAUUAAGUAUUUUAUGUAUCUUAGGGGCAUCAUAGUCAUUUCACAAUGAACGAGAGAUCAGACGGCAAAACGGACAUCACUUUUGAACUCAGGACGGUCGAAAACCUUAGAAGGAGCAUAAAAGGCAAAAUGACACUGUUCACAUGUACGGUACUAUUCACGACACUGUUUACGUAGACGGAUCGAUGACAUGGCAUUGAUCGAUGAUGUGACAUUGACUGAUGAGGUGUCACGAUCUUAUUGGAUUAAAAUUCUUAUGCAUUGUUGAUUGGUGACGUGGCAGUAUGUUAAUGGACCAAAAAUUACACGUACGGUACAUGCAUAUACACAAGAUUAUUUUCAACCAAACCGCGUUACUGUUCAAGCCGGGUCAAACCGUGUCACUGUUUAAACCACGUGGUCAAACCGCGUACUGUUGACUGAUGACGUGGCGCAAUCCUGAGCGUCCAAACUGUUUUUAAUCCGAUGGUCAUGAUUUACUCAAUGUAUCUAUAAAAGAGGGCCUCCCCCCUAAUUUGGCAUCUCUGAAUCUAUUUUUGGGCUCCAUUUUCUGUAAUUUCUUCUCCAUCUUGUAUUUUCUACGUAUUUUAAUAAAUUCCCAUUUUGCCCCUAGUUCAAUUAUGAGUAGAUAAUUUUUUUUCAAGCUUGGGUUGAAGGUGAAGUCUCAACAUGUGUCAUGGGCUUUAUUUGGUAAAUUUAUUUUCUUUUGCCCUCUAAUUUUUGUGGAUGAUUUGACUUUUCGUCGACAAAUAAUAAUAAUCUUGUCUAGAUAUCGCCCUGGUUUCACCGGCUCCCUAGUACAAGGUUAUUAUUAUUUGUCACGAUAAGCCCUUAGCACCAUAUUGAUUAGAGCAUGGUUCAUGAGGUGUGGAAACCCCUCUCAUGAUUUAAUUGGCAUUAAUAAGGAGUAUUUAGCUCAUCGUGCAUGUUGAUACGGAUCCAGAUACCCAAGUACGUCAUUUCAAUAGAUUUAUCUUCAAUUUAUUCUCGUCAUUUCAAUUCUAAUUUUAGAAUAAUCUAAGUCACUUUCACCAAAAAUCCAAACAUCCAUUUAGAAAAAUUAAUUCUACACACAAUUAGAAUCAACUUCCUCGUGAGAUCGACACUCGUCACCAUUGAUCUAUUCUACAAUAGAUUCGUGCACUUGCGAGUUCAAUAAACAAGUUUUUUUAAUCUUAUUAAUUUAAUUUUUAGUGAAUUUAUUUCACGAAUUUUUUUUAGUGUGUUUUUUAUAGAAAGGUUUUAACAGUGUAAUAAGGUUAGUAUUGUAAUUUCUCCUUCUUCUUUAUCUUUAUUUGUUUUGUUCCUAUUUAUUUUGUGUUCUUUGCAUGCAUGGUCGAAUGUCACUAUUACCUAAUCUUGAGCCUAUAGACCUUAAAUUAGAAAAAAUACUGUGCACACACAAACACGUUAAAAAUAAAAUGGAUUUGCAGCAAUAAGCACCACCACAGGAGAGGCCAUUUAAGGACUACCUCAGUCAUUUAGCUAAUUUGAACACAUCAUGCAUAAGAUACCCAAAUGUAGCUGCUAGGAGUUUUGAACUAAAACCUAGUGUGCUAAAUUAUCUCCCAACAUUCUAUGGCCUAGAAAAUGAGGACCCAUAUAAUCAUUUGAAUGAUUUUCAUGCUGUUUGUCAAACAUUUAAAUAUGAGAAUUUUUCAGAUGAUGAUGUUAAACUUAGACUAUUCCCAUUUUUUUUAAAGGAUAGAGCUCGUUCAUGGCUUAAUACAUUGCUUGCUAAUAGUAACAAAAUUUUUAAAUAAAUAUUUCCCAGUGCAUAAAACCAAUGCUAUUCGUAGGGAAUUUUCAAAGUUUACCCAGAGAGAAGACGAGCAGUUUUUCGAAACAUGGGAGCGAUUCAAUGGGCUACUCUUGAAGUGUCCACAUCAUGGGUACGAGAAAUGGCACCAAUGCUAAUACUUUUUGGAGGGAUUAUUGCCGAAUGUGCAAGAAUGUCUAAUGGCAACAAGUGGAGGAGAGCUAAUUUCAAAAAGUGCAUCAUAGAUUUGGGAAUUCUUCCAGCGACAAGAGGAUAAUUCCCAACAACGGAGUCGAUCACUCAGGAAUACUAAAAGAGUUAAAGGAGUGAAUGAGGUUCACAUUGGCGAGUCAACUUCGGGAAUCAAAGAAGUCAAGGAGAUGGUUGAAGGUCUUUCUCGACAAAUAGCAUCAUUAACGACUGCUAAAUCAAUAGAGCCACAUGACCAUAACUCAUACUCAAAUCAAGCCAAUGCCAUAGGUGUAAUGAGAAAACUAUCAAAUUACAACCCAUACUCCAACACAUAUAACUCUAGAUGGAGAGACCACCCUAAUUUUUCAUGGUCUCAAGGAUUCCAACAGAAUGGACCAGCAGCUCCAGCUCCACCAAUGCAACCAAUUCCUCAAAUUCCUCAAUCCUCUCAGCCCCCAUUUAGACCAUUCAAUCAGAACCAGAACUACUCUCAACCCAGACCAUGGGAGGAUUCACUCCAGAAUUUCAAGAAUAUUACUCACUCCACGAUCGAGCAACAGAACCACACCAUUGAUGAAAUAUGAAAUUAGAUGAGAGCAGGCUUCAACUCACAAGCCCAAUCAGUUUCAAGCCUCGAGAAGAUGGUGGGACAACUUGCUUCUUCAGUUCAGACCUUGGCAAUGACUGUUGAGAAAGGUAAAUUUCCAAGUCAACCAGUGCCUAAUCCUAAAGGAGUGCAUGAAGUAAGUACCAGUUCACCACAGUAGUAUGGAGAGGUCAAAGCAGUCAUGACCUUGCGAAAAAGAAAAGAAGUCGACAACAAGUGGAGAUGCCGGUGACAAAAGCAAAUCAAAUUGUACUUGUAAAUGCUGAGGACUCAUCACCGGAGGAGAAAGAAGAAACCAACCCACGAUAAUACGUUCCCAAAGCUCCAUUUCCUUAGAGGUUAGCUAAAGGAAAGAAAGAAAAGUCCACAGGUGAGAUUCUUGAAAUCUUCAAACAGGUAAGUGUUAACAUCCCUUUGUUUGAUGCUAUAAAACAAGUUCCAUUUUAUGCCAAGUUUCUUAAAGACCUUUGUACUAAAAAGAGAAACAUUCACGUUCAAAAGAAGGCAUUUUUAACAGAAAAUGUUAGUUCUAUACUCCAACACAAAAUUCCUCUAAAAUACAAAGACCCAGGCUCCCCCACUAUCUCAUGUAGUAUAGGGAACCACACAUUUGAGAAUGCUUUAUUGGAUUUAGGAGCAAGUGUAAAUCUAUUACCUUACUCAGUUUUCGUGAAACUUAGACUGGGAGAAUUACACCCAACUCCAGUGGUGUUACAGCUUGCAGAUCGGUCCACGAAAAUACCUCGUGGUAUUGUAGAGGACGUGCUUAUCCAGGUAGACAAAUUUUAUUUUCCUGUUGAUUUCAUUGUAAUUGACACUCAACCAAUACAGGAUUCAAGGAAGCAUAUUCCCAUUAUUCUAGGCCGACCUUUCUUGGCAACUGCGGAUGCUCACAUUUAAUGCAGGACUGGAAAUAUACAGUUGUCCUUCGGCAUCAUGACUAUGGAGCUGAACAUUUUCAACAUUGCCAAACAACCUCACAAUGCAGAUGAUGAAAUUGUUGAUGUGGAUUUAAUUGAAGCAUUAGUUGACGACACUUUUCUUUCAAACCUUAAUGAUGACCCUUUACAAACAUGCUUAACUCACUUUGAUUUGGAUUUUGAUAUUGACAGAUCAAUCGAUGAGGUCAACGCCCUACUUGACUCAGCACCAUCCAUGGACACUAAUAAAUGGAAGUCAAGAGUUGAACAACUAGCACCAUCAGAGAAGAAACUCAUCCCAUCAUCAGAAUCACCACCGAAACUCGAGCUCAAACCAUUACCCAACACAUUGGAAUAUGCGUUUUUGGGAGAAGAAAGUACUCUGCCGGUAAUCAUCUCAUUAUCCCUAUAUGAAGAACAAAAAGGUAAGUUGUUGGAUGUUUUAAAAGAGCGCAAAGAAGCAUUAGGAUGGACCAUAGCAGACAUAAAAGGUAUAAACCCAGUGGACUGCAUGCAUUACAUUCACCUUGAUGAAAAUGCUAUAACUAUUAGGGAAAUGCAACGUCGGUUAAAUCCUAACAUGAAAGAAGUUAUUAGAACUGAAGUCCUUAAGCUAUUAGAUGCAGGUAUCAUUUACCCCAUUUAUGAUAGUUCAUGGGUCAGUCCUGUACAAGUUGUCUCCAAAAAGUCAGGAAUCACAGUAGUUACUAAUAAUGAUAAUGAAUUGAUACCUACUAAAGUAACUACAGGAUGGCGUGUAUGCAUUGAUUAUAGAAAGUUGAAUUCUUUCACACAUAAAGACCAUUUUCCUUUACCAUUUAUCGAUCAAAUGCUUGAUAGAUUAGCGGGCCAUGAAUUUUAUUGCUUUCUAGAUGGCUACUCAGGAUACAAUCAGAUCCCCAUAGUACCAAAAGAUCAGGAGAAAACUACUUUCCUUGCCCCUUUGGCACAUUUACAUAUAGAAGGAUGCCAUUUGGAUUAUGUAAUGCACCUGCUACAUUUCAACGAUGCAUGUUAAGUAUUUUUUCUAAUAUGAUUAAACGAUUCCUUGAAGUUUUUAUGGAUGACUUUUCUAUUUUUGGUGACUCAUUUGAUCAAUGUUUACAUCAUUUAACACUAGUUCUGCAGAGAUGUAUCGAGAAGAACUUAGUCUUAAAUUGGGAGAAGUGUCAUUUUAUGGUAAAACAAGGUAUUGUUCUCGGUCACAUCAUUUCGAGCAAAUGUAUUAAGGUUGACAAAGCAAAGGUGGAUCUCAUUUCUAAUCUUCCUCCACCUAAAAUAGUCAGAGAAGUAAGAUCUUUCCUUAGGCAUGCCGGUUUUUAUAGACGUUUCAUUAAAGAUUUUAGUAAAGUUUCUAGACCCUUAUACAAUUUACUUGCUAAGGAUAUACCUUUUGUCUUUGAUGAUUCAUGUCUUGUGGCAUUUGAAAAAUUAAAGCAGUUGUUGACAUCAUCACCCAUCAUUCAGCCCCCAAAUUGGAGCAUCCAUUCGAGCUCAUGUGUGAUGCAUCUGAUUAUGCAGUAGGAGCAGUAUUAGGACAAAGAGUUGAUCGAAUUCCCCAUGUUAUUUACUAUGUUGGUAUGACAUUGAAUGAUGCAUAGUUGAACUAUUCAACUACUGAAAAAGAAAUGCUAGUAGUAGUGUUUGCAUUAGAAAAAUUUCAAUCUUAUCUCAUUGAUUGUAAAAUAAUUGUAUUCACAGAUCAUGCUACUCUUAAAUAUCUUCUCACAAAGAAAUAUGCAAAAGCUAGACUAAUUCGUUGGGUGUUACUUUUGCAGGAAUUCGACUUGGAAUUUAAAGAUAAGAAAGGCACAAAAAAUGUUGUGGCAAACCAUCUCUCUCGUCUCCAUUUUGACACAAUUAUAGAGCCAUUAAAAUUGAAUGAGUCAUUUCCAGAUGAACAAUUAAUGACUGUGGAAGUAUUACAUUGAUAUGCUGAUAUCGUUAAUUAUCUUGUUACAGGUCAACUUCCAGAGCAUUGGACCAAGCAAGACAAGGCUAAAUUUUUUACAGAAAUAAAGAAUUUCUUUUGGGAUGACCCUUAUUUGUGCAGAUCAAAUUGUUAGAAGAUGUGUUCCCAGAAAAUAAAAUUCAGAAUAUUCUUUCAUUCUGCUAUGAACAAGCUUGUGGAGGUCAUUUUAGUGAUAAAAAAACAGCAACUAAAGUUUUACAAUGUGGUUUUUAUUGGCCAACUAUAUUUUAAGAUGCUUACACUUUCUGUUCUUCAUAUGAUAGGUGUCAACGAAUGGGGAGCAUUAUACGAAGGAAUAUGAUCCCACUAAAUCCAAUUUUAGUGGUUGAGAUUUUUGAUGUAUGGGGUAUCGACUUCAUGGGACCAUUUUCCCCUUCUUUUGGCCAUCAAUACAUAUUGGUUGUUGUUGAUUACGUAUCAAAAUGGGUAGAAGCAAUUCCAUGCAGAACCAAUAAUCACAAGGUGGUGAUAGUAUUUUUGAAAAGCAACAUUGUUUCGCGCUUUGGAUUCCCUCGAACAAUAAUCAGUGAUGGUAGUGCCCACUUUUGUAACAAAGCAUUCAAAGCUCUUUUGACAAAGUAUUCCAUCACUCACAAAGUGGCGACCCUAUAUUAUCCACAAACCAGUGGCCAAGUUGAGAUCUCCAAUCGAGAAAUAAAGCACAUAUUAGAAAAGACGGUGAAGCCAGACAGAAAAGAUUGGUCAUUAAGACUUAAUGAUGCAUUAUGGGCAUAUAGAACGACUUUCAAGAUCCCGAUUGGGAUGUCACCCUACAGGCUAGUGUAUGUAAAAGCUUGCCACCUAUCUGUAGAACUCGAGCAUCGUGCAUAUUAGGCCAUCAAGAAAUUCAACUUUGACAUGCAGUAGGCCAGCUUAGAAAGAAUAUUACAGCUGGCAGAACUUGAAGAAAUUCGCAAUGAUGCAUACAAAAAUGCUAAGAUUCACAAGCAAUUAAUGAAAGUCUUUCACGACAAGCAAAUUAUGAGAAAAUCUUUCACUCCAGGUCAAAAAGUACUUUUAUUCAACUCUCGCUUGCACCUAAUCCCAGGUAAGUUACGCUCUCGAUGGUCUGGCCCCUUUAUUGUUCAUACUGUUUUUCCACAUGGGGAAAUUGAAAUUAAGGACCCAAAGAACGGUGUCACGUUUAAAGUUAACAGUCAAAGACUAAAGCCAUAUCUAGAGUACCAACCAUAUGGAGAGGACACCGAUAUAAAUUUGAGUGACCCACCAGAUUUGAAUUGAGUUUUUUUUUUCUUUCUUUUUAUUAUUCUUUUGCUAAUUGAAAUUAUUUUUGCAUAAGUGUGUUUGUUUAACCAUUAAGUUUUCUCUUAUCAUUGUUAAUCAUGAGUACCAUAGCCAAACAGUUCCUCCUGAACAUUCUUAAACCACUUCAACGUGUAAAAUCUCAUCUCAAAAGGCAGAUUCGAUUUUGUAAAACACAUCGUAUUUGGGCAUUGCAACCACCAGAGUUAGCAUCCUAUGUUGAGGAUUUAAAAAGCCAACUCAGAGACAUUAAGAGAAGUGUCUACAACAUCCAGUUGGAGCUUGAGGUAAAUUUAAUAAGAGGACGAUUUUAAUUUUCUUUGUGUGUUUUAAUUUGUUUUUCUAUUUGUGUGCUUUAGUUUGUUACCCCGGUGAACUGACGGAUAAUGGUACUCCGUGACAAUCAAGUCGGUUACUUCAGUUUCCCAUAAUAACUUAUAUUUUGAGGCGAAGGUAUGGACAGAAACGAGAUUCUAGCAAAGCUUCGCAAUCGAUUCCCUUCACUUCCUCAGAAUGCCCUCCUUACAAUCUAUAAAGCUCGGUCUGAAUGCAUGUGUUGGUUAUUUUUUAUAAGCAAUUACUACCAAUGCCAAUGUGCAAGUAUACACAACAAGUAAUAAAGUGAUAAUUAUUCAAGAUCGUCUCCAUAGGGAUUGAUGUUACUCGAAAUACUAAAGCAAUCACAAUAGUGCAAAUCAACUUAAGACCGAAACAAUCAAUUGUCAAGUAAUACCUAUCGUAAUUAAUGAUUGUGAGAGAUUUAAAUAAAACAAUACUGUAAUGAAAUAAACUAGGUUAAAUGUGUCUAAGAUUCAAUUGAGAUUAUAGUAGUUGAAUGAUCAAACUCUCUUUAUAGGGUGACUGUUGUUUAUCAAGUUAGCACCAGUUGUUACAACAACUAUUGCAACACUAGGCAAAAUAAAUCAGCAUCCUCAACUAUCGUAUAUUGGAAGUCUUAUACCUUUAAAUCUAUUAACAAUGACCAGUUGCUAAUAUAUUUAUGGUACGGCAUUAUAACCUUUAAUCUCUCCACCCUACAAGGUGAACACCUAUGUCUAGUGUGUCACAAAUCUUAACUUCAAGUAUUGCCCUUAUGGGAUUCAAGAUAACUUAAUCCAGGAAACUCGACUUAAGAUCAAGUAGUACUCUAAUAAUAUCCGCUAAGACAUGCCCUUUUGCUGCUCUAUCUUAACUGAAGCUAUUAAAUGGGUGGUCAACUGAAAUAACAGUUAUAUUCAUAAAAACUAGUAGAAUAAAAUGCUACAGCAAGGCUAUAACAACAUAUAAGAAUAGUCAAAACCCAUUGGAUUAUUUGUCACUCAACUACAAGUAAAUUUAGUUCAUAUUAUGAAUGAGAAAAAUAAACAUAAAUAUAUGAAUCACGGGAUACAUCAAAACAAUUAAAGGAAGAAGAGAAAUAUAAGUUGAGCACGGUGAAAGACAAAUCCAAAUAAGUCUGCACGAUUCUUCAAUGUUGCCGAAACAGCACUCUCCAAUUCUGAUCUUCUUCUUUUUUCCUUGGAAUUAUUAUGAUGAUAAUUCCUUGCCGCCCUUCUAUAUGGUGCACGCCUCCCUUUUAUAUUGCAGGGUAAAUGAAAGUCCAUAAGCGUGCAUGCGUUAAAUUAGGAAACAUGCAAAUUACACUUCUGUGGCUGACCUGCGCCUAAGUUCUCUCCCCGCAUUGUUCCCAGAUUGCUACAGCACUGGUUGCUCUAACAUCCGCAACAACACUGCAUUAUUCCCGAUUGUGCUUUACUUCUUUUGUGGCCAUCUUCUUUCCUCCUCUUGCUCUUCUAAUGUCUCAACAUCCCCUCAUGAAUUUAGACUUUCUGAAAACCUACGAUUAUGCACCUGUUUUUAGCACAAAUGACUUUGAUUCAAGCAAAACUUAUUAAGACUCAACUAAAAUGAAUGUUUAUUCAAAAUGUAACCAAAAUGUAAUAAAAACACCUUAUUUGUUCUCUAAGUGAUCUUGAUUCAAGUCUAGAAUUGCUCAUGAGGAAUAACAUACCUGCUGACAUCCGUUGGUUAAUCAAGGCUAAAGUACGAUUGGCAGGUGAGUUACCUCCAAAAUUUAUUCCAUACAUGUCUGGUUGUGGUAAACAAAAUUAUGCAAAAAAACGAAGAGCUCGAAGAAUUUUUGUUGCUUGUCAUAAGUGUGCCAAAAUGAGAUGCGAUAAAAAACCAUGUUCUUUAGGAAUGGUGUCUGAUAACAGGGAAGAUAAGAUUUAAUUCAUUAGGGAUGGCUUGAAUGAGGAGUCAUUGGAUGAUAUCCUUUUGUCUCUUGAAACGCAUCCAAGUGGAUAUGUGCAAGGAGCGAUUCUCCAGUUAUAGCCAUUAUUCCAGAAAGAGCAUGCACGAUAUAGUUUCGGAAAUUUGACUAUAAACGACCAUGUUUGUCAGUUUAUAAGAAAACUGGACGGGAAGCUUAUCCUCGACCCAUAGAGGGCGUUCAAGCUGUUUCUGGACAUAAAACCAGAGGAAGAUGUGAACCACAGUCGCAACUUCCUAUAAAUAUCCUUUUACUUCACUGUUAUUUUAUUUCACUGUUGUUUUAUCAUUUGCAUUAUUGUCUUUAAUAAUUUUAUUUUGUCAUUGUUUCUUUUUCUUUUUACUGUUUCCUUUUUGACUCGCGAGCCAUGUGCUUUAUGCGUUAUUUGACACUGACAUGCUACCUCAUACACAGCUAUGACCGACUGUCACCAAGAUUAUUAAAUAUAAUUUUUUGUCAAGCACUCACAAUUUGUUUUUGAGAAGUAUCCCAAUGGCAGCUACUCCCAAUAGACAAUUCAAGAACAUUUGUGUGCUUUCCGGAUUUAACUAUGGUAAACAUAAAGAGUUCGUUGAGGCAGCCAUAAAUCUUGGUCGAAGCAUAGCAGAGAGAAAAUUACACUUGGUGUAUGGAGGAAGUAACCGAGGGUUAUCAAAAUUGGUCUCAGAAGCUACUUUUGUUAGAGGAAGUCAAGUGUUAGGCAUCAUCCCAAGAGCCCUAAAAACUUUGAGCAGUUUGUCUAACUCACCGACUGGAGAAGAGUUAGUUGUCUCAGGUAUGCAAGAAAUAAUAACGGAAAUGCUUAAUAAUGCUGAUGCUUUUAUUUUCCUUCCAGGAGAUCUUGAAACACUAGAGGCACUUAUCACACUAGCAUCUUGGGCCCAUCUGCACAUUCACCAGAAACCCAUCGGUUUGUUAAAUGUCAAUAACUUUUAUGAUGGCUUUAUCGCAUUUCUUAACCAUGCAAUAAAAAACUAUUUCAUUCCUCCCACAGCAAAAAAAGCUUUUUAUUUGUGCUCACACUGCUAAUUAGCUACUUGAUCUGUUACAAGCUUAUAAACCGGAGCCAGACCCCUAGACCUUUGUGUUGGAGUGUCCAAAUAAUGACGGUAACAAUAGUCGCAGCAAGAAGUACAAAUUAGAUUUAACUCUCCGCUUGUAAAUAUUUUCUUCUGUGUUGCACCACCUAGGUAAUGUCUUCUAAACUAUACUUCUUUCCUUUAAAACAUUGAGGACAAUGUUUCAUUCUGGUUGGGGGGAGGGAAUAGUCGAUAAUUGUAGAAUCUUGGUUAAGUUUUUACUAAUUUUUUGUUGUAGAAACUAACUGUUGCUAACUUUUUUUGUUGAAGAUGGCUGAAUAUGGAGUGUAGUUACUCUAGAAACGCAUCUUCUUUGUUAAAAAAAAAAUUCAGAUAUUUUCUUUUUCUUUAUUAAUUUUUUUUACAAUCAUUUUUCUUCUUCUUUCUAAUUUCUCCUUUAUAAAUAUACACUUUCAAAUAUUUUUGAGUCAAAGAUGGCUGAAUAUGGAGCGUAGUGCCUCUAGAAAUGCAUCUUCUUAGUUAAAAAAAAACUAUUUUUUUUCUAUCAUUUUAAGUGUAACUUUUCUAAUUAGUUUUUCUGCAUCAUUUUUCACAUUUCUGCAUGCAUAUUUUCCUUUCAUAUUUAGAAUAGGUUGGGGGGUAGAAUGUUGUUUGAAAGAAAAAAAAAUUGUGUGAUUUGUUUUAACAUUGGAUGAUAUGAUAAAUUUCAAAAUUUAGUAUUUGUAUUAUCUUUGGUCUUAAGUGAUAUUACGCCAUGUUUGCUACCCUACAUGUUGAUGUCGGAGACAAAUACGAGUUGCUUGAAGGAAUGAACAUGUCAUAAUAAGUACCAAGUGAGUUUUUGAGCCUAUCAUUUUUCUUGGAGAGUAACCCUUUUGCCCAUUCUUCAUACAGCUUAGCAGUUUAUUAUCUUAUACACGAUCUCUAGAUUUCUUUUGAGUUAACCCUCUAAAAAAAGGUUGUAAAAAAAAAGAAGAAAAAAAUGUGUGUUGCUACAUCUGGAGACCCAUCUAACUAGUAGAUAUGGAAGAUUAUUUAGAGCCCUAAAAGACGAUGGAAAGGCCAUCUUUGAUCAGUUUGAGCCUUUCUAGCCAUCCCUUUUGUGAAAUAUCCAUAGUUAACCCUUUUGAGCCUUAAAAAAAAAACAUUGUCUUUGUCAAACUUAUCAUCUUGACCCACUCCGAUUUGGAGUAUUAACCGAUAUCUUACAAGUUCCAUCACCUAUUUAUGUUUGAGAAAAAUGUAAAUAAUUAUUUUGUUCAGUGAAGUUGUGCCAAACAAAAGCAAAAAAAAAAUGUUAAAAAAAACAAUAAUAGAUGAAAUCCACUUUGCAACUUCCAAAAAAAAAAUCUCUACAUUUUUUCUCAAACAUACACUUUGUUUUCCUUAUUUCCCCUCCUUUGUUAGCCAUGUCCCUAACCUAUGUUACGUCCUAAUAAAAGUCCUUCUUGAUUUUAGGGAACUAUAGUCUGAAGUAGAAACUAGUUAUAUGGGCUAAAACGAUGUAGUGGUGCAUAAAAAAUAAAUAAAUAAAUUGGGUUAACUAGUAUUUUUAUUUGACUUGAUAUCGUAUUAUUUCUAAGUUGAGGGCAUAUUUCUUUCAUCUUGGUGAGAGCAUGUGAUAUCACUUCUUUAUUAUUUUCUCUCAAUUACCAUUCAUUGGAGUGACUAUUUUUAUUGGGUUUAUUUUCUUUGUGAGAGUGUCACUAUUUCCAGUGAGAUUUUGGGGUUUAACAUAUCAUUUUUUAAAGUAGCUAUAACAAACUCUACUGGGCUGAUUCAUGUGGAUGGUUGAUGUGGGUGUAAUGUUUCUUUAGACUAGAGAUAAUGCUUAUACUUUUAUUUGAUUUGAAUAAACAUAAUUGUUAAAAAAAAAAUCAUUUUGGAUUUGAAUUUUGUUUUCACUUUAUUUGCUAGGUACUAGCAAUAAGCUGGUUGGGGGGUGUGUUGAGUGUUAGAAAAUGUAUGUUUAUAAAGGAGAAAAUCAUCAGUUUACACUUCAAGUUUUACUAACACCCUUACUUUUAUAUAUUUAAGUUUCUUGUCAUUUAAUUAUGUGUGUUGUAUUAUAAUUAAGUAUUUUAUGUAUUUUGGGGGCAUCAUAGUCAUUUCACAAUGAACGAGAGAUCAGACGGCAAAACGGACAUCACUUUUGAACUCAGGAUGGUCGAAAACCUUAGGAGGAGCAUAAAAGGAAAAAUGGCACUGUUCACAUGUACGGUACUGUCUAUGUUACUGUUCACGACACUAUUCACAUAGACGGAUCGAUGACGUGGCAUUGACUGAUGAGGUGUCACAAUCUUGUUGAAUUAAAAUUCUUAUGCAUUGUUGAUUGGUGACGUGGUAGCAUGUUAAUGGACCAAAAAUUGCGCGUACGGUACAUGCAUAUACACAGGAUUAUUUUAAAGCAAAUCGCGUUACUGUUCAAGCCGGAUCAAACUGUGCACUGUUCAAACUGUAUGGUCAAACCAUGUACUGUUGACUGAUGACGUGGCGCAAACCUGAGCGUCCAAACUGUUUUUAAUCCGUUGGCCAUGAUUUACUUAAUGUAUCUAUAAAAAGGGGGCCUCCCCCCCUAAUUUGGCAUCUUUGAAUCCAUUUUUGGGCUCUAUUUUCUGUAAUUCCUUCUCCAUCUUGUAUUUUCUACGUAUUUUAAUAAAUUUUUAUUUUGCCCCUAGUUCAAUUAUGAGUAGCUAAUUUUCUUUCAACCUUGGGUUGAAAGUGAAGUCUCAACAUGUGUCAUGGAAUUUAUUUGGUAAAUUUAUUUUCUUUUCCCCUCUAAUUUUUGUGGAUGACUUGACUUUUCGUCGACAAAUAAUAAAAUCUUAUCUAGAUACCACCCUGGUUUCAUCGGCUCCCUAGUACAAGGUUAUUAUUAUUUGGCGCGAUAAGCCCUUAGCACCAUAUUGAUUAGAGCGUGGUUCAUGAGGUGUGGAAACCUCUCUCAUGAUUUAAUUGGCAUUAAUAAGGAAUAUUUAGCCCAUGGUGCAUGUUGAUACGGAUCCAGAUACCCAAGUACGCCAUUUCAAUAUAUUUAUCUUCAAUUUAUUCUCGUCAUUUCAAUUCCAAUUUUAGAAUAAUCUAAGUCACUUUCACCACAAAUCCAAACAUCCAUUUAGAAAAAUUAAUUCUACGCACAAUUAGAAUCAACCUGCUCGUGGGAUCGACACUCGUCACCAUUGAUCUAUUCUACAAUAGAUUCGUGCACUUGCGAGUUCAAUAAAAUUUGCACAACAGCGGUGGUGGUGGUGGUGCUAGUAGUAGUAUAAUGUCAAUUGAUCUUUUUUCAUCUUUCAAAAUGAUGAAGCAAAGUUCAAAUGAUGACAUUAGUUCGAAAAAUGAUGUUGAAAAGUACUUGACGAAUGCUAAUAAGAGUACUAGUAAUGCCCAUUUUGAUAUUUGGACUUGGUGGAAGUUGAAUGGGCAUAGGUAUCCGAUUUUGUCUCAGAUUGCUAAGGAUGUUUUGGCAAUUCUAGUGUCUACUGUAGCUUAGGAAUCGGCAUUUAGCACAGGAGGGCGUGUUCUUGAUCCUUUUAGAAGUUUGUUGACUCAUAAAACUGUUGAGUCAUUGAUUUGCACUCAAAAUUGGUUUCACUCAACUCUAUUAGGAGAAUGAAUAAUACAACCCACUCCUGAGGAAACUGAAUUCUAUGAAGUUAUUAAAGCAGGUGAUAUGUUACUGUUGAGUGUUAGAAAAUGUAUAUUUAUAAAGGAGAAAAUCGUCAUUUUACACUUCAAGUUCCACUAACAUUCCUACUUUUAUGUAUUUAAGUCUCUUGUCAUUUAAUUAUGUGUGCUUUAUUUUAAUUAAGUAUUUUAUAUAUUUUAGGGGCAUUAUGGUCAUUUCACAAUGAACGAGAGAUCAGACGGCAAAACGGACAUCACUUUUGAACUCAAGACAGUCGAAAACCUUAGGAAGAGAAUAAAAGGAAAAAUGUCAUUGUUCACAUCAUAUCAGUGGACCAAAAAUCACGCGUACGGUACAUGUAUAUACACAGGAUUAUUUUUAACCAAACCGCGUCACUGUUCAAACCAGUUGACUGUUCAAACUGCGUGGUCAAACCGUGUCACUGUUCAAACCGUGUGGUAAAAGUGUGUACUGUUGACUGAUGACGUGACGCAAUCUUCAGCGUCCAAACUGUUUUUAAUUCGAUUGCCAUGAUUUACUCAAUGUAUCUAUAAAAAAGGGAGCUCUCCCCCCUAAUUUGGCAUCUCUGAAUCCAUUUUUGGGCUCCAUUUUCUGUAAUUCCUUCUCCAUCUUGUAUUUUCUACGUAUUUUAAUAAAUUCUCAUUUUGCCCCUAGUUCAAUUAUGAGUAGCUAAUUUUCUUUCAAGUUUGGGUUGAAGGUGAAGUCUCAACAUGUGUCAUGGGCUUUAUUUGGUAAUUUAUUUUCUCUUCCCUUCUAAUUUUUGUGGAUGUUUUGACUUUUCGUCGACAAAUAAUAAUAAUCUUGUCUAGAUACCGCCUUGGUUUCACCGGCUCCCUAGUACAAGGUUAUUAUUAUUUGGCACGAUAAACCUUUAGCACCAUAUUGAUUAGAGCAUGGUUCAUGAAGUGUGGGAUCCCCCCUCAUGAUUUAAUUGGCAUUAAUAAGAAAUAUUUAGCCCAUGGUGCAUGUUGAGACGGAUCCAGAUACCCAAGUACAUCAUUUCAAUAGAUUUUUCUUCAAUUUAUUCUCGCCAUUUCAAUUUCAAAUUUAGGAUAAUCUAAGUCACUUUCACCACAAAUCCAACCACCCUCAUACAAAAUUAAUUCUACAUAUAAUUAAAAUCCACCUCCUCAUGGGAUCGACACUCGUCACCAUUAAUCUAUUCUACAAUAGAUUCGUGCACUUGCGAGUUCAAUAAAAUUUGCACAACAGUUACUACUAUAUUUUGAUAUGUUGUUUUGGUUAUUUCACUCUUAACUAAUCAUUCUAAUAUUUUUGUUUAAUUUGUUAAUGUAGAAUUUGGUAGGCCAAUAGUAGCUCAACAAGAACAAGCAGUUGAGGAGUAAUUGGGAUUUGAGAGUUGAUUGAUGUUUAUUGCUUUUGUAGUUUUGUUUAAGUUUAAAAGACUUUUUGCUUAUUUAUUUUGAUUGAACUUGUUAUUUGAACAUGUUAUGUGUUCUUAAACAUACUUUGAGGCAUAUUUUGAUUUUGUGUUUGUUAACUUUUUAUGUUUGUGGUAGAUUUAUUAAUUUAAAGUUUUAAAUCUAAAAAAGCCCAAAAUAGGUCCAAUAGGCCCAUAAUCGAAAUAAUCAAACUGAAUCGAAUCGAAUUAUUUCAAUUAAUCGAGUAUUUGAUUAUUUCGGUAAUUUGAUUAAUCGCGAUUAUGAUUUUAAAAUAAUCGUAAUCGAAAGAUUAUAAAAAAUUUAGUAAAAAACCAAACCGAACUGCACCCAUCCCUAAUAAUGAGAAUUUACAAAAGUGAGAAAAACUCACAAAACUCACAACCCCAAUACACCCCCAAAUGGAACCUCACUAGAAUACUCAAGUGGAAGCUCUCUCAAAGAGCUCACUUGCAAUUGCUCUCUACUUCUCUUAAAUUGGGAUGCAUUCAAAUGAACAAAUGACUUGGUAUUUAUAGCCAAAGAUCAUGCGUGCAUUUAAUCUUUUGUUCCCAAAAGUCUUUAAAAAAUGGCAACCAAAAUUAACAAUUUUAAAAAAAUGGAUUGGCUUCUAGAAAACCAUCACAUUUUUCUCCAUGCAACUUUAAAAAAAAUCGUGCCACCAACUUUGCCUUUUGAAAUUGGCAAACCAUUAUUUGACCUUUCAACAACAACAAGGAUAAAACUAAAAUCUGAUAUGAUACUUUCAUAUUAUUCUCAUUGUAGUUAGCCUUGUAAUUAUAUUGUAGCUAAUCUUUAUCAUAUGUAUUCUUUAGCUUGUAUAUAAGUGAAGUGUAUAUGAUAGAUCCUCAUCAAACUAAGGCUUACAAAAUUUGCCUUUUAAAGCUUUACUGUUUUACCUUUGAGUACCUUGCUUGGUAUGUGCGUUUCAGUUAUUAGUGUUAUAGAAAAUGCUAGCCUUGUUACACAUAGUAGAGGUUUGUCAACGAGCUUUACAUAAUUCAUAUUAUAAUUAUUUUUAUACAGCAUGCUUUUAGGUUUAUUAAGUUAUGAUUUAAUUAUUUUACAGCUCCUAACUUACGUUUUUCUUGCAAUUAUAUAUUUACGUAUAUGUGUAUGUAGAAUAUUUUGUAAUAUGAACUCCACUCAUUGAGUGAUUGCACAUCCCUAUUUUUUUUUAAUAUUUUCCCUUUGCACACCCCUUUUUUUAAUAUUUUCCCGCAGGUGGAUCCGGGUUCAAGUAAAUUGGUGCUGGUUAUUUCGUAAGGUCGAGUGCAAAGGUUUUCAUUAAUUGAUUUCCAUUAAACGAUUCAUUUAUGCUUUUGGGACGUCUAAUUUGUUAAGUCCUAUGUAGUAGUUUCCCAGAAAUGUGAUAAGUGGAAUUUAGAUAACUUGUUCGAAUUGUUAUAAUUUUCCCUUAAAUAAAGUGUUGAGGCACUAUUCAGCAAGAUUAGAGUACAGGACCUUCCUAGAGUUUUUGGGUCGGAAAAGCAACUGCUUGCCUAAGUCUCUCUCUCUCUCUCUCUCUCUCUCUCUAUAUAUAUAUGCAUAUACAAUGGUGUCUAUAAUUUCUAAAUAUUUGUAGAUUUUCACAAUUCAACGGGCAAGUCUUAUGACAAAAGAGCUAUUUUAAUUACGUUGCCCAUUGCCAUAUACUUUGAACUUUUGUAGUUAAUUCCUUCAUCAUUAAUCCUAAACACAGAAAAUGUUUUAUAUAAAUUUGGGAAUAGGUUUGAAAUUAGUUAAUCUUGGUUUUAGUACCAAUUACUGUAUAAUUUUUAAUAGAUUAACACGGUCAAUUAAAAUAAGAACAAAUAACUUUAAUUAAUUAAAGCAUGGCGGUGCGAGUUUUUGUGAAUAAAUGUAUGGUCUUGUUGCAUUUUUUUAAAAUAUAUUUUCUAUAUAAUGAACAUAUUUCGUGUAGAUAGAUCUGCUAACCUGAAAAAUUUCACGAUGAAAUACUUUGUCCCUGUUGUGCAGUGGCAGAAUCAAGUAGAAAAGGCGGUUUUUUUUUUCUUUCAUUGCUGUUUUUGAGAUUGUUCUUCAUGGUUAAUAUUUUUUUUCUUUUUCUUUUCCUUGAUUUCUUUGAAUAAAAUAGCUAUUUACAUGUCGGAUCUUCAUGUUUGUUCGUCAUCUCAGCUCUAAUCAUGACCAAAUUAAAGUUCUUUAUUGGUUCAGUAGUUAAAAUUAUCUAAAACUAGUGUCUGGAUGAUUAGGUAGUGGAGAUAUAUUGCACUCCAUAAUGAGGCUAUGAGAAUUUUAAUGGCAUUUUUAAUUGGUUAUUUGCUUAUAUGCUGAUGAUUGUGAAUCUGGUGGAGUUGGCUAAUUUUUAGGAUGUUUCUCUAUGUUUCUAAAGUAAUGUUCACUUUGUUUUAGCUUUUUGUAAUUUCUAAAUAAUGUUUGAGUGAUUGGGGUCAAAAUAUUGUUUUGGUUUGAAGUUUGUAGUAUAUACUAACUUGUUAGCAUUUNNNNNNNNNNNNNNNNNNNNNNNNNNNNNNNNNNNNNNNNNNNNNNNNNNNNNNNNNNNNNNNNNNNNNNNNNNNNNNNNNNNNNNNNNNNNNNNNNNNNCUUUGAGAUACUUGAGUCUCUUCCACUAUUUUGAGAUAUACUGAAUUUUUAUUUCUUUUAGCUCUUGUUUAAAUGAUGUAUUUUGUUUAGAUGAUUAUAUUUGGGAUGUCAGAUUUGAGAUAUAAAAUUAGUAUUCAGUUUAAUUUUGUCUUUGAAUGACAUCAUUUGUUGAUAAUAACAUAAUAGCAAUCUAAAAUUAAAAGUUUGAUGAAAAUAUGUAAUCCGUGAGAGAAUGGUUGACAUAAAAAAAUGUACCAAGAAUUGCUAACACUACGGAAUCAUGAUUCUUGUGAUACUAUAAUAAUAGUAAUCACUGACAUCAUAAUCAUCACACUAUAGAUUGUAUCAGUAGAUUUUAACUAUCAGAUCAGUGACAGAAUUAGCAAGUGACGUUAAAAUUAUUGGGAUUAUGUGCUCUUUUAAAGCAUAUUAAUUUAUUUUCUUAUUAAUAAAAUAUUUGAGACAAUUUUCAGUUGCAUAAAUAUUUUGAAUAAGGUCCGUUUAAUCAUAUUAUAUGUAUUUAUGUGAUCAUCAUAUGGAUUCAUAGAAGACAUAAAUACAAGUUAUCUUAUGAUUAAAUAAAUUAAGUUCGCAGUUGAUAAAUAGAAUUGGGCGCUCUAUUUAUGUUUAAACUAUAAUAAAUUCAUUGAAUGAUUUGUCUUAAUCAUGUAUGAAUUUAUUGAUGUAGUAUGACUACAUUGAACAUGAUUACAUAUGAGAUUUAAUUAACUUUAUAAUAACUAUCAGACUUAUUAAAUCUUAUAGGCAUUGAUUUUGCUGUAAUCUUAAUCUUGAGUUAGUUAUGAUUUCAUGAUUGUAAUUAUUAUUCCAUUUGAGUUACCAAUGGGCACGACACACACUUGUAGUCAAGAUUACAUGGUAUCUUGGUGGGAGCAAUUAUGAGUAUUGUAGUUAUAAAUUAACAAUAUAGAAUUUGUACAACACAUCUCUUGAUGGGUUUUCGGCACUUGAUCAUAAAAUUCUCUGGCCAGAGUGUGUUAACAUAUUUAGUAUGUUGAAAAUGAUCAUUAGAGAAAACCAGUAAGUAUCAAGGAACAAGAUGUAAUUAAAUUAAUUGGACAGUUGAGAUAUCGAUUUAAUUAACGAUGUGAUACAAAUGAUUAUGCAGUAGAGAAAUCAAUGUGGUAUGGGUCGAAUUAUUAUUCGAGUACACUAUCCUAGAUAGCAUACAAUUAUGGAGGUCAAUUUCAAUCUUUUAGUGGAGUAGAUUUUGAAUUAAAUAAUUGGGCUAGUUUAAUUUCAGGUCUAAUUAUUGUAGCCACUAUUGUAUGUACCCAUAUGAUCCCUAGGUUAGCUCAUUUAAUUGACUGCACCGCUACUGGAUUAAUAAGCAAUAUAACUAGUUAUUUGGGUUAAAAGGCUAAAUAUAUUAUUUAGUGGGAGACUCUAUAUAAUGUGCUUGUGUCUAAGGGAUCUUGUGUUAUUUUACAAGGUGGGCCCCUAUGACAAGAAAAAGUAACGUUAUUUUUUAUUUUAUUUUUUUUAAUUUAAAUCAAAUUUGAUUUAAUAGAAUUAAAAAUAUAAAAUAUGGAGUCUAGGGUUUCCAUCAAGAUAGAGAUAUAAAAGGGCUUAUUUUCUCCGAAAAAGAAGACGAGAGCCACAUUAUACAAAUGAGAGAAAAAAAAAAUUUUCUCUCUUAUUUUCAGAGAAAUAUUUUCUCUUGCUAGUUGCUUUUAGUAGUGAUAAAGACGUCCACACGUCAAAUACAGAUCAAACUUGAGUCAUAAUCCGGAAGAUUAUUUGGUAACGGAUCAUGAUCUAACCGGCUAGUGAUCACAGAUCAUGAUCUAACAGUGCGGUGGUGACAGAUCGUGAUCUAACAGGCAUGGUGGUGAUGAAUCGUGAUCUGGGUAGCCUUGAUUAAUUUCAAUUGUUCAUCUUCUCAGAUUGUCAAUGUAUGAUUUCUAGAUUACGCAUUUCUAUAUAUUGUAUAAGAUUGGUCCUAAAAGUUUUUAUAAAAAUUUAAAAAAACUGAUUUUUCUCCAACAAAAAGUACAUAGAUACCAUUUUCAAAUCAAAGAUCAAUCUUCUUGUAGUGAUGUUGUAAAGAAUAAUCCACUCACUGAAUAAAUAUACAAAUAAAAUAAACAAUACAGUGAUGUAUCAUCACCAUGAUAUUAUCAAAGAGAAGCUGAGUAUCCCACAAUUGAAUGUAAACCCUAUCAACUAAUAACUUGGAAGUUUUUGCUCAAUGGUUAAGUUUUUAGCUAUUAAAAUUUAAAACAUGUAAGACAUAUAGAACAAAAUGAAACUAGCUAGUUUCAUAAGCCCAAAGGAUCUGUAUGUAAAGUGUUUUGACCAUAGGAAGCCAUGGGAUCUUCUACGACCAGAAAUUCUGCUGGGCAAACAAUGUCCCAACUUGGUUUUAGGUCCGAAACUUAAACUUCAAAGGUUCUGUGGUUCGUUUAUGGUUCUAGUAAGUUUUUCUUGGGGUUUAUAAAUCUCAUAUUGGUCCAUAAAAGAUGUUUCAAAAUAUAAUGGUCCAAUCUAUUGUUUAUUCUCCUUACAUGCAUACAGCAAAAAUUAUAACUUCGGUAAGAUUUCGUGAUAUAUCUCGAUAUCUCAAUAGUAUUCUAAGCUUACAACUUCUGUCUUCAAUACAAUUAAGUGUGUUAAGGGCCCUUAAUAAGAUUCGGGUGGAGUCAUUUGAACUCUAAAAUUUACUUUAAACACUCAUAAUUUAAUUAUUUUUUAUAUUACUAAAUUAACAUUAAUGUAAUUUACUAUUAAGGAUAAUUUAAUAAAACACAAUUUAAUAAAUUUUUAUCCAAUAAAUAGUCAUAUUUUAUCUAUUGUAAAUCAUAACAACAAUGAAAAAUUAAGUCAAGAUCUUCACAACAUCUUAGUUUCGUUGGAGGUGAUGGCUCUUAAACAACCAAAUACUAGUCUAUUUGUUGGAUUAAACAAGGGUCAUGUUGUGACCAAGAAGGAACUACCGUGAUGCCCAGCAGAUGGGAAAGGGAAAACAAGCAAAAUGGUCCACUUUGAGAGGAACGUGAUAAGGCAAGGUACUGGCUUGCACUCUAUGAGAAAAUGAUCACUAAGCUGUUGGGAUUAUGUGCUCUUUAAAGCAUAUUGAUUUAUUUAUUUAUUUUCUGAUUUAAUAAAAUAUUUUAGAUAUUUUUCAAAAAUCUUAAUUGCAUAAAUAUUUUGAAAACAGUCCAUUUAAUCAUAUUAUAUGUAUUUAUGUGAUCAUUAUAUGGAUUCACUGAAAACAUAAAUACAAGUUAUCUUAUGAUUAAAUAAAUUAAAUUCAUAGUUGAUAAAUAGAGUUUGGCGCUUUAUUUAUGUUUAGAUUGUAGUAAAUUCAUUAAAUGAUUUGUCUUAAUCAUGUAUGAAUUUACUAAUGUAGUUUGACUAUAUUGAAUUGGAUCUCAUAUGAGAUUUAUUUAACCUUGAAAUGACUGUCAAACUUAUUAAAUCUCAUAGGCAUUGAUUUUAUUGAAUCUCAAUCUUAAGUUAGUUAUAUUUUCAUGUUUGUGAUUGUCAUUUCAUUUGAGUUACAAUGGGUGCGACAUACAUUUGUAGUCAAGAUUACACGGUAUCUUGGUGGAAGCAAUUGUGAGCAGUGAGAUUAUAGAUUAACAAUAUAGAAUUUGUACAACACAUCUCUUGAUGGGUUUUCAGUACUUGAUCAUAGAAUUCUCUAGCUAGAGUGUGUUAACAUAAUCAGUAUGUUGACAAUGAUCAUUAGAAAAAACUAGUAAGUGUCAAGGAACAAGAUGUAAUUAAAUUGAUUGGAUGGUUGAGAUUUAAAUUUAAUUAAUGAUGUGGUACAAAGAAUUAUUCAAUAAAGAAAUCAAUGUAAAGAAUUAUUCAAUAAAGAAAUCAAUGUGGCAUGGGUCAAAUUAUUUUUCGAGAACACUAUCCUAAAUAUCAUUCAAUUACGGAGGCCAGUUCCAAUCUUUUAAUGGAGUAGAUUUGAAAUUAAAUAAUUGGACUAGUUUAAUUACAAGCCUAAUUAUUGUAGCCACUGUUAUAUGUACGUAUAUGAUCCCGGGUUAGCUCAUUUAAUUGAUUGCACUACUACUGGAUUAAUAAGUAAGAUAACUAGCUAUUUGGGUUAAAAGCCUAAAUAUAUUAUUUAGUGGGAGACUCCAUUUAAUAUGCUUGUGUGUAAGGGGCCUUGUAUUAUUUUACAAGGUGAGCCCCUGAUAACUCUAUGAAAUGAGAGUUACCAUGAUAUUUUUUGGCUUAAAUCAAGAUUACUUAUAGAGUAAUUAAUGUGUUUUAGUGCAUUUUAAUGAUAGUUUGCUUUAACAUCCAUUUUAGUUUAAGUUUAAUAAAAGUUUGUUUGAUUUCGAAUAAGCGUGUGCUUAAAACAUAUGCAUAAUUGCAUGUAACCAAAAGUUCAAAUUUCAUGGGAAGGAUGAUGUAGCAAUAAGCCUGCAAAAAGAUGGAAAAGAACUUGGCUAUAGAAGAAAUGAAGUAAGUCUGAAACAAUACAGAUGCUGUAGCUGUUGCUGUAGCAUCCAUUGCUGUAGCAAUCUUGGAACAACGACAGAAAAGAUUCUGCGCGGGGCACUUAUCAGAUUGCGAUCUGUAGUUUCCUCAUCUAAAAGAUGCGCGCCAUAAACUUCCGUUUACCCUAAUUUUCAGCUAUAAAAGAAGGACACACGCAAAGGAAAAAAUGAGGCCAUCAACUAAGAUAAAAAACUGAAAAGAAACAAUGGAAAAAUAGAAUUCAAGAGCAAGAAUCAAGGCUGCAUCAGUGGAGAAUUUGCGGGAAUCAAUUGGAAUUCAGUCUUUCUUAUUCUUUUCUUUUUUUUAUUCUUUGAUCAUGAAGAUGUAUUUAAUGGCUGAAACUUUUGAUUACAUUCCUUUCACAAACUAUGAACUAAAUUUACUCGUGGUUGAGUGAUAAACAAUCUUAAUAGGUUCUUAACUGAGUUAUAUAUUGCUGCAUGUUUGCCAUAGCAUUUUGUUUUGGUAAAGCUUAUUUCUAUUUAUUAUUUCGGCUGACCACCAAUUUAAUGAUAUAAAGUAAGAAAGAGCUACAAAAGGGUCUAUCUUAGUGGAACAUAUCAGAAUAAUACUUGGUUCUNNNNNNNNNNNNNNNNNNNNNNNNNNNNNNNNNNNNNNNNNNNNNNNNNNNNNNNNNNNNNNNNNNNNNNNNNNNNNNNNNNNNNNNNNNNNNNNNNNNNNNNNNNNNNNNNNNNNNNNNNNNNNNNNNNNNNNNNNNNNNNNNNNNNNNNNNNNNNNNNNNNNNNNNNNNNNNNNNNNNNNNNNNNNNNNNNNNNNNNNNNNNNNNNNNNNNNNNNNNNNNNNNNNNNNNNNNNNNNNNNNNNNNNNNNNNNNNNNNNNNNNNNNNNNNNNNNNNNNNNNNNNNNNNNNNNNNNNNNNNNNNNNNNNNNNNNNNNNNNNNNNNNNNNNNNNNNNNNNNNNNNNNNNNNNNNNNNNNNNNNNNNNNNNNNNNNNNNNNNNNNNNNNNNNNNNNNNNNNNNNNNNNNNNNNNNNNNNNNNNNNNNNNNNNNNNNNNNNNNNNNNNNNNNNNNNNNNNNNNNNNNNNNNNNNNNNNNNNNNNNNNNNNNNNNNNNNNNNNNNNNNNNNNNNNNNNNNNNNNNNNNNNNNNNNNNNNNNNNNNNNNNNNNNNNNNNNNNNNNNNNNNNNNNNNNNNNNNNNNNNUAUUGUAACAACUGAACUUAGAAUUAGAAGAAAUAGUCAAAAUCAUUAAGAGAGUUUAAUUACUCAAUUACGUCAUUCCUAUUGAUUUUAUCCUUUUGUGUGACGUGAAAGUUUGCAUUCUACAUAUUCAUUUAUUGCAUUUUAUUACGUAGUUUAUUAGUUUAAUUGUUAACCUAUUUUCAUUUAAGGCAAAUUGCGCUGUUAAGAUUGCCAUAGCAAGUUCAGUAAGAUCAUUCCCGGUAGAGACAAUCUUGAAUACUUAUCAUUAUAUUACUUAUUGUGUACACUUGCACAUUGACACCAAUAGUAUUUGAAUUUAUACCAACAGCCCUUAUAAUAAGAACAAGUAAGGCCACUUUUGGUUUUAUUUUUUGAAUUUAAAUGAAAUUUGAUUUAAUAGAAUUAAACAAAUAUAUAAAUAUGGAGCCUAGGGUUUCCACCAAAUAGAGAAAUAAAAUGGUUUGCUUUCUCUACAAAUAGAUAUAGGAGUCACAAUAUACAGAUUAGAGAAAAAGAGUUUUUAUCUCUAACUUUGAGAGGAAUAUUUUCUCUUGCUAGCUACUUUUAGUAGUGAUAAAGGUGCCCACACGUCAAGUACAAAUCAAACUUGAUUCAUAACCUAGAAGAUCAAUGGUGAAGGAUUGUGAUAUAACAAGAUUGGUGGCGACAGAUCGUGAUUUGGGAGUCUAAAUUACUUUUACGAAACAAUAAAGGUAUGAUUUCUAGAUUAUAGUAAUUCUAUAUGUUGUAUGAGAAAUGCAAUGCAAAUAUUUUCGUUGCAAAAUAUUUUUUAACCAACAUGAGCUUCUUAAAGUCAGCAAGUACAAGAGCGCGCUGAAACUUGCAAAGCGAAAGCUCAGCACUCACAAGAGGGCAAAGAUGAAGUCUGAGGAGAUGUCUAGUGUCCUUCGAAGGAUGAGGGCCACCUGAGGUGGAGAGAAGAAGAAGUGAUGCAUUAUUUUGCUACAUAUCUUGUUCACCUGAACUCGGGUUAUUAAAUUAGUAGAGUAUGUUUUAGCCUAUGUUAUUUGUUUUUUUUUCCAAUUUAAAAACUUGUUAUAAAAGGAAAAUAAAAGGUAAUAAAAAUGGAAGAAAAUUAGAUAUUUUGUUUGUGAUGGUAAAUACUUUAUUGGGUGUAAAGAGGAAAUAAGGUAAUUAAAUAAAUGGGUAAUGAGGAUAAUAUAAGAAUUUGGAAAAGUAUUUCAAAUAAAAUUAAUAUUUUAAAAUUAUUAAUUUUAGAGUGCAAAUAGACCCAACCAUAUGAUUAACAUGAUCUAAUAUUGUAAUCAACUUAAUUGCAAGUAAUAUAAAAUUGGAGAAAUAUUUUUUUAUUUAAAAUGAUAGUAUAUGUCUAGUUGUAAUGUUUGCUAAUUAAACAGGUUUCUCCACUCAAUAAUUCAUUCUCAUGAUCCAUUUCUUUUCAACAAAGAAAAUUCAUGUUCAUAUAACAUUAAAGCAUAAGUACAUAAAACAUAAUUAUAAAUAUAUAAAUAGCCUUAUUUUUUUAAUUUGGAAAGUUCAAUUUAAUGAUAACUACAAAGCAUACUUGUAUGGAUUAUUUUAUUAAAUAAACUAAAAAAAGAGUACAAGGGAAUCAUAUAUAUACUUCCUGUAAUAGAGUUUCAUUGUACGGAUAAUGUGUUGUUAAUUUAUAAGCAAAGUAAUAUAAAUAUUCAAGAAAAUAAUCAAUAAAUAAAAAAGAGCUAAAAGUGGCCGAAUGAAAUUACCCAUAAAAAUUGGUGUUUCAAAAAAAAAAAAAUUGUUGAGAGAGAUCUUUAAUUUUUUUCAAGUGCUUUCAACCGAUCAAGAUUUUGUCAUGAUCUAAACUUCUUCUGAACAAAUAUGCACUUUAGUGGUUGGUGGUUGAUUUAAAAUAAAAGAAGUUAAAUAGUUACCAAACAUAAUCACUAAAAGACUUUGCACCAAUAACAGACCCGCACCUGGACUAUUGUAGCCUGGUUCCAAAAAAAAAUUAAAAGAUACUAAAAAUUAGCCUUAUGUCAUCCACAGGAGUUGGAGAUACAACUGUGGAAGAUGGUUUUACAGAAUUCAAAAUGAAGAUUGGACUUGAUGAGAUUGAUUUUUUGGGCCUUUACAUCAAAGGUGGGCACAGCCUCGAGAAGAAUGGCCAAACAUGGACUUGCCACAAACAUAGCUUGUCAUCUCUCAAAGCCGAUAGACCAGAUCUCGAGGCAUCACCUAUUAACAAUUGAAUGGAAAGUGCUUGACCAGACAAGAAGUGAAGCGAGGACCACCCUAGCCAGGGGGACCGAAGAUUUUGUUGUUGGCUUGUUGUUGCUGGAUGGAUGCAAAAGUGGAAAAUAGAGAAAUGUAAAGUGAAAUUGGUAAGAAUCAUAGUGUAUUUUAAAUUUUUCACGAUUCUCUCUCUCGUUUACAAGCAUGGAUCAAAUCAAAGCAUCUCUUUCUAUGAUUCUCUCUCUUGCAAUAAUUAGGUAUAAAAUAUAAAUAAUUAAAAAAAUAUCAACAAUUGGGAUUUGAAUAAUAAUUUUUUGAUGAUUGUUUAUUUAUUAGUUACUAUGUAAUUUUAAUAGGUGGUUGGCAUCUCUAUAUUAGAAUGAGCAGAUAAUAAAUUAUCUAGUAAACAAAUAAAUUUAUUUAUUGUACUUCCCCAUUUGAUUAAAUUAACUCAAAUCUUACUAUUUAUCUAUUAAUUGUUUUGCUUAUUAUUCUAAGAUUUUACAAUUUUUUCAAAAAUUUGAUAGGCAUGUGUAUUAGUAUUAACCAUAUAUUGUAUUGUAUGAACUUUUAACAUUGAGUUUUUGAUUUUGUGACUUUAAAUAUAUUUAAAAUUAGUAUAAUAUAUAGUUUAUAACAAUUUUAAUUGAUUUUUUGACUCUUACACAAUUACAUGUUGUUUUAAGUUAUAAUUCUAAACAACAAAAAAUCCAAACUGAGAAAAACUCUCCUUUCAUUCCUUACUAAAAUAGAUUAUGGUCAAUUAUCAAACGGGACAAGUUCUAUCUGCAACAUUGAUGCCUCAAGCUCUCCACCUAAGUCUUAAAGAGCCGAAUUACUGCAUCUACUAUUGACACUCCUUAUUUAGAAUGCGCUCCUGGAUUAUGUUUCUUAAUAAGCACUUUUCCCUUGGACAAGCAGGACGAUGUGUGGAUGACGUAUAUAAAUGUGGGACCAUUUCAACUCGAGCUAUAAAAGUAGUCAUGGACUAAACAUAGUAUGCAAAGCCAUCAAUUUCAAUUUUCUUAGUUCUUAAAAUUUCCUUGACUUGAGUAUUCCAUAUAGAAGACAAAGCAUUUUGUUUUGUCCUUUUACUCAACAUGAAGGAGGUCAUGGCUCUUCUCACAAUGAUACCAUGUCAAAAAGGAGCAAUUUAAAGGAUCCAUGCAAACAUAUUGAUAAGAAAAUGACUGCACAAUCUUAACAAUAAGUUCUAGAGAUUAGACUACAACUUAAAAUCUCAAUAGUGCCACCAAGUGGUUAACAAAACAAGAAUGUGCUUUAGAGUUCAGAUGAGUAGGUUAAUUCUCUUAAUCAUGGCAAUAUUAUUGAAUUAAUUAAAUUGUUAGUAGCAAUGAAUGAGGCGAUUGAUAAAGUUGUAUUCUAAAAGUGUCUAAUACAUAGCACCUAAGAUUUAAUAGGAGUUAUUGAAUAUUAUUACUAAUAAAGUAAGGCACAAGAUUCAAGAGUUAUUUGGUGAUGAAAACUUUUGUGUCCUAGUUGAUGAGGCACUGGAUGAAUCUCAUAAAAAACAAAUAGCUAUUAAUUUAUGAUAUGUUGAUUGUGAUGGGUUUACUCAAGAAUGUUUCUUUGAAAUUGUGAAUUGAUGAAACAAAGGCCUUGACUUUAAAAAAUGAGAUAUGCAAUCUACUUACUUGGUACAAUCUUUUAGUUAAAACUUUAAGAGGUCAAAGGUAUGAUGGUUCUAGUAAUAUGGUGGGUGAAUAGAAUGAAUUACAAUCUUUAUUUCUCAAUGACUAUCUGUAUGCUUAUUAUGUACAUUGUUUUCGCAUCAACUACAACUCGUAUUAGUUGCAGUGUUUAAAGAAGUGCAUGAGGUAUGGUUAUCUUUUUUUAAAAAAAAAAAAGAAGUUGAGUCCUACUAUUAACUUUGCUAUUGCUUCUUUCAAACAUUAUUUUGAGUUAAAAUUUGCUAGAGAAAAAGAAAUUAUAGAUUUGAUAGGUUCAGAAGAACUUGAGACUAGUACAGGGGCUAAUCAAGUUAAAACUUUACAAAAGGCUGGAGAUACACAUUGUAGCUCAUUNNNNNNNNNNNNNNNNNNNNNNNNNNNNNNNNNNNNNNNNNNNNNNNNNNNNNNNNNNNNNNNNNNNNNNNNNNNNNNNNNNNNNNNNNNNNNNNNNNNNNNNNNNNNNNNNNNNNNNNNNNNNNNNNNNNNNNNNNNNNNNNNNNNNNNNNNNNNNNNNNNNNNNNNNNNNNNNNNNNNNNNNNNNNNNNNNNNNNNNNNNNNNNNNNNNNNNNNNNNNNNNNNNNNNNNNNNNNNNNNNNNNNNNNNNNNNNNNNNNNNNNNNNNNNNNNNNNNNNNNNNNNNNNNNNNNNNNNNNNNNNNNNNNNNNNNNNNNNNNNNNNNNNNNNNNNNNNNNNNNNNNNNNNNNNNNNNNNNNNNNNNNNNNNNNNNNNNNNNNNNNNNNNNNNNNNNNNNNNNNNNNNNNNNNNNNNNNNNNNNNNNNNNNNNNNNNNNNNNNNNNNNNNNNNNNNNNNNNNNNNNNNNNNNNNNNNNNNNNNNNNNNNNNNNNNNNNNNNNNNNNNNNNNNNNNNNNNNNNNNNNNNNNNNNNNNNNNNNNNNNNNNNNNNNNNNNNNNNNNNNNNNNNNNNNNNNNNNNNNNNNNNNNNNNNNNNNNNNNNNNNNNNNNNNNNNNNNNNNNNNNNNNNNNNNNNNNNNNNNNNNNNNNNNNNNNNNNNNNNNNNNNNNNNNNNNNNNNNNNNNNNNNNNNNNNNNNNNNNNNNNNNNNNNNNNNNNNNNNNNNNNNNNNNNNNNNNNNNNNNNNNNNNNNNNNNNNNNNNNNNNNNNNNNNNNNNNNNNNNNNNNNNNNNNNNNNNNNNNNNNNNNNNNNNNNNNNNNNNNNNNNNNNNNNNNNNNNNNNNNNNNNNNNNNNNNNNNNNNNNNNNNNNNNNNNNNNNNNNNNNNNNNNNNNNNNNNNNNNNNNNNNNNNNNNNNNNNNNNNNNNNNNNNNNNNNNNNNNNNNNNNNNNNNNNNNNNNNNNNNNNNNNNNUUUGUCAAGCAUUACAAAGAAAAUCAUGGACAUCUUAAUGCUUGAAUAUGCCUCCAAGAAUGAAAAGACUUUUGCAAGAGUUCAAGUUAGUGGACGAGAUGAUUUUAUUAGAAGAAUACUUGAUAUGAGUGAUUGUUAUAUGGAAGGUACAAGAUAUUUUUGUCAAGAAAAAGAUUAUGUUAUAGUUGAACAUCAUUAUCACAUUGAUGUAUUUAAUGUUGUAAUAAAUUUUCAAUUGAUUGAGUUAAAUAGUAAAUUCUCUUAGCAAACUGUGGAACUUCUUACUUUAAAAUCAGCAUUGGAUCCAACUGAUGAGUUCAAUUCAUUUGAUAUAGGCAAUACUUAUUCUCUUGCUGAGAAAUUUUAUUCUCAUGAUUUCACUCCAAAUGAGAUGCUUGCUUUGAGAAGAGAAUUAGAACAAUAUAAAAUCGAUGCGCUUUCUCAUUCAUGAUUUCAAAAUAUUGCCUUCCUUUUUGAGCUAUGUUGAUGAUUCGUUGAAAUAAAGAAGUCACAACAGUAUUUUUUGAUUGAUUGAUUAAUUUGUUUGGUCUUUACUCUUCAUGCUUCCACAGGCACAAUAAAGCUUCCAUUUUCAACCAUGAAAAUUAUAAAGACAUCACUUGGUAGUUAGAUGGAAAGUGAGUUUUUCUCAAAUUACUAAUACUAUUGACCUAGAUUCUAUAAUUGAUGAUUUUUAUAAUUUGAAGACGUGAAAAGUACAACUUCAGUGGUAAUUUUGUAUUGGGAUUGUAUUUUUAUUUUAUACUACUUUUUAAAAAUUAUUUCUAUUUAUAGUAUGAAUUUUAUGGGUAAGACUCUUAAUGUCCCCUCGUUAUUAGUUGUAUUUUGUCAUUUAUAUUUAUGAAAUUUCAUAUUCAUUAAUACAAAUUUAUUAUUAUUUUAAUUUAGCUCAAGGUAUUGUAAAGUUAUGGAUUCACCCCUGCAUGGCAGUGUGGCAAAAAGUUCAAAAGCUUAGAAUCUGCUUCCAACCUUUUAUUUUAGGAUGUGUUAUUUGAGCACAAAUAAUCACGUGCUAUUUAUCGAGAAGCAAGUCAGUCACAUUUUGACACUUGGCAAAUGCAAUUGUGAUACCGACUUGCCAAAUCAUUAAUGGAUAGACAUACACCUUAUAAGUUAUAACACAGUGAUUUGAUAUGACCAUUUUUUUAACUAUUUUAUUUAUUAUUAUUUUUUUGUUUAUUUAGUUCAUUAUUUCUUCUAUGUUGCUCUUUCUAUUGACUCUCUCAAUUUAUGAGUUUAUGAUACGGUUAAUAGAUUAUCUUAGGGAUGGCAAAAUCCUCCAUGGGUUUGGAGCCCUAUGGGGCUCUACUCCAAAUGUGGUGAAUUUUAAAUAAUUUUUUGAGAAAUGAGGUGGAGAAUAAGGAAAAAAUAAUCUCCAAAUUUUCAAUAGGGUGGGGUUUGGUUUUGUACUCUCAACCCACCCCCACCCCAUUCCCCAUUAUACAUGAAUAUUUUUUAAUUUUUUUUCAAUAAUUUUUAUUUUAUCAAUUACAAUGUUGGUUAACAAAUUUUCUUUUUAUUUUUACCUAAUAUAAAUAGGUUAUAACUAAAAGAAAACCUUAGAUUAUAAUUCUUAUUCAACCCUAAAAUAUUGUUAUGUUUUCUUUCNNNNNNNNNNNNNNNNNNNNNNNNNNNNNNNNNNNNNNNNNNNNNNNNNNNNNNNNNNNNNNNNNNNNNNNNNNNNNNNNNNNNNNNNNNNNNNNNNNNNNNNNNNNNNNNNNNNNNNNNNNNNNNNNNNNNNNNNNNNNNNNNNNNNNNNNNNNNNNNNNNNNNNNNNNNNNNNNNNNNNNNNNNNNNNNNNNNNNNNNNNNNNNNNNNNNNNNNNNNNNNNNNNNNNNNNNNNNNNNNNNNNNNNNNNNNNNNNNNNNNNNNNNNNNNNNNNNNNNNNNNNNNNNNNNNNNNNNNNNNNNNNNNNNNNNNNNNNNNNNNNNNNNNNNNNNNNNNNNNNNNNNNNNNNNNNNNNNNNNNNNNNNNNNNNNNNNNNNNNNNNNNNNNNNNNNNNNNNNNNNNNNNNNNNNNNNNNNNNNNNNNNNNNNNNNNNNNNNCUUUUUUCACUUCUUUCUAUUUUAGCGGCAUGAAAACUCUAUAAACCCUAAAUCUAAGUACCAAAAAUAUCACAAUUUUCUUAUUCAUAUAAGUAUACUCUCUAAUUGGACUAUAAAAUUGCUUGAAUUGAGUUGAUGAUAAAGAAGAUAUUCAUCACAUGCAAGCAUAUAAAAAUUGGUGGUAUUUUUGAGUUUUUCUUCCAAUAAUUUAAAGAAUAAAGAUUUUGUGUUAAUUACAAUUUGUUCCUUAUGACAAUUAUUCAAUCGCUAUAUCAAACUAUAUCAUCAUUGAUUUCAUUUAAGAAAAAGUUAAUGAAUUUUACAUACUUUGUAGUGUUAUUUAAUUGUGUAAAAAAUAUAUUUUAAUAUAGUUUGUAUCACUUUAAUAAAAAAAUCUUAUUUUGCCCUUAAUGAAUUACUAGUUAACAACUUUACACUAACGGUUAGUUAACAGAAUGAUAUUUUAGGUUAUUAUUUGAAAAGUAGGGAUGAAAUGGGCUAUUGCAUUAAACCUUAGGGAUGAAAAGAGUUUUUUCCCUUGAUUUUAUUUAAGUCUCUAAUUUUUUAUUUACUGAAAUCAUUUAUCCAUACCUAUUAUAAAAUAAGUAAAUGGGGAAUGGGGUAGGGAUGGAGAAAUCAUUCCCCACAUGGCGAUUCCCCAUUCCCACUCCACUAAAUUUAUUGGGAGAUUGGGUGGGGAAUAGAGGUAAAAUUUUUAAUGAGAUGGGGAAUGGGGUAGGGCUUCCCACCCGUUAUCCCACUCUAUUGACAUCAUUAUCUACUCAUCUUACCUUUAUUUGCUUUUUAAGAACCUUCCAAUUAGUGGUGGAACCAGAAUUUUAAUUUGAGGGUAGUCAAAAAAAUAUAUCGAAAAGUUAGGAAUUUUAAGAAAGUUUGGAGUUGCCUUAAGGGUCAUCUUGAAAACUCUUUACUUUUCACCUUGUUUUUCAAAAGUUUCAGAAAGUUAGGGGUUGCCAAGCAAACCUAGGCGCAAAAUUAUUUCCUCUUCUGUCCUCAACAUGUGUGCAUUAUCAUUUACGUAUGAUUUAGUUGUAUUAGCUUUUCUAUCAACUACCAAUCAAUAAAUUUCAAAAAGGCAAGCUGAUGAAGGCAAAAUAAGUACUUAGAGAAUUUAAAUUCGUUGGGCAAAUAGCCUUCUUAAAUUUAUGACUUCUCUAUUAUUGCCACCGUAAAACCAAAAUCUUAGUUUUGCCACUGAAAAUUGAAACCAUGACAUUGGUAUUUCUUUUCAAAUUAUUAUGUGUUUUGCCCUACACACACUGUUCAGUGCACAAAGCUUGUUAAACAUUUUUGUUUCAUUGCGGAGAUCGCAUUUUGUUCUAUCAAAACAAUAACUCUAAUCAAUAAAUAAAAGCUCAAUGUAUUAUCAUUAACACAAUAUACAAUCUGAAGGAAGUUGCACAUUACAAAUAAUAAAUGACAAUGCUAAGACCUGUCAGGUCCAAACACAAGGAGCUAGCUUAGAGCUUCCCACUAACUCCGAAUGUUCAAAUUCAGCAACACGCCAACACCAAGCCUAUAUUGGGCUGGAACUUUAUUUAACUGCAUGCAAUCAUAUGAUAUUCAUUAUCAACAUAUAGAAUGUUUCAAGGGCUGGUGGAAAAUGUAGGUGGAGAGAAAAUUGGGGGAAAUGAUGAGGAGAUUGGGGAACAUCGAUGCUUGAGAAAGAUAGUGUGAUGAAGAAAGUUAAAAUGACGAAAUGGGAAGUAGCCAUCACUUUCCAAAGAAAGAAGAUGAUUGCUUAGUAAUGUAUAAAAAUAAAGAACUAAUCUUUAUGGUGUGAGAAAAUGAGGACCUCGUCUUGAUCUUUUAUAGUAUAUUGAACUAAUCUUUAUUUAAUGUUAAAGGACAGGUUUGGUGAGGGAACUGCGCGCGCCUCCGCCACGCCCCCCCCCCCCCCCCCCCCUGACUAAAACUUUAAAAAUUUUUUUUUAAUAAAAAAAAUUAUAUUGAACUAAUCUUUAUUUAAUUUAAAAGGACGGGUUUGGGGGGGGAACUGCGCGCGCCUCCGCCACGGCCCCCCCCCCCCCCCUCCCCCCCAACCCUCCAACAGUUACUUUAGAGUAAUAGAAUUUAGUGAUAUUUUGAAUUAUAAAUCUACAGGAAUCUCUAUUGGCUUUAUGAUAAUGGUGUUUAGAUAUUUGGGUCCAGGAGCACCGAAGUUACAAGUAAAAAUUUAGUCCAAAAAUCAUAGAGGUAAACAUUAGGGCUAAAAUAUGAAAAUAGUACAUAAAUAUUGGGGUAAAAUGUUAAGAUAUUAAAGCAAUAGAUGACAAUUAAAAAAAAAGUAAUUUUUUGGUAAAAAUAAUAUAAUAUUUAGUAUAUAAAAUAAUUUUUUUUGGGAUCUGGAUUCAAAAUAUGUUGGAACGAUUUCUUAAUUAAGAUUCAUGUAAUAUAUGGAGAGAGAACUUGAAAAAUCUAUACCCAGAUAAAUGGGAAAGGUGGUGGUUUAUUAUUAACCAAUUUAGUAUGUAGUUCCCAUAUUCAGUAAAAAAACAAAUUUCCUACAGUUGAAAAAAUCAGUUGUANNNNNNNNNNNNNNNNNNNNNNNNNNNNNNNNNNNNNNNNNNNNNNNNNNNNNNNNNNNNNNNNNNNNNNNNNNNNNNNNNNNNNNNNNNNNNNNNNNNNGGAGGAGAGAAGAGAAAACGAAAGGAGAGAAAGGAAGAGAAAAUGAGGGAAAAAAAGGGUCAAUUUCAAUCAAAUCUGCUUAAUUUGACAUGGAAUUAUGUUAUUAUUCUCUUAUUUAUUUUCUGUUUCUUCUUUAUUCUCCUUCAAUUUCUUCAAACCAAACAUGUCAUUAUAUACUAAAACCCAUUUUUUUAAGCACUGAUGAGUGAUGAUACUUAAAAUGAAAAUUAUCUGUACACCGCCUCGGUUCAUCUUUGUUUUUAAAUUUGUAUUAAUUAAUCAUUUUGACACUAACAUAUAACCAUUUACCCCUAAAUGAAUUAAAAGAUCAUUUUUCUAUAGAAUUUGAAAAAUAAAAUUAUUACAAUUAGAAGAAAGCAUGAAAUAUUUAAUAAAAUGAAGAAAUCUCAAAAUCGAUGAUGUUAUAAUUUCAUUUAAAAAUUAUCACGUUAAUUUUUUGUAAUUAUAAUAUCAUUUAAUUUUUACAAUCAAAUUUAUGUAUAGAGAAUUUUACAAAAAUUAACAUGAAAAUAAAAGUGGUUUAUUAAAAUUAAGAAACUAUAAUCAAAAUUAAGAAACUUCCCUGUACUUAAUUUAAUUACAAAAAUUAAAUGAAAUUAUAAUUACAAAAAAUUAACAUGAUAUUUUUUAAAUGAAAUUAUAAUUAUAAAAAAUUAGCAUUGGAUUUUGAAAUUUAUUUCUUGUAUUAACCAUUUCAUGGGUAUUCUUGUAAUUAUAAUAUUUUUAUUUUUAAAAAUUUUAUAGAAUAAAAUAGUCUUUUAAUUCAUUUAAGGAUAAAAUGUUCAAUUAUUAAUGUUAAAGUGGUUGAUUAAUAUAAGUUUAAAAAUAAAGAUAGUACAAAAAAUAUGUUAAAAUUAUGUGGUGAUUAGAUAUUUAUGUGAAUUCAGAAAUAAUUCCCUUAUCUAAAAUGGUGGUUGGUCUGCGAAGGUUGCACAGCUCUUCAUUUAAUUUUGGUUUUAAAUAGCUACAAAUUUAGAACUGGCUCAGUCUUAUGAGUGAAUAAGGCUCUAUCACAUGCAUACAUUAGUCAAAAUUUGAUUGGUGACACGGCUGGUACUUUUUGCCGCCCAUUAAUGUGUUUUAAGCAAGGUGGUUAUGCAGUUGCAUAUCGUUUUCUGUGUUGUUAGAUCAAAAAGAGCAUGUAUCUUUCAAUCUUCAGGAAUAGGGGCCAACUAGGGUCUAGGGUGUGCUUGUUAUUGCAUUUUCUAUGGCAUUUUUUAAAUUUAUUGCACAAAAAAAAAGUUCUUGAUCGGAGUUUUUAUAUAUUUGAAAAAGUAUUCGUUAAUUUGUUCUUAAGUACUACAUGAAAACUUUUCAAAAAAAAAAAAAGUACUACAUGAAAAGAAAAUGGAAAAAACAUGUUUAGUAAUUUGUUUGGAAAAGCAGGUUUUCAAUCAUGUGUAGUUAAUUUUCUUACUUAAAAUGUAUUUAUUUAUUUGAAAAAUGUUAACUUAUUUAUAUUUAAUAAAAAUUACUUAAAUGAGGUUUUAUUUUUUUUUGUAAAAUUUGACUAAUAGGUAUUCUAAAUAAAAUGAUGUUCAAAUCAAGAACUUUUAAGGCCCAAAUAGCUCUACUCUAAUAAGAAAUAUAUUAUUUUUUCUCUUGAAGAGGUGAGGAACUUCUCAUUAAACUUACUUUUUCGAUAGUUAAAUGCCGCUUGGUGGCACGCAGGAUGAAUCCAGUUAAGUCCUUAGGAGGAGCCUCUUCUAGACAAUUAUAUUUUCCUUUUAGUAUGCCCUAAUCCUCUUUUGAAAGAUUUAAAUAAAAAGAAAUUGAACUUAUUUUAAAUAAAUUAAAAUGCUUAUUUUUUUAAUGGUAAAGACUAUCAUUUAGUAACUUUGGGAACUUGGUUCAAAUUUCAACAGCGACACAACUUUGUUGCUUUAGAUAUUAAUACACAUUUAAGAAAGAGAGAGACUAUUGACACCACUUUAAAUUUUUGAUAAAACACCUCUUCUAAAAAAAGAAACUCAUUAAUUGAUUAUAAGAAUUUGUUACUUAUAAUGACACUUAUAUUCUUCCAAAACUAUCCUUAAUUCAAUCUUUUUCCAACUUCCUUCUUUAUGAACAAUUCCCUUUUUUUUUUCUUUUGAAAAUUAAUACUGCGUUAAUGGAAAAGAUCACAAGAAAACGGCAAUUUGUUGAAGUGAAUCCUCCAACCCAAUACACAAAAAGCCAUCAUUUCAGAUACAUGACUUUGAUUGAAAUUCUUAUUCAUGUCGCCACCAAAGCACUAACAAAAAGCUCUUGAAGUACUAGAUAUUGCAUGCGAUAAUAAUUCAUGCAGAAAUGACACAAUGAUGGAUUCAUCAAGUAAAUGUAGAAACUUUUGAUUCAAAUAGAAUAUCAUUUAAAACUACUUUUGUUAAUUUAAUAAUUGCUAGUUUAUCGUUUCCAUUUGGAUUCAAAUAGUUACGUCGUGGAUGAAAAUAUAGAGCUUCUUCCUUCGAGUUACAAAUUUCUGAUCAACCUUUUCCCUUAACAAAAACAAGAGAUUAAUCACGUCUCUAGAAGCUGAGCCACCGACAUCUACCAAGAAGUUAGCUGAGCCACCGACAUUUGAAAUUGAAUAUGCCUUGGAGGGGUGACUCUCUAAUUAAUUGGAGAAUGCACUUUCAGAAAUUGUAGUUUUUUUGUAAUGUUUUUUUCUUUUCUUUUCUUUUUUUGUUUUUGAAUGAAGUAUUAAUUUAAAAAAAACAUGAAUUCGUUCACUUAGAGAACGAAUGUAGGGAUGCUAACAAAUAAUGAAUUCUUUAUAAUUAGGUAAUGGAUAUAUAUAUAUAUAUAUAUAUAUAUUUGGUUUUUAGAAGAGGGGUUUAUUAGGACUUUAGAGAGGUGUCAAUAGUCCAAAAUCUUUCACAAAUGUGGCUACGAUAGCUUAUUAUUUAAAAUAAAUAAUUUAUCAAAGAAUAGAAUUUAAGAUUUUAAUACUUUAAAUAUAUUUAAAUAAACAAUUAAAAAAAUCAAACCCUUUAAAUUGAAUUAGAAUUUUUUAAGCUAAGUCCCGUAAAUUAAAUGUUUGGGUCCACCACUAGCUGAACCAAGGGAACUGUACUUCAAAAUAUGAAGGGAUGACACCUGAUUAGCAAGUUAGCAACUAAGAAAAUAAGAGAUAGAUGCCUAAGCAAACGAAGCCACUUAAUCCAUAAAACAAACACAAUAAAAUAGAAAAUGACAUUCUCACCACAAAUUGCACAACAUAUAGCCCAAAACUGUGCGUUUUAAUAAAGUAAAAUUGGAAAAAAAUACAUAAAUAUUAAAAAUUAAUCAUUUACACCCCUUAUUGCAAAUUUUAAGUUGAUUGUUUUACCCAAAAUGGUAUCAGAGACAAGAUUUUGGUUCAAAGAUUUUGAAAUAUCAUGAUAUAUCGAUAGGAAAUCGGCGACACAUAUUUUGAUGGUUAGCUAAAUAAGAACUAUAUCAAUUUGUAUUGUUUGUAUAACAAGUCAUCUACUCAGGGGCGGACCCAAGAAUUUAUAUUACCCCAAGUUAAAUUUAAAAUUUUAUAUUUUGAAGUGAAGAUAAAUAUUCAUAAGUAAAAAGUACAUCAAAUAAUGGGGACACGAAAAACUCUACGAAUAUAUACUCUAAACAAAAAUAAUUGUACAAAAAGACUAGAAAACAAAAGAUAAUUCAAAUAUAAAAAUACUAUUUUUUAAUUAUGGAAUCUAACAUUGCAACAUAUAAUAACAUCUAAUUAUAUAAGAAUUAAUAAAUCUAUUAAGAAUUUUAAAUUAGAAUAAAUCAAUACAUGUAAUUAUAAUCAUUUAAAAAGUGCAAGUAGAACUUUAUGUUUGAAAAAUACUUAGUUACCAAGCUUAAAUAAAUUAAACAAUUAAAAUCUAUUAUUUAUGAAAUUAUUAAUAAUUUUUAUAUAUAUGUUUUUAGUAUUUUUAAUAAUAGUGACGAUGUUAUAUUACAUUCGCAUACUUGUUAAAUUAAAAUUUUUAAAAACAAAUUAAAGUAGUAAUAACAUUUUAAACCCCUAAUGUUUUCAAUCUAUUCAAUAAAUAUAUAAUUUAAUUAUUUUGUAAAAUAAGUCAUAAAUACCAGUUGGGAAAAAAAUAUAAUUGAGUUAAGGACAUAUUUGAAAAUAAAGUAAAAACUCUAUUAUUCUAUGAAAUUUGAUGAAAACAUGAUUGUAACUGAAUUGGGGACUUAUAUAAAAAUAAAAUAAAAAGUCUAUCCUUAUGUAAAAUGAAUCAAAAGACAAGGGAUUUAAAUGAUUUUUCUGGACUACACCGGGCUACAGCCCGGUCUAACCCAGCUAUAGAUCCGCCAAUUUAUCUACUAGAUUAUUUCAAAAUCAGAAGUAAAGAUGGACAGAACUAGACAUAUGUUGGUACGCGAUGUGAGAUAUAAUUUAAUGUUAGAUUAUGAUGCCAUAAUGAAUAAUAUAAAUACACAAAUGCAGUACUAUACAUUAGAAAUAUAUGGUUUAAUUAUUAAACAGUUAGUACAACUGUAUCUAUCACAAGCUCAUGAAUUUAGAGUUGGAGAACUCAUAAUAAUAAUAAUAAAAACAUAUAUUUAAUUAUAGAUCCUAUGCUACUAAGUAAAAUCAGAAAAGAAGUUUCUAGAAAUAAUUUUUCAUGGAGAUAAUGUAAUAUUAAUUCUAUUGAUAAAUAUAUUGAUGAACCUCUAAUAGAUUACAAUAUAGAUUCAUAUCUAUUAAUAAAGAGAAGAAUAUAAUUAGAAUAACAAAAGGAUUAGAAGUAGAAAAAUAUCCUUCCAGUAAUAUGAUGAUUGGAUAUAGAGGAUUAAUCAUGAGAAAACUCUGCCUUAUACAUAAGGGUUAGAGGAAUUUCAAAGAAAUAUUUCAUAGAAUGUAAUGAAAUGCUAUGCAGAUAGAAUAAUGAAUAAAUUACUUGAGUGAUUAGUAAUUCCACAAAAUAUAGAAGCCAAUAGGCAAAAAGAAUUUAUCUAUGGAAGAUUUCAACCUUUUGAUCUAAUAAUUGAUUCAGAUAUGUGGGAAAUAUUCAGUUAAAUUGGAUUUCUAUAUAUUUAUUAAAUAGAUUAGAAAACCCUAAUUUGUUUGUAAAUGAUAUAGAAAAUGCAAAUAAAAUAUUAGAAAUUAAAAAUCUUAAUGAUGAAAAUAUUAAGCAAAUCAAAAGAUUGGAAGAUCAAAUGAAUGAAGAAUUUAAUCAAGUUAAACAGUUAAAAAUGGACUUCAAAAUCAAAGAUUAAUAUAUAAUAGAACAAGAAAUCAUUAAUGUCAUAAAUAAAAAUUCAAUAGACAUAAGGUUGAAUAAGAUAGAAAUUCAAUAAAAUAAAAUAAAAUAAUUUGGUAAAAAGUUUGCAAUAAAUAUAAAUGGAAAGUUUCAAGGAAAUUGAAGUACAAAAGAUUAAUAAUAAUAUGGAAGAAUUACUCAUUGUAAUUCAAGAACAGAAUAAAAUUCUACAAGAUACAAUAUUUUACUUCAAUGAGAAGAAAAAUUAUGAAAUUCAGUCAAUAUCAAGACAAAUAUUUAAUAAAAUAGAUGGGAACAAAAAAUUAAUAAGCCUGAAAAUGUUAAGUGAAAACGCAAACAAUAGAUUAAAAGAAUCAUCUAAUUCAGAGCUAUUUGAUAAAGAUGAAAAAUAUGAAACUAGUGAAGAGGAAGAUAUAUUUAUAGAUUUACAACAUAUUGAAAAUAGAAUUAAACGUUUUAAAGAUGCAUGAAGCAAAGCCAAGAGUUUAUGAACAAGGAGAAUCUAACAAUAGAGCUUCUCAUGCUAAAGAAGAGAUACCAACUUAUGAAAGACCACAAAGUCAAGUCAAUAUUUUAGGUCUAGCAAACCUAAAAAGGAAUAUAAAACUCCAGGAGAGUAUAAAGAAAGACUAAUUGGUUAUGAUGAAGAAUGACUAGAUUUAGAUUGUGUUAAAAAUAAAGAUAGAUCAAUACCGCCUGGGUUAAAUUGAUGAAAAUUACUCUUGUAUUUCACGAGUUUGAUAGAAAUAAUGGUGUAGAAUUCCUUAAAACUUCUUUUCAUAGGAAUAGUAGCACAAUGGUACAUGGGAUUAAGAAAAGAUAAUGAAAAUAAAAUAUUACAUGGAAAAAAUCCUAAACCAAAUGAAACUCAAGAACAAUCUUAAACAGUUUUGAAAAUGAAAUAAGAAAAGAAUUUUUCGGAAAAAGAAUAGAAAUGUAAUGAAACUAAUUAGGCUUGAGAUAUGAUAUAUGCCAUCUAGAAGCAUACACUUGUAGCUUCGAAGAAUCAUAUUAUAAAUGUGAAUUUGAUAGCGAUGAUCAAACAAUAGGAUAUUACAAUGAUUUAUAUUUUAUGAAAAUACCAAACCCAUGGGGUAAAAAGUUUAUGCUAGAAUAUAGCAAAGAAUAUGGAGAUAGUACAGACAUUGAUACACUUGGAAAUAAAAUCAAGUUUCCACAAAAUCGAAUAAAUCAAUGCUGUGGAGAAAUAAGAGAUACUAUACUUAUGAAAAAGCAAAAUGAAGGAUUAUGGUCUUCUAAGUUAGAAGAACUGCCAAGAUUUGGAUGCUCAAAUAAAGCCUAUAAAAAUAGGAAAAAAAUUCAAAAGGAAGAAAUUCUUUAGAAUCAAUAAGAAAUAUUACCAAAAAAACAAAUACAAGAAGAAGUUCUUCAAAAGGAAUAAAUUUAAAAGAAAAUCUAAAGUCAAUGCACCCAAAAGGUGUAAAUGUUGAUUGUGUAAUAAAGAAGCACAUUAUGUAAAUGAAUGUCCUAAAAAAAAAAAAGAAGAGUAGGUAUCAAAAUAUUUGAAGGUUUCAAUGAUUUAGAAUUAAUCACUGAUAGUGAAGAUGCUAGUGACAAUGAUAUCAUUUAUUAUCUAUUUGAUGAGACUCUAAGUAGCUCAUAUUCAGAAUAAAUAUAGAAGAAAUGGAUAAUAAAGAUCUAUAUUAUAAUAAAGAACUAGAAGAACCUUGUUCUUUUAAUAGGAAAUUAAUCUUUGAUAAAAAGUACCUUAAGAUUAAUAAAAAGGAUUGGAAACAUCUAUGAGGUCUGUCAAUAAGUUAGCACAAGAAAUUACUAACAUGAUUAAGAGAAAAAAAUAAUGUAUUUCAAUGCGACGGUAAGAGAAGAACCAAUCGAGAAAAGGCAUGCUAGAGGAAAUAGAAAAAUACAUUUGUUAUUAAAAUCAUAUAUAGAAGAUAAAAUCAAUAGGAUAAGAUCUAGUGAUAGACCCAAGAUUGGAUAUAUUCAUAUUGGAGAAUCCAAAUUAUAAUAAAAGCUCAUUUUAGAGAAGGAAUAGAUAAUCCAGUAAAUUUGGCUGUUCUUGAUAAUAGGAUAAAAGAUAAAAAAAAAAAAUGCACUCUUUGUAAUAAUACAAGGAAAACUAAGCUAUAGAAAAUUAACAUUUAAAAUAUACCCAAAUAUUCUAUCAGUCAUAGAGAUAGAAAUAUAUUCUUAAGUCAUGAUUUUAAAUACUUUGGUAUAGCUCAUGAGGGAUCUUAUCCAUAUAGCAUAACAUAUGUCAUAGAAUAUGCUUUAACAAAUUUGCUAAUAGUAAAAUGUUUGCUGAUAAGGAAUUUAUAGAAAUUGAUAAACUUUUUAAUAAAGUUGAAAGGUAAAAUCUCUUGAGAUUUUAAGAGUAAUUGAUUUACAAGAAGAAUGGGUGAUGGAUUUGAGUAGUCUACCUAGUAUGAUUAGAGGAAAUACUACUAAAACUAUCAAACAUACACUUGAGGGAAAAGUCAUUAUAGGAAGUAAAAGUCAUUCUCUAUACCCAAAAAGAGUCAUAAUUAAGUAGAAAGCAUAGUUUUACUAGAUUUAGUCAUCUUGUGAUACCACCAUCCUAUGAAUUAUUAGCAACAGUUAGAAGUAUUCAAAAUUUAAAAAUAAAAAUUGACUAUAAUAGUGGAAGUCAUGGCCAUGAGACUUUUAUUAUCUUAGAUGCAAGAGUUGCAAAAUCUUAUAUUGAUUCCAAAUGAUUAAAUAUUUAGAAAAAAGAGUUCUUGUGGAACCACAUACAUAUGUAGGAUACAAUGGAGAAAGAAAGACGGUAAGUCAGUAUUAUGAAAUUCCAGUAAGAAUUAAGGGAAUAAAAUUUAUGUUUCUUUUCUUUAUAAAAACUAAUUAUGAAAUAGAAAUAAGUCUUUUGUUAGGGAUAAACUUUUUUGAAAAUUUUUCUCCUUGCCAUAUAAAAGAUAGAGAAAUAAGUAUAACAAUUGAUAGGAUAAAAAAAACAAUAUCAAAAUAUGCCUAAUGCUUUUAUACAUGUAAAGAAGAUUAUAACAUAUUAUAGGCAUAAACUAGAAUGGUUCCAUGCUUUGAUUGAUAUUGGUUCAGGAGUUAGCCUAGCUAAUUCUAGGAUUUAUCCAAAAUCUUAUUAAAAAUAUUAUAACCCCUUAAUAGGAUAAGGAAUAAAUGGUGAACAAAUCUCCUUAGGAAAAUAUAGGAUUAAAACUUUAAUACAAAUAGAGGAUUAUAUUCUAAGUAUACUUAUAUUAUGGUCUUAUGAUCACAUGGAUGCAAACAUAUUUUUAGGAGUUAAUUUUCUUCGUUAGUUCAUUUAUAUAAUGACUAAUGAGACAAUUACUUUUAAAACACCAUGUAAUUAUUCAAUUACAACACCAAGGGUUUAUAAUCCUAUUAGGUGAACAACUCGAAAAUUUCAUUUUUAAAGUACCCAGUGUGGUGAUUUCAAUAUAAAAAUAAAUUAAUUAUAUCUGAUUAUGAAAAAAAACUAAAAAACUUGAUAAAAAUUUUGGUGAAAACCAAUUCAAUUAUGGGAAACUGAUAAAACUUAUGCCAAAAUAGAACUAAAAGAUCCAGAUGUCAUGAUAAAAGUCAAACUUAUGAGAUAUGGGCAAGAACGUAGAGCAGAGUUUGAUAAACAAAUUAAAAAGUUACUAGAACUCAAGAUCAUUCGAUAAUCUAAGUGUCCACAUAAUAGCCCACCCUUAUGGUUAGGAAUCAUGCAGAGAUUAAACGAGGAGAAGCUCGUAUGGUUAUUAACUACAAAUAAUUAAAUAAAUAUACCAAAUUUGACAGGUACUUUUUACCUCAUAAAGAUACAUUAAUUAUUUCUACAACUAAUAAAAAGAUAUUAUUAAGUUUGAUUGCAAAUUUGGAUAUUGACAAAUCAAACUUAAAGGAGGAAGAAUACCACUUGCUGCCUUUAGUACUUCUCAAGGAUAAUAUGAAUGGAUUGUGAUGUCUUUUGGACUAAAAUAUGCACCACAAGUAUUUUGAAGACGGAUGGAUAAAAUCUUCAAAGAAUUUCAUGAAUUCUGCAUUGUUUAUGUAGAUGAUAUAUUAAUAUUUUCAAAUAAUAGAUGAAACAAGAAUUGAUAUUUCUGAAAAAAUAUAUUUAUUUUCAGAUAAAUUAGAAUCUAAAGAACAGAUUCAAAGAAUUUUACGAUGUCUUAAUUAUGGUGAAGGAUUCAUAGAAAACUUAGCUAUUUGGUGGGGAAUUAUGGGUGCAGAUGUGGACCAAUGGUAUGGUGACACCAUGUAAAAAAGGGUCAAACAAGUGGAAGCAGAUUGUUUGACUAGGACACUAGGAUAACUCAAAGCAUGCAAGGAGAUAAGUUCAUUGAAAAUAAGGGUAGUUCCAGGAAAACACGUAAUGUCAAAGGAUAUAAUCGGAGUCUAGAUUUUUGGUAGUUGGAGGUGCACAUGAACAGUGCAUGCCAUUGUUUGUAAAAUCAAAAUAUCUUACUUUUAGUUAAAUGCAAAGAGCCAAUGGAAAGAGAGAUUCCUUGAAUGGGUAAUAAAGGGUUGCCACAUCAGCUACCUCUUGUAGUGGUCCAAAAAUUAGCAGGACCGCUAGCUGAAGAGAGGGCCACAUGUAAGAGGUAAGGGGCAAAAUGGUGGUUGAUGGUUCUUUCGCCUCCUUUGUAGAGGCGUGUCACUAUCUUAAGACCACAAGAGUAAUCUCUAAAAUACUCUCACCUGAGGCAGGGCAGCCAAUCAACAAGCCCCAUAUGUUCAGAAUUAUGAAAAGACCCUUAGUCACACUCUACAGAUGCUUGCCACACUUUCAAACGGUAAGCAUCUUUCAUCACUUAAAAACCUUGUUCUCAUCUUUUUCCUCAAAAGUUCAUAGAGUACAUUCACCAUUUUUGAUAGCUUUAAGGUCCAUUCUUAACCUUGAAGUAACUUUUUAUUACUCAAAGUCUAGUGAUGGAGUGUGGUCGCCGGCCACCACCAGCUCCACCUCUAACAUCCACGAUUGCUCUAUUUUGCAGGAUAUGUCUUGCUCAAGGUUGGUGGUCUUGCUCAAGGUUGGUGGUCUUCGUCCUCGUUUUUCAUCUCUUCUUUUUCUCUUUAUCAUUAAACACUUCACUCACACACCUAACCUCCAUAUCUUGUGACAAAACACCUCCAAACAUAAUAAGGCAUUCUUUCUUUCUCCUACUCACCUUUUAAACCACUCUCUUAUUGUUUUAUUUGGGGUUAUCCAAAAUCCCACUAAAAUAAUUAGCACCAUCUCGAUUGCCGAUUUUGGUAGGCAAUCUCCCAAUAAAGUGGUCUAUAUGCUCAAUUUCCAAGUGGUGGAUAAUCUAUUGGCCUAUAGUGUUUUUUUGGGUCGACCAUUUCUUGCUACCACUACAGCAACUAUUCCUAUGCACUACCUUUUUAUGAAAAUCCCAACUCUAAAAUAUGUGAUCAUUAUCAAGAGAAAUAUCAAUAGAUUGCUCGUCAAUGUUACACAACAACAUCAAAGGUUAGUGUUGAUUGAUUUUUAUAAUCAAUUAUUAUCAAUGAUAAUGUGCAAGUAUACACAAUAAGUAAUAAAGUGAUGAGUAUUCAAGAUCGUCUCCACAUGGAUUGAUGUUACUCAAAAUACUAAAGUAAUCACAAUAGUGCAAAUCAACUAAAGACUGAAACAACCAAUUGUCAAAUAAUUCUAUCGUAAUUAAUAAUUGCGAGAGAUGGAAAUAAAACAAUAUUGUAAUGAAAUAAACUAAGUUAAAUGUGUCUAAGAUUCAAUUGAGAAUAUAGUAGUUGAAUGAUCAAACUCUCCUAAUGGGGUGACUGUUGUUUACCAAAUUAGCACUAGUUGUUACAAUAAGUGUUGUAGCAUUGGGCAGAAUAAAUCUGCAUCCUCAGCUAUCGCAUGUUGGAAGUCUCAUACCUUUAAAUCUACUAACAAUGACCAAUUGCUCAUAUAUUUAUGGUACGACAUUAUAUCCUUUAAUCUCUCUACCCUACAAGGUGAACACUUAUGUCUAGAGUGUCACAAAUCUUAACUUCAAGUAUUGCCUUUAUAGGAUUCAAGAUAACCUAAUCCAGGAAACUUGACUUAAGAACAAGUAAUACUCUAAUAAUGUCUGCAAAGACAUGCCCUUUUCCUGCUCUAUCUUAACUGAAACUAUUAAAUGGGUGGUCAAUGUUGUGCAAAUUUUAUUGAACUCGCAAGUGCACGAAUCUAUUGUAGUAUAGAUCAACGGUGACAAGUGUCGAUCCCACGAGGAGGUGGAUUUUAAUUGUGUGGAGAAUUAAUUUUGUAAAUGGGUGAUUGGAUUUGUGAUGGAAAUAAUUUGGAAUAUGCUAAAACUUAAAUUAAAAUGGCGAGAAUAAAUUCUAAAAUUAGAAUUGAAAUGGCGAGAAUAAAUUGAAGAGAAUUCUAUUGAAAUGACGUACUUGGGUAUCUGGAUCCAUAUCAACAUGCAUCAUGGGCUAAAUAAUCCUUAUUAAUGCCAAUUAAAUCAUGAGGGGGGAAUCCACACCUCAUGAACCACGCUCUAAUCAAUAUAGUGCUAAGGACUUACUGUGCCAAAUAAUAAUAACCUUGUAUUAGGGAGUCGGUGAAACCAAGGCGGUACUAAAAAAGAUUAUUAUUAUUUGUUGACGAGAAGUCAAAACAUCCACAAAAACUAGAGGGGAAGAGAAAAUAAAUUUACCAAAUAAAGCCCAUGACACAUGUUGAGACUUCACCUUCAACCCAAACUUGAAAGAAAAUUAGCUACUCAUAAUUGAACUAGGGGCAAAAUGGGAAUUUAUUAAAAUAUGUAGAAAAUACAAGAUGGAGAGGGAAUUACAGAAAAUGGAGUCCAAAAUGGAUUCAGAGCUAUCAAAUUAGGGGGGAGAGGCCCCCUUUUUAUAGAUACAUGGAGUAAAUCAUGGCCAUUGGAUUAAAAACAGUUUGGACGCUCAGGAUUGCGCUAUGUCAUCAGUCAACAGUACGCGGUUUGACCACGUGGAUGAACAGUAAUACGGUUUGACCUGGGUUGAACAGUGAUGCGGUUUGGUUGAAAAUAAUCUUGUAUGAUGCAUGUACUGUACGCGAGAUUUUUCGUCCACUGAUAUGUUGGCACGUCACUAUCAACAGUACAUAAGAAUUUUAGCCCAACAGGAUCGUGACACCUCAUCAGUCAAUGCCACAUCAUCGGUCAAUGCCACAUCAUUAAUCCGUCUACGUGAACAGUGUCAUGAACAGUAACGUAGAUAGUACCGUACACGUGAAUAGUACCGUACAUGUGAAUAGUGCUAUUUUUCUUUUUAUGAUCCUCCUAAGGUUUUAGACCGUCCUGAGUUCAAAAGUGAUGUCCGUUUUGCCGUCUGAUCCCUCGUUUAUUGUGAAAUAACCAUGAUGCCCCUAAAAUACAUAAAAUACUUAAUUAAAAUAAAACACACAUAAUUAAAUUACAAGAAGUUUAAAUACAUAAAAGUAAGGGUUGUUAGUAAGACUUGAAAUGUAAAAUGAUGAUUUUCUCCUUUAUAAAUAUGCAUUUUCUAACACUCAACAGUCAACCGAAAUAACAGUUAUAUUCAUAAAAACUACUAGAGUAAAAUGCUACAGCAAUACCAUAACAACAUAUAAGAACAAUCAAGAACCCAUUGGAUUAUUUGUCACUCAACUACAAGUAAAUUUAGUUCAUAAUCUGGAUGAGAAAAAUAAACAUAAAUAUAUUGAUCUCAGAAUACAUCAAAACAAUUAAAGGAAGAAGAUAAAUAUAAGUUGAGCACGGUGAAAAUCAAAGCCAAGUAAUUCUGCACGAUUCUCUAAUGUUGCCGAAACAACUCUCUUCUUUUUCUGAUCUUCUUUUUCGUUCCUUUUUAAUUGUUCUAAUGAUAAUUCCCCUUGCCGCCUUUCUUUGUAGUAUUGCCUCCCUUUUAUAUUGCAAAUUAAGGUAAACACAAGCCCAUGAGCGUGCAUGCAUUAAAUUAGGAAACAUGUGCUGACCCGCAACUAAGUUUUCCCCCGCAUUUACUUCCAGAUUGCUACAGCACGAGUUGCUCUAACAUCCGCAACAGCACUGCAUUGCUCCUGAUUGUGUGUUUCUUCUUUUAUGGCCGUCUUCUUUCCUCCUCUUGCUCAUCUAAUGUCUCAACAUCCCCUCAUGAAUUAAGACUUUCCAAGAACCUACAAUUAUGCAUGUGUUUUUAGCACAAAUUACUAUGAUUCAAGCAAAACUUAUUAAUACUCAACUAAAAUGAAUGCUUAAGCAAAAUGUAAUCAAAACACCUUAUUUGUUCUCUAAAUGAUCUUGAUUCAAGUCUAAAAUUGAUGUAAUAACUCUCAUUUCCUAGAGUUAUCACACCCCCAAACUUAAACCAUUACUUGCCCUCAAGUAAUGACACAUACUAACAUUUCCCGCAAACAAACAUGCACACAACUUUAGCUCUUUUAUCAAAUUUGCAAGGAUUCUUCCACCUUCAGAUCACAAUCCCAAUCAUACAAAAUGUCCAUAGUAAAUCAGUUCUAGACUGAAGCUUAUUUCUGUCCAUAGUGUGUGUGUGCUUCCUUUGAUUGAAUUCCAGAUAUGUUGUAACAUCACCAAAGGACUGCAUAAAUUUCAGCAGUGAUAUACUUCAUUCAUAAAUGGGGUAGCAUAAAUUUCACAUACUCAAACUGUGAUUGUUUUAACAUUGAUAAAUUGAGGAGUAAUCAACCUCCUCACUGUAACAUUUAUCUUUCAUGUGAAUGUCAAUCACUUGUAAUGAUGACACCUAAUUACUCAAACUAUGUCCAGAUCAGAGUUGCUGCAGCAAUAUCUGUGGUAUAAUCUUAUCUAGAGGUAUCUUUUACUCAACGCUGAACAUGGGACUCAUGAACAGACCUGGCUACUCAAUGCCUUAGACAGAGGACUUCUUUUUCUCUUUUUUUUUUAACUUUUUUUUUUGCUACAACAUUGCUCAUAACUCUCGCUACCUUUUUACACAAUUCUGCAUAUGGGGUACAUACUCAGAUCUGGUUACUCAGCAACUUGAGCCAUUGGAGCAGAGUUUUAUUUCAUAAAUAUCACAGUCAAUCAACUUGCUUCUCCUUUCAAUCUUAAGAUAUUUUCUAUUCCUCUGGCUCUGCUCUAAAAGUCUCAUAGAACUCAACCAAAGUCUAAGUGUUGGAACUGAAUUUCACUUCUAUCUAUAACUAUCUCUACUUGGCAUUCUCAUAAAUACUGAAUAACACUUAAUUUAUCUUCAUUAGGUUUUCAAAUCCAUACACAAAUAACAGAUAACAGAGCUUCACACAACACAAACAUAAACACAUACAUAAACACAUGAAUUCAGAAAUGAUACCCCCAAACUUGAGAGAUGCAGUGUCCUCACAAGCAUACAUAACAAAGGCACAUAAACUGUCAAGGAUAUGGAAGACCUCAGAAAAUACCACACAAAUUGACAAACAAUUUUUUUUUUAAACAUGAACUAGUAAGGAAAGAGUACUCCCUUGAGGUGGGGACUGCAGCAAUGAUAGGAUGCUAUCAGCGCUUCUUGGAUGCACUGCGCAGCUUAUCCUUUGGUGAAGCUUUUGGGGAAGUGGCUGACAAUGUCUUUGUCUUUUUCACUGCGGGUCUGGUGAGAGGAGUUGUGGCUGGGGUUGCUAUAGCAGUAACUGUAGACAUACUGCCUUUUUGUUUGCUGGAUUGUCGCAGACUGGUGCGAAUAGGCUGGCUAAGAGUUUGCUGUGGAGGCUUUUGAGCUAAUGAAUCAGCUGCCUGACCUUCAGCUGUGAUGGCAGCAAUGACCGCAAAUAGUUGCUUGGCUUGCUCAGGUGUAGGCAUAGCUCUGGCUACUGCAGCAGCCAGCUCAGCAUCGACUUGUUCCAUCUCAUCUUCAGAGGUUAGAGGUGUUGCCAUUUUUGCUUUACCCUUGUCCUUUCUCUUGCUCGCAAGGACUGAAAUAGACAACUCCUCUUCAAGGUCUUCCUCCCCCUCUUCUUGAAUAAUGCGUUUUUUUCUGGUUUUGGGCUGGGUUGGGAUGGUUGGUUCCUCACGGUCUUUCUCCGAGUUGUCCUCUUCCUCUGCAGGUGACCUAUCAGUCUCAGACUUGUCACCUUCUUCCUCAGGCUGGUCAGAUGGUUCAGCAUCUUCUGAUUCUUCCUCUGCUUGUGGUUCGGCUGCAGCAUCUUCUGCUGGUUCCUCUGUGGCAGUGGUUUCUGUACUAGCCUCUGUUGGAGCAUCUGUGGUGUUGGUGUGUUUCAUGUACAGAGAAAAUUGGUGUAGUUGGUUGUCCAGGUGCUGGAGAUAGCUCCAAAACCGAUUGUUUUCCCGCUGCUGUGCUUCUGCACAUUGAGUUAUACUUGUGCUGAGUGCCUGGAUGGUCUGUUCUAAGCCAAUAACUCGUCUUGCUCCUAUCACAGCAGCUGGUUUAGUGGUUGUUCCAGCACUCUCACCAGCAACUCUCUCAAUGGUUCGUGCCGUAAAGGCACCAUCAUUCUUGACAUGGUCAUAUCUGGCGUCAAGACGAACACCUGAAACUACACAAAUGCUGGUGACGAGUGAGGGAAAUAGCAAGGCAGCAGUUCGGUGAUUCUUGACUGCACAAUCUCGGAUUUCUUUUGCAAUGAUGCUACCUACAUCUAUGAGAAGCCCUCGAACAAUGACAUAUAACUGGACCAACCUCUCUUGCGAAACUGUAGUAGUGUGAGUGGUGGGCAUAAGCCUAGAUUUCAGAAAUUUCACCCACACCUUAGCAAUAGGUUUCAAAUCUAUCCUAUUAACUACACGCCCUUCCUCGUUAGCCCAUGAUGCCCCUUCGAUUGUAAGAGUUGUGAAAAUGGUGAUCCACUUUAUCGGGGUUAACUUAUCAUGCAACUUAGCAUGCUCACAAGUAAUUUCAGCAGGUAAAUUAUAAAAAGCAUUGAUAACACGGGAGUCUAAUGGGACAAGUGUAUUUCUUACCCAAAUGUUGUGCUGAUCAGGGUUUACCAAAUUGGCAUAAAAUUCUUUGACUACAGGCAGCACAAGAUCUCGAGGGUGGUUGCAAAACUCUAGCCAUCCUCGAUUUGCUACAGCAUUAUGACUUGUUUGCACAAUUCCCGUGAGUUGGUUUGGAAAUUGAAACCCUUUUUCUUCCAAAAUCCUACACGGCUCUAUGAAUUCUUCAUAUUUUUCUUCAGCGUGGUAACUCUGGAAACGUGACGGAUCUUUGAGGCGGCUGGCUAUUUUCUUAUACCUCGGCUUUACUGUAGCAGUAACAAAUUAAGGCUACUGUUCCUGAGAGUAAAAAGAGAAGAAGAGGUUAAGAGUAAUGAGAGUUGUAUUUGCGAAGGGGAUGGGGAAUAGUGUCGUAGAGCACUAAGCACAGUGACUCCUUUUUAUAGUGGACUUUGAAUUAGAGAUAAAUACGGUAACUAGAGAUAAAUGAGGGAAGAAAAUAUUUUUAAAUUAAUGUGCAUAUCCCAAAAAUAUCGGCUAGUAAAAUUAAGGCAUUAAUUUCAGAAAUUUAUUCUCGAUUGCUAUCCACAUCCAGGCCUCCAUCUGUCAUGACUUAUCUCCAACGGCAAGUGAGAGGCUCCCUAUUUUAAUUUACUGUAAUGGUAAAAUUAGUUGUUGCAGCACCCAUUUGCUUACUCUAGCAACGGUUACAUGCUCCACACUAAAGCCUCUGACAUGUGGCUCGCCUCUACACUCUGCCACCACACAACCUCACUUGUCAAUAUGGAAUUCAAUUGUCACACAUACUUCCCACAAAUUCAAAUUAAUUCUAACAUUUAAAAAUAAAUAGAUCAAAUAAUAGCAAAAGUAAAUAAUGCAAUAAUUUGAAAAGAUAAAAUUAAAUAGCUAGAAUGAAAGAACAAAAUUAAAUAAAAUGGUAAAGAGGGAGAGCUGUCAACAAAACCAAAGGAGAUCACAAUUGGUUUGAAGUGGUUGUCUCCUCAAUGGGCUGCCUCCCAUGGAGCGCUUGAUUUAAGGUCCUUCAGCCUGACAUUCUUUCAUUGUUCAAUAGCUGGGUUCUUUAAGGAGUAACCCCUCCUUUGAACAUUCUGCUGCUGGAUGAAUGUAAUGCUUAACCCUAUGUCCAUUAACUUUGAAUUUGUGGCCUGUUUGUUCAUCUAGACGAUCAACAGCUCCAUGACGAUAAGAUUUUAACAGCUUAAACGGGCCAUACCAUCGUGAUUUGAGCUUUCCCGGAAAUAAUCUUAGUCUUGUAUUGUGGAGCAACACUAAUUGACCAGGGUUGAAUUUCCUGAGCUGAAUAUGCUUGUCGUGCCAAUGUUUUGUCAUCUCUUUAUAGAUUCUUGCAUUUUCAUAUGAAAAUAGCCGUAAUUCAUCAAGCUCACAAAGUUGAAGUUUCCUUUGCUUUGCUACAACAUGCAUAUCCCAAUUUAAUUUCUUCAGUGCCCAAUGUGCUUUAUGCUCUAGCUCUAGUGGCAAAUCACAAGCUUUGCCAUAAAUAAUUCGGUAAGGAGACAUGCUGAGUGGAGUUUUGUAUACUGUUCUGUAGGCCCAUAGAGAGUUAUGCAAGUGUAAAGACCAAUCAUUCCUUGUUGGGUUCACCACUUUUUCUAAGAUCUUUUUAAUUUCUCUGUUGGACACUUCAGCCUAACCAUUGGAUUGUGGGUGAUAUGUUGUUGCUACCUUGUGUUUGAAUCCAUAUUUUGCCAUUGCUGCAGCAAAGAUUUUGUUGCAAAAAUGUGUACCCUCGUCACUAAUAAUUGCUCUAGGAGUGCCAAAUCUGGAAAAAAUAUUUUUAUGAAGAAAAGCCACCAUUGUUUUAGCAUCAUUAGUAGGUAAUGUUGCAGCUUCUACCCACUUGGAGACAUAAUCCACAGCAAUAAGGAUAUAUAAGUUCCCAAAGGAUGGUGGGAAGGGUCCUAUAAAAUCUAUUCCCCAGACAUAAAAAACUUCCACUUCUAGAAUGUUAGUCAAUGGCAUUUCCGGUCUUUUAGUCAUGUUCCUUGUCCUUUGGCACCUGUCACAACAUUUAACAAAUUCAUAAGCAUCUUUAAAAAUAGUUGGUCAGUAAUAACCUGAUUGCAGAACUUUGGCAGCUGUUUUGUGACCACCAAAAUGUCCUCCAUAUGCUGCAGCAUGACAUGACUCCAGUAUAUGGGGAAUCUCUCCUGCUGUAACACAUCUUCUUAUUACUUGAUCUGAGCACAGCUUAUAUAAAUGUGGGUUAUCCCACUGAUAACUUCUAACAUCAUGAAGAAAUUUCUUUUUCUCUUGAAACUUCAGCUCAGGUGGUAGCAACCCACUUACUAAAUAGUUAGUAAAAUCUGUAUACCAUGGAGAUUCUGACUGCUGCAGCAUUUGUGCUUGCUGUUCUACCAAUAGCUGUUCAUCAGGAAAAGUUUCAGUGAUGUCUUUCCUGGUCAAUGUGCUUGUGUCUGCAUCCAGCCGUGACAGGUGCUCUGAUAGUUGAUUCUCAGUCCCCUUUCUAUCUUUAAUUUCCAGAUCAAAUUCUUGAAGCAAUAAGAUCCAUCUAAUUAAUCUUGGCUUUGCAUCCUUCUUUGAAAUUAAGUAUUUGAUUGCUACAUGGUUUGUAUAUACAGUCACUCUAGUGCCUACUAAGUAGGCUCUGAAUUUGUCAAAAGCAAAUACUACUGCUAGCAACUCUUUCUCUGUAGUGGUAUAAUUGAUUUGAGUUUGAGUGAGAGUUUUGCUUACAUAGUAGAUGGAGUGAAAAAAUUUAUCCUUUCUUUGCCCUAAUACUGCUCCCACAGAGUGAUCACUAGCAUCACACAUCAAUUCAAAUGGUAAAGUCCAGUCUGGAGAUAUAACGACUGGAGCAGUGAUCAGAGCUUUCUUUAAUUUUCCAAAUGCUUGAAGGCAAUCUUUGUCAAAGUGAAAUGGCUUGUCAUGCUCCAGCAAUGAACACAGUGGUUUAGCUACUUUGGAAAAAUCCUUAAUGAAUCUUCUGUAGAAUCCAGCAUGACCCAAAAAACUCCUAAUACCCUUUACUGAAGUUGGAGGUGGCAGUUUAUCUAUUACCUCUAUCUUGGCUUUGUCUACCUCAAUAUCAUCCUUGGAUAUCUUGUGACCCAGCACUAUUCCUUCUUGCACCAUGAAAUGACACUUUUCCUAAUUGAGUACUAAGUUGGUCAUCUCACAUCUUUUAAGAACUUCUUCCAAGUUGUGUAAACAAUCAUUGUAUGUUUCUCCAAAAAUUGAGAAGUCAUCUAUAAAAACUUCCAAAGUCUGCUCUACCAUAUAAGAAAAUAUAGAAAUCAUGCAUCUCUGAAAAGUUGCUGGAUCAUUGCAUAGCCCAAAUGGCAUUCUUCUGAAGUCAAAUGUUCCAUAGGGACAAGUAAAUGUAGUCUUCUCUUAAUCCUCUGGAGCUAUAGCAAUCUGGUUGUAGCUUGAAUACCCAUAUAAGAAACAGUAGUACUGUUUUCCAACAAGUCUGUCCAACAUCUGAUCUAUGAAUGGAAGUGGGAAAUGAUCUUUCCUUAUGGCUUUGUUGAGCUUUUUAUAAUCCAUACAUACUCUCCAUCCAGUCACUGUCCUUGUAGGAAUAAGUUCAUUCUUCUCAUUAGCUAUUACUGUUAUCCCUCAUUUCUUUGGAACACAUUGAACUGGGCUCACCCAUGAACUGUCUGAUAUUGGGUAUAUGAUUCCAGUAUCCAACCAUUUUAUGAUUUCCUUCUUCACCACUUCUUUCAUAAUAGGAUUCAGCCUUCUCUGGUGCUCCACCGAAUUGCUGGAACAAUCUUCUAAUAGGAUUUUAUGCAUGCAUAUUGAUAGGCUUAUCCCCUUUAUAUUUGUCAUAGUCCAUCCAAUUGCUCUUCUGUAUUUUCCUAGCAAAUCUACUAGACUCUGUUCUUGACUUGCAUCCAAAGUAGAAGAAAUGAUUACAGGGAGUGUGUUGUUUUGACCAAGAUAAGCAUACUUCAAAUGUGAAGGUAACCGUUUUAAUUCAAAACUAUGAGGUGAUUCAAUAGAUGGUAAAGUUGUUUUUACUUCCCUGUCUGAAAGAUUCAGGUGUUCAAUAAACUUGUUGUGCCUAUCAGAUUGCUGUUUGUCCAUCCAAUCUGUCUGGAUUGCUGCAACAUCUUCCUCUUCGACAUCCUCAAAGCUGGUGACUUUGUUAAGUGCAUUACUACAGCAUCUGUCCAUUCUGUCUGCUACAACAAAAUCCACUACACUUAGGAAAUUGCAAUCUUCUACUUCAUCAGGGUUCCUCAUAGCCUCUAGUACAUUAAAUGUGACUUGCUGAUCAUUCACUCUCAUGGUGAGCUCUCCUUUCUGCACAUCUAUCAUAGUCUUUCCAGUUACUAAAAAAGGUCUUCCAAGUAUAAUGGGUACUUCUUUAUCAGCUUCAAAGUCCAAUACAAUGAAAUCCACUGGAAAGAUGAAUUUGUCAACCUUCACCAAUACAUCCUUUAUCUUUCCUUCAGGGUAUGCAUGAGAUCUGUCAGCUAAUUGCAAAGUGAUUGUUGUUAGUCUGCAUUCCCCUACUCCCAGUUGCUUAAAUACAGAUAAUGGCAUCAAAUUAAUACUAGCUCCCAAGUCACAAAGUGCUCUGCCAGCAUUCUAGUUCCUAUAGAGCAGGGUAUUGUAAAACUCCCUAGAUCUUUCAAUUUUGUGGGAAUUUUACUCUGGAGCAUAUGACUGCUUUUCUGUGUUAAAGUAACAGUUUCAAACUCUCCCAGCCUUAUUUUUUGUGCCAAUAUAUCUUUUAGAAAUUUCACAUAAUUUGACAUUUGCUCUAAAGCUUCCACAAAAGGUAUAUUUAUGUGCAGUUGCUUCAGCACUUCUAGGAAUUUACUGAACUGCUUGUCUUGUUUUUGCUUUUGGAACCUUUGUGGGAAAGGUGGUAGAUGUCUAAACUGUUGGGUAGCUUCAGGAGAUAUCAAACUCUGUUUGUUUGGUUUGGUGCAGGUUGUGACUACUGGUAUUGCAACUUCUUUUUUAGCAUGCUCUGGUUGAAUUUCCUCUGUAGUUGUUGUAGCUUGGCUCAUGUAACCAGCGUCUUGAAGGGGAGGUUAUUGUAACAUGCUUCCAUUUUGAGGUAAUUUUUGUGCUGAAUUGAAUUCCAUCCCAUUUUUUGUUACAAUUUUGACACCAACACCACAGGUGCUCUAGCAACAGCCAGUGAAGAAGCCACUGCCACAGAUGAACCAGCAGAAGAAGCUGCAGUCGAACCACAAGCAGAGGCAAAAUCAAAAGAUGCUGAACCAUCUAAUCCACAUGAGGAAGAAGGUGACAAGUCUAAAACAGAUAGCUCACCCACAGAGGCUCGGAAAAAGAACAUGAAGAACCUUCCAUCCCCACCCAGUCCAAAAUCAGGAAAAAAUACAUUAUUCAAGAAGAGGAGGAAGAGGACCUUGAAGAGGAACCGUCUAUUCUAGUCCUUGCAAGCAAGGGAAAGGACAAGGGUAAAGAAAAAAUGGCAACACCUCCAGCCUUUGAAGAUGAAAUGGAGCAAGUUGAUGCCGAGCUGGCUGUUGUAGCAGCCAGAGUUACGCCUACACCUGCACAAGCCAAUCAACUACUUGUUAUCAUUGCUGCCAUCACGGCUGAGGCACAAGCUGCGCAUAUUUGUAUAUGGAUUUGAAAACCUAAUGAAGAUAAAUUGAGUGUUAUUUAGUAUUUAUGAGAAUACCAAGUAGAGAUAGUUAUAGAUGAAAGUGAAAUUCUGUCCCGACACUUAGACUUUGGUUGAAUUGUAUGAGACUGCUAAAGUAGAGCUAAAAGAAUAAAAAAGAUCCUAAGUUUUGGGGGAGAAGCAAGUUUGAUUGACUGUGAUAUCUACGAAAUACACUUUGUUCCAAUGACUCAAGUUGUUGAGUAACCAGAUCUGAGUAUGUACCCCAUAUGUAGAAUUGUGUUCAAAAGUAGCAAGAGUUAUGAGCAAUGUUGUAGCAUAUUUUUUUUUUUAAAAAAAAGUCAUCUGUCUAAGGCAUUGAGUAGCCAGGUCUGUUCAUGAGCCCCAUGUUCAGCCUUGAGUAAAAGAUACCUCUAGAUAAGAUUACAUUACAGAUAUUGCUGCAGCAACCCUGAUCUGGGCAUGGUUUGAGUAAAUGGGUGUCAUCAUUACAAUUGAUUGACAUUCACAUGAAAGAUAAAUGUUACAGUGAGGAGGUUGAAUAUUCCUUAGUUUAUCAAUCUUAAAAUCAUCACAGUUUGAGUAUGUGAAAGUUAUGUUACCCCAUUUAUCAAUGAAGUAUUCUUACUACUGAAAUUCAUGCAGUCCCUUGGUGAUGUUAUAGCAUCUCUGGAAUUCAAUCGAAGGAGCACACACACACUAUGGACAGAAAGAAGCUUAAGUCUAGAAAUAAUUUACUAUGGUCAUCUUGCAUGAUUGGGAUUGUGAUCUGAAGGUGGAAGAAUCCUUGCAAAGUUGAUAAAAGAGCUAAAGUUGUGUGCAUGAUUGUUUGCGUGAAGUGUUAAUAUGUGUCAUUACUUGAGGGCAAGUAAUGGUUUAAGUUUGGGGGUGUGAUAACUCUAGGAAAUGAGAGUUAUUACAUCAAUUCUAGACUUGAAUCAAGAUCACUUAGAGAACAAAUAAGGUAUUUUUAUUACAUUUUAGUUACAUUUUGAAUAAACAUUCAUUUUAGUAGAGUCUUAAUAAGUUUUGCUUGAAUAAAAGUAAUUUGUGCUAAAAAUAUCUGCAUAAUCGUAGGUUUUCGGAAAGUCUAAAUUCAUGAGGGGAUGUUGAGACAUUAGAAGAGCAAGAGGAGGAAAAAAGAUGGCCACAAAAGAAGUAAAGCACAAUCGGGAAUAAUGCAGUGUUGCUGCGGAUGUUAGAGCAACCAGUGCUGUAGCAAUCUGGGAGUAAUACGGGAGAGAACUUAGGCGCGGGUCAACGACAGAAGCGCAAUCUGCAUGUUUCCUAAUUUAAUGCAUGCAUGCUUAUGGGCUUUCAUUUACCCUAAUUUGCAAUAUAAAAGAGAGGCGUGCAACACAUAGAAGGGCGGCAAGGAAUUACCAUCAGAAUAAUUACCAAGGAAAGAAGAAGAAGAUCAGAAUUGGAGAGUGUUGUUUCGGCAACAUUGAAGAAUCGUGCAGACUUAUUUGGAUUUGUCUUUCACCGUGCUCAACUUAUAUUUCUCUUCUUCCUUUAAUUGUUUUGAUGUAUCCCGUGAUUAAUAUAUUUAUGUUUAUUUUUCUCAUUCAGAAUAUGAACUAAAUUUACUUGUAGUUCAGUGAAAAAUAAUCCAAUGGGUUCUUGACUGUUCUUAUAAUGUCGUACCAUAAAUAUAUUAGCAACUGGUCAUUGUUAAUAGAUUUAAAGGUAUGAGACUUCCAAUAUGUGAUAGCUGAGGAUGCAGAUUUAUUCUACCUAGUGCUGCAACACUUGUUGUAACAACUGGUGCUAACUUGAUAAACAACAGUCACCCCAUAAGGAGAGUUUGAUCAUUCAACUACUAUAAUCUCAAUUGAAUCUUAGACACAUUUAACCUAUUUUAUUUCCUUACAGUAUUGUUUUAUUUAAAUCUCUCACAAUCAUUAAUUACGAUAGGUAUUACUUGACAAUUGAUUGUUACGGUCUUAAGUUGAUUUGCACUAUUGUGAUUGCUUUAGCAUUUCGAGUAACAUCAAUCCCUGUGGAGACGAUCUUGAAUACUCAUCACUUAAAUUACUUGUUGUGUAUACUUGCACAUUGGCAUUGGUAGUAAUUGCUUAUAAAAACUAACCAACAAGUUUUUAGCGCCAUUGUCGGGAAUUGAUUGUUUAUUUUUUAAGUAUGAAGUAAAUCUUGAUAGCGCCAAAUUUGAUUUGAUUCAUUAUAUUUAUUGGCAGAUCGGUACAUGCAUGCGCAAUGACAGAUCUGUGGUAUCCAAUUCUAUCCUGAGAUUGAAAGGACUGUCAGGAGACUGCGAAGAGAACAAAGGAAUUCAAAAAUUGUUUCAAGCAUGAAUAAUUUGCAAGAUGCGGGAAAUUUGAAUCCUCACGGGCCCUUACAACCAGUCAACAUUCAAGAAGAGCAGAAUGAACAAGCUAACGGGAGACAGCCAGGCAAUAACAAUAUUAUUUACAUGGCUGAUGACAGAGACAGAGCUAUAAGAAAUUAUGUUGUGUUAACUCCUCAAGUUGUACACCCUGGCAUCAUCAGACCUGAAGUAGAAGCUGCAAAUUUUGAGUUGAAGCCAGUGAUGUUUCAAAUGUUGCAAACAGUUGGUCAAGUCAAUGGAUUGCCAAAUGAAGAUCCUUAUCUCCAUCUUAAAUUGUUCUUGGAAGUAAGUGAUGCUUUCAAGAUUGCUGGAGCAACACAAGAUACCUUAAGGCUGAGACUCUUUCCUUAUUCCUUAAGAGAUCAAGCAAGAGCAUAGUUAAAUUCGUUACCAUCUGAUUCCAUCACUACAUAGAAUGAAUUGGCUGAUAAAUUCCUAAUGAAAUAUUUCCCACCUACAAAAAAUGCAAAGUUGUAGAAUGAGAUUACUUCCUUCCAUCAACUUGAAGAUGAGAGUUUGUACGAGGCUUGGGAAAGAUUCAAAGAAUUGCUCAGAAGGUGUCUUCAUCAUGGUAUUCCCUGUUGCAUUCAAUUAAAAAUUUUUUACAAUGGGUUGAAUCCGAGUACAAGGUUAACGGUGGAUGCUUCAGCAAACGGAGCCCUGUUAUCCAAAUCUUACACUGAAGCUUAUCAAAUUCUGGAGAGAAUUGCCAAUAAUAAUUAUCAGUGGCCUUCAGCCAGGCAACCAGCAGCAAGAGGAUCAGCAGGGGUACAUAACAUAGAUGCAAUUACAACCUUAUCAGCACAAGUAACCUCAUUGACUAACAUGGUAAAGGCCAUGACAUCUGCUCCAGCAACAGUAAAGCAAGUUGCUGAACUUUCUUGUGUAUAUUGUGGUGAAGAACAUGACUUUGAUAAUUGUCCUGGAAAUCUAGUUUCAGUAAACUAUGUGGGUAAUUUCAAUCGACAACCUCAGAACAACCUAUAUUCAAAUACUUACAACCCUGGCUAGAAGCGACACCCAAAUCUCUCAUGGAGUAGUCAGAAUCGAAAUGCUCCAGCAUUAAAUGGACAAAAUAGAAACACACAACCACCUGGUUUUCAUUAACAAAGUCAAGGGCAAAAGCAUAUCAGUCACGAUACAAUCAUUUCACUAGAAGCACUGAUUAAGGAGUAAAUGCAAAGAAUGAAGCAAUUGUGCAGAGUCAAGCUAUAUCCUUAAGAAACCUGGAAAACCAAAUGGGACAACUAGCCACAGCAAUGAGCAGCAGGAACUCAAGGAAAGCUACGUAACAACACAGAAAGACCCUAGAAGAGAGAGCAAAGAACACUGCAAGGCAAUUAAUUUGAGAUCUGGAAAAGAAUGUUGAUACCCCAGUUGAUGUGACAAAAAAUGAGACAAAAUUUCAAUUCAGCACAAAAACCACCUCAAAAUGGAAGCAUGUUACAACAAGCCCCCCAUCAAGACACUGAUUACAUGAGCCAAGCUACAGUAACUGCAGAGGAAAAUCAACCAGAACAUGCUGAAAAAGAAGUUCCAACACUAGUAGCCACAACCUGCACCUACCCAAACAAACAAGGUUCGCUACCCCUUGAAGCCACCCAUCAGUUUAGACAUCCACCACCUUUCUCACAAAGUUCUAGAAGCAAAAACAAGACAAGUAGUUCAGCAAAUUCCUAGAAGUGCUGAAGUAAUUACAUAUAAAUAUACCUUUUGUGGAAGUUUUGGAGCAAAUGCCAAAUUAUGUGAAAUUUCUAAAAGAUAUCUUGGCACGAAAAAGAAGGCUGGGAGAAUUUGAAACUGUUGCUUUAACACAGGAAAGCAGUCAUAUGCUCCAAAGUAAGAUUCCUCCAAAAGUGAAAGAUCCAGAGAGUUUUACAAUACCCCGCUCUAUAGGAACUAGGUAUGCUGGCAGAGCACUUUGUGACCUGGGAGCCAGUAUUAGUUUGAUGCAAUUAUCUGUAUUUAAGCAACUAGGAGUAAGGGAAUGUAGACUAACAACAGUCACUCUGCAAUUAGCUGACAGAUCUCAUGCAUACCCUGAAGGUAAAAUAGAGGAUGUACUGGUGAAGGUUGACAAAUUCAUAUUUCUAGUGGAUUUCAUUGUACUGGACUUUGAAGCUGAUAAAGAGGUACCCAUUAUACUUAGAAAACCUUUUCUAGUAACUAGAAAGACUUUGAUAGAUGUGCAGAAAGGAGAGCUCACCAUGAGAGUGAAUGAUCAGCAAGUCACAUUUAAUGUACUAGAGGCUAUAAGGAACCUUGAUGAAGUAGAAGACUGUAAUUUCCUAAGUGUAAUGGAUUUUGUUGUAGCAAACAGAAUGGACAGAUGCUACAGUAAUGUAUUUGACAAAGUCACUACCUUUGAUGAUGUAGAAGAGGAAAAUGUUGCAGCAAUUUAGACAGAUUGGAUGGAAAAAAAGCAAUCUGAUAGGCACAACAGGUUUAUUAAACAUCUGAAUCUUUCAGACAGGGAAGUAAAAACAACUUUACCAUCUAUUGAAUCACUUCCUAGUCUUGAAUUAAAAUUGUUACCUUCAUAUUUGAAGUAUGCUUAUCUUGGUCAAAACAACACACUUCCUGUAAUCAUUUCUUCUACUUUGGAUGCAGGUCAAGAACAAAGUCUAAUAGAUUUGCUUGGAAAAUACAGAAGAGCAAUUGGAUGGACCAUGUCAGAUAUAAAAAGGAUAAGCCCAUCAAUAUACAUGCAUAAAAUCCUGUUAGAAGAUUGCUCCAGCAAUUCGGUGGAACACGAGAGAAGGUUGAACCCUAUUAUGAAAGAAGUGGUGAAGAAGGAAAUCAUCAAAUGAUUGGAUGCUGGAAUCAUAUACCCAACAUCAGAUAGUUCAUGGGUGAGCUCAGUUCAAUGUGUUUUAAAGAAAGGAGGGAUAACAGUAAUAGCUAAUGGGAAGAAUGAACUUAUUUCUACAAGGACAGUGACUGGUUGAAGAGUAUGUAUGGAUUACAGGAAGCUAAACAAAGCCACAAGGAAGGACCACUUUUCACUGCUAUUCAUAGAUCAGAUCUUUGACAGACUUGCUGGAAAACAAUAUUAUUGUUUCUUAGAUGGGUAUUCAGGCUACAACCAGAUUGCUAUAGCUCUAGAGGAUCAGGAGAAAACUACAUUUACUUGUCCUUAUGGAACAUUUGCUUUCAGAAGAAUGCCCUUUGGGUUAUGCAAUGCUCCAGCAACUUUUCAGAGAUGCAUGAUGUUUAUAUUUUUUGAUAUGGUAGAGAAAACAGGAGAAAAGUUUUCAUGGAUGACUUUGUUUUUGGAGAAACAUACAAUGAUGGUUUAUACAACUUAGAAGAAGUUCUUAAAAGAUGUGCGAUGACCAACUUAAUACUCAAUUAGGAAAAGUGCCAUUUCAUGGUGCAAGAAGGAAUAGUAUUGGGUCACAAGAUAUCAAAGAAUGACAUUGAGGUAGACAAAGCCAAGAUAGAGGUAAUAGAUAAAUUGCCACCUCCAACUUUAGUAAAGGGUAUUAGGAGCUUUUUGGGUCAUGCUGGAUUUUACAGAAGAUUCAUUAAGGAUUUUUCCAAAGUAGCUAAACCAUUAUGCUCAUUGUUGGAACAUGACAAGCCCUUUCACUUUGACAAAGAGUGUUAUUAAGCAUUUAGAGAAUUAAAGAAAGCUCUGAUCAUUGCUCCAGUAAUUAUAUCUCCAUACUGGACUUCACCAUUUAAGUUGAUGUGUGAUGCUAGUGAUCAUUCUGUGGGAGCAGUAUUAGGGCAAAGAAAGGAUAAGGUUUUUCACUCCAUAUACUAUGCAAGCAAAACUCUUACUCAAACUCAAAUCAACUACACCACUAUAGUAAAAGAGUUGCUAGCCGUAGUAUUUGGUUUUGACAAAUUCAGAGCCUACUUGGUGGGCACUAGAGUGACUGUAUAUACAGACCAUGCAGCCAUCAGAUACUUAAUUUCAAAAACGGAUGCCAAGCCAAGAUUAAUCAGAUGGAUCUUAUUGCUACAAGAAUUUGAUCUGGAAAUUAAAGAUAGAAAGGGGACCGAGAAUCAAGUAGCAGACCACCUGUCAGGGCUGGAAGCAGACACAAACACAAUGACAAGGAAAGACAUCACUGAAACUUUUCCUGAUGAACAGCUGUUGGUGGUACAACAAGCACAAAUGCUGCAGCAGUCAGAUUCUCCAUGGUAUGCAGACUUUGCUAACUAUUUAGUAAGUGGGUUGCUACCGCCUGAGCUGAAAUUUCAAGAGAAAAAUAAAUUUAUUCAGGAUGUUAGAAGUUAUCAGUGGGAUGACCCACGUUUAUACAAGCUGUGCUCAGAUCAAGUAAUACGAAGAUGUGCUGCAGAAUGAGAGAUUCCCCACAUACUGGAGUCAUGUCAUACUGCAGCAUAUGGAGGACAUUUUGGUGGUCACAGAACAGCUGCUAAAGUACUGCAAUCAGGUUAUUACUGGCCCACUAUUUUUAAAGAUGCUUAUGAAUUUGUUAAAUAUUGUGACAGGUGUCAAAGGACAGGAAACAUAACUAGGAGACAUGAAAUGCCAUUGACUAACAUUCUAGAAGUGGAAGUUUUUUAUGUCUGGGGAAUAGAUUUUAUGGGACCUUUCCCACUAUCCUUUGGGAACUUAUAUAUCCUUGUUGCUGUGGAUUAUGUCUCCAAGUGGGUAGAAGCUACAACAUUGCCUACCAAUGAUGCUAAAACAGUAGUGGCUUUUCUUCAGAAAAAUAUUUUUUUUCAGGUUUGGCACUCCUAGAGCAAUUAUUAGUGAUGAGGGUACACAUUUUUGUAACAAAGUCUUUGCUGCAGCAAUGGUAAAAUAUGAAGUCAGACACAAGGUAGCAACAACAUAUCACCCACAGUUUAAUGGUCAGGCUGAAGUGUCCAACAGAGAAAUUAAAAAGAUCUUAGAAAAAGUGGUGAACCCAACGAGGAAGGAUUGGUCUUUACACUUACAUGAUUCACUAUGGGCCUAUAAAACAUCAUACAAAACUCCACUCGGCAUGUCCCCUUACCGAAUUGUUUAUGGAAAGGCUUGUCAUUUGCCACUAGAGCUAGAGUAUAAAGCACAUUGGGUACUGAAGAAAUUAAAUUGGGAUAUUCAUGCUGCAGCAGAGCAAAGAAAGCUUCAACUUUGUGAGCUUGAUGAAUUACGGCUAUUUUCAUAUGAAAAUGCAAGAAUCUAUAAAGAGAGGACAAAACACUGGCACACAAGCAUAUUCAACACAGGCAAUUCAACCCUGGUCAAUUAGUGUUGCUCCACAACACAAGACUAAGAUUAUUUCCGGGAAAGCUCAAGUCACGAUGGUCUGGCCCAUUUAAGCUGUUAAAAUUUUAUCCUCAUGGAGCUGUUGAUCUUCAAGAUGAACAAACAGGUCAAGAAUUCAAGGUUAAUGGAUACAGGGUUAAGCACUACAUACAUCCAGCGGCAGAUUGUUCAAAGGAGGUGUUACUCCUUAAAGAACCCAGCUAUUGAUCAAUGAAAGAAGGUCAGGCUGAAGGACCUUAAAUCAAGCGCUCCAUGAGAGGCAACCCAUUAUGGAGACAACCACUUCAAACCAACUUUGAUCUCCUUUGGUUUUGUUGACAGCUCUCCCUCUUUACCAUCUUAUUUAAUUUUGUUUUUCUAUGCUAGCCAUUUAAUUUUUUGUUUUGCUAUCAUUUGAUCUAUUUAUUUUUAAAUAAUUUUAGAAUUAAUUUUAGUUUGUGGGAAGUAUGUGUGACAAUUGAAUUCCAUAUUGACAAGUGAAAGUGUAUGGUGGCAGAGUGCAGAGGUGAGCCACGUGUCAGAAGCUUUAGUGUGGAGUAUGUAUCCGUUGCAAGAGUAAGCGAAUGGGUGCUGCAGCAACACAUUUUACUGUUACAGUAAAUUAAAAGAUGGAGCCUCUCACUUACCGUUGGAGAUAAAAUCGUGACAGAUGGAUGCAUGGAUGUGGAUAGAAAUUGCGGAAUAAAAUCUCCGAAAUUAAUGCCUUAAUUUCACUGGCCGAUGUUUUUGGGAUAUGCACAUUUAAUUCAAAAUAUUUUCUUCCCUCAAUUAUCUCUAGUUACCGUAUUUAUCUUCAAUGAAAGUCCACUAUAAAAAGGAGUCACUGUGCUUAGUGCUACGACACUAUUCCCCAUCUCCUUCGCAAGUACAAGUCUCCUAAUUCUUAUCAUCUUCUUCUCAUUUUACUCUCAGGAACAUUAGCUUCAAUUUGUAACUACUACAGCAAUGCCGAGGUAUAAGAAAACAGCCAGCCGCCUCAAAGAUCCGUCACGCUUCCAAAGUUACCACGCCGAAGAAAAAUAUGAAGAAUUCAUAGAGCCGCGUAAGAUUCUAGAAGAAAAAGGGUUUCAAUUUCCAGAACAACUCACUGGAAUUGUGCAAACAAUUCACAAUGCUGCGGCAAAGCGCAGAUGGUUAGAGUUUUACAACCACCCUCGAGAUCCUGUGCUGCCAGUAGUCAAAGAAUUUUACGCCAAUUUGGUAAGCCUUGAUCAGCACAACAUUUGGGUAAGAAACACACUUGUUCCAUUAGACUCUCACGUAAUAAAUGCUUUUUAUAAUUUACCUGCUGAAAUUAAUUGUGAGUAUGCCAAGUUGCUUGAUAAAUUGACCCCGAAAAAGUGGAACACCAUUUUCACAACUCUUACAAUCGAAGGAGCAUCAUGGGCUAAUGAGGAAGGGCGUGUAGUUAAUAAGAUAGAUUUGAAACCUAUUGCUAAGGUAUGGGUAAAAUUUCUGAAAUCUAGGCUUAUGCCUACCACUCACAAUACUACGGUUUCACAAGAGAGGUUGGUCUUGUUAUAUGUUAUUGUUCGAGGGCUGCCCAUAGAUGUGGGUAGCAUCAUCGCAAAAGAAAUUCGGGAUUGUGUAGUUAAGACUCACCGAACUGCUGUCUUGCUAUUCCCGUCACUCAUCACCAGCAUUUGUGUAGUUUCUGGUGUUCGUCUUAACGCUAGAGAUGAACAUGUCAAGAAUGAAGGUGCCUUUACGGCACGUGCCAUUGAGAGAGUUGCUGGUGAGAGUGCUGGAACAACCACUGAACCAGCUGUUGUAACAGAAGUAAGAUGAGCUAUUGGCUUAGAACAGACGAUCCAAGCACUCAGCACCAGUAUAACUCAAUGUGUGGAAGCUCAGCAGAGGGAAAACAAUCGGUUUUGGAGUUAUCUACAACACCUGGACAACCAACUACACCAAUUUGCUCUGUACAUAAAACGCACUCACCGAAACUUCCAUGAUUCCUUGCUCCAGCAGUACAAUUUUGACACCAAUACCAUAGGUGCUCUAGCAGUAGCCAGUAAAGAAGCCACUGCCACAGAUGAACCAGCAGAAGAAGCUGCAGCCGAACCACAAGCAGAGGCAGAAUAAGAAGAUUCUGAACCAUUUAAUCCACCUGAAGAAGAAGGUGACAAGUCUAAAACAGAUAGCUCACCCACAGAGGCAGAGGACAACUCGGAGAAAGAAUGUGAAGAACCUUCCAUCCCCACCCAGUCCUAAACCAGGAAAAAGCACAUUAUUCAAAAAGAGGAGGAGGAGGACCUUGAAGAGAAACCAUCUAUUCCAGUCCUUGCAGGCAAGGGAAAGGACAAGGAUAAAGCAAAAAUGCCAACACCUCCAGUCUUUGAAGAUGAAAUGGAGCAAGUUGAUGCCGAGCUGGCUGCUGCAGUAGCCAGGGUUACGCCUACACCUGCACAAGCCAAGCAACUACUUGCUAUCAUUUCUGCUAUCACAGCUAAGGGACAGGCAGCUGACGCAUCAACUCCAAUUCCUCUACAGCAAACUCCUAGCCAGCCUAUUCGUACUAGUUCGCGACAAUCCAGCAAGAGAAAAGGCAGUACGUCUAAAGGCACUGUUACAGCAACCCCAGCCACAACUCCUAUCACCAGCCCCGUGAAGAAAAAGACAAAGACAUUGCCAGCUACUUCCCCACAAGCUUCACCAAAGACAAGUUGUGCAGUGCAUCCAAAAAGUGCUGAUAGCAACCCGUCAUGUGCCGCAGUUCCCACCACAGGGGAGUUUUCUUUCUUUGCUAGUUCCUUUCAUUCUUAAAAAAAAAAUAUGUUUGUCAAAUUACGUGGUAUUUUCUAAAGUCUUUCAUAUCCCUGUCAGCUCGUAUGCCUUUGCUAUGUCUGCUUGUGAGGACACAGACACUCUCAAGUUUGAGGGGGUUGUGUUUCCAAAUGCAUUUGUUUAUGUUUGUGUUGUGUGAAGCUAUGUUAUCUAAUAUUUGUGUAUGGAUUUAAAAACCUAAUGAAGAUAAAUUGAGUGUUAUUCAGUAUUUAUGAGAAUACCAAGUAGAGAUAGUUAUAGAUGAAAGUGAAAUUCUGUCCCGACACUUAGACUUUGGUUGAAUUGUAUGAGACUGCUAGAGUAGAGCCAAAAGAAUAGAAAAGAUCCUAAGUUUGGGGGGAGAAGCAAGUUUGAUUGACUGUGAUAUCUAUGAAAUACACUCUGUUCCAAUGACUCAAGUUGCUGAGUAACCAGAUCUGAGUAUGUACCCCAUAUGCAGAAUUGUGUUCAAAGGUAGCAAGAGUUAUGAGCAAUGAUGUAGCAUAUUUUUUUUUUUAAAAAAAAGUCCUCUGUCUAAGGCAUUGAGUAGGCAGGUCUGUUGAUGAGCCCCAUGUUCAGCCUUGAGUAAAAGAUACCUCUAGAUAAGAUUACAUUGCAGAUAUUGCUGCAUCAACUCUGAUCUGGGCAUGGUUUGAGUAAUUGGGUGUCAUCAUUACAAUUGAUUGACAUUCACAUGAAAGAUAAAUGUUACAACGAGGAGGUUGAAUAUUCCCUAGUUUAUCAAUCUUAAAAUCAUCACAGUUUGAGUAUGUGAAAGUUAUGUUACCCCAUUUAUGAAUGAAGUAUUCUCACUGCUGAAAUUCAUGCAGUCCCUUGGUGAUGUUAUAGCAUCUCUGGAAUUCAAUCGAAGGAGCACACACAGACUGUGGACAGAAAGAAGCUUAAGUCUAGAACUAAUUUACUAUGGUCAUCUUGCAUGAUUGGGAUUGUGAUAUGAAGGUGGAAGAAUCCUUGCAAAGUUGAUAAAAGAGCUAAAGUUGUGUGCAUGAUUGUUUGCGUGAAGUGUUAGUAUGUGUCAUUACUUGAGGGCAAGUAAUGGUUUAAGUUUGGGGGUGUGAUAACUCUAGGAAAUGAGAGUUAUUACAUCAAUUCUAGACUUGAAUCAAGAUCACUUAGAGAACAAAUAAGGUGUUUUUAUUACAUUUUGAAUAAACAUUCAUUUUAGUUGAGUUUUAAUAAGUUUUGCUUGAAUCAAAGUAAUUUGUGCUAAAAACAGGUGCAUAAUCGUAGGUUUUCAGAAAGUCUAAAUUCAUGAGUGGAUGUUGAGACAUUAGAAGAGCAAGAGGAGGAAAGAAGAUGGCCACAAAAGAAGUAAAGCACAAUCGGGAAUAAUGCAGUGUUGUUGCGGAUGUUAGAGCAACCAGUGCUAUAGCAAUCUGGGAGCAAUGCGGGAGAGAACUUAGGUGCGGGUUAGCCACAGAAGCGCAAUAUGCAUGUUUCCUAAUUUAACAUAUGCACGCUUAUGGGCUUUCAUUUACCCUAAUUUGCAAUAUAAAAUGGAGGCGUGCACCACAUAGAAGGGCGGCAAGAAAUUAUCAUCAGAAUAAUUACCAAGGAAAGAAUAAGAAGAUCAGAAUUGGAGAGUACUAUUUCGGCAACAUUGAAGAAUCAUGCAGACUUAUUUGGAUUUGUCUUUCACCUUGCUCAACUUAUAUUUCUCUUCUUCCUUUAAUUGUUUUGAUGUAUCCCGUGAUUCAUAUAUUUAUGUUUAUUUUUCUCAUUCAGAAUAUGAACUAAAUUUACUUGUAGUUGAGUGACAAAUAAUUCAAUGGGUUCUUGACUGUUCUUAUAUGUUGUUAUAGCCUUGCUGUAGCAUUUUACUCUAGUAGUUUUUAUGAAUAUAACUGUUAUUUCGGUUGACCACCCAUUUAAUAGCUUCAGUUAAGAUAGAGCAGCAAAAGGGCAUGUCUUAGCGGAUAUUAUUAGAGUACUACUUGAUCUUAAGUCGAGUUUCCUGGAUUAAGUUAUCUUGAAUCCCAUAAGGGCAAUACUUGAAGUUAAGAUUUGUGACACACUAGACAUAGGUGUUCACCGUGUAGGGUGGAGAGAUUAAAGGUUAUAAUGUCGUACCAUAAAUAUAUUAGCAAAUGGUCAUUGUUAAUAGAUUUAAAGAUAUGAGACUUCCAAUAUGAGAUAGCUGAGGAUGCAGAUUUAUUCUGCCCAGUGCUGCAGCACUUAUUGUAACAACUGGUGCUAACUUGAUAAACAACAGUCACCCCAUAAGGAGAGUUUGAUCAUUCAACUACUAUAAUCUCAAUUGAAUCUUAGACAUAUUUAACCUAUUUUAUUUCAUUACAAUAUUAUUUUAUUUAAAUCUCUCACAAUCAUUAAUUACGAUAGUUAUUACUUGACAAUUGAUUGUUUCAGUCUUAAGUUGAUUUGCACUAUUGUUAUUGCUUUAGCAUUUCGAGUAACAUCAAUCCCUGUGGAGACGAUAUUGAAUACUCAUCACUUUAUUACUUGUUGUGUAUACUUGAACAUUGGCAUUGGUAGUAAUUGCUUAUAAAAAAUAACUAACAAAGAGCAGCUGAUUACCUUCCUACGGGGGUUUAGCGAUGUAUUGCUUGGAUGCAUAAAGUUAUGCUAGGCAUAGACACAGGUAUCUUACCGUAGACUCAAUGUUGACUCGCAUCAUAAGUCAAUGAAACAGAAGAGAAAAGCCUUCAACCAAGAGAGGUAUGAAGCAAUCGAGGCAGAGAUAGAAAGUCCCCAUCCUUCUCAGCCAUUAAAGUGAAAAUCAUCACUGAUUUCUCAGUAGAAUUCGCCAAUGAUUCGGGAGGAAAAGGAACCUAGAGGAGCUGAACAAGGAGGUAACCACCAAAACCUUAUGAGUGUUGGGAUGUCUAUAUAUGUAGAUGUCUGAAUUCAUAUGGAAGUGAAGUUGGUUUGGUCAUUGUAAGCCCUAGGGCAAUAAAGCUCUAGUAUGCAUUGCAGUUCUUCUUCAGAGCCUCUAAUAAUGAGGUUGAUUAUAGGACAAUCAUUACUGGUUAAGGAUAUACAAAGCUCUUAGGGUAAGAAGACUCAUUAUUGGGAGUAAUUCUCAAUCGGUGGUAAACCAAGUUGGCUUGAAAUACCAGACCAAGUAGGAGAACAUAAAAGCUUAUCUGAAGAAGGCUAAGGAAUUAAUGAUGGAGCUUAAGAAAGUGAAAGUAGAGCAAGUCCCAAGAGUCAAGAACAGUGAAGCUGACAACAUAGCCAAAAUGGCCUCAUUAGGGACUACCCAAUUACCAGAAUAUGUGUUAGUGGAGUAUAUCCCUUCACUAAGCAUUUCUCUCAAUUGAAAAAAAAAAAGAUAAACUCCAAUGAGGUAAGCUCCAUCGAAUUGAAGGAAUCCUAAUGAAUACCCAUAAUGAAGCUUUUGGAAAGAGCGGAACUCAGAACAACAAUAUAUCAACACUAUGUCUCUGAGUUAUUCAACAAAAGGGUUUGCUCGUGAGCUUUUGAGAAAGGAGAUCUAAUGCUUAAGAGAAUAACUUUGAACACUAAGGUAGCUUCAGAAGGAGUUCUUUGCGCCAACUAGGAAGAUUAUUACCGAAUAGAUAAGCCGGUUGGUUCAAGUACUUACAUGUUACUGGACAUGGAUGGUACCACAGCCAAGCACCCAACAAAUACAACUAUGCUAAAGAAAUAUUAUCAAUAGACCACUCUGAUCACUACUCUCUUUUACCUCUUAUUUUCUAUAAAUUUAUGUUUGCAAUCUUACGUGCAGGCCUUGUGGACACCACAUUGGUCCCCACAAUGGUUAAUUUUUCUUUUCAAUUCUUAGAAAUAGUUACAGCAAAUCAAGAGGCUUAUAAGUUUGCUUCCCCUAGGUUAACUCCUGCCAUGUCAUGUAAUGACAUGAAAUCUCAUUACCUAGAGAAAAGUUAUCUAUGAAUGCAUGCUUUUUUUUCAUCUAUAAAUGUAGCUAUCUCUUUAUGAUAUGAAUAAAUGAUUCAUUGCUUUACUUGAUUAGCUGAGCUUAGCUCCUUAAUUGAUGACCACUUCAUUGUCUCAUGAUUAUUUACUCUUAAAUAAUCUCCACUAACGACUCACCACAAUUUAAUGCUUUGAAACUUUCAUUGUAAAUGAAAAUAGCUAUGAAGAAACUAACACCAUUGAGCAAAUUGGAUGAGCAAAGCUCCUGGACACCUGACCUAAUCAGGGAGAUAAGCUUCAAGAUAGAAUCAAAGUACAAUUUCCCUAAGAUAAUGAAUAAAAAGUUAUGAAAGCUGGGGCAUUUCAGGAAACAAUCUGAAAAUACUAUAAUUUUAAUGUAGGAGUGGAGGUCAUAGAAGAUCUAAGAAUAAAAGCAAAUUGCCAAGUGCCUAUUAAAGGUACAUUUUCAAAACUGAAUUACCCAUAUAUACUUCACCCAAAUUGAUUACAGGCCAUUCGACUAAAAGAAAAAUGCAAGCGGCCAUCAUGAUGGCUAGCUAAACGUGCAUAAAGAAGUUAGCUUGCAAGCAGGCUAACCAAAUAAUGAAAGCAAGGCAAUCAGCCUUCACAGGACCAUACCUCAAAUGAGGGAAUGAUGACACAACCCACCCUGACCUACAUGUCUUAUUUGAGGCGAAUCAUGCGGACAAAUAACUAAAACUUCUAGCACAGAUUUAAUUCAUGAAAAUAUGUAUAUAAUAUGACAUUUCCUAUAAACACAUAACAACCUCUGUGCCUUUUCUGAAGCCAUAUAUGAAUUCAAACUUGCAUAAUUUAUGUCUCAUUGUACAUACUGACAUUACAUGAAUAUUUACAUAUAAAACAUAAGCAACAUAAACGUGCUCAAAAUGAAAUACAUGCAAUAAUGCGUCUCGUGGCCCAACCUCAAUUAACUAGAAUUGAUCUGCACGAAAUCCUGUGGAAUCUUGGGAGGAAGUGGGUAAAUAGGAAAAUAGUGAGCUUGCGGCUCAGUGAGUGGAUGUAAUAUUAUAUUAAAAAUAUUAACAGUAAUAACUAUAAUAAAGUAUGUGUAUUAGUGCUUAUACAUAAUCAUGUAACAUAACUCCACACUAAAUACCACACAUCAGCAAACAUGGAAUUCAUACAUACAUACAUCACAAACUGCACCAAAUAGUACCUAGGGGAAAGAACUCUCAAUACUCGUCGGGAUCAUCAUCGUACGAGUAGAGCGGGGGGAAAAACCUCUCAAUACCCGGUGGAAUUUAGCUACAUCGCUCAGAUAGAGUAACCUAACUCUCAAUACGCAUGCGCAGAGUCUACGGGGACGGGUACAUAUAUGGUGGCUGACAAUCACAUCUCAUGACUCAAUCAAACAUAUAAUAUGUAUACAUAUAAUCAUAACAUGAUGUUAAAUCAUAAUAUCAAACAUAAAUGCUUCACGGAAUACAUAAUAGUAAUAAUAGCAUCCAAUCACAGACCUUGUUUCACUCUGGGGUUCGUUGGGACUCUUGUAGGUUCUUGGAUUCUCGAAUUCCUCCUAAAAUAUAGGGUUCGAAAUUUAACUGUUAGAAUUGAUAUAAAAACUUAUACGUAUCAUGCAAACUGUAACAUAAUUACUCAAAUUUCAUAAAUCUAUUACCCACUGGUUCAACUGGAUUUAAUCUAACUAUCCAAUUCUAAUUUCCGUAUUAUUUCCUCUUAAUUCCACUUUAUUUCUCACACUCUCGGCUUAUUCCUUUUCCUUUUUCCUUUUCUUUUCUUCUUUUCUUUUUCUUUUCCUUCUCUUUUCUCUCGGUUUUCCAAAUUGGUAAGUGAAGCAAUUCUCAAAAUGUUUCAUUUUAUAUAGCCACUGACUUGGGCCACCGAUUGCAAGCAAGCAGCUCUCACUUUACUUUAAAUAUAUAAUCACCACCUCAAGCAAAUGGGAGGGACAUGCUUGUGCCACGCAAGGAGGUGAAGCAAGCAGCUUGUAUUGCAUGCAAUGGGCAGCUGGCCGCUCUAAUUGCAUGCACAUGUGCUGGCCCUCUAAUGCAUGUACGUGUGUUACAAAUGAUCACACCCUAGAUGAGGGAAUAACCGUGCUCGGAAUGAGGGAAUGGCCAUUAUACAAUAUAGGAGACACGAAUGCUUCUAUAUCUAUGACAAAAUGGGUCAAGAGAGGCCCUAAAAAGAGCUCAACUGCUCUAGAAUGCCCGCAAGGCACUCCUUCAGGAAUUUUAUUUUGCCAUUUAUAUUAAACAUUGAUUUGCAUUUAUUUAAAUAGCCUGGAAAAGUGAAAAGUAAAUAUCACCCUAUGAAUUAUUGCCCACGGUGGCUAAGCUCUCCUGACGUUUGUUAGAUUGAUCGAAAUCAUUUUGAAUAAAUGGAAUGAAAAUUCCUCCCCAUGAAAGCUUAUUCAGUAUGUCAUUCACAAGUACAUAUGUGGACAGGGUUAACACCUUAAACACGCACCUAAAGCGCCACGAGGAAAGUUAAGCUCCAUGAAGUGUCUAUCAAAUGGGUUAAGAACUCUUCCUCAGCAACACUUAUUCUUCGUCUGACUGAUAAGUGCAUAUGUGCUAUGAGAAGACACAAAUCCCCCUAAGUAUAAGAGAGAAGACUUGCAUGAAGUUUGGCUUAGCUAUUCUAGGAUGCCCGGUAUUCAUCGAAAUCUUGCCAUUUAUCUCAUGCACUAAGUUUCACUGAUUUGAAUCACCUAAAAGACUGAAAUCGCCUUAUGAAUUAUAUCCCAUGGGAGUUGAACUCCCCACAUGAUUCAUUAUAUUGAUUUAGCUCGCCCUGAACAAAUGGAUUAAGAAUUCCUCUUUAUGAGGGUGUAUGUUAUUUGUUAUGCGAAAGCACACUUUUCAAAAGGCAUGGAGGGUAAACACCCUAGAUAUGUACUUAAAGAGCCAUGAGGAAAGUAUAGCUCCACUGAGUGCUCGUGAAAUAGGUAGAGAACUCCUCCUUGUUAAUAGUUAUUCUCUACUUGGCUAAAGAAGUGCAGUUGCCCUGUGACAAGAUGCAAACCCCCUAAAUCUAUGGGAAGAAGCCUGCAUAAGUUUUGGUAACACUGCGUAGGAAGGAUAGCUCCAGAAUUCAUCAAAACUUAGUAAAACAAUCAAACACCACCUCUUACGUAAACACUUCAACCACAGAAAGGCGUCAACCAAAAAUCCCAAACCAAGUCACUAGUUCAAGUCUCCAAAAUACACAAACAAAACCUUAUGAAAAUGACAGUUCAAAGUACUUAAAAAAAUAAAAAAGCAUAAAAGUUUUCGAAUGCCAUCAAAAGGCAUUAAGAACAACACAAGCAGAAAAAGAGUUAAUUUAUGCAGUAGGGUUAACUUCUUCAUCAUGGGAGGUAUACUCUAAGGGAGCGAGGGGAUAAGUGCUUGAGGAACCUCCUCAUUUAGACGUAGGGCAUCCCCAUAGCCUUCUCCAACACAUUCCUUAGCAGCCUUUCCUUCGUUUAUCAAAGUCAAAAUGUCCCUUGUAACCACAAAUGGCUCUAAGUAAAAGGUCUCAAGUUUGGGGUUCACCAUCUAAAUCGUAGACAUGGUAAAGUUCACAGUCAUCUGAUCCUAUUGAUCGCUCUGCUCUCGAGCCUCCUGAGAAAUCCUCCUCUUCAAGCUCAGUUCAUCCUCCAGCUCUUUCUUCUCAGCUUUCCAUUUUUAUUUGUCAGAUGCUAGCAAAGAAGUAACCUCCUUUACAUGCUUAUUCGCGCGUUGACGCUCCGUCCUAAAUUGAGCAACUUGCUCAUUAUAUUUAGCAUAAUCUGAGUGAACAAUAGAAGAUUCCUUGUCCGCCUAAAGAAAAAAAAAAGGAAAGAGAUUAGCACCUAACGCAUGAGAAAUGGAGGGAUACCUGAUAAAAAAGAACAAAGUAAGCUUACAUUUUGACAUGCUUUGGUGGCUCUAGUGACACUCUCCAAAAGAAUUUGCCCAUUCAUUUUAGCGCCAUCGUCAGGUUCAGGUGCUCUCUAAGUACGUUGAGCAUAUCUCCCAAGAUGCGAAGUUGUACCCCUAGUGAUUGGAUCCAACUCCACAAUAUCUAGAGUGGAUGAGAACGCCUCUAUUUGUUUCCUUUCCCUAUGGGAGACCGGAGUAGUUUCAGGAGAAUCUUUAGGGGUCAACUACAAAGAGAGCUGAUACCUAGUCAUCCGGGGAGUUGGUGAGAGCAUAGCUCUUUUUCCAUGAGAGUUUCCAGCUAGCUUCUUUAUCUCUGUCAUGGACAUAAAGUUGGCAGGGGCCUCUUUGUCAAGCAUUUUUUUUUUGUUUGCUCCCACCAGAACCAAGAGGGAACUCUAUACCUACAAAAAUAAGAAGAUAAUUGUUAGUCAUCAAGCAAACCAACAAAGGAAGAGAGCUAAGCAAAGCAUACAAAGAAAAAAAAAAACUCAAACGAGGGAAAAUGAGUGCUCCUCAAUAAGCCCGGAUUUGAAAAGUCUAUUUUCUCUCAAUACGUUCCCUUUUUAUCAAAAUGGGCAAGCCUUGACUUAUGAGUGGCCACAAAGUGUUUCAUUUCUUUCUCUGGACAAUCCAUUUUACUCCAAAUAAUAUCUACAAUGGAGUAGGAGAACUCAAAUCAGUCCUCAAGUAUAAGGGGUAGAAAAAAAAGGAAAAAAAACAGAGGAAGUAAGAGCCGGAAAAAGGGAGAAAAUGAAGAAUGAAAAAGGAUAGGGAAAAGAACAAGUUAGAAAAUAGAUCAAACCUAGAAUAAAGCAAAGUUACAGUAACAAGCAAGUGGCCAAUAAGGCUUGGACUGUGAUGGGAUUGGUCAAAAUAAAUGGGAAAUUUAUAAAAAUAGCCAAAAAAAUUAGGCAUUUUUCAACUUUAACCCCUCAAACUUUUUUCUAUCAUAACUAGUCAAAUACCCUAUUUUUGGACUACAUUACCCUCAUCAUUUUCAUCAAAUUUACAAAGGCAUGCCAUUUUCCCUUUUCAAUUCUAGCACUUCCACCACUUUUCUCUUUUCAACUUAACAAACUUCAUCACUCAACAAACUCCAUCACUCUCAAUAAAUUAGCAAAUUUCAUCAAACAAACAUUACAUAAUUGAAGAUAUAAUUAUCAAUUGGAGAGCUUCUUAAGGUUAGUUUAUAUUCUUACCAUAACCUAAACUUUUAAUCUAUUGAUUUUAUCAUUUGAGUUCGAAAUUGAAGUGAGUUUUUAUUGCAAAUGUUGUUAUUUUUCAUUAAGAAAACAAUGUGACUUGUUAAAGUAGUUAGUUUGAGUUGAGAAAUGAAAAUCAAUCAUUGAAACCCCUGAAAAAUCGAGUAAAACAAAAGCCCAGAACAAGUGAGACAGGCACCUGUCUCACAUAAAUCUACUGGUUUUAUGUGAGACAGGCACCUGUCCCACUUGCCUGUCUCACCAAAAUAUGUGCGACAGGCAAGUGGGACAGGCAUGUGAGACAGGCGCCUGUCUCACUUGUUACCACUGCCUGUCUCACUAAAUUUAAGUUAUUUUCCGAAAGUAAUAACUUGGGCUACAUGUGUCCGUUUUAGGCGUAUAAUAUAUCGUUUCGAAGCUUAUGAUGAGACGAAAUAAAUCCAAAAUUGUAUACUUCAUUUCAUCCACAUAAAUGUACUACAUAUUCAUUUUUACUAGGUUUUGUAGCGUGAAAUCUUAUCUCUUUUGUUUUUUUUUUAGGUUUAAUGGAUUCCGUUGUACUUCAAUUAUGUUAUGACGGUUGGUGGGAGACAUUAGCAGAUGGCCGUAUGGAGUACGUGAAUGCGAAGAAUACAGCAUUUUUAGUUCGAAAAGAUUGUACGUUUGAGCAAUUUAUGGCAAGGGUGUAUGAAGUUUUACAGAUAAAUCCUAUUGAAUAUAGUUUGUCGAUGAAGACAACUUUGAGAUCUAGUAACACAAUGUAUCGUCCAUGUUCACUACCUAUGGAUAUAUUUAAUGAUGAAAUGGUUAAUGUUGAGCUGCACAUGGCCUCUGAUGUGGUCAAUUAUGGAUGCAUCCCUAUAUUUGUCACCACACAUCCUCGAGUUCCGGGCGAAAAUCCUGAGCCACUUGUGGAAAGUGAAAGUUCGUUUAAAGUAAACGAGUCUGUCUCUGAUAUUGAGGAAGAGGUGUUACCUCAACAAAUGUCGUUCCAACAACAUUACUCACCAAUCAACGAAAACAAUGACACUAUUGAUGAUAAUGGCAUUACGUUAGCGGAUGUUGAAGAUAAUGUGUUACCAUUAGGGACAUCGUUAGGGCAACAUUACUCUCCAUUGCAGAAUAAUGAGUUCCGCAGUUAUGAUGAUCCUGGUUAUAACACCAACAACACAGAAGCUGAUAAUGUGCAAGGCAUGAACUCCAAUACUGAAGUUGAUGAUAGGGACACUGGUCAUUUCGAUAUUCCUAUCAAUGAUGAGGAUGAGCAUCAGUAUGAUAUUCCUAUUAACAAUAGAGAGAAUCGACCUAUUCCUCCGAUGGCUCGUUCGAGGAGGAGGACAACAGUUGAUCCCCUGGUGAGUCUUGCUCCAGUUUUGCCUUCAAACUUGGUUGCUCCAGACUUAGUUAGAAGCUGUAAUUCUGCCGACAUUGGUGUGGGAAAGUUUGUCGCUGAGAAGAAUGAGUUAAUACUGGAAUUGCGCAAAGUGGCCUUGCGAGAAAAGUUUGAUUUCAAGAUUGCACGGUCCACAACGACAUGCUUUGAGGCUCACUGUUCUUUGGAAUCAUGUAAUUGGCGUCUUCGCGCAACAAGAGGUUCGGAUGAGCAUAAUGUUCCUUGGGUAGUGAGAAGAGUUGACAAUGUUCAUACAUGCUCUAAUGAGGUUUUGCCUAGUGGCCUUCGUCAAGUUAGGAGUUGGGUUGUUGGCCAUCUUAUCGCAGAUAAAUUUAUUCAGGAUAAACGGAUAUACACGCUGAAUGACAUUAGAGCAGACAUGUAGCAAGAAUACGGGGUCCAGUUAACAUAUCAGCAAGCAUAUCGGGCUAAAGAAGUCGGUCUUGAAAUAGUACGAGGGAACCCUGCAGAGUCAUACAACUUACUUCCUAAAUACUCUCACGUUUUGACCAAAGCGAAUGAGGGCACAGUGACACACCUCCAGCGGGAUGGAGAUGAUAAUUUCUUAUACUACUUUGUUGCGCUUGGAUCUUCCAUCAAGGGCUUCACACAGUACAUAGGGCCUGUGAUCGCUGUAGAUGGCACUCAUUUGAAGGGGCUAUAUCGUGGAAGCAUGUUUGUAGCAACAUGUCUGGAUGGUAAUAAUCAACUGUAUCCGUUAGCUAUUGGGGUCAUGGAUUCAGAAACAAUGAUGCUUGGAAAUGGUUUAUGACGAAGUUACACGGAGUGAUUGGCGAUAGGUCAGAGUUAGUAUUUAUCUCUAAUCGAUGCACCGCCGUCAAGCGAGCCGUUUUAAAAGCAUUUCACAUUGCUGGUCAUGGAGUUUGUUUUUACCAUGUCAAAGGCAACAUUAAGUCUAAAUUCAGGUUGUCCAAAGCUAUUUGGGAUCAAUUCGAGCCAGCUUUUAUUAAUGCAGCAAAGGCAUAUGGACACGAAGAAUUUAAAAGAAAACUUGAAGGGUUGUGGAUGCUCCACUCGGCCGCAGCUGAUUACUUAGAGAAUAAUGUGGGCACGUGUAAUUGGGCAAGGUCUGAAUUUGAAGGUAGGAGAUACAGCAUACUUACCACCAACAUUGCAGAAAGCGUGAAUUCUUUAAUGAGGGAACCGCGAAAAUUUCCUAUUACUCAUCUUGUUGAUCACUUUAGAAAAACAUUACAGCAAUGGUUUUAUGAUAGGAAAAUUGUGGCUGAAUCGAUGAGCACUCGUCUAACGACUUGGGCAAAUGAGAUAGUCGGUGAAAGGAGAAUUUUGGCCGAAAGAAUGACCAUUCAGCCAGUGUCUCAGCAUCGAUUUCAUGUUUUGGGUGGUGGUAUGAAGGAAGGGAUAGUUGACAUUCAUGAAAGAACUUGCUCCUGUAGAGUAUUCCAACUCGAUCAGCUUGUUUGUUGAUAAGUGCAUAUUUUCCAUAUAUUUUGCUUUUAAUUUCUCCAUCUUUUUCUUAUUUUGAUCUUAAAUAUUCUAGUUAUUUUAGUUAAUUUUUAAUUUAAUAGGGAAUUAAUUAAUAUACAUAUUUUAUUUUUUUUAUAUAUUUGCUAGUUAUUUUUAUUUCUUAUUUUUAAUUCAUUGUAUUAUUUUAUUGAAUAGGAAAUUAAUUGGAGAUUGUGGAUAAUAAAAAGGCAUGAAGAAAUUCAAAUUGAGAAGGAAUGAAGAUUAAAUUGGAAGACAAAAAUCAAAGCAAUUAAUCCAAUUGAGAAAUGUUGAAUAAUUAAAAGAUUUAAUGUUCUCCAAUUGGCAAUUGGAGUACACGUGCAUGGCAUUGCAAAAGUGGAAAGCAUUUAAACGGGCCCACAAUUGACUUUCAAAAGUUGGAAUUAAUGGCUUUGGGUGGCGUUAAAUUGGAAAAGGAUUUCAAUUCUAAUUGAAAAAGGAUUUCUUUGGAUUUGUUGGAGAAGAAUUCGGUCAACUAGCAUUAUAAAAGGAGAACAACUGCUGGACGGAAGGGAGAAGAGGGAGAGCAGGGGCUGAUCCAAUUCUGCAAGAAGAAAAAAAAAACAAGGAAGACGCCAGAAGGAAUUCAAUUGAAGAAAAAAGGCAGUCGUUUGAAUUAAUCUCCAUGAUUGGUUUUGUCAAUUCUCUUAUUCCCAAUUCAAUUAUGUUAGGCUAGAUUUUUAUUUGGUUAAGGGUGAAUUCAAAACCCUAAACAUGAUAUGCAAUUAAAUUUAAAUUCUAUCAUUCAAUUUAUUUAAUUGAGAUUGUUUAUGUUCUUCUAUAAUUAAUGUUCAUGGUUUAUUCUUGUUUUAUUUAAGUGGCCAAUUAAAUAGGACUUGAAUAAAUAUUAUUGCUAAAUUAAAAUUCUUGAUCCGUAAUUGUCUUGAUAUUUUAAUCAUUAGUAGCAGUUGGAAUUAGUGAUUUCAAUUGAAGAACAUAACCUAGGUUAAAUAAUCCGAGCUUGUGUGUUUAUUGCCUAGAUCAAUCUAAUAUCUUUCUUUGUUUAAUGCUUCCAUUAUCUUAAAUUUAAAGAACUUUUUUUAAAUUAUUUAAUGGUUAGAGAUUAGGUGAAGAGCUUAUUUUACCUAACGACACACUAAGGAAAGAUUGAGACUAACAGAGCUUAUUGUUGUCUACGGUUGAUAGUUUCAAUAUAAAUUGAUAAUAGAAUUGAUAUAUUAUGUGCAUGUUUGGUGGUGGCGAAUGAUCCUUUAACCAAAGUUUUCAUCAUUAUUAUUUCUUUCUCCUUUAAUUAAAGUUUUUAUUAAAUUCUUGUUCAUAAUUUUAAUUUCUUUAUUUCUUACUAUUUAGUUAAAAAUUCAUAAACCCCCUUUUAUUUUUAAUUGGCAUUUUCUUUAAUUAGAUUAAUUUAUAUUAUUAUUACUACUAUUAUUUUAUUUUAAAUCUUGCUUUGGAGUUAAUAAUAAAUAUAACUAGCAUAGUCUCUGUGGGAUCGAUCCUUACUCGCUCUGUACUAAUUAUUUAUAUUAGUGGUAAGGUUUUAAAUUUGGUGCACCUUAACGACACUACCAUUUGUGCGCAUGCAAUUGCUGCUUGUCUGAGAGUCCGUGUGGAUUACAUAAGUCUUUGCUCUGAUUAUUACUCUAAAGAUUCAUUGGUCAUGGCAUAUGCAAAACCAGUAGAGCCGGUUGGGGACAUGACAAAUUGGGACAUUCCAGAAGAAAUCCAGGAAAUCAGAGUUAACCCACCGAUCGAAGCACCACCACCUAGUGGUCGUCCAGAGUUAAGAAUUCCUUCUAUCGGUGAGGAUGUUAACCGAAGAACUGUGAGAUGUGGUCGAUGCAACCAACCAGGUCAUAACUGCAAGAGAUGUAAAAAUCCCAUUGUGUCGAAUCCAAACUGACUGUGUCAUUGUAACUAAUUAUGGAUUCUGAACUCUUAUUAUAAUUUAUAUUACAAUUAUAUGUAAUGAGGUAUAUUAUGUUAUGUUCAUUUGCAUAAUGAGUACUAAAGUAGAUCAAUAAUUACUUAUAGCUAAAUAUAUGAAUAUAUCAAAAGUUUAUAUCUAUUAGAAAAACAAUCUACAUCCAUACAUCAAGUCUGAAUACAAUACAACGACUUACAAGGCAAUAUCGCCCGGGAAUAUAUCUACAGCAAUUUUCUUCCUGAAGUAAUGCCCGUGGCUACUAUCAAAAUCAAGUUUUAGCCCGAACAUCAAAUACAUUGUAAACAUCAGCAUAAAUACACCGCAAUCACCACUUCCAGGUUCUUGUUGGGGCACAUCCUUAACGAUUCUUACUUUCCAAGGGUCGGCACUCUGCAGCUCAGGUCGAAUGUUAUAGAAUCCAACAUCUUGAAGCCAUUGAGGGAAGACGACCUGAAGAGGUUUGAAUUUACGCAAAUAUGUUUUGUCCUCGCGAAAGGUAACCAACGAGUCAUAAAUCCGCAUCCUCCUCGCGCGAAGGUCCGCUAGAGCUAGUACCCAAUGAUCGCCGCCCAAAUUCACAGGGAUGAAUAUCUACAUAAAUAAACUGGUAAAUUAGUAUAUUUUAUACACAAUUACCAUAAGAUUGAGUGACAAUUCUUACCAUAUCGACAUCCGUAAACAGUUUGGACAUGAGAUCUUCCCGCCCAUCCAUAUAGCUGCUCAAGUUGUUGCCAUAUUGUAAUGAAUGGACAUCACAACUACCAUUGUUCCAUAAUUGCUUUAGGAACACCUAUUACACGAUGAGUAGAAAAUUAAUAACAUUUCGAGAUAUUUAAAACAUCGAAAUUAUAAUUAAUGAUUAUAAAAUUCGAAAACAUGCCCAAAAGUAUGUAUUUGUAUGCGUGACGCGCUGUGGUAGUGCAUUUGGAAACCGUCGUUGCUUCUCGCUGAUCAAGCGGUAAUACGUGUGAAUAUGCUGUGAAGGGAUUAUACCAAGUAAAUUUAUAUCAUUAUCCAUGCCAGCAGAAACAUUAUUGUGUAUUGUAAUGUACUGACCAUUAAACACACUUACCUCGUUACCAAGCCACCCCAUCGAAGCAUUGCCCAUGAGUAUUUCAAAGAAAUUUCGAGACUGUUGGACGGGCCGAUCCACGAAAAUGUUGCCGGCAAACCACUGAUCAAACUCCUCACAUAGCCUUGAGUCUUCUAGUCCCCUAAGCGGAUUCAUAUCCACACUCGAUCUUUCAUCAAUUUCAUAUUCCGUAAUGUUGAGUGCGGGUAGAGGCCUGACAUUCCUAACUCUCUUGAAAGGAGGAAUGAAGUAAGGACUGCCAAAUAUAUACGAUGGUUAGUACGGACGCCCAAACUUACUAACGUCGGGAGGUGCCUCCGUGAAUAUCUGUACACUGUCAUCACAUAUGUCCCCAUAUAGACUGUACAAGGACAUAGGGGUGUGCUCGUCGUCAUUACUAGCAUCAGUAUGCGUGGUACAUAGCCAGCAUCAACGUUCGGACCAUAGCCAUCUGGGGCCUGUUGUUUCGAGGAGAUGAACAUAUUAACAUAAGUUCGGGUUUGAAAUCAUAAUAACAUAACGAAAACAUAUGAAACUUGCUCACCGUGUGCGUGGGGCCAAACGAAGAAUCACCGUACGCGCCCUUUGAAGCACCCGCGCCAAACGAAGCCAUAAACCCCAUGACCGCUGCUCUAUAUUGUUGUGCUUCUUUGCGUUCCGCCAUAAGUUCUGACCUCAGUUCGUUAAUGGAACUGUGUCCAGUCUGAAGUUCCGACCUCAACUCGUGAAUGGAAGACUCUAUUUUAUCCAGUCGUCCAACGAAAUAAUCAUUGCGGAACUUAGUCCUUACCUACAAUUUAUGCAAAUACGAAAGUAAUGACAAAAUGCCGGAUAGGUAUAUGUGCAUUGUAAAUGUUCAGGACGACAGCAGUUACCUCUGGCUCAUUUCUGUCAUCUAAAUCAUGUGCGGAUUCAUAAUGGUCGUCGGCAGCACCGGCAUCCUCAACAGGACUCUGCUCUAGUCCUAUUUGGCUCGUUGGGUCAAGAUCCACCUCGUUUGGCCCUGUACUGGAUGGCGCAUUGAUUGAAGGCUGGUGUUGCACCAAGUAAAACAGAAAACAGUAAAUACCAAAAAACAAACAUAUAAAUGACUUUGCAUCCGGUUUUCAAUGACACUGUAGAUGAUACCCACAUUACGGACCCAACUUGGCAAAUAUGGCACGUAAUCCUCGACACUCUUCCAAUAAUUUGUGGUUCUCUCCUUUGCAUCCGGUUCGAGGGUUUGGAAAAUGAUGCCAUCCUGUCGUAAAGAUUACCAAAUUUCCAAUUAGUAUAACCAUAUAUUAUGUAAUAGUUAUAUACAGACAUACAUAUAAAUGACUUACAAGACGCUCGUUCAGGUAUGAAUACACUUCGCCGAAGUUAAUAUUUGAAGAAGCCAUGGGCUUCCAUCACACGAUCCGAGGACCCUUCCUCCUAAUUUUCUCCACCCACUCUAAUGGUAGUCCUUCAAUCGCUUCAAAAAUCCAUGCCCUUAACAAGGAAAGAUAUGAAGUAAAAAAACGUGUCAUUAAAUAUUUAUUAUAAAAAAACUAAGUUAUAAAAAAAACUUCUUCACUCACAUGCACUGCCGACGUAAAGCCGUAAAAGUUGUAUUUCUCAAUUCUAUGUUGCAGAUUUUCUGCGCUUGCCUUCUUAAAUUUUUUGGUUUUGCCGUUCAAUACAUUAUCAAUGCUUUUAUAUAUUGUUUCCCAUGACAAAUGACCCCACGGAAUACUUCGAAAGUGAAAUUGAUUUGACAAUGAUCCUUUCUUCCGUGUAGCACUCUAUCAGCAAAGUAAAACAUGGCAAUUUUUAGCGCAUCGGUGUCAUUCAUAGUCUUGAAGUGUAAGUUCAUAAAUAUUUCCUGCCUCCAAAGUACUUAUUAAGUAACCUAUGCUUUGUUUUAUGCUUCGUCAGGAAUACUUUUUCGCCACAGCAAAGUCCCAUUACUAGGCACCACUCUCCAAUCGAUAGCCGUAUCAAAUGGUCGCCAACUUGAAACCAUAACUCAUCUUUGUCAUUUCCAUCGCCAUGUGACACUUGCCGAAGCAAUAUAUUGUGCACAAUUACGCCAAUGAAUGGAUAGCUCCGGCACUAUAGGAAAUGCCCAAAUAUAUCGUCUUUCAACAGUUUCAACCGUUGCCUUGUCAAUUUUUCCCGAAUGGCAUUAACAAUGACAUCUAAUUUGCACAUACUCGUGAUACGCCCAGGGAAGUGAUCAACAUAAGGUAUCUUCAUCAUUCCCGGUUCUUUAAUCGGUUCGGGUGGGUUAUGCAAUGCUAAUUUUGAUUUGCCCAUUUAUCUGGUACAAGUUAAAAGUAUCACACAUUAAAAAAUUAUGAACAAAAGAAAAAAAAUUAAGGCAACACUACGCACUGCCUCUUGGUGCGACGGGCACCAAGAGGCAGCAGGAAGAGGUGCUGCCUCUUGGUGCGACGGGCACCCCGUCGCACCAAGAGGCGGCAUCUCUUGGUGCGACAGGCUCGCGUGAGGGAAGCCAAGCGCGCGCGCGAGCUGCGUGCCUGCGCGCAACUCGCCCGCGCUUGGCUUCCCUCGCGCGAGCCUACGAGCAACUCGCUUGCGCGAGAGCGCGGCCUCGCGCGCGAGAUGGGCGCAAUGUACGACAGGCACACGCCGCGCGCGAGGUGCACACGCCGAGCGCGAGGUGCACACGCCGCGCGCGAGGUGCACACACCGCGCGCAUCUCGCGUGCGACGCAACGCAUGUCGCACGCGAGAUGCGCGCUGCGCGCACGACGCCACGCCCUCACGCGAGGGAGUUGGCUUCCCCUUCCCUUUCUCUUCUCUUCCCUUUCCCACAUGCAUCUCACCCACCACCGCCAUUAAAACACCACCAACAACAACAACAUCCCAAACAACAACAACAACCCUAACAACAACAACAACAUCCCAAACAACAACAACAACCCUAACAACAACAACAACAUCCCAAACAACAACAACAACAACAACAACAUCCUAAACAACAACAGCAACAGCAACAACAACAACAACAUCCUAAACAACAACAGCAACAGCAACAACAACAACAAGAAAAACGGCAAUAACAACUCACCUAGGGUUUUCAAUUUUUUUCUUUGAUUUUGGAGAUCUCUGAAGAUUUUCAACGUGAUUUAGCUUCGUUCAGCUGCCAACAACUUCCUCCGCUGCCGAUCUACGCCGCCGCUAACAAUUUAUAGAACUUCCGGUGAUGAGAUUUUGGUGAGAGGGGAAGGAAUUUGCUUGAGGGAAACGUGAGAAUGAGGAGGGUAAUUUCGUCCACAAUUUGGUGAUUUGGCUAAUGUUGAAAGAAAAAAAUUUGAGGGGUUAAAGUUGAAAAAUGCCUUAUUUUUUUGGGUUGUUUUGUAAAUUUCCCAAAAUAAAUGGCCAAUAAAUGGAGCAAAUCCUAAAAAUAAAAAGAAGGAAAUGAACUUACAAAAGAAAAUAGCUCUUUUUUUUUUAAAGGCAAAAGAAAGAAAAGAAAACAACUUUUCUCUUCUUCUUCUUCUUUUCUUUCUCUCAAAAGAAAUCAGCUUUCAAACGUAAAGGAUGAGCCCAUGUUUUGAUUUUUUAGAGAAAGACAUUAAAAUUUGUGAGAAAGCUAAUAAAAUCUGGAAACAACUAGAAAAGAACGGAAAAUGAUCAUUUUUGUGAAGAGAUUUGUGUGACGGAGGGAGUACAGCCACAUGUUGGGUGGAGAUUUACUUUUUUACUGUUUACUUUUGAUCUAAUGGUUAAGACAAAAUGGCUACUAAAAAGGCUGUCAGGGGAACAUUAAGAAGCGGAAAAUAUUUUAGGCCGUAGAUGAAAUCGAAGUGCCAGGGGUUCGCUAUUUGUCAGCAGGUCAAAAGGAGUACAACUGAAGGCAGUAGAACGUGCAAAGAAAGGGGCAAUGGGGGAAUGCCAUAUGGGUAAUUGCCAGUUCAUUUAAAGCCCACUAAGAGUAACUGCCAGUUCAUUUAAAGCCCACUAAGCCUGUUCUCAAAAUUCAAAUGAAACGCCCACGUGGCGCUACGUCUUCAGGUGGGAGAAAUGGAGGAAAUUUUUAAUAAUGGCCCCGAUAUUUGUCAAAAUUUUGAAGUUGCCCUAAAGAAAAAAUAUUAGUUUGCCCCUCUAUUUUCUCCAUAUUUAGAAGUCAAAACAGCCUUGCCACUUGUCAGCACCCAAUAAUUUCUUCUUAGAGUUUGUUGUGUUUCAAAAUUUUUUCAAUGCAUAAAAACUAAGGGAUCCUCUUUGGUAGGGAAUUUUGGGUGCAAAUGUAGACCAAUAGUAUAACGACAUGCGGAAAAAAAAUGAAGUAAAUGGAGCAGAUUGUUUAACUAGGAUAUCAGGAUAGCUUAAAGUAAGCAAGUAGAAAGCUCCCCGAAAAGAAUGAUAGUUCCAGCAAAACAUGUAAUGUCAAAGGGCAUAAUCGGAAUCCAGAUUUUUGGUGGUUGGAGGCGCAUAUGAAUAGUGCAUGCCAUCAUUUGUGAAAUAAUAAAUAUCUCACUUUUAGCUAAAUUUAAGGAGCCAAUGGCUACCACAUCAACUAUCCUCUGUAGCGGUAUAAAAAUUAGUAGGACCACUGAUAACUCUAUGAAAUGACAAUUAUCAUGACAUUUUUUUACUUAAAUCAAUAUUACUUAGAGAGUAAAUUAUGUGUUUUUAUUGCAUUUUUAGUUAUAUUUUGCAUAAGUAUUUAUUUAAGUUUAAUCUUGAUAAAUUAAUCUUGUUUUAUAUCAUUUAGUGCUCUGAUUAUGUGUGAUUUUAGAUGACUGAAAAGCCCAAGUUUUAGGGAUGGAAUAAUGCUGCAACAAACUUGCAAAGAUGACAAAAGAAUUUGGCAACAGAGGAAUUAAAAUAAGUCUGGAACAAUGCAGAGAUGACAAAAAAAUUUGGCAGCAGAGGAAUUAAAAUAAGUUUGGAAUAGUGAAAAUGCUAUAGUUGUUGCUGCAACAAUCCUAUAGCAACGAUAGAAUGGAUUUCACGCAUGAUAACUAAAAUAUUGCGAUCUAAAGUUUUCAAAAAUGGAAGAAACGUGGCCAAACGCUUCUGGUUACCCUAAUUUUUAGUUAUAAAAGAAGCACACAUGAAAAGAGAGAGAGAGAGAGAGCCGUCAUAAAAGAAAAAUAACAAAGAAAAUCCAAAAGGAAAACAAAGAUUAAGAGAGAUCUGAAAGCUGUGGCCAAACGCUUCUGGUUACCCUAAUUUUUAGUUAUAAAAGAAGCACACAUGAAAAGAGAGAGAGAGAGAGAGAGAGAGAGAGAGUCGUCAUAAAAGAAAAAUAACAAAGAAAAUCCAAAAGGAAAACAAAGAUUAAGAGAGAUCUGAAAGCUGCCAUAGAGGAUUUAAGGAGAAAACAGUGGAGACAUAAAAAAGACCAAGCGGAACUCAAUUCUUCUUCUUAUUUUCUUGUUUUUAUUUUUUUAUGGGAAUGUAUUUGAUGGCUAAACCUAUUUUUGUUUUUGUUCUAUCACAAAUUAUGAAUUAAAUUUUAUUGUGGUUGAGUGAUAAACAUGUUUAAUGGAUAUUUGACUUAUAUAUGCGUGUUGCUCGGGAUUUGUUACAGCAUUUUUCCUUAAUUUUAAUUAUUUCAAUUCCAUGUUUUGGCUAACCACCAAUUUAGUGGAUACCAGCUAAAAAAGAGCCUAAAAAAGGUCGACUUGGUGGAGCAAAUUAAGGCAAUACAUGGUUUUAGAUUGGAUUUCUUAAGUUGAGUUAAUCACAAUUUGGAUUGGAACCUAGAACAUAUAAUGCUAUAUAAGGAUUCACCUCGUAGGGUAAUUGGAACCUAGAACAUAUAAUGUUAUAUCUUAUACUAGCGUAACAAUUGAUCAUUGUUAGGUUGUAUUUAGAUAUAUGAUAUCCAACAGGCGACAUCCUUAGCUAUAGUAGAUGUUGUAGCAACAUGAUCUUAAUUGGCAAGGUAGCUAAUACCAUUAAGUAAAUUUGAUCAUUCAACUACAUCUAUUCCCAUUGAGUUUGUCCUUAUGUUUGGCUUGAGAAUUUUUCUUAUUGCAUUUUGUUAUUUGCAUUAUUUUUAUUUAUUUGUUUUAUCACUUAUUUUAUAUUAAUUUAAAUUGAAAUUGCAUUGUUAAGGUUGCUUUAGCAAAUCCUAUAAUAUCAAUCCCUGUGAAGAUGAUCUGAAUAUUUAUCAAUAUAUUACUUGUUGUGUACACUUGCACAUUGACACCUAUAGCAAAAAGAAUACAAUACAUCAAGCUUUUUAUGCCCUUGCCAGGGAUUGAUUAUUUAUUGUGAUUUGUGAAAUCAAUUUUAAUUAGUGUACAAGUUUUAAUUUUCUUUUAAUUAGUUUGUCUGUUGACAAGAGUGCUCUAGCAACCCUUGUAUGUGAAGGAACAAACCUAUUGAAUUGAAGUUUGAUCUAGAAUAUGAAAUAACUACAACAUGAUUGAGGAAAAGCGCAAGAAUUUAAGAAUUGCUGCAAAUAUGGAUGAUUUACAAGAUAUAUGAAACUUGAACCCUAGAGGAGAGAUACAACCAGUCAAUGCAUAAGAAGAUCAUAAUGGACAACAUGUUCAUAGGCAAGUAGGGAACAACAAUAUUAUCCACAUGGCAGGUGAUAAAGAUGGAGUCAUUCGAGAUUAUACAGUGUUGACUCCUCAAGCCACACAUUCAGAAAUAGUUAGACCUGAAGUUCAAGCUGAUAAUUUCGAGCUCAAACUAGUGAUGUUUCAGGUGUUGCAGACAGUAGGGCAAUUCAAUGGUUUCUCAUUAGAAGAUCCUCAUCUGCGCCUUAAGUUGUUUUUGGAAGUAGGUGAUACUUUCAAGAUUGUUGCAUUACAAGAAGUAUUGAGGCUAAGAUAUUUCCCAUUUUCUCUAAGGGAUCGAGCAAGAGUAUAACUGAACUCUCUACCACCAGAUUCCAUUACUACGUGGAAUGAUUUGGCUGACAAAUUUCUGAUUUAUGAUGAAGUACUUUCCACCUACCAAGAAUUAAAAAUUGAUAAAUGAGAUCACAUUAUUCCAUUGACUUGAAGAUGAAAGCUUGUAUGAUGUGUGACAAAGAUUCAAAAAGUUACUUAGGAAAUGUCUUCAUCACAAUAUUCUUUCCUGUAUACGGUUGGAGACUUUCUACAAUAGUCUCAAUCUAAGCACUAGACUAAUGGUAGAUACUUCAGCAAAUGGAGCCUUGUUAUCAAAUUCUUAUAAUGAAGCUUAUGAAAUUUUGGAUAGAAUAAAUAAUAACAACUAUCAAUAGCCAUCUACUAUAUAAGUGGCAACAAGAGGAGCAGCAAGAGUCCACAAUGUAGAUGCUCAGACGACAUUAUCAGCUCAAGUAACCUCAUUAAUAAAUAUAGUAAAGGCCAUGAUUACUGCUCCAGCAAUUGUCAAUCAAAUUGUUGAAGUAUGUUAUAUUUGUUGUGGAGAAGACAUUUGUUUGAUAAUUGUCCUGGGAAUCCAACCUCAGUCAACUAUAUGGGCAACUUCAACAGACAAAACCAGAACAAUUCUUACUCAAACUCUUACAACCUUGGAUGGAAACAUCACUCAAACUUUUCAUAGAGUAAUCAGAAUCAAUAUGCUGCAAUAUCCGUUGGACAAAACAGGCCUGUUCAACCACCAGAUUUCACCAACAAAAUUGAGCGUAAAGAAACACCAGCAAUGAUAAACCCAAUUGUCUUGAAGCUUUGAUUAAGGAGUAUAUUGUGAAGAAUGAAACAAUUGUUCAAAGUCAAGCUGUGACCUUAAGAAACUUAGAAAAUUAAAUUGAACAGCUUGCUACAGCGUUGAGCAAUAGAGCUUAUGGUAAUUUACCUAGCAACACAAAAGAUCCAAGAAUAGAAGGGAAAGAACUUUACAAGGUGAUUAAUUUAAGAUCUGGAAAGGAUGUUCAUAUUCCAGUUAGAGUGCCAUAAAAAAGAGUUGAACCCACUCCAACACAAUAAGGAACUCAAGAUAAAGAAGAGCCACAACCUCCCACUUUUUAGCACACUGACGAGAAUAGCCAAGCUACUACAUCGACAGAAAAUAAUGAUCCAGCACUUGUGGGAGAAGACGCGACAGUACCAACCACAUCAGUUCAGAACAUGGUAAAAGAGAAGUAGUCUGUACAGCCUGCUACAGUAUAGUAGUUUAGACAUCCACCACAAUUUCCACAAACAUUCCAAAAACAAAAAUAAGACAAACAAUUCAGCAAAUUCUUAGAAGUGUUAAAGCUACGACAUAUCAAUAUUCCUUUUGUAGAAGCUCUAAAAUAAAUGUCAAAUUAUGUGAAGUUCUAGAAAGAUAUUUUGACAAGGAAAAGAAGACUUGGAGAGUUUGAAACAGUUGCUCUAACACAAAAAUGUAGGCAUAUACUCCAGAACAAAAUCCCUCAGAAGUUUAAAGAUACAGGAAGAUUUACAAUCCAUUGUUCUAUAAGAACUAAAUACAGUGGUAAGGCACUUUGUGAUAUGGGGUUAACAUCAAUCUUAUUCCUUUAUCAGUGUUCAAUCAAUUGAGAGUUGGAGAAGCUAGACUAACAAUAAUGACUUUACAACUUACUGACAUAUCUAAUGCUUAUCUAGAAGACAAGAUUGAUGAUGUAUUGGUAAAAGUGGAUAAAUUUAUUUUUCCUGUGGAUUUCAUAGUGCUGAAUUUUGAGGCAGAUAAAGAAUUGUCAAUCAUUUUAGGAAGAUCUUUUUAUUCCAUUGAAAAACUUUAAUUGAUGUGCAAAAGAAGAAUUGACUAUGCGGGUUAAUGAUCAGCAAGUUACAUUUAAUGUGCUAGAUGCUAUGAAAAGUCGAGAUGAUAUUGAAGACUAUAAUCUUGUUAGUUUUAUGGAUUUUGCUAUAGCAAAGAGAUUAAAUAGUUGCUACUGCAAUAAAGAAGUCAAAGUUGUAAUAUUUGAAGAACUUGAAGCAGCUGACAUAACAUGGGUAGGAAAGAAGCAACCCUUCAUAUUAGAUAUGCACUUUGAACAUCUUCAUCUUUCAAAUAGGGAAGUAAAACCUUUAGUUCCCUCUAUUGAGUCACCUCUUAUGUUAGAAUUAAAACUUUGACCUUCAUACUUCCUGUAAUCAUUUCAUCUUCAUUGAAUGCAAAUCAAGGGAAGAGUUUGGUGGAUGUAUUGGGGAGAUACAAGAAGGCCAUUGGAUGGACCAUGGCAGAUACCAAAGAAAUCAGCCCUUCCAUAUGCAUGCACAAAAUUCUAUUGGAAGAUUGCUACAGUAACUUUGUGGAGCAAUAGAGAAGAUUAAAUCCCAUCAUGAAAGAAGUUGUGAAGAAAUAGACAUCAAGUGGCUCGAUGCUGGAAUCAUUUGCCCAAUAUCAAAUAGCUUAUGAGUAAGCCCAGUACAAUGUGUUCUAAAGAAGGGUGGAGUGACUGUAGUAGCAAAUAAAAAGAAUGAGCUCAUUACAACAAGAAUAGUAACUGGAUAGAGAGUUUGUAUAGAUUACAGAAAGUUAAACAAAGCCACAAGGAAUGAUCACUUCCCAUUGCCUUUUAUAGAUCAGAUGCUGGAUAGACUUGCUAGAAAGGAGUACUAUUGUUUCUUGGAUGGAUACUCAGGCUACAACCAAAUUACUAUAACACUAGAAAAUCAGGAGAAGACAACAUUCACUUGUCCGUAUGGAAUCUUUGCCUUUAGAAGGAUGUCAUUUGGCUUGUGCAAUGGUCUAAUAAUUUUCCGGAGGUGUAUAAUGUCUAUGUUUUCAGAUAUGAUUAAGCAAACACUUGAGGUAUUUAUGGAUGAUUCUUCAGUUUUUGGGGGAAUCAUAUGAUGAUUGUUUGAUAAUCUAGAAAAUGUGAUCAAGAGAUGUGAGGAGAUAAAUUUAGUUCUGAAUUGGGAAAAAUGCCACUUCAUGGUGCAAAAAAGGAUAGUACUAGGCCAUAGAGUAUCUAAAAAGGGAAUAGAGAUGAAUAAGGUAAAAAUAGAGGUGAUUGAUAAACUUCCAUCACCUACUUUAAUCUAGGGCACAAAGAGUUUCUUAGGAUACGCUGGGUUUUAUAGAAGAUUUAUUAAGGAUUUUUCUAAAAUUGUCAAACCCUUAUGCAUGUUUUUGGAGCAUGACAUGCCCUUUAAUUUUGAUGAGAAUUGUUUAAAGGCUUUUGUUGAGUUGAAAAGAGCUCUUGUUACAGCACCAGUUGUUGUAGCACCCAAUUGGAGUAUGCCUUUUGAGUUGACGUGUGACGCAAGUGACCACUCAGUUGGAGUAGUGUUAGGGCAAAGGAAAGGGAAGACUUUUAGUGACCACUCAGUUGAAGCAGUGUUAGGGUAAAAGAAAGACAAGAAUUUUCACUCUAUUUAUUAUGCUAGUAAAACCUUGGCUAAUGCACAACUCAAUUAUACUAUCACUAAAAAAGAGUUGCUGGCAGUUGUUUUUUCAUUUGACAAAUUCAAAACUUAUUUAGUUGGCAUCAAGGUGAUUGUUUACACAGACCACUCAGCCUUAAAGUAUUUGAUUUCAAAGAAGGAUGCCAAACCAAGGUUAAUUAGGUGGAUUCUUUUGGCACAAGGAUUUGACUUGGAGAUUAAGGAUAGAAAAGGAACUUAGAAUCAAGUAGCAAAUUAUCUUUCAAGGCUAGAAGCAGAUGUAAGCACUCUGACCAAGUAGGAUAUUACAAAAACGUUUCCUGAUGAGCAAUUGUUUCUGCUACAGCAUGCACAGAUGUUACAGUAGUCUGGACUCCCAUGGUACGUAGACUUUGCUAAUUACUUAAUAAGUGGAUUAACGCCGUCCGACUUGAACCACCAACAGAAAAAGAAUUUUCUUAAUGAUGUCAGAAGCUGCCAAUGGGAUGGCCCUUACUUGUACAAGAUGUGUUUGGUGUUGAGUGUUAGAAAAUGUAUAUUUAUAAAGGAGAAAAUUGUCAUUUUACACUUCAAGUUUACUAACACCCUUACUUUUAUGCAUUUAACCUUCUUGUCAUUUAAUUAUGUGUGUUGUAUUAUAAUUAAGUAUUUUAUGUAUUUUAAGGGGCAUCAUAGUCAUUUCACAAUGAACGAGAGAUCAGACGGUAAAACCGACAUCACUUUUGAACUCAGGACGGUCGAAAACCUUAGGAGGAGCAUAAAAGGAAAAAUGGCACUGUUCACAUAUACGGUACUAUUCACAUGUACGGUACUAUUCAUGAUAAUGUUCAUGACACUGUUCACAUAGACGGAUUGAUGACGUGGCAUUGACCGAUGAUGUAGCAUUGACUAAUGAGGUGUCACGAUCCUAUUGGACUAAAAUUCUUAUGCACUGUUGAUUGGUGACGUGGCAGCAUGUUAGUGGACCAAAAAUUAUGCGUACGGUACAUGCAUUACAUAGGAUUAUUUUCAACCAAACCGCGUCACUGUUCAAGCCGGGUCAAACCGUGUUACUGUUCAACCACGUGGUCAAACCGCGUACUGUUGACUGAUGACGUGGCGCAAUCCUGAGAUUUAAAAUCAGGUUUCUAGCAAUUAGGCAUUGAACCCUCUGAGCGUUACAAAACUGCCUUUUGUAUUCCAAAUGCCCAUUUCCAAUGGACCGUCCUACCCUUUGGCCUCAAAACUGCCCCUUGCUUGUAAGAUAUAGAAUAUAGAAGUUUGAAGCAAUAAACUCUCGUGUGUUUUAUCACUAUGAAUCUGUAAACCUCUCUCCUCUCUCUGCAAAUGAAGCUCUCUAGAGAAAGAAAAAGAAUAAAGAAUUAAAUUUGUUCAUUUUGAAACCUAAGGAAGUAUGCUCUGCACUUGCCUUCUAGUAAGGAUCUUGUGCAUCAGAAAACUUUUGAUCGUUUUCUUAUCUGGUUUGGUACCCUGUUUUAGACUAAAGGAAAGUCUGUUUUGGGUUGUAUAACCCGAGAUGAAAGAUGUUUUAAAGGUUUUUCAGAUUCCCCAUUUGAGUAUAUCGACGGGAAACCGACGACGUAAAUUCCAGAGGUGAUCCUGAAUAGGCACUAGUCUGGUCUGCACUAUUGGAUAACAAGUCACGUACCCUAAAUGGUAUCAGAGCCAUACCCAUCCUUGAAACUUUCAUGUUUUCUAAAUCACCGUUUUCCUGACCAAAAUGGUAUAAUUUAAGGCUUUUUCUAUUUUGCUCUCUAGAACUUCAGGCGCAGAGAGAACUUCUCAUUCAUGGCUUCCACUUCAUCUUCACCUCCUAUUACUCUUUCUUCUACUCUUUCUUUGCCCAGAUCUUGCACUUCUCAUAACACUAAUAAGAUUGACAACCUUGUAGAAUAUUCCUAUAUCCCUGAAUCAGCCCAAAUCAGUGAGUCCUCCUACCCUCUUAUUAGCCCUUAUCAGUUGUACAAACGACCUAGCUCCUUUACCCGCAGUAUCCGCACCCUCAUCUCUACCAGACGCCCUCACCCUAAGGAAUAUAUCCAGUCUUCCCGCUUGGAUCAGUGUGCUCUUCAAGCCACCUCUGCUGAGCAAUAUGUCACUCUGGAGAUUCCCUCCGAGUUGCUCUCCAACUGGAAACGAGAAGGUUAUACUCAUCUUCAUCUUGGAGGCAUCAGAUUAAUCCUUACUCUUCACGGAAGAAAGGGAUUACCGGUUACAGCUCGCCUUGCUAUGCUUGACACCCGGUUUAAACAGUACCAAGAUGCUGUUAUUGGCACUGUUCUUACAACCCUCCAUGCAAGCAGUGUUUUACUUACCUUUUACCCAAACUUCAACCUUUCUCUCCAAGAUCCCAACUUGCCCACAACCUUGAAAGUCCAAGUUCAGAUUCAAGGUGCUGAACAAAUUUCUUCUGCCAAAAUUGCCACCUUACACCACCAAUUGGUCUAUAGGCUUCAAAAUCAUGCCUUAGAUCUACCCACUCCUGAGCAUCAUUCUGAUACCCUCAUGGUCUUAGCCGAAUCUGACCAAAUUCCAACCACAAUCCAAAUCCCAAGACAAAUUCCCCAUCAUGAGCUCAUCAAGCUUAUGCCUCUUGAAUGGAUCUCCAACUAUGAACAGUUCCAUAACAAUACAGCUCCAAUUCAGACCUCUGAAAGCAUGUUUGAAAGACGCCAAGAUGGAACAGUCCGAAUGACCUUUAAACCACCUCCAAGUGCUCCACAAGAGCCUCCUCGGCUCUCCUUUACCUAUUCUUCAAUGAUUACAGCUGUCCAGACAGCCCAAGAAGAUCUGCCCAUUUCAGGGUUCAAUUCUGAAGGCUACCCUGUUUAUCCAGCCAAGCAAAAUGGCCAUUUCCUUUGGGAUGCCCCUGGCUCAGGCAUGUGUGACCCAAAUUGUCCCUGCUGGGAUGAUUGGGACGAAGACGAUGAUUAUGCCACCACAAGGAAAAAGAAACCCAAAAAGAAAAAACCUCCAGUUUCCUGCCACCACUAUGAUCCCAAACCAUCACAAGAUCCUCUACCUCCACCAGCUCCAUUACCCUUUUACCAAAAAGAACUCAAAUGGAUCGCAAAGCAUUGCAAAUCUAAGACUCCAUCACCAAUCUCACUUCCAACACCACCACUCACUUGUAUGAUGUUUUCAUCCACUUCUUCACACUAUUCUUCCUCUUUUCCUCCUUUAGACACUCACACCGAUUCCCAACGAAAUGUUUUGUCCAAACCCUUUGUCCCUUCACCAAUUACCUCAUCUGGCCACCUAGAACCUCCUAAACCUUUUGAAUCAGUCCUCAACUGGCAAACCCAGAAUCCUAGAGCACAGAAUGAUACUUUGUUGAAUAUCAACUCCAAAGUUGAGAAUAUCAGUUUACGAACUGAACAACUUGAGACAAAAGUUGACUCCAUCUCUGCACAGAUGCAGCAGAUCCACCAAAAUCUCCAGUCCAGAAUUACUCAACUCAAUUCUGAACUACGAGCUAUGCUUGCCCAGCGCUAUUAUGGCCCAGAAUUUGACCAAAAGGAAAGGGAAAUCAGACGCUUAAAAGCUAAACUUGCUCAGAUUGAAUCUGAAAAACAAAGACCUACCCUUUUUACCACGUCCCCUCCUAUCCCUUCCAUAGGUCCAACUUAUCAUCCUUUUGCCUCUAUGCUUUCACCCAUCAGACAGUAUGAUCCUUCCAAGUUAUUUUGCAUGACCCACACUCUUUUCAGAGACAAUCCCUUACCACCACCACCUAAACCUAAACCAAAGCCUAAACCACAACCACGACCCGUUACAUUUCAUCAGUCAUCUAUUACCAUCCCUGGCCAACACUCUCCUGGUCAUACUCAGGCAUCGCCACCAGUACCUCCUCCACCAAAUGAAUCCCAACCACCUUCUCAAUCCAAAGAUAAACAACCAAUGCACCAGUUUAGUGCCCACACAGUCGCCCACUCUUCUACUACAGAUGACCAAACUUCUUAUUCAAAUCUAGUUGUUUCUGAUAGCCAUACUGAGACCGACAUAGAAUCUUCAGUAUCCACUAGUGAUUCUGAAAAGUCCUAUGCUGAUAUCACCAGAAUCUUGAUGGCCCAACCUGAUUAACCUCCUUAAGGCCAAACUUCCCAUACAGAACCAUAUGUUGAUAUUCCUUCAGAAGUUGAAGAAGAUGCCUGAAUCUUCUACAACCAAUCAACCUCCUCCAGCUCAAGCCCAAACCAGUCCACCCAGUCAAAAAUCUUCAAAUGGCCCAUGGUUCACAUUUGAUGAUCUUCCAUCUCAUAAAUGGCGUGAUCGCCUCAAUGAAAUGUCUGCCUGGAUUGACCUUCAAAUGCUACGUCCAGGAGCCACAACUCAAUCAGUCCUUAGAGAGUUUGCUACUCGUUUUACGGGUGCUCUAAGAGAUUGGUUUGAUUCUUUGGGCAACUACAGACAAUUGCAGUUUGUUCAAUUACCAGAAGUCUCAAGUGCCCUUGCGGUUAUCCAUGAUCAAUUCCUUGGAGACCCCUCUGCAGUCUUUGAAGCUGCACGACGAGACUAUGUCAACAUGAAAUGCUGUUCCCUUAAUGCUAAGGAUCUUGACUUCCAUUACAAGCGGAUUUCUUUGCUAUUUUAUAAGCUUAAUGGAUUCAAUGAACCGAUAUUAAAGCAUGUCUUUCUAGUUUCCCUUCCAGACGAACUCUAACCAGACAUUCAGAGACAACUCACCGCAUCCAAUCUUUCCCUUGACAACAUCUCUCUUGGCAAAAAUUUUCAGCUUGCCAAAACUUGUCUCGAUAAACUCUGCGAACAGAAGCAGUUUUUUAAAGAACUGUUGAAAGACAAAGAACCAUUCCGGAGUACCUGCAAAAAGCCUUAUUUGCAGAUCAAAUGCAAAAAGAAAAAGGAUUGUGAUUGUAGUCCUAAAAAGAAAAGGCAUUUUAAGAAAUUCAGAAAUCCAGAAUUUUCAUCCAGACCUCGUCGAUCCAGAAAGCCUUACAGAUUCUUCCAAAAGAAGUCAUCUUCUUCCAGAGACUUUAAACGGAGAAAAUCAAGUAGAUGUUUCAUCUGCAAGAAGAAAGGCCAUUAUGCCAAAGACUGUCCCAACAAGCGAGAAAAAUCUAUUCGGUUAGUUGAGCAUCUCCAAGCAACUACAGAUUACUCUCCAGAAAAGGAUGAACUGGAAUUCUAUUUCUCUAAACAAGAUGAACCCAAUGAUGAAACAGUGUUCGCCCUGCAGAACUCCUCUGAUGAUUCAGACAGUGAUCAGUCCCAAGCCAUUUUCCACCAACAGUUACUGUCCCUUGACACUACUGUCCCUUGACACUACUAUUCCUAUAUCAUCCAUCAAACUUCAAAUCUUGCCCUUAAAGUUCCAAAGACCCAUUCCAGCAAUUGGUCUCAUCGACACUGGUGCCCAACGCAGCAUGUUAAACCCAUAUCUUCUUCCACCAGAAUACUGGACAGACUAUGAAGAACAUUUCAAAGCUGUCAAUGGCAAACUCUUCACCACCUCUUUGAUUACCAAAAAACCCAUUGGUAUCCAAAUCUUCCCAAAUUGUGUCAUUUGGACUAAAGUUAUCGGUUCAACCCUUCCUAAUAAGGAUCUCUUGUUAUGUUUUGACAUCCUUCACCAGAUCAAACACCUCCAAAUCCUUCCCAAUGGAAUUCGAGUCAAGUCCAUGUUCAAACCUUUCAUAGACAUUCUAAAACUCUAUAAUCUGUCUGAAACCCCUCAACCCUACCAGGAUAUUUCAACCAAGCUUUUGAGUUUCUGUCCAGAGUCCCAUUCUGAGUUCACCCAUCCAAACCCAUUGUGGAAAAAUAAGUCUUUCUUCAUUAGGUUACCUUUCAAACUCAAUGAAGACAUUAACCCAACCAAAGCUACUCACCCAGGAAUGAGUCCUUCUGAUUUACUCUGAGCCCAACAAGAAUGUUCCCAACUGUUAGCCCAAGGUCUUACUAAGCCCACAAAUUCUCAAUGGGCUUGCCAAGCCUUUUAUGUUGAAAAGCAUUCUAAAAUUGUCAGAGGCAAGAAACGCCUAGUUAUUGACUACCAGCCAUUAAACAUGUUUUUACAAGAUGACAAGUUUCCCUUACCCCGUCGACAAAGCAUGUUUACUUUUCUCAAAAAUGUCCAGAUCUUUUCAAAGUUCGAUUUAAAAUCAGGUUUCUGGCAAUUAGGCAUUGAACCCUCUGAGCGUUACAAAACUACUUUUUGUAUUCCAAAUGCCCAUUUCCAAUGGACCGUCCUACCCUUUGGCCUCAAAACUGCCCCAUCCAUUUUCCAAAAAUCCAUGGUCAACAUCUUUCAGCCUAUUCUGCAUCAUGCAUUAAUUUGCAUUGAUGAUAUUUUGCUUUUUUCAGGUUCACAUGAUGAACAUCGUCAGCUGUUAACUCAAUUCUAUGAUAUUGUCCAAAGUCAUGGAAUUAUGUUAUCGGCCAAGAAAAGCACCAUUGCUACCGACAAUAUUGAAUUCCUUGGUAUGAUCAUAAAAGAUGGCCAUUAUCAACCAGGAAAACACAUUGCCCAAGAAUUGCUUUACUUUCCAGAUCAGCAACUUUCCAAAAAGUAAGUUCAACAGUUUCUCGGCAUCAUCAAUUACAUCAAAGACUUCAUCCCACAUGUGGACCACUACACUCGCCACCUCUCAGCUUUAUUAAAAAAGAAGCCCCCAGAAUGGAAUGCUGACCACACAAACACUGUCACUAGUCUUAAGCAAAUUGCGCAAAAUCCGCCUCCUUUAAAGUUGAUUACUGAUGGAAAGCGCAUAUUGCAGAUAGACGCAAGUGAUGACUCAUGGGGUGCCAUCCUCCUUGAAGAAAUCAAUGGAAAAGAACACUUUAGCGCUUACGCUAGUGGACAAUUUUCUGACACACAGAAGCAUUACCAUAGCGUGUUCAAAGAAAUCUUAGCAGUAAAGAAUGGCAUCAAAAAAUUUGAGUAUCAUCUGAUUGGACACCACUUUCUCAUCCGUAUGGACAGUUCAGCCUUCCCCAAUAUUCUCAAUUUCAAAGGUAAAACUGUUCCCGAAAAAAUGUUACUCAGAUUAAAAGAUUGGUUUUCCAAAUAUGACUUUUCGGUCAAGUAUAUAAAGGGAUCCCAGAGACUCAUCCCUGAUAUGCUAUCCAGACUCUCAAAACCAGAAAAACCUCUCACCCUGUUUUCCACUACAUACCACUUUCCGAUCAUCUCCAUGGCCACAUCACUACCCCCAGAAGCUCUCACUAAGAAAACUUUUUCCUUUAACAAAAACUUCUCUUCUGUCUUUGCCAUCCAAGAAUUUGCAAAGAAAGCUCUCUUUCGCUUCUUCAUGAAAGGCUACCUUGUAACAUAACCCUUUCCAUUUUCCUCCUUCCACCCAGAAAAUCUAUCCCUUACAGGUUUAACCCUUGAUCCAUCCAGAGAAACCACUGAAGAUGUGUUACGGUACAUCUGGUGCCUAACAGUCCUUUAUGCCACUAAGUUAGUUCUACCAAUUACUCCCACAUUGGAACAUCUCCUUGACCCAGACAAAGCCACCUCUCUUACCUGGACAUUACUUGAAUGGUUCUCCCCAAUACCAUGGUGGAGAAAGAAGCUCCAACAACUGUCAGAAAUUUACAACCUUGAACGUAUGCCUGCCUCGGAAGCACAAAUGUUUACCUCAGUCUUUAUUGUUCACAGGCCAUACUUUCAACAUCCAGACACAAAAUUCUUUUGGACUCAAGACCAGGUAUAUGAAUGGUUCACUGCACCACAUCUAGCUGUCAUUGAAAAUGAAAUCCAAGAUGUCUUUCACAACUACCUUUGCCAAUUAAACCACCAACCUCCGCCACUUAAAGAUAUCUUCCACACCUCCUUAGGCCCACAACAUGACCUCCUCAUGAUCCCCACUCCAUCCGCCAUAUCCAAACCGAAAUCCACGGGAAUCAUUAUCAAAGAAGAAAAGCCAGACUACAUUGACUUCCUUUUCCAGGACUCCCAAGACCCCUGGGAAGAUUUCCUUCCCCUCAGCCAACAUCUCCAACAGUUUCCACAACCAUCCAUGAAUGAACCAGGAUCCUCAUCCCAACCUCCCAAUGCUGACACGACCACUACACCCUCCAAAGUUGACAAAGCCACUCAAACAUCACCAAGGCCAGGAUACCGACGAGAUUGUCCUUAUCCCCCUUGCCGUGGUCCCCACUGUAAGCAUCCAAAGCUCUCCAAGACCUUUUUCCCAAAAUCCAACCAUGACACUGACCCCAAUGAAACCGAAAGCUCAUCCGAAGACGAUUACAUGAAUCUCCGCUCUCCAUAAAGUUGUUUGUCUUGUUGCUUUCAAUAAAGUAGUUUGUCUUGUUGUAAUAAUGUUUUACUUUAUGGUUUUGUCUUGGCUUGCCUUACGCUUUAGCUUUUGCCAGUUGUAAAAGUCUUUGUAAGCCUGCUUUAUCUUUUGUCCAUUUGUCCAAAAGUCUUGAUCGGUGGGCUUAGCUUUCUAAAAAGGUGUGCUACAGGUCAUGAUCACUUGAGAAGUCAUGAUCUCAAGGACCCAUGUUGUCGUAUCUUUUGUUUUUACUCUUGAAAAAAUGAUAGGGGUCCUGUCCUAUCUUCUCUGAGAAUUCUCCUAUAUAAAGGAUUCUCCCCUCGCUUGUAAGAGAGAUAUAGAAUAUAGAAGUUUGAAGCAAUAAACUCUCGUCUGUUUUAUCACCAUGAAUCUCUAAACCUCUCUCCUCUCUCUGCAAAUGAAACUCUCUAGAGAAAGAAAAAGAAUAAAGAAUUAAAUUUGUUCAUUUUGAAACCUAAGGAAGUAUGCUCUGCACUUGCCUUUUGCAAGGAUCCUGUGCAUCAGAAAACUUUUGAUCGUUUUCUUAUCUGGUUUGGUACCCUAUUUAAACUAAAGGAAAGUCUGUUUUGGGUUGUAUAGCCCGAGAUGAAAAAUGUUUUAAAGGUUUUUCUGAUUCCCCAUUUGAGUAUAUCGACGGGAAACCGACAACGUAAAUUCCAGAGGUGAUCCUGAAUAGGCACUAGUCUGGUCUGCACUGUCGGAUAACAAGUCACGUACCUAAACCGAUUUUGAUAAAAUGAAAGUGUUUUCUCACAAAGUUCACCCUCUAUGAGGCCAUGAGCGCCGUGUGUUCGGGUGAUAUCGUGAAAAACUGUUUUCAAAUAUGAUUUUCGAAUUUGGUAUUUGAUGGAUAAGUGUAUAUCGGCUGGAAACCAGAACUUGCGGGCUACUGGCCCUAAGGACAGACUUCAUUCUAUUAUAGAUCUGGUGUAACAACGUCACGUACAACUACCCAUAGCCAAUCUACAAAGGGGGCAACAACCAAUAGCUCCUAAUGUAAGAGGUAAUCAAGGGCGUGCUGUCAUGGGAGAAGAAGAUGGCAAUGACAUAGAUGAUUUUGAUGACCAGGCCACCGUUGACAUGUGUGGAAGAGAUAAUAGAAGGGCAAGACGUAUAGAUCGUUAUUUGGGGAGUAUCAAACUGAAAAUUCCUUCUUUUCAAGGUAAAAAUGAUCUAGAAGCUUAUUUGGAGUGGGAAAAAAAGGUGGAGCUAGUAUUUGAUUGCCACAACUACUCUAAGGAGAAAAAGGUAAAACUAGCUGCUAUUGAAUUUACUGAUUAUGCUAUUAUUUGGUGGGAUCAACUUGUUUUGAGUAGGAGACAAAAUCUUGAAAGGCCUAUAAACACUUGGGAGGAGAUGAAGGCCAUCAUGAAGAGGAGAUUUGUUCCUAGUCAUUAUUAUAGGGAGAUUACCACAAGGAGAUGGAAAUAAUCAUGAUUCGAGCCAACAUUGAAGAAGAACGAGAGGCCACUAUGGCAAGAUUUUUACAUGGUUUAAAUCAAGAUAUUGCUAAUGUGGUUGACUUGCAGCACUAUGUUGAGUUGGAAGACAUGGUUCACAUGGCCAUGAAAGUGGAACGAGAAUUGAAAAGGAAAGGUUCCACUAGAACCAAUUUGGGUUCAUCUUCCUCAUGAAACUCAAAAUGGAGCAAAGAUGAAAAGGUUGUUUCAAAGCCUAAGAUUGAGCCAAUCAAGGAUCAUAAAGAGAGAGGCAACCAAAGCAAAGGUAAAUCUGAUUCCCAAUUUUCUAGAAAUAGAGAUAUUAAGUGUUUUAAAUGUUUGGGGAUAGGUCAUAUUGCAUCUCAAUGCCCAAAUAAGAGAGUAAUGAUCUUGAGGGAUGAUGGUGAUGUUGAAACCGAGAGUGAAUUAGAUGAUGAUCCUAUGCCACCUUUGGAGGAUGCUAAUGAUGGUGUAGAAUAUCCUGUUGAUGGUAAAUUGAUGGUUGCUAGGCGUGUUCUCAACAUGCAAGUAAAAGAGGAUGCGGAGGUACAACAUGAUAACAUCUUUCAUACUAGAUGCCACAUCAAAGAUAAGGUAUGUAGUAUGAUAAUUGAUGGUCGAAGUUGUACUAAUGUAGCUAGCACUAGUUUAGUUGAAAAAUUAAAUUUGAAAACUUUGAAACAUCCGAGGCCAUAUAAGCUACAAUGGCUGAAUGAUUGUGGGGAAGUUAAAGUAAGUAAACAAGUGCUGGUUUCAUUCUCUAUUGGGAGAUACAAGGAUGAGGUUCUAUGUGAUGUAUUACCCAUGCAUGCUGGACACAGUCUUUUAGGUCGACCUUGGCAAUAUGAUAGGCGUGUGACAUAUGAUGGUUACUUAAAUAGAUAUUCUUUUGUAAUAAAUAAAAGGCAAAACACUCUUGUACCAUUAACACCUAGGCAAGUGUAUGAGGAUCAAAUGUCAAUACAAAAAGAGAGUGAGAGUACAAAAGAAAGAGAGAUUGAGAGAAAAGCAAGUGAGAAGAUAGAAAAAAAUAUUGUUGAGAGAAAAGAGAGGCAGCAAGUGAACUUGUUUGCAAAAGAGAGCGAGGUUAAGAGGGUUUUCUUUUCAAAACAUCCUAUCAUUGUACUUUUCUUUUCCACGUGAGUUCCUUGAAGCCAUUUCAUGGGGAUUCGGAAGAUCCGAAAAGGGGAGAAUCCAAGUGCCCUCCACUCGGCAACACAAGGGUAUAUGACAAAGAAGUGGAGGCCAUUUUGGCUCACCGUGUGGUUGGAAGAAGAGUUUUCUGCCAUGCCAAGAGUACUUCGUCAAAUGGAAGGGACUACCCGAGAGCGAAACAAGUUGGGAGCCCGCAAACGAUUUGUGGCAGUUCCAAGACAAGAUCAAAGCCUUCCACAGCGAGUCGACGAGGACGUCUCCGGAAUAGGUGGGGGAGAAUGUCAAGGCCCAAGCUUCCACAUGGCCUGGCCCAUGGAGAAUUCAAGCUUGGGCCUUGACAUGUAGAUAUUUCCUUUGUAAUUAAUGUGUUUAGGUGGGAGUUGUGAUAACUCUAGACACUAUCUGGAUACUUCUUUGUACUUUAUAAAUAGGAGAAGGCCUCAUUUGGCCAAAUCAAUCAAAAGGAAUAUACAAUUCCAGCACACAUAGCUUUGUAAGCAUUCUAUCGAGCAAUAUAAGUUCUUUCCUCCCAUACUUUGUGAGUUAGAGUGAAUCCUCUUUCCACUUCUCGAAUCCAGCAACGGAUUUGGGUGUAAGGCUGACUUAGGGCCAAGAGAGUGCGAAUUUGGCGCCUAAGACCGCACGGCAUAGCGUGGGAACAAAUCGGGCCGUGACAGUAAAAUCUUGAUCCCACGAACUAGAAGUUGGAGCUACUGCCUCAUGAUGACCUUCAUUGAGUGAAGUGUUAACCAAGCAAGGAGGAAUAUGACCAGAUAGAUUAUUAUGAGAAAGAUCAAUCAACCGCACUUCCUUCAACUGGCAUAAUUGAACUGGUAUUUCGCCUUCAAUAUAAUUAUUAGCUAAAAGAAAGUAGCUUAACUGAGGUAGUCUGUCAAUCCGAUUUGGAAUACUUCUAUGUAAGCGGUUAUAACUAAGAUCUAAUGUCACCAAAUAAGGGUUGUCAUGGAUUAUACUUUCCAACUGUCCUUCUAUCUUGUUUUUUGACAAAUGAACUUGUUCGAAAACAAGAUGGUAAGGUUCCAAAAAUAGUAUUGUUUGAAAGGUCUAAAAUCGUCAGAAGUUCAAGCUGACAAAACUCGAUUGGAAUUGGUCCUUGAAGAUUGUUAUUGGGCAUCAUAAUAUCUUCUAAAGCUAACAAAUUACCCAACCAUCUUGGAAUCCUACCAAAGAGACGAUUAUCACUCAGAUAUAAUCCUCCCAAUAAAUAGCACUUAGAUAAGCUUUAUGGGAUCUCUCCAAUGAAUUUAUUACCAUCCAACUGCAACCUCAUUAAAUUUGUCAAGUUAAAUUUUUUAGAGAAUAUAUGACCUUGCAAACUGUUGUUUGACAAUGCAAGAAUUUCUAAUGAGAAGCAACCCGUGGCCAUGCGCUCAGGGAUUUCACCAGUCAACUGAUUGUGGGAUAUGUCCAAGCUUUUCAACAUUUUCAUAUCAAAAAAUGAAGAGGGAAUGCUACCGUUGAAAGCAUUUCUAGAUAAGUUUAAAUGUAUGAAGACUAGCAGAUAUGUUCCGAUUUCUACUGGGAUAUGGCCUUGAAAGAAAUUGUUGGAGACAUCCAAUGUUGCUAAUUUUUUGUGGGAAUGAAUUGCAUUCGAAAUGAUCCAAAAAGAGAGUUAUUGGCAAGAAGAAGCGUCUCUAAGUUUGUAUUGUUUUCUAGCAACCAAUAUGGAAAUUGUCCACUCAAGUUAAGAUGUGAGAGAUCUGCAUUCUUCAAGUCAUGCUAAUGGUACAAGAAUUUGGGAAAUGUGCCACCAUCUCCGUAUCCAAAGAAUGAGAUAGAAGUCAAUUGGAAUUUAGGGGUCAAAGAAUUAUAAUGUGACUCAGUUUCUGCACAUAUUUCACCAUCGAAAGUCUUGAGUUUUGAGAGAUUGAAAAGUGGUUCAAGUGAAAUAGGGAUUUGGAAGUGAUUAUUUGAAAGUAUGAGCUUUUCCAUAGAUAUUAGAUGCAUGAGGGAAGAUGAGACGUUUUCAAUAAGUUGAUUGUAAGAGACAUCUAAUACUCGAAGGGAAGUCAAAUUUGCCGAGCACAAAGGCAAGCUACCUCUUAAAUCAUUGUUAUCAAUGUAUAACUCUCUCAGAAGCACCAACUCACAAAGGUUUGGGGAGAUGUUUCCAGUAAGUUGAUUAGAAGAGGCAUCUAACACUUUAAGGGAUGUCAUGUUUGCCAAGCACCAUGGCAAGCUACCUCUUAAAUCAUAACUGCCGAUGUAUAACCCUUGCAGAUGCACCAACUGACAAAGUCCUGAAAAAUAUAUAAUUCAUCCUUUAGUACACAUAGAUAAAUAAUUGCAUAAAAUCUUUAAAGUACAUAUUAAAAAUUUAGUUUGAGUACUGAUAAUUGAACGGUAGAAUCUGAUGUAAUGGCAACAAAAUAACUGUAAAAUUAUACGGCAUUAUAGUGUUAAGUAAAAAAUUAGCAUUAUUUUUCAAUCAACAUUGCAACAACACACUAUUUUAUAGUUGCUUUUGUCAUUAUUAUGGCUCCUUAUCAUCUUUCAUUAAGUUUAUAAAUAGCUAGCAUUAUAGAUAUUCUCAAUUAAAUUUAGUUAAGAUGCAAGAGAGGGAGAAAGAGAAUCAUUAAUUAACCUUGAUCAAGAAUGGUGUUUUUACUAGAGUUUAUCGGUGAUAAAAACUUAAGUGAAGGCAUUGAUUCGCUGACAAUUUGAAGAAAAUUGGUGUUGACAUCAACCUGUAUGAUGAGAACCAUCAAGGGAAUACCAUUAAAGCUUCAAGUGAUCCUUUGCACAUUCAUGGAGGCCCAAUUACAAGAGCUAGAGCCAAAACGAUGCAAGUUGCAUUAAAUGGAUUAAUUGAGAAAAUAUGGAUUGAAAAUGCAAUUCAAGAUGCAAGACAUCAUGAAUUGGGCUUGGAGAGAAGACAAGGUGUUGUGGGCAUUAUUCAAGCUAUUGGGCAGCCAAAUACACAAUUUGGAUCAAAUACAGAAAGGGCAAAUUUGGAAUAAAUCUGGUAUUGAUUGAGCCAGAAUUAAUAUACAAGCUAUAUGCCGUUGGAAAGAUAAUUAGGUUAGCUUUCAAAUGCAUUUUACAGAGCUGGAUUUGGAGUUCUCUAGAAGGAGUUAUGAUCAAUUUAUUACGGCUUGUUCAGGCUUGGGAAUUCAAACGACUCCUUUGAUUAUUCAACUUCAUUUAUUUGUUUUGUGUCAAGUUUAUCAAUGUGUUAGGUAAGUCUAACAUUAAUAAUGGUGGGUUGGUGAAGGCUUUUAAAGCACCCUUUGACAAACCUAUACUUGGAGGGUUGUUCCAAUGUUUCCAUUUGUAUUUUUAGGAUCUUGAGUUUCUUUUAGCCUAUUUAAACUCAGUAACCUUGCUAUGUAUGACAAUUAAGAGAUUAAUGUUAUUUGAAUUUGAAAGAUUAUUCUUUCUUGGGUUCUUUUGAGAACUAGUGAACUUAUCAAGAAUUUGCAUUCUUAUGGCGUUCCAAAUUUAAACUUAUCACUCACCUUCUCAUCUAUUUCUUGAGUGUGGCAUCAAUAUCAUUCUCUAUACCUUUGGUUCAUGCUUUUCUUAAGCAUUGGGUCAAGGUUUUGUUUGUCAUAAAUUUGUUUAGAACUUUCUUGGGAAGUUGAAACUACAAUUUAAGUGUAAGUUUCAAAGUUUCAUUGUGGGAUUUCGUAUCAUUGCACCCAACCCAUGUUCAGAUGUUCCAAAUUCUUGAAUUUACGAAAAUCUAUAAGCAAUAAACAAGAAAUGGUUAUAAUUUUGAUAUUGAUCACAUAGUGCAAGGGAAUAAGGAAAUUCGGUCCUUUUCUCUUUUUUUUUGGGGUUAAUUUACUAACUUUUCUUUACUCUUCUAAGCGAUCGAAAUAUUCUUAACAUAAUAGAACUAACGUUUCAUCAACCUUAAUCAAGAAUCCUGCAAUUUAGAGAAGCUGAAACUAUUGGACAGUGAAAAUAUAUAAAAUUUAAAAGAAAAAAAAUCGUACUUGGGGAAAAAAUUAACUUGAAAAGAAAGAAUUAUCACUGAAUUAAUAUCACAAAAGCUUCAGAUACCUGUAAUUUACCUUGACCGUGCAGGGCACCCUUGAGUACACAAUCUAGCAUUGACAAAUACUUUAACGAAGUGAAUGAUGCGAUGCUUUGCAGAAGCUAGCUUACGUGGAGAUCAGACUCGUCCAAUAUCAAUUCUUCCAAGUUGGUGAAAUUGUGCAAUUCUAUUUAGAAAGAAGUAGAAACAAUAGAUUUUAGCUAUAUAUAUUAAUUCAAUUAUUUUCGACAUAAAAGAUUUACUUACCUUGAUUAACUACUGUUCCCUUAAAAUUAGUGUACGAAAGGUAAAGUGUUUUGAGGGACGGUAGUGAUCCUAUUGAUUGCAACACCUUGCUUCCAUCUAUCAUUGGAAUUCUGCUUCCCCCUAAACAAAGGGUAUUCAACUUCCUCAAACCUCUUAAAUCUGUUUGGGAUACAAUUUCGGAUUAAAUUAUUUUGGGUAAGUGUCAUUGGGCAUUCCCUAAUCAAAUCUAUUAAACUGUCCUGCAAAUUAUUAGUAUUUGAACAUUUUGUAUACCUUUAGGAACCACAAGAUUGUCGAUUGCAUUUCCUCCAAGUUACUCAAGGAAUUCAGUCCUGCAUUUAUGCCAACACUUAAAACAGGGUUAAUUAAAUAACUUAUUUUCUUCUUCUUUAUUUUAAAUCUUGGCGCAAAAGAAUUUUAUUAAUAAGCAAAAAAGUACACGGCUAACUAGAAAAACCUAUAAAAGUUGCCAAGGGCAUGAUUGAGUGGUUUUAAGUAGGUAUAUUUGGCUGACAACAGCGAAUUUAAAUUUGUAAGGAAUAAAAAUUUAUUUCAACUUUACCUACUGCUACACCUUAUUCUUGUUUCAAAUUAAACACGAAAUUUUAAUUUGUUAAAUACUAAAUGGCGUUAAUUAAUUAAUUAAUUAAGUAAAUACAAGUUGGUUUAUGGAAGCCAAUAUCUGAUCCCUUCACACUAACCAAAAUACUAAAUUCAGUGCACAAAUUUAGAUAUAGGCAGAUAAAUAAGAUGCAUGUUAUUAUGGCUUACCUUGAACAUCAAAACUCUUUUUUUUUAAUCCAAUCCCUCUUAGGAUAUAAACUCGUUAACGAAGAAAGAGCAUUAGAAAAAAUCAAGCUACGAUGUUGAUUACUUUUGAAGACAAGACAUACAAAAUAAUUAGAUUGAAUUGUGUCUGAUUAUGAGAAGCAUUGAAAAUUGCAUAUAUUGUUAGAGAAUAAUAAGAAUAUGGAGGCAAAGAACAAAGAAAGUUUCUUAGGAUUUGAAACGUGUUUGCACACUUUCCUUUGAGGUUUUAUUUGCCCUCACUAAUCUUGGUUUGCUGUAGAGUUUUUCUUGGCAAAUUACCCCCAAGAUAUAUCAAAUCCUGAAUACAAUCUCUAGCAAAAAAGAUUGUAUUUCCAGAACAUAUAUGAAACCUACAAAAUCUGAUAAUCAAUCUAAUUGUGCGUCUUUCUUUAAUGAAGAAGAUGUUUAUUUGAAAGAAUACAACCAUUAGAAAUCGUACUUCUUCGAAGACACUCUUUUGGUUUGAAUUUGCAUCGAUUGACAAUUGAAAUUUUCAUUCUUGCUAACCGUUUUUCCAAUUGACGCCUUUUUGGAAAUAAACGGUUAGCCAUUUUCUCAAUAAACGGUGAGCCGUUUUAUUAAACGGCUUUUUAUCCAGAACAGCAAACAUGCUCUCUAGACUUAAACGGUUAGCCGUUUGCUCAAGAAACGGCAAACCGUUUUCGUCCAGAAUAUCAAACCAAAAAACUUGAAAAAUGUUACAAUCUCUCUUACAUAUAUUGAAAAUUUCUUAAUCCUAUUUUUAUAAUAUUCAAAGCCUUGAAGCCUAAACUAGCAAGAGUCUAGCUAGAUCUCGUAUCAAUACUUCCAGUUGGUCGAUGAAAUAAGAUCCACAAAGAUGGGACACGGAAGAAGGCAUGAAGCUUACUUACCUUUAAUAACAACACUUCCAUUCAAUCUAUUACUACGCAAUGAUAAGCAUCUGAGUGAUGAAAGACCACCUAGAGAUGAAAAGAUGCUGUUGUUGAAGGAGUUAAAGUCUAAACGAAGAAACUUCAAGUUGCUUAACCUUGAUAACCUACCUAGACCUGACAAAAAAUAAAAAGUAAUUUUAUUGUGUCACGUACAAAUUAAAUAAAAGCCAAAAGGGAUCAAAUAAAUGUAAGAAAUUACGAGGAAGAAUUAAAAUAGAGUAAAUUAAGGACCUUCAUUUUCAACACAACCGACUAUAUUGUUCCCAAUUAGAUCAAGAGACUCUAAUUGUUGAAAGGGAGUAAACAACGAGCAUUCAUAUGUCGCUUUUCUGAUUCCCAAUUCAAAUGCUGUUCUGUUGAUUCCAAAAUCCUAGUUAAUCACUCUGCCAGUGGUGUUGUUGCACUCAACCGCUUCCCACUGACAGCAAUUUGAAUAAUUCUCAUCAUUUGCCGCAUCUGCCCAGUUUUGAAGACGUUGAUUAUCAUUGAAGAAAUGUUUAAGUUGGAUGAGAGCAGACCUCUCCUGCUCCAAACAUCCUUGACUCCACCACCCUUUUUACUACUAAUAAUAUGAAAAUUAACUCACUCAUCCACACCCUUUUUGAACCACACAUUAUAUCUUCUUAAUUAUAAUCACCUACACACACUCUUUCUGUCUCUCUUUGCUUCAGUUCUGCAACAAUGAGAGGAUGGCUCUACGUUAUUUAUAACCAAUUGAACUGAUGAUACUCCCAGCUUUUAAUUGACUUCUCUAAGUCUUGCAUGCAUUUUUCUUAAUUUCUUUUUAUUUUUGCUGUUAAUAUAUAAUAUGAUUGUAAUAUAUUUUUAUUUAAUUGAGUCAAUUGAAAAUAUUUCCUCUCCAUCCAUAUGGGAUGUCAUAAAUAUCUGCACAGCCUGGAUUCUGACGGAACCUUGGGCAACGCGGGUAGCCGGACUUCACUAGACAAGCUUAUGGGCUAGCUCAAAACUUGAAUUUUAUGAAGAAUAUUACAAAAUAUCUAUUGUUUUGUUCAUUUAGUCCACUUAUUAUCUAUUGAUUUAGGAUGGUCUAGGGAGAAUGAAUAGGAUGUCUUCACAAGGCCAUAACUUGAGCAAUUGGUAUUUGUCUUAGGCUCAUAAUAUAUCAUUAUGAAGUUCUCAAGGAAAAGUGACAUUUUCAAUAUGGAUUAACAGAUCCUUGCUAAAUUUCUCUUAGGUGCUUAUAUUUUUGUCUGAAGAUAUCUUUCUUAUUUUUAAAAAUUCUUGUUAGAUUUUUAUUUAUUUUUGUCAAUAUUUGAUUUAAGUGUCAUAUUUUCUUAAUUUGUUUCGGCAGGUAAAAUUUUUAUUUUGCCAUACCAAUUCAGAUUUAGGGUUUAGUAUAAAAGGCUGUUAAAAUCCUAGUAUAACUAAUUAAAUAAUAAGAAUAUGGAAGUUAAAAUAAAAGGAUUUCUACGCCUAUCCUAGAUCACACGACAAGUGACUAUAUAUGAUGUUAGCCAAAAAAUUAAAAAUAAAUGCUAACCACACCGAACCUCUAGACUUUAACGAUGACUUUGGAUGAGUUCUUGAAUAUUGAUCAGCGAAUUUCUCUUCUUUAUUUAUUUAUUUCACUAUAUUCCACACAUCACCCUGAUUACAAUUUUAUUUUCUUUUAUUUUUUUCUUCCAGUUCAGUCAACAAGAAAAUAACAUGUAAUUGAACAAACCCUUUAUCAAGUCUCGGUCUUAUGCUGAUCCCUGUAACAGUGCUUGUAUUUGCCAUAUCAACAUCAUUUGUUGUCACGAAGAAGGUGAAGGGUCUUCUUUCUUUCUUGGAAGUUCAUGAAAGGAAAUCAUGUUUUACACGUUAGUUGACUUUGAAUUGACCCCAUAUUGUGAAACAUUGGCCCUCAAUCCUCUCUCUCUCUCUCUAAUUACUAAAUAAGUGAAAUUAUUAUUGAAAAUUUUGAGCAACAAACCAGCAAUUUUACAUAAAAAAAGAAAAAAAAUCGAUAGUGAAAUGUAAAGAACGACCUGGUUAAUCUUUAUCCACAGUGGUAGUUUUCAACAGCUUUACAAAAUAACUGGAAGCCAAGUAUUUCAAUCCAAACUCAUGGAGAACGAAAAAAUUACCUAAAAGAAAGAACACAUUGCUUUUAACAAUCUUUCGCAGCCAAAGACAUUGAUAAGGUGGAAUAUGUAAUAUUGGUGCAUUAAAGACCACCGCAAAGGUUAUAUUUUUCGGUGUUUGUUUUACGAUAGGACAAUUCGUACUCUAGAAAAUUUAUUUAUACUUAUGCAUAAAUUUUAUUUUAUUUAACUUAAAAAAAUUAGGGAUAAUAAUUUGGUUACAAUCUUUAGAAUUAGAUAGAACCUUCCUCAAGUCUUGGGUCCAAAAACUUAUUCUUGUACGUAGUAACAUUAUGUAUUUGUCACAUUAACAUAAUUGUAGUCACUGUCCGGAAAGAGACGAGAGGCACUCUCUUUCAUGGAAAUUCAUGAAUGCGUGAAAGCAAAUCAAAUCGUUUUUGGGUGCGUGGAAGUUAGGCAAGCAAUGUCCGCUCAAGUUUUAUAAUUAUAAUUGACUUUGAGUCAACAAAUGCCCCCUUUUCUCUCUUAUUUCUAUGACUAAUUAAAUAAAUUAUUUUUAAAAAAAAACAACAACAACAGUGAAAAUUGAAAGCAAGAAAAAUUUAAGUGAAUGACAUACUUAACUGAAAUGCCAGUAAUCAAAUGCAAAGAAGACCUGCUUAGUCUUUUCAAGAGCUAUUGAAUACAACUUUAUCAAUUCAAAGUUAUGGAUAUAAUGAAAAAGCGAACAUUGCUUUCAACAAGCAGUCUAACAUAUUUUUAAUGUAGGCAAUCUCACAAAAUCUGUUGAGAGAACUCCACUGAAGAGUAGAGUAAUGUUAUGAUUUCUGACAGUUAAGUUUUAAUUUAUGUGUGUUAUUAAUCUAUUAUAUAUUAGAUUUCAUGACUAUUAAAAUUAAUAUUUUACCACUGAAUAGAUGAUUACUAUACUAAUUGGGACCAAAUUAAGAGUUGAUUGUUAGGAUCCCAAAUACUACUGUGCAAAGUAAUAUAUUGGGCAUAAGCAAGUCAUUGAAGCGAGCGAAAAAUUCAACCCAUUACAAACCAUUGGAUUUCUUUUCACAACACAAGCAUUCUUGUCAUCGGCAAUUCAAACAACCAUUCCGUCCCUUUCUCUACUCAAUACCUUCCUUAAAUUGUUUCUUCUUAAUUGUUCAUAGCCUUAACCUCUAUUUAAGCACAUGUUUCUUAGUAAUUUCUUAUUUUAACAUGCUUUCAUCUUUUGAUAACGAGUUAGGACAAUUUAAUAAUACUGUAACUUUCAAAAUAAUUAAGGUUAGUUGUGAUGUAAAAACAAUUAGUCGUGUGAAGAUAAAUUGUUAAGUUUUUAUUUAUUUUUUUAUGCAAUACUAGAUAUUCCAACAUUUAAGUCCCAAUCUAGUCCCAAUAAAUAUAACAUUUAUCAAGUGGUUAAGUAAUUUUACAAACUAUGAAAUCUAUUAUUUAAUAAAUGAGUGAUACAUAAUAUUAAGAUUCAAAUAUUAAGAUUUCUAACAUCAUUAUUAGUAAAUCUUCUUCUCAUAAUUAAUUUUGGAAAACCAUUCCAUUUUUCUUUUUCAAAAGAUGCAGUAGCAUGUGUAGCGGUUUGAAUUAAUUGUGCAAACUACUUUUCAACUAAAUAAACAAAAAUGGGCCCUCAAUUUGGUUGCAAUAGCGUGUGUAGAAGUUUGAAUUAAUUUCUACCACUCUUUUGUACUUGUCAAUGGUCUCUUAGCCCAUUGUCACACCCCACACUCUCCAAACUAGCGUGUAUGAGUUCUGAGUCCUAACUAUUGAAAGGACUUAAUUCUCGUUCCAGUUAAAUUGGAUAGAAGUAAAAAUAUCUCUUCAUUAAUAGGGGAGAAGAAUAUAUAUCUAUCUUUGAUAUUAUAUGAGAAUAGAAAUUUGGGUUGUACUAGUUUAGAAUUAUUAAAGAUAGUCAGAUGAAGUUCUAAUUGUAAAUAUUAAUAGAAUUCUGAUUGUAAUAUAUUAAAAUGAACAGAUGUAAGUUUUCUUCUUAUUUUUAAAACUUUUAGAGCUUCAUUGACAGAGAGAAAAAGAGAAAUUAGAAACUCAUGAAUAUAGAAGGCUAGAGAUUUUAUUAUUUUUCGCUAUGCUUCUAACAAAGAGAAGCUGAGCUUAUAUAGGAGGAAAACCAAGGAAAAGGAUAGGACAGGCCCCUAUCACUUUUCUAAAAGCAAAGACAUAAUUACAAGCGACGAGCUUUUGGAAAAGUAAAAGCAAUAAAGACAAAUUAAAGUAUGACUCAUGCUUUAAUUAUUACAAACUUUGAAAAAAGUAAAUGAUGCCAAAUUGCAUGAAUCACGGAGAUGAGAGAUUCAUGUAGUUUUCAUCAGAUGAGUUGUCGGUCUCAUGACUUUGAGUGAUGGACAUGGAGUUUCUGGUGGAUGUUGAUGAUCUGGGCGACAGGGUGGCCAAGGGCAAAAUAUCUUGCGCCAAGAAGAAGAUGGGUGUUCUUUGGAGCCGGUUGGUGUGCUAGAACUGGCUUUAUUUGUUGGAUCGUCUGAGGCAUGUGUUGGUGGAGUUUGUUGGAGGUUUUGAAGAUGUUGACUUAAUGGCAAGAAUGCUUCCCAUGGGUCUUGUGCAUCUUGGUAUAGAAAAUUAGUGAAGUCUAGUUUUUCUUCCUUGAUGAUAAUACCCGUGGAUUUAGGUUUUGAAAUUGCUGAAGGAGUGGGGAUCAUGAUGAUAUCAUGCUGUGGACCGAGGGAGGUGUGAGAAAUAUAGAGUUCCUUUUGAACUUUAUCGUCUUGUUCAAGGAUGGCUGGGUGAGGUGUGGUGAACUAUUCAAAAACUUGAUCUUGAGUCCAGAAGAAGUGUGUAUCUGGGUGUUGGAAGUAUGGUCUAUAAAUAAUGAACAUAGAUGUGAACAUUUUUGCUUCUGAUGCUGGCAUACGUUCCAAAUUAUGAAAUUGUGACAAUUGUUGGAGUUUCAUUCUCCACCAUGGAAUUGGAAAAAACCAUUCAAGAAGCGUCCAGAUGAGUGAGGUUGAUUUGUCUAGAUUGAACAAAUAUUCUAAGGUGGCUGUUAUUGGAACGAUCAGUUUGGUGGCAUAGAGGACAGUUAGGCACCAGAUGUACCAUAAUUCAUCUUUUGAAAUGUCUCUGAAGGGAUCCAGGGUUAAUCCUGUGAGAAACAAGUUUUCUGGAUGGAAAGUGGAAAAUGGAAAUGAGUCUGAUAAGAGAUAGGCUUUCAUGAAAAACCUAAAUACAGCUUUCUUUGCAAACUCUUGUAUGGCAAAGACUGUGGUGAAAGUUUUCCCAAGGGGAAAGGUUUUUUGGGUAAGGGCUUGUGAGGGGAGUGAAGUGGCCAUGAAGAUGACAGGAAAAUGGUGUUAUGAGGAUAUGAAAAACAAGGAUUUAUCUGGUUUAGCAAGUCUUGAGAGCAUAUUAAGAAUAAGGUUGUGGUCUCCUUUUAUAUGCUUCACAGAGAAAUCAUAUUUUGAAAACCAGUCUUUUAGCCUAAGCAACAUCUUUUCUGGAACAUUUUUCCCUUUGAAAUUCAUGAUGUUGGGAAAAGCUGAGUUGUCCAUUCUGACAAGAAAGUGAUAGCCGAUAAGAUGAUACUCGAACUUUUGAAUACCAUGCUUGACAGCUAAAAUUUCUUUGAACACACUGUGAUAAUGGAUUUGUGUGUCAGAGAAGUGUCCUCUGGCAUAGCCAAUAAAGUGUUCUUUGCCAUCUGUUUCUUCAAGGAGGAUGGCCCCCCAUGAUUCGUCACUUGCAUCAGUCUGCAAUAUUCGCCUGCCAUCGGUGAUGAGCUUUAAUGGUGGCGGAUUUUGCGCAAUUUGUUUUAACAUUGUGACAGCAAGUGUGUGGUUGUUAUUCCACGAAGGUGGAUUCUUCUUUAGCAAGGCUGACAACUGGCGGGUGUAAUGUUAAUAAUACCAAGAAACUGCUGGAUUUGCCUUUUGGAAAGAUUCUGAUCUGGAAAGUGGAUGAGCUCUUAAGCAAUGUGCUUUCCUGGCUGAUAGUGACCAUCUUUGAUAGUCAUUCCAAGGAAUUCAAUGCUAUUUGUGGCAAUUGUACUUUUCUUAGCUGAUAACAUGAUUCCAUGAGAUUGAAUAAUAUCAAAGAAUUGAUUUAACAAAUGGCGAUGAUCAUCUUGUGUACCUGAAAUCAACAUAAUAUCGUCAAUGUAAAAUAAUGCACUAUGCAAAAUGGGUUGGAAGAUUUGGACCAUGGAUUUUUGGAAAAUAGAUGGGGCUGUUUUAAGACCAAAGGGUAAAAUUGUCCAUUGAUAGUGGCCAUUGGGAAUGCAAAAGGCAGUUUUGUAACAUUCUGAAGGUUUAAUUCCAAGUUGCCAAAAUCCGGAUUUAAGAUUAAAUUUUGAAAAGAGUUGAACAUUUUUGAGGUAGGUGAACAUGCUCUAUCUUUUUGGCAAAGGGAAUUUGUCAUCUUGUAAAAACAUGUUUAGAGGUUGAUAGUCAAUGACUAAUCAUUUUUUUCCCCUAACAAUCUCAGAAUGUUUUUCAACAUAAAAAGCUUGACAAGUCCAUUGAGAACUGAGAACAUUCCUUUUGGGCUAGGACUAAGUCGGAAGGACUCAUUCCUGGAUGGGUGGCUUUGGUUGGAUUGACAUCUUCAUUCAACUUGAAAGGCAAUUGAACAAAAAAAUGUGGAUUUCUCCACAGAGGAUUUGGAUGGUGAAAGUCAGCAUGAGACUCAGGACAAUAUUUCAAAAACUUUGUGGAAAUGUCUUGGAAAGGCUGGGAGGUUUCAGACAAACCAUAAAGCUUAAGAAUAUUGGUGAAUGGUUUAAACAUGGACUUGACUCGAAUUUCAGUAGGAAUGAUUUGGAGGUGUUUUAUCUAGUGAAUGAUAUCAAAUCCUAACAAGAUGUCCUUAUUAGGCAGAUGGGAACCGAUGACUUUUGUCUAGAUAACACAAUUUGGAAAGAUUUGAAUACCAAUGGGUUUUUUGGUAAUCAACUUGGUGGUGAAGAAUUUUCCAUUGACUGCUUUGAAAUUUUCUUCAUAAUGUUGCCAAGACUGAGAUGGAAGUAUGUCUGGGUUUAACAUACUUCUUUGGGCUCCGGUAUCAAGAAGUCCAAUGGCGGGAAUUGGUCUCUGGAAUUUGGUAGGUAAGAUGUGGAGUUUUAUGGAAGGGAUAUGUAUGGUAGUGUCGAGAGAUAAAAGUUGUUGGUGAAAAAUAGUUUGAAACUCAUCAUUUUCAGAAUCAUCGGAUGAGUUUUGCAGUGNNNNNNNNNNNNNNNNNNNNNNNNNNNNNNNNNNNNNNNNNNNNNNNNNNNNNNNNNNNNNNNNNNNNNNNNNNNNNNNNNNNNNNNNNNNNNNNNNNNNNNNNNNNNNNNNNNNNNNNNNNNNNNNNNNNNNNNNNNNNNNNNNNNNNNNNNNNNNNNNNNNNNNNNNNNNNNNNNNNNNNNNNNNNNNNNNNNNNNNNNNNNNNNNNNNNNNNNNNNNNNNNNNNNUGUAAGUGCUCAAGAAGUCUAAUUGCUUUAUCUUUUUUGUUGGGGCAAUAUUUAGCAUAAUGGCCUUUCUUUUUGCAAAUGAAGCAUCGACUUGACUUUCUCCUUUUCUGUUCUAUGAAAGAACUAGAUCUUUUCCUAAAAAACCUGUAUGAUUUUCGCUUGGAUUUUGAUCUAGGAAACGAAUCUGAAUUUUUUAAUUUUCAGAAAUGCUUCUUCCUUUUGGUGCUGCAAUCACAAUCUUUCUUUUUCUUGCAUUUGAUCUGUAAGUAAGGCUUUUUACAAACACUUCGAAAAGGCUCUUUGUCUUUUAACAGUUCUUUGAAGAACUGUUUCUAUUCACAUAAUUUUUCCAAACAUCCUUUGGCGAUCUGAAAGAUCUUUCCCAAGAAAAUGUUGUCAAUGGUGAGAUUGAGACUCGUGAGCUGCCUCUGUAUAUCUGGUUGCAAUUCUUCAGGUAAUGAUGCCAGAAAUACAUGUUUGAGAGUCGGAUCAUUGAACCCAUUGAGCUUAUAAAACAGGAUUGACAUCCGUUUAUAAUGGAAAUCAAGAUCUUUAGAGUUGAGGGAGUAGCAUUUCAUAUUGAGGUAGUCUCGUCUUGCAGCUUCAAAGACUGCUGCCGAUUCUCUAAUGAAUUGUUCGUGAAUGACAGAAAGAGCAGUUGAAACAUUAGGUAGUUGCAUAAACUGUAAUUGUCUGUACUCUCCUAAAGUAUCAAACCAAUCUCUUAAAGGUCCCGUGAAACGGGUAGCAAGUUCUCUAAGGACUGAUGCUGUAGUAGCAUUUGCUCUUAACAUUUGGAGAUCUGUCCAAGUAGCCAGUUCGGAUAAUCUGUUUCUCCAUUUAGCUAUAGGGAUAUCAUCAAAAGUGAACCAUGGACCAUUUGAAGGUUUAUGAUCAUUUUGGGGUUGAGCAGGCCGGUUUGAAGCUGAGGAUGUUUCUGGUGGAUCUUCCUCAAUAUCUGAGGGUAUUUCAAAAAAUGGGUCAGUUCUUGAGGAUUGAGCACGCUCAGUCUCUUUAGGUUGGACCAUAAGGAUUCUAGUGAUGUCGGCAUGAGAUUUUUCAUAAUCACUAGAUGAAAUGGAAGAUUAUAAGGAAGAUUCUAUUUCGGAUUUAGAUGGAUCUGGGAUUAUUUGUGCACUGUAUUGUUGCAUUGGGGAUUUAUCUUUGGCCUGAGUUGGUGGUGGUUGAGGAGGAAGUGGGGUAUAAAGAGGCGGUUACUGUUCUGGGAUGGACAAAGGUGGUUGAAAAGGUUGUUUUUCUGAUCUUGGUCGAGGAUGAGGUUUAGAUCUAGAUGGUUUUGGCAGAGGAUUAUUUCUAAACAAAGUAUGGGUCAUGCCAAAUAAUUUGGACGGGUCUUGUGGUUUUAUGGGAGAAAGCAUAGGUGCAAAUGGAUGGAAGGCUGGGCUGAGGGUAGGUAAGGGUGAAGAGGUGGUAAAUAAUGAUGGCCUUUGCCUUUCUGACUCAAUCUGUUCAAGUUCCGCUUUCAAUUUUCUGAUUUCCUUUUCUUUUUUAUCAAAAUCUGGGCCAUAGUAUCUAUGACUCAACAUGGUUCUUAAUUCUGAAUCUAGUUGAGAGAUUCUGGAUUGAAGAUUUUGAUAAAUUUGCUGCAUAUGAGAAGUGAUCGAAUCCAUCUUAGACUCAAUAUGAUCAGUUAGUAAACUGAUAUGAUUAACCUUCGUAUGGAUAUCAACCAAGGUUUCAUUUUGAGCUCUGGCAUUUUGGGUUUGCCAGUUGAGAACAGCCUCAAAAGGUUUGGGGUCUUCUAAGUGACCUGUGGGAGUUAUGGCUGAAGAAAUAAAGGGUUUGGUUAUGACCUUUCGUUGUGGAUCGGUCUGGGUUUCUAGAGCAGGGAAAUUGGAGGAAUAAUCUUGGGAGGUGGAUGAAAACAUCACACAAGCCAUAGGAUGUAUGGGUUGUUUGGAAUUCUGGAUAUGUGGAAGAACUUCAAUUUUGCAAUUUUUUGCAAUCCAUCUAAGUUCUUUUCGGUAGAUGGGUAAUGGAGAUGGUGGUGGUGGAGGAGGAUUAUGAGGUGGUUUAGUUUGGUUGUGUGAGCACGGAGUUUUAGGUAUCUUCUUUUUUGGUUUUCUUCUCUGCUGUGGUUCCCAAUCAUCCCAACAGGGACAAUCUGGGUCACAAUUUCCUGAGCAGGGGGAAUCCCAAAGAAAGUGGCCAUUAAAUUUGGCAGGGUAGAUAGGAUAUCGUUCUGAAUUGAAUCCUGUAAUUGGCAGCUUUUCUUGAGCAGUUUGAACAGCUGUAACCAUGGCUGAAUAAGUGAAUGACAGUUGUGGAGGCUCCUCUGGUGCUGUUGAUGGAGGGCGAAAAGUCAUUCGGACAGUUCCAUCAGAUCUUCGUUCAAACAUACUUUCUAUUGUUUGGAUAGGAGAAGUAUUGGUGUGGAACUUCUCAUAAUUUGAAAUACAUUCCAAGGGCAUGAGUUUUAUGAGUUCAUGUCUAGGGAUCUGUCUUGGAAUUUGAAUGAUGGUUGGUAUCUGAUCUGAUUCUGCUAACACCAUGAGGGCGUUAGAGUGGUGCUCAGGUGUAGGAAGAUCUGAGGCAUGGUUCUGGAGCCUAUAAACCAAUUGAUAGUGAAGAGUUGCAAUUUUUGCAGAAGAGAUUUGUUCUGCACCUUGAAUUUGCACUUGGACUUUCAAGGCAGUGGAGAGAUUAGUGUCUUGAAGAGAAAGUUUGAAAUUGGGAUAGAAAGUGAGUAAAACACUACCAGCAUGAAGAGUGGUUAAGACAGUACCAAUAACAGCAUCUUGGUAAUGUGUGAACCUAGUAUCCAGCAUAGCAAUUCGGGUUGUGACUGGUAAUCCUUUCCUUCCAUGUAAGGUUAGGAUUACUCUGACUCCUUCGAUAUGGAGAUGAGUAUAACCUUCUCUCUGCCAAUUGGAAAUCAAUUCUGGGGGAAUUUCCAGAGUGACAUAUUGUUCAGCUGGGGUAGCCUGAAGGGAACAUUGAUCCAAUCUGGAUGACUGGAUAUAUUCUUUUGGAUGUGGUCUUUUGGUGGAAAUAAGGGUUCAGAUACUGCGAGUAAAGGAGUGCGGACGUUUAUAGAGGUGAUAAGGACUAAGAAGAGGAAAAGAAGAUUCAUUGAUCGUUGUCUGUUUCCAUAGAGGAUAUUAUAGAGCAGAACUCGUAGUCCUUAUGAUUACCUGUUUCCAUAAGCCACCAAUAUCUGACCGUUGCUUUCAUUUACAAAUAAUCUAACGGCCAUUUAAGAUACAAAGUUUGUGGCCCUCAUUCUCUAUUUCUUACUUUUGUUGUUUUUCCUUUUUGAAAAAAAAAAUUAAAAUUAUGUUAUAAACAUUUCGUAAAUUAUUGUUUUAUUUGUCAAAAUUACAUUGCAAUCUAUUUAUAAAAUCAAGUGUUACCCUAAUUUUAAUUUUAAUGCAAGUUUUCUUUAUUAUUAAAGAAGAUACAGAGCAUAAAAUUAUUGGAAACAACAGAAUUUAACCAGGGUCCGGUUAUGUUACAGCAAUUGUAAGUAACAGCAAUGACAUGACUAAUUGGCCCAUGUAACAGCAGCACGUGGCGGUUAAAUAGGCAUAUAAAAUUAUUGAACUAAUCGAUUGUAAUCUGGUUGCACAAGCUGUCAACCGGAUUGUACCGUACCCAACAAUAAUUUCAAAAUUAAUUUUUUUUAUCCUUUCGUCCCUCAAUGCACGAUCCAAAUUAAAUGGCUUUCAAUACUCUCCAAUUACUCCAUUCAUAGUUUAAGUUGUAGCCAUCAUUUCAAUUUCCCAACAGAAAAGAAAAAAAAAACUACAGCAAAUUUGAAAAUAUCCAUCCAACAUAUAAUUUCAUGGUUUUAUUUGUACAACUUCUGGUCCUAACACUUUAGUGCAUGUUUAGUAUUAUUUACUUAAUGAAAAAAAUAUUUUUUUUCAAAAAAUAAGAAAAAAAAUACUUAACUAAUCCAAAAAACUUAUUAAAAAUUUUUGUGUUACAUGGUUGUAUUUUGAGUAGAGCUUUUGAGAAUGAAAUAAACUAUUUUGUAUCCACUAUUAAAAACUCAAAUUUUAAACCUCUUAGCGAGUUUUUUUUUUAAAGUUCAAUUAUCUAAGAUACUCUUAAUUUAUUAUAUAAUCUUAUUUCAUUUCUCUCAUGAUAGAUAUAACUUUAAAAGCUUAUUUAUUAAAGUACUUUUUAAAUUUUUUAAUAAAAUUUAUCAUUGACAAUUCUAAUUAAUUUUUUUUUUCAUAAAAGCUCUACUUUUCUCCAAGCUUUAUGAAAAGCCAUAUUAGACAGAGCUUUAAAUAGAAAUUAAAAUUUCGCAACGUAUCAUUAACCACGAACCUUGGAUAAUUUAUUUAGUGUAGGAACAUCUCUAUCUUCUCUCAUUAUCAUCCCUACUAUUUUCCCUCUUUUCAAAUCCUAGUUAUACAAGAUAUUGGAAAUAAAUAUUUAAUCAAUGAAAAGAAAAUUUUCUUAGAUAUUUAGGGAAGCAUUAGCUCUAAUAUAGAUCUAAAUUAUAAAUUAGUAUACACAUUAAUAUUAGAUUUGAGAAUCCACAUCUCUAUCUUCUCUCAUUAUCAUCCCUACUAUUUUCCCUCUUUUCAAAUCCUACAUAUACAAGAUAUUGGAAAUAAAUAUUUAAUCAAUGAAAAGAAAAUUUUCUUAAAUAUUUAGGGAAGCAUUAGCUCUAAUAUAGAUACAAAUUAUAAAUUAGUAUACACAUUGAGACACCAUGAAAAACAAAUAGAUUUAAGAUGGAAAUAAGAUCUAUAACCUAUGAUUUGAUUUUUUUUUCCCUUUUCAGCUGGUUUGUUUGAAAUAAACUUGGACUAAUGCAAGCUGUAAUCUAUUUUUUGUUAAAUUCAAUAUUAUCCAUUGGAUUUCAGAUUCCCAAAUCCAACGAUCCAUGCAGGCGGUUUGUUACUUACACAAGAUGUAACAUAGUGGCUGCCAUUUAACCAUUUAAUUUUGAUCACAUACAUGGCAUAUAGCUAAACUGGUCUGCUUCUGCUCACCUCUUACUUUGUUACUUAUUUCUUUACUCUCUCCUACAAAAAUGGCGGCGCUAAUUAGUAAAAACAUUUUCAGAAAUGCUGCAAUCUCUCAUUCAAACUCAAAAAAUUCAGCAGCUCAACUCGUAUUUUAUAAAGAAUUCACUUCUAAGCUUUUCGUCAAAGGUAUUCUCUCUCUAUGAGUGUUUCUAUUAUGUCAUCUUUCUUCUUUAUUUUGCAAAAAAAAUAUCAUGUAGUGCAUCAUAUUAAGGGAACUGAUUCUGUAGCACAUAAAUUUUGCUUAGGGAAGCUUAAAACCCAAUUUUAUAUUCUCAUAGAAAAUGAGGACCCAUAUAAUCAUCUGAAUGAUUUUCAUGUUGUUUGUCAAACUCUUAAAUAUGAGAAUUUUUCAGACGAUGAUGUUAAACUCAGACUAUUCCCAUUUUCUUUAAAGGAUAGAGUUCGUUCAUGACUCAAUACAUUGCCUGCUAAUAGCAUUACAUCAUGGGAACAAAUGGUAACAAAAUUUUUGAAUAAAUAUUUUCCAGUGCAUAAAACCAAUGCUAUUCGCAGGGAAAUCUCUGAGUUUACCCAGAGAGAAGACGAGCAAUUUUUUCAAAACAUGGGAGCGAUUCAAUGGGCUACUCCUAAAGUGUCCACACAUGGGUACGAGAAAUGGCACCAAUGCCAAUACUUUUUGGAGGGAUUAUUGCUGAAUGUGCAAGAAUGGCUAAUGGCAACAAGUGGAGGAGAGCUAAUGUGAAAAAGUGCAUAAGAGAUUUGGGAAUUCUUCCAGCAACAAGCGGAUAAUUCCCAACAACGGAGUCGAUCACUCAGGACUACUAAAAGAAUUAAGGGAGUGAAUGAGGUUCACAUUGGCGAGUAAAGUUCAAAAAUUAAAGAAGUCAAAGCAAUAAUUGAAGGUCUCUCUCGACAAAUAGCAUCGUUAUCGACUGCUAAAUCAACAGAACCACAUGACCAUGACUCAUACUCAGAUCAAGCCAAUGCCAUAGGUGUAAUAAGAAAACCAUCUAAUACUCAGAUCAAGCCAAUGCCAUAGGUGUAAUGAAAAAACCAUCUAAUUACAACCUAUAUUCCAACACAUAUAACCCUGGAUGGAGCGACCACCCCAAUUUUUCAUGGUCUCAAGGAUUCCAACAGAAUGGACCAGCAACUCCAGCUCCACCAAUGCAACCAAUUCCUCAAGUUCUUCAAGCCUCUCAGCCACCAUUCAGACCAUAUAAUCAAAACCCGAAUUACUCUCAACCCAGACCAUGGGAGGAUGCAUUCCAAAAUUUCAAGAAUGGUACUCACUCCACGAUUGAGCAACAAAACCGUACCAUUGAUGAAAUAUGAAAUGAGAUGAGAGCAGGCUUCAACUCACAAGCCCAAUCAAUUUCAAACCUCGAGAAGAUGGUGGGACAACUUACUUCUUCAGUUCAAACUUUGGCGAUGACUGUUGAGAAAGGCAAGUUUCCAAGUCAACCAGUGCCUAAUCCUAAAGGAGUGCAUGAAGUAAGUAUCAGUUCACCACAACAGCAUGGAGAGGUCAAAGUCGUCAUGAACUUACGAAAAGGGAAAGAAAUCGACAACAAAGUGGAGAUGCCAGUGACAAAAACAAAUCAAAUUGUACCUGUAAAUGCCGAAGACUCAUCAUCAGAGGAGAAAGAAGAAACUGACCCACGAGAAUAUGUUCCUAAAGCUCUAUUUCCUCAAAGGUUAGCUAAAGGAAGUUGGCUAAUGGAGAAGCAAAUCAGUUAUUUCUCUUUAAAUUGCCGAGUUUCCAUUUUAAUUGAUGUAAGGCAUUUAAGCCAAUUAGGAUUUUGAUUUGAUUUAGAUUCUUUCCUAUUUGCUUAGAUUAGGAUUUUGGUUUGGUUUGGUUUAGUUUCUUUCCCAUUCGCUUAGAUUAUGAUUCUAAUUUAAUCUAGAUUCUUUUCUUAUUUUCUUAGAUUAGGAUUCUAAUUUGAUUUUGGUUUAGGAUUUACUUCCAAAAAUUCUUGUACUCGCAUCCAAUAAAUGAAAAAAAGAUUAAUUUUGAUGCAAUUGGUGAGAGAAUUAAUUCUCUUUAGUCCUUAUACAAACUCUUUGAACUUAUCAGAUUUCCAUGGCGUUCAAACUCUUAACUUAUCAAUCAGAUCAUCCAUAACUGAUUGUGGCAUCCUCACAUACCAAGGUUUGUGCUUUCAUAGAGCAUUGGAUCGCGGUUUCAUUAAAUUCUAGGUUUAGAUUUGAUCUUGGAGACUAAAUUGAUUAGGGUGGCGCUAGUUCUUGGUGGGGUUCAUAUUAGUGCUAUUGAUGUAUUAGCUAAAUUUGCUCCUAAGUGUUCUAGAUCCUUAGUUUGGGUUGAGAAUUACCCAAAUAUUAUAGAAUGUUCUCUUUAGUUUACUCUUUAAAAUAUAACAGCCGCUUUUAUUAAAAAAAUUAUUAAGAAAUUACUAUUAUUAUUAUUAUCAACAAAUAGUACAAUAUAAUAAAUUAGAAAAGUAUAAAAAAAUUGAGGAAAUUAUCAAACUUGAUGAUAAGAACCCCAUCCAGAAUUGAUGCAACCCUAAUCAAUUUAGUCCCCAAAGAUCGAAUCUAAAUCUGGAAUUGAAUGGAACCAUGACCCAAUGCUUAAUGAAAGCAUGAACGUUGGUAUGUGAGGAUGCCACAAUCGGUUGUGGAUGAUCUGAUUGAUAAUUCAAAAGUUUGAAUGUCACGGAAAUCCGAUAAGCUUAAAGAGUUUGUUUAAGAACGAAAGAGAAUUAACUCUAUCACUAAUUGCAUUAAAGCUGAUCUUCUCUGUUUAUUGGUUGCGAGUACAUUAUAAAUCCUAAACCAAAAUCAAAUCGAAAUCUGAAUCUAAACAACUAGGAGAGAAUCUAAAUCAAAUUAGAAUCCUAAUCUAAGCAAAUAGGAAAGAAUCUAAAUAAAAUCAAAAUCCUAAUCGGCUUAAAUGUCUUACAUUAAUUAAAAUGAAAACUCGGCAAUUAAAAGAGAAAUAACUUAUCUGUUUCUCCAGUAGCCUCCUCAAGAAAUGAGAAAGUAUUUGAAAAAGGCAAAUAAUAUAUUUUCCUGCCAUAAUAUGCAAGCCAACUUCCUAUUUCAUGGAAGUGAUUAUUUGAAAACUUCAAGAGCCUAAAUCAUGUAUUUAUCAUGUGUGAUUCCUUCAACGGGCCUCACAAAUUUGAUUGAGCCCAAGUUAUUUAAAUCAACCCAUUAAGCACUUCUUUGAAUUUCUUUGCUCAAGCACUUGUGACAGGUUUGACAGGAACUUGAAUCGGAUUUGAAUAUGCUUCAUCCCACAUGCUUGUGAUAGUUUUGUCCUUAAUCUGAUCACUCGAACCUAAAUCAAAUUCAUAAAGCCUAACUCUAAUUCAAAUUGAUCAAACUUACGAAACCUUGAUAUGGUGAUGAGAGAUUGGGGAUUGCUAGCAUUCAUUAGCAUGAGAUUGAUGUAAUGAUGUUGUUGCAUGCGGCGGCAUAGUGCUAGAGUUGAUAAUGUGAACCUCACAAAGAUGAGUGAGACCCUACACUCACUGAUGUUCUUUUGCUGAGGAUUGUUCUAAUUUAGAUUUAAACAAUCAUAAAAUAAAGAUCUUGACAUUUUAUCUAUAAAGAUAAGAACCAACGGUAUAAGAAAUCAGGGUUGAGGCCACACUUAAGAAAAAAGAGAAGAUUGUAAGUGAUAUGUCAAAAAAGAAUGCCACAAGAUGAGAUCAUGAUAAAUUUUGAAAGUUCUUGGAAGAACCAAAGAGAAAAGCUCUCACAUUAGUAUAAACUCUAAUUUAAAAUUCCUAAUAGGUUACAUGGGUUUGUAUGGUUGAAGUUUACUAAUGGAAUAAGGUUUUCCUUAUUGCUAAAUAUAACCUAAAGUAAAAGGAAAUAAAAGAUCCUAAAGUAAAAAGGAAAUAAAAGAUCCUAAAGUAAAUAAAAGAUCUUGCCUAAAGUAAAAAAGAAAUUAAAAAUAUUGUUUACCCUAAAGUAAAAGAUCCUAAAAUAAAUAAAAGAUCUUUCCUUAUUGCUAAAUAUAACCUAGAGUAAAAAGGAAAUAAAAGAUCCUAAAGUAAAUAAAAGAUCUUGCCUAAAGUAAAAAAGAAAUUAAAAAUAUUGUUUACCCUAAAGUAAAAAGGAAAUAAAAGAUCCUAAAGUAAAUAAAAGAUCUUGCCUAAAGUAAAAAAGAAAUUAAAAAUAUUGUUUACCCUAAAGUAAAAAGAAAAUAAAAGAUCUUGUUUAUCCUAAAGUAAAAAGGAAAUAAAAGAUCUUGUUUACCCUAAAGUUAAAAGAAAAUAAAAAGAUCUUGUUUAUCCUAAAAUAAAAAGGAAAUAAAAGAUCUUAUUUUCAAAAUAGAUUGGGAAACAGGAUUUUGCUUGAUUUCUCUUCUUAAUUUGAUAAGGCUUUCUUUGUUCAUCAUGCAAGUCACUCCAAAUAAAAUUUAAAAGCCUGAGUAAUCUUAAAUACUUAAUUUAUGCAGAUUAUUGUUUUGAACAAGGUAUGAAUUUGAGAUGUGCUCAAUUAAUCCAUUUAAUACUUCCUUCAUUUUCUUAGUUCUUGACCUUAUCAUUGGACCUUAAUAGAUGCUUAAUGGAUCUUAUGGAGCUUUAGCAACUUGGUUCUCAUCGGUUGCUACACACGGCAGCAUAAAGGUGUUGAAGCUACCAUGCUCGAUGGUACGAGGAUGGGGCUGUUGCACGUGAUGACACAAGGACGGGGCUCUGUGUGCAAUGGUGCGAUGAUGUGGUUGUUGUGGGCAAUGAAGAGUGGAUUGUUGUUGUGGAUGUGUUUUGGCUUUUAAGGUUUGUAAAUUUUGUUAGAAAUUUUGAAUUUUAUGGUUUCAUAACCAAAUUUGGGGAUUUAGAAUUUAUAGGUGAUCAACUAAAGUACAAAAUCUUUGGAACAUAUUUUAAUAUGUUAAGGAUUAUUUGUCAAUUUUCACACAUUUAGGGUUAUUUUGAAUACUGUAAAAUUAUUUGCUUUUUAAUAUAGUUUUAGGCGUCAUUCAUUAGGGUCAUAUUGAUAUUUUAUAAGUAACAAAAGUGUUAUUAUAGUGAAGUACUACAGUUUAAGAGUUUAUCAUUUCGCAAUACUUGUCCAGUGGCCGCCUUUGUAUUUGAUAUGCUAUCAGCCUGCUCCCUCCAUCCCCAUCAUAAAUUCAAUUGUCAACAAAAAUGGACAAGCAGUAUGGAUGAUUUCUAAAUUAAUAAUCUUUCACCUUAAAUAAAGUCUAUUUCUAAUAGGAUAUCGAUCUUGCAUAUAUUAUUUCUAGGAUUCUCAGCCUAAAAUAUCCAAUAGAGAAAAGGUAGGUUCAUGGAAUCUCCUUGUUCUUGUCUUCAACAAGAAUAUCUCUAUUAGCUGUAAUUGGAUUUAAUGAUAAUAUUUGCGUUUUCAUCGAACCAAUUACUAUUGAACUUGAAGCAUUAAUUAAUUUUUAUUUCGCAUCCCCUAACCACAGCCACGAAAAAUUAACCACCAGUCCGUUCACUUUGAAUUUUGCAGAAUGGUUUUCCCAGUACACAUCAAAUACAAUAUCAUUAUUCUUUUUUCAUUAUUAUUAUACUUUCGUAAUCCUGUAGCCAAAAAUGAUUCUUCAAGCUCAAAUAAUGGACAUUAUGUACAAGAGAUGAAUGCUCUAUUUGCUUUCAAGGCUAUGUUUAAUGAUCCAUUUUUAAUUCAAAACUGGACAGGCAUUCAUUGCUUCAAGGAUUUUCCUUCACAGUGGUAUGGCAUUCAAUGUGACAUCAACAGCGCUCAUGUUACUGGAAUAGUGUUAGAAGAUAUGCGCCUGAAUGGUGAAAUAAAGUCGGAUGCGUUCGCGGACAUUCCCGAACUGAUAGUCAUUAACUUCAAGAACAACAUAAUAUCAGGAAAUUUUAUGAAUUUCUCGUCAAAUCACAAGUUGAAGGAUAUUGAUCUUUCGGGCAAUAAGUUCUAUGGGGAGAUUUCAAGAUCACUAUUGAGUCUUAAAUUUUUAGAGUCAUUACAGCUUCAAAAUAACAAUUUGACAGGUCCAGUCCCGGAGUUUAAUCAGUCUAGCUUGAAAGUUUUCAAUGUCUCAAACAACAAUCUCAGUGGCUCCAUCCCAAAAACUCAAACUCUCCAGUUAUUUAGAAGCUAUUCCUAUUCUAAUAAUCCUUACUUAUGCGGUCCACCAUCUUUGAAUAAUUGCAGUUCCACCGGAAAUUAUGUAACAAAUUCUGAUGACAAAGGAUCUAAUGACUUGAAAAUCUUUUAUUUUCUUCUCGCUGCCCUUUGUAUUGUUACUGUAUUAAUGCUCUUCAUUUUUUACCUUACGAAAAGAACAAGAAAGCCGAACAUAAUGAUCAAGAAGCAGGAAGAAUACAUGGACCAAGAAAAGGAGAGUGGAGAUGAUGAAGAAGAAGAAGAAGAGAAAAUUGGAAAGGGAAAAAGAAAGUUAGUUGUUGCAGGAGAAGACAGGAAUCUCGUAUUCAUUGAGGAUGAACAGCCUGCGGGGUUCAAAUUGAAUGAUCUUUUGAAAGCUCCAGCUGAAGGAUUAGGAAAGGGGAUUUUCGGAAAUAGUUACAAAGCUUUACUUGAAGGCAGAGCACCUGUUGUUGUUAAGCGCCUACGAGACUUGAAACCACUAAUCACUGAAGAAUUCAGAAAGCAACUGCUUGUUAUUGCUGAUCAAAAGCAUCCCAAUUUGCUACCACUUCUAGCUUACUACUUUUCCAACGAUGAGAAAUUGCUUGUCUACAAAUUCGCUGGAAAUGGAAACCUCUUUAACCGCAUUCACGGUGAGUCACUUGCUAUUUUUAAAAUCCCUACCUUCCCAAGAUUCAAAUUCAGGUAACCUGCCUGACCAAACUAAGGCAAACUCACUCAUGUUCUAUUAAUCAUUUUGUCUUUCUCAUUUCAUGCAUAUAGGUGGGAAAUCAAGUAAGAAUCGGAUUCCAUUUCGAUGUAGGUCAAGAUUAUUGGUGGCUAGAGGUGUAGCACGAGCCUUGGAAUAUCUUCACCACAAAGAUAAGAGCAGGACACAAAGUGCAGUCAUUCACGGCAAUCUAAAAUCAACCAACAUUCUUCUCGAUGAUAAUGAAAUGGUUCUUGUUUCAGAUUAUGGCUUUUCUUCAUUAGUGGCACAACCCAUUGCAGCUCAACGAAUGAUCUCAUACAAAUCUCCCGAAUACCAAUCUUCGAAAAAGAUUUCGAGAAAAUCUGAUGUCUGGAGUUUCGGAUGCCUUCUUUUAGAACUAUUGACGGGAAGAAUCUCGACACACUCAGCUCCACAGGGAAUCAACGGUGCAGAUCUUUGUAGUUGGGUUCUUCGAGCGGUAAGAGAAGAGUGGACGGCUGAGAUAUUUGACUCCGAGAUAUCUGUGCAGAGAAGUGCUGCUCAUGGGAUGCUUAAACUACUACAAGUUGCAAUACAAUGCUGCAAUAAGUCACCGGAGAAGAGACCUGAGAUGGCGGAGGUUGUGAGUGAGCUGGAGAUUAUAAAGGUGACUGAAUCAACAGAAGAGGAAGAAGAUUUUUGGUUGGAUCAGUCGUUAACAGAUGAAUCUCUGUCUAUCAGUACGGUCGCGUCUGCCUCGGAAAGGCCUUGAUAAUAUUCAAUUUUAGGAUUUGCUGCGUGAGACUCAUCACCUCUGCUUUCACUCUGUAGUUAUAAAUCAAAUACAACUCUCAAAUAAAUUUGAACAUUGUGAUUUAUAGACUUAUUAUAAGAUUAAAAUUCUGAAUGCAGUAAUGAAAUGAAUAUAUGUCUUCUCUAAUUGAUAUAUAAUUUUACAAUCCAAAGAAUAACUAAUUUGAUUUAUUCUUAUAAAUAUCAUAUUUUUAUUACUUUUCAUUGUCGCGUCUCAAUUAAAAAGAGUUGUAUGGAAGAAUCCAUCACCCUCUUCCUUUCUAUCUCUGUGGAUGAAACUGAGGGUAAACAAGCCCAAUCUAACCAAUAGACCGGAUUCAACUCAAUCCAAUCCAAUCUAAUUUUGACGAGUUUAGUGGAGUAUAGUCGGUUAAUUUGGUUAAUUUUGUUGAACCCAAUUAAUAAUUGGAUUAGGUUGCGUUAAUCAUGCUGAACCGGUCUAAUCCAACCUAACCCAUAUAAAUAAUAACGACGACGACGACGAUGAUAUGUUAAUCUUCAAUUAUAAAACCUUAAAGACCUAAAUGCGUAACCUAAUUUUUAACUCUUUUUAUUUUUAUUUAUAAAAGAAACUAUCUCAUUCUCAUAUCUACUACUCUAGACUUUAGUUCCAAAACUAAUGUCACUAUCGCACACAAGUAAAUUUCUUAUCGCAUAAGAUUAACUUUGAAAGUAUGUUAGUUUCAAUUUCUUAUUAUUUUUUAUUAAACACUUAACAGUAUGCAAUUAAAUAUCACUUUUAUUUUGUUAGUAGGCAUGAUUCUAGUUAAUUACAUAAAAGGCCUGAAUUUAAAAUUUUAAAAAAAGAGAUGCGAGAAGUCGGGAAUAACUUCUAGAAGCUCAUUGUUGAAAUUUUCUUAAUUUUAAGAUUUUUUUUUUAGUUUUCUUCACCAAACACUAGACAAUGAAAUUUUUAUGUUAUAAUAGAUUUAUAUUUUGUUUUAAUAAGUUUCAUUUUCAAAGUUUCAUAUCUUUUUCUUUAUUUAAUUUUUAAUUUUGAUUUAACUUUCAACCCAAUCAAUGCAAUCCAAUCCAAUGAUUUAAUGGUGGACUGAAUUGGGUUAAACAUAUUUAUUUAGUUAGUUGGGUUGAUUUUAUCUCAACCCAUUUAAUACUGGGUUGGGUUAGAUUUUCACAAAUCCUAUCUUAUGUCCACCCCUAGCAUAUAUUUUUUUUCUUUAUCUCUACCUUAUUAAAAUAAAUCUUUUGGAUUCUUAUAUUUGGAGCCGGGUUGGGUUCUAACGAAGUAUCUGAUCCAUGAUGUCGUGGGCUUGUAUCUUGUAGUUUGGAUUCAGAUUGUCUUAACCCAUCUUUUGUAUGGUGCAUAUGAUCUAACAUUUGGUUCAUGUGUAAAUGGCUCUGCUGCAGGUUUAAUCUACAACAGGAUUCAUAAUCCUGAAUCUUCUUCUUUUUUUUUUUUUUUUCAUUCUAAUGGUCAUGUUGUAGGGCUAAGGGUUCUAUUGUAGGACUUAUGGUUCUGCUUAAGGACUAACGGGCUCUGCUGCAGGUUUAAUGGGCAUAGGCCCCUUUAUUGUAAUAACAGGUAGCUUCUGGGCUCAUUAUCUUUAUUACUAUCAAGUAAAAAUACUUCAAUUUUAUAAUUUGACUUGUGAACUGUUGGAUCUCAUCCAAUGGUUCACCUUUUUCCAUCAUUUAUACAUUAUUUUUUUAACCGACACUUUAGAACGACCCUAUUUUCUUGGCAUCUUAGGGUAAAAUGACAUAGAUCUGCCUACGAUGCUUAGUCUGCAUCGAGUAGCAUAAUUAAUUAUGGCCGUUAGGUUACUAGACAAGGACUUGGACAGUUGUGACAACUUUUAUAACUAAAAGACCAAUUGAUAGAUAACCUAAUUGACAUGGGUUAUUCUAAGCCCAUAUUUUACUUCAAAUAUUAGUCAUCCCUAGCUGAAAUGAAAAUAGUCAAUGCACACCCAAGUUACCAUAAUGAACCAUUAUGCGCAAAGAAAUAUAGGAACUGUUGAAAGUGAACUUAAAUAAUCUAGCAAAAAGUAAAAAAGAAAAAAAGAAAGUCUUUAUUUACCUUUUAAUUUCUUCAUCAGCUUCUUCUUUAGCAAUUUCUUCUCCAGCAGUCAACAACAAUUUUAUUGUAAAGAAAAUGCAUUGUGUAAAAACCCAAAUGACAUUCCGGUACAAAUUCUAAAUAUGGUUUUAGCUUUGACGUUAGACAGCUACAACAUAAAAACUACAACACAAAAGUAUUUGGUAAAUGCUAACAGCUAAAGUUAGGUUGAAUCAUAUUUGUAUGAUGAAAAACCUUUAAUAUUUCUAUCAUUUUUAUCAAAAUUAUUAUUUAAAAGUUAGCUUUACUACAAUUAUUAUUUAAAAGUCAGAUUUGCUGCACACUAUUAACUUUUAUUUCAUUUUUUUUACAGUAGUUGUGGCUUAAAAGUUAUAACAUCUCAAUACCAAAUACGACCUAUACUUGAAUAUACCAAAAUCCUUAUCAUUUAAAUUAAAUCAAAUUGAUCAAACUGAACAUGCAAAAUAAAGUAAAGGAACAAAAAUUACAAGUAGAAUUAAUAUGAAAUCAAUAAAAAAAAAUAGAGGUAGUAAGAAAGCCCGCUCGGCUCGGAUUUGCAUUAGACCUGACAUUUGCAGUAUGAAUAAAAAUUGACCAUGUUAACACAUAAAUCAGUUUUUGAUAUUGAAUUUCAAUACUCUCUCACGCAGAGGUCCAAGUGUGACUAAAAAAACUCGAAACUAGGAUCCAUGCCUGGUUUUAUUUUUUAAUUUUAAUAAAUAAAUUUAAAAAUAAAAUAAAAAGAAAACAUUUAAAUACUGCAUUUGCCAUUUACAUACCCUAAAUUCUUCUAAGUCACAAGCCGCUUGUACCGUAUAAUUUUCUCACUUAAAUAUAGUAGAAUUUAUUUUAAGCUAACAAGCCCCCUUAAAUAUUAUAGAUGACAUAAGAAACGAUGAUAUAAACAAUGACAUAAGUGAUGAUGUAAGAGAAGUUUGUAAAGAAAGAUAAGAAUUCUAGAGUUUAGUAAGGUAUUAUGAUGGAUAAUCUCAACCAUUGAUCAAGAGUUAUGGUGGCAAAAUCCUAACCAUCCAUUAGCCUUAAGAAAUCCUAUAAAUACCCCUACCCCCUUUCAUUUUCAAUGCAAUCUAGAAAUUUCAUUCUCUUCUAUUCUAAGUCAUAAUUUAGAAAGGUCUAGAAAAGUCAAGGUCAAUAGGUAAGUAACACUUCAACUGCAAUGUAGGGGCAAAAUUAUUUUCAUACUAAAGUGUGAUUAGUUAUAAUCUAAAUUCUUAUACAGUCGGCUAUGCAGCCUAAUCUAUGAUACUUAAUUACGUUAUGGUCGGCUUUGCCGCCUAAGCUAUGAUAUUUAGUUAUGUUAUGGUGGGCUCUGUCGCCUAAUCUAUGAUACUUAAGGUGGGCUCUGCUGCCUAAUCUGUGAUACUUAUACUUAAUAAUGCUAUGGUCAGCUCUGCCGCCUAAUCUAUGAUACUUAUACUUAAUAAUGCUAUGGUUGGCUACGCCGCCUGUAUUAAAGAAUCUUGUUCUUAAAUAGUGUUGUGUGUUGAUUCUGUUAUGCAUCUAGGAACUUCAAAUGUUAUGACAUAAAUUGCAUUGGAUGCAUGCAUUUCAUGGGUUACUUUAUGAAGAAGACGUUUUAGAAAAUGUAUUUAUGAAAAAUGGGUGGUUGUACUACCAGGUGGCAAAGUUUCUAAGGAGGGCGAGCCCUCAAAGCUAAGUAAAAAGCAAUCUUUUAGGGACGACAAUACGUAACGCCCAAAAGAUCAACUAAUGAGGUCCAAGGACAUAUUGUUUAAAGAGUAAAAGUGUCAAUCUUGUAGUGCAACAUACCUAGGGCCCUAAUGAAGUUGUUUUGUAUUUUCUAAGUUUCUUUUAAAAAAAUUAAUAUGAUCAUCCAUAUGCAUAAUAAGUUAUACGUGCAUCCAAGUGUUAUCUUAUGGCAUUAGCCAUAAAGUCCUUACAUUGCAGGUAAUGAUGAGUAGGGCAAGCUGGCGCCAAGUCUUAAUCAAGACAAAGUGCAUAUGGGCAUAACCGACCUUAGGAUUUUAUGAUGGUCUCAGCUUUGUUUUAAUAAAAAAAAAUAAGUAUCUUAACUUUAUGUGAUAAUAAAAGUUUUGAAAUCUGCUAAGGAAUCUCUAUAAGACUCCUACUAAGAAAGUUUUGUUUGUUUUGCAAAACUACUUUUAGAAUUAGUAUUUAUAUUAAAAGUACAGUGUUUUGAGACUUUUUUUUUUAAAUAAAUAUUUUAGUGGAGUGUUGCACCGCUAGCCAAUGGGCUUGUAGCCUAUUAGCACAACCUUGAAUGCACAUUCAAUGCAUGGGUUGCUAGGAUUCAAUUAUCUUCCCAAUAAAAUUGGGUCAUGGUAAAAUUGUAUCCCUCUAAUUCAGAGUAGUUGCUAGGAUUCAAUUAUCUUCCCAAUAAAAUUGGGUCAUGGUAAAAUUGUAUCCCUCUAAUUCAGAGUAGUUGCUAGGAUUCAAUUAUCUUCCCAAUAAAAUUGGGUCGUGGUAAAAUUGUAUCCCUCUAAUUCAGAGUAGCAUAGAAUGUGAAUGAAAGAUCCCACUGAAUUGAAUUGGGUCCAUGAAUCUAAGAAAUAGAAAGAAUUCUUGAUCUCUCUCAAUUUGAAAAUCCAAGAUUUGAAUUGAUGUCCUUUCAUUGAUUCCUCCUAAAUUGCAUUGAUUUAUCCUAAAGAUUUCAUUUCAAUUGAAAUUUGGUAGAAAACUGGUUGAAAAAGUCUCAAGAUACGGGAGUGGUAUCAGAGCCUCUUUCUUCAUGCAAAAUGAUUUUGGUAUAAUCCUUUUUGAAAAAUUCCUUAUUCUGAUUUAAGUUUGCUUCAUCUCCAGAGAACUUAAGAGCUUUAUAAUCAUGGCAUCUUCUUCACAAACUCCAGUUCAAUUAUCUUCUUCCAUGUCCCUUCCACAAACUGUUACUAAGCAUACUACGUCUAAGCUAGAGAGUCUUGUUGAGUAUUCCUAUAUCCCAGAUUCUGUCCACGUAAAUGAGUUUUCUCUUCCUCUUGUUAAUCCUUACCAGUUGUAUCAACGUCCUUCUCGUUUCACUCGUUCUAUCCGUUCUCUUAUUAGUACUUCCCGUUCUACUCCUAAAGAGUACAUCCAGUCUUCGUCUCUUGAUCAAUGUUCCCUCCAAUCUACUUCUGCUGAGCAGUAUGUCACUUUAGAAAUUUCCCCUGAGCUCAUUUCCCACUGGAAACAGCAACGAUAUACUCACUUUCAUCUCGGUGGUGUCCGCCUUAUUCUCACCCUCCAUGGGCGAAAAGGUCUUCCUGUCACAGCCCGUAUUGCACUCCUUGACACCCGCUUCAAACAAUAUGAGCAGGCUACCAUUGGUACUGUCCUCACUACCCUGCAUGCUGGCAGUGUUGUUCUCACUGUCUAUCCCAACUUCAAUCUUUCCCUUGAUGACCCCAACCUUUCCACUUUCUUAAAAAUCCAAGUUCAGAUUCAAGGAGCUGAACAAGUCUCCAGUGCAAAGAUUGCUACCGUCCACCAUCAGUUGGUUUACAGACUUCAGAACCACUCCCUUAUCCUUCCCACACCUCCCGAUCUCAGUUCAGAUACACUCAUGAUUCUUGCUGAAUCUCCAGACAUCCCCACCAUUAUCCAGAUCCCACGACAGAUCCCUCGUGCUGAUCUUCUCAAGAUCAUGCCUCUCGAGUGGAUAACCAACUAUGAGCAUUUCCAUCAAAACACCACUCCUGUUCAAACCUCUGAACCUAUGUAUGAGAAACGGUCUGAUGGUUCUGUUCGCCUUCAGUUCAAACCUCCUCCUUCUGCCCCUGCAAAACCUCCCCGAUUAUCCUUUACCUGCUCCAUGGUCCAACCUGUUGACAUCAUUCCAGAAGUCCUUCCUUCUGGCAAACCAUUACCCAUUAUGUCCUUCACCUCCCAAGGUACUCCUGUUUACCCAGACAAAAUUGAUGGCCAUUUCUUAUGGGAUGUUCCCGGCUCUGGCCGAUGUGAUCCCGGCUGUCCAUGUAAUGAUGAUGAGGAUGAUUAUUCUUCCAGAUCGAAAAAGAAGAAAAUUAUCUAUCCUGCCUGCAAAUUAUAUUUGCCCGAAGAUGAUGAUGAUGAACCCGAUUAUCCACCUCCUUUGCCACUUUACGACAAAGGACUUCAGUGGAUCCAGAAACAUCAGCCCAGAUCAUGCAAACCAGUCCGGUCCUCGGCUGGUCUUCUGCCUACACCUCCUAUGGUGUCCUGCAUGAUGUUCUCAUCUGCCUCUGCCUCAGAUUAUAGUUCUGAGUACCCGCCUCUUGAGAAACGCUCAGACCAAACGCACCAGGUUUGGAGCAAACCAUUUGUCAACUCUCCUAUUUCCUACAGUGGACAUCUUAAAGAACCCAAGCCUUUUGAAGCAGUCCUUAACUGGCAAACUCAGAAUGCCAGAGUCCAAAAUGCUUCUCUUACUUCCUUACACUCUAAAGUUGAUCAGAUCGCUCACAGAUCCUCUGCUGUUGAAACAAGGGUUACUUCCCUCUCAGACCAGUUGACCAAUUUGUAUAAUAGUCUUCAUACUAAGGUUGCACAGCUUGACCGUGACCUUCGAGCCAUGAUUGCCCGCGGUGAUAAUUCUCAUGAGUUCACUCGAAAAGAGCAAGAAAUCAGACAGCUUCAAGUUGAAAUUGCCAGAAUUGAUGCUGACAACCAACGGCGUCAAGCAGUUCAUACUACUCCCCUAUCCUAUUUUCCCACAGAACCAUAUCACCCUCUCGGGUCCUUUUUCCCUACUACUCCAAGGGAUUAUACUCCUGAGAAAGUCUUUCCCAUGACCUACCACUUGAACCCUCAACCUGCAAAACCUAAACCUCGACCUCCUCGACGCCCUGUUCCACCUCCUACAGUGUCUAUCCCUCCUCCAGUUCGUCCUAUGUAUUCAAACGCUAUCCAAAACCCCCUUCAGAUACAUGAACCAGUAUUCCCUGACCUUCCAUCUACCUCAGCCUUACCUCCAUUUCCGGAAUCUCCUUCUAAAGCCGAACAAAAGAAGCCUACUGAGACUUACCUUAUCACUGCACCAGACCUUGACCAGCUUCACCGCUCCUCAGAAGAAUCCAGUCCCUCUGAUUCAGUCGACACCUUUGAUUCUAUCACUGAGACUUCUGAGCCCCAUAGUUUCAGUUCCGAUGAAUCCCAACAGCACUUGACUGAUAUUUCUCGUCUUCUUAUGGCGGAUCAUGCUGAGUCUACCACUACUGAUCCCCCUCCUCGGGAACCUGGCCAACCCUAUGUUGACAUUCCUUCCGAUGUUGAAGGAGAAAAUGAAGGAGACAACUCUAAUCCUCCUCCACGAAUUCGAACUAAAGUUGCCCCUGGCGCUGGACCAUGGUUUACCUUUGAUGAUCUUCCACCGGCUCGGUGGCGUGAACGUCUCCAGGAACUCUCUGCCUGGUUAGAUCUACAGAUGGUUAAACCUGAUGCAGAACUCUCUACAGUUCUUAAAGAAUUUGUCUCCCGAUUUACUGGCUCUCUCCGUGAUUGGUUUGACAGUCUCGGACAAUACAGACAAUUACUAUAUCUCCAGCACCCUACUGUCUCUGCUGCUCUCAUGGACAUUCAUUCCCAGUUUCUUGGAGAACCUGCAGCUAUCUUUGCCACUGCUCGUAAAGAAUAUCUCCAAAUGAGAUGUUGCUCGAUGCAGAGAUCUGACCUGCAUUAUCAUUUCAAACGCAUGUCUGCCCUGUUCCAUAAAAUUGGUGGUAUCAAUGACCACACCCUCAAGCAUGUCUUCUUGUCUUCUUUGCCUGAAGAAUUACAACCUGAAAUCCGUCGCCAGAUUGCUAAUGCCCAGCUCGACAUCAAUAAUCUUUCUCUUGGCCGUCUCUUCCAGCUGGCUUUAGUGUCUCUUGAUUACCUCUGUGAUCAGAAGAAAUUCUUCCGAAACCUCAUGAAAGACAAAGAAGGAUUCCAAACCGCCUGCAAGAAACCCUACUUGGAAAUCAAGUGCAAAGACUCUAAGCAUUGUACUUGUCCCUCCACGAAGAAACACCACAAAGUCAGGUUUCACAGAAAAUCUUCCAGAACUCCACAGUCACGCCCAUUCCCUAGGCGUCCCAAAAAGAUUCGGUACUUCAGAAGACGACAACCUUCUGAGAUCCUUGACCGACGAAGAACAAAGAGCAGAUGCUUCAUUUGCAAAAAGCUCGGACAUUUUGCUAAAGAAUGCCCUAAGAACCCUAAGCGGUCUCAACGCUUAGUUCAACAGCUUCAAUCCUUACAUCAGUUCUCUCCUGAUACUGACCAAAUUGAGUUUUUAUACUCUGAACAAGAAAGUCCUGAUCCGGAUACAGUUUUUGCCCUUGGCACUUCUGAUUCAGAUUCAGAUUCAACUUCAUCUACUGAACCAGAAGACUAUUCCCCUGUCUUCCACAUCCAGUCAGUACCUUCAUCCUCCACUCAAUUGUCAGUUCAACCCAUUCCUUCCGUCAAAAUCCAAAUCCUGUUAUCCAAAUACAGUCGGCCCAUUCCUGCUAUUGCCUUCAUAGACACUGGCGCUCAGCGCAGUAUUUUAAACCCUGCUAUUUUGCCGCCUGAAACCUGGAUUUCAAAUGAAAAUCAUUUCCGUGCUGCUAGUGGAAAAUUGUUUUCUACAAAGCUCCGCACCAAGUCUAGAAUUGGAAUUCAGCUAUUCCCAAAGCUCACAGUUUGGACCCAUGUAAUCGGGUCUAGCCUACCUGACAAAGAUCUUCUUGGGUUUGAUAUCCUAUUCCAAGCCCAAAAGAUUCAAGUCCUUCCUACUGGUCUCAGAUUCCAGUCCAUGUUCCAACCAUACACAGACCAGCUCAAACUCUAUCAUUUGGCCCAGUCCCCUCCUGAUUAUCAGUCUAUUUCGGCCCAGUUACUAAGGUUUUGUCCUCCAAAUCAUUUGGCCUUUGCCCAUCCACAUCCUCUGUGGAAAAAUCCAGCCCAUUUCGUUAAGCUCCCUUUUAAGCUUAAUGAAGACCUUAAUCCUACCAAAGCAACCCAUCCGGGUAUGCCUCCUUCUGAGCUUCAGUUAGCCCAAACAGAAUGUGCAGAGUUACUCGCCCAAGGCCUCAUUGAGCCCACAACUUCUCCGUGGGCCUGCCAAGCCUUUUAUGUUAAUAAACGUGCCGAAACAUUACGGGGUAAAAAGCGUCUUGUUAUUGAUUAUCAGCCUUUAAACCAGUUUUUACAGGAUGAUAAAUUUCCUUUACCUCGAAAAAAUUCCAUCUUUACCUACCUCCAAAAUGCCAGAAUAUUUUCUAAGUUUGACUUAAAGUCUGGGUUUUGGCAGCUGGGUAUUGACCCUGCUGAACGUUAUAAAACUGCAUUCUGUAUUCCCAAUGCCCAUUACCAAUGGACCGUUCUUCCCUUUGGUCUCAAAACUGCACCAUCCAUUUUCCAAAAAGCCAUGACCCAAAUCUUCCAGCCCCUCCUUCACCAUACCCUUGUUUCAACAGCAGAGGAUCUGUGAGCGAUCUGAUCAACUUUAGAGUGUAAGGAAGUAAGAGAAGCAUUCUGGACUCUGGCAUUCUGAGUUUGCCAGUUAAGGACUGCUUCAAAAGGCUUGGGUUCUUAUCUCGGUAUGCAGAUAAAGAAUGGAUUCUAUCAGCCUGGACCCCACAUUGCACAAGAAUUACUCCACUUUCCAGAUAAGGAUUUCACAAAGAAACAAGUCCAACAGUUCCUUGGCAUCAUCAACUACAUCCGCGAUUUCCUGCCUCAUGUGGACCAGCAGACAAGUAUACUUUCUGCUUUACUAAAAAAGAAUCCUAUCUCUUGGGAUUCCCGUCACACUACAGCUGUCCAGCGGCUAAAGCAGAUAGCCCAGAAUCCACCACAACUCAAGAUCAUGACAGAUGGCAAACGUAUCCUACAGACUGAUGCUUCAGACACAUCAUGGGGAGCCCUGUUGCUUGAACAGAUCGACAAAAAGGAAUAUCUAAUCGGACAUGCUAGUGGACAUUUUAGUCCAGCCCAGCAGCACUAUCACACGAUCUACAAGGAGAUUCUUGCCGUAAAAAACGGCAUCAAAAAGUUCGAAUACCACCUCCUUGGCCAUAGAUUCCUGAUCAGAUUGGAUAAUUCCUCUUUCCCUAAAGUCCUCCAGUUUAAAGGUAAAACGAUUCCCAACAGCCAGUUACUUCGGUUGCAGGAAUGGUUUUCCCGAUAUGAAUUUGAUGUUGCACAUAUAAAAGAACCUCAUUCCAGAUUUCCUAUCUCGCAUUCAGACACCUGCCUCUCCAAUCUUCUACACUUCCCCAGUCUUCCCGAUCUUCAUGGCUACUAGAUCUACUGCUACCUCUCUGCCUUCUAAGGCUCUUACCCAAAAGACCUUCCCACGGCCUGUACAAACUUUUCCUUCCCUCUACCGCCUUCAGGAGUUUGCUAAACAAUUUCUUUUCUGCUACUACAUGAAAGCUUUCUUCCUUGAAGAAAACCCUCACAAUCAGUUCCUCACUUUUCAUCCCGAGAAUCUCUUCCUCACCGGAUUCUUCAUCCCCUCUGUCCGGGAUAUCAGUGACGAUGAACUCUGGUAUUUCUGGUGCUUAACUGCACUCCAUGCAACUCAGUUAAUCAUCCCCUUAGCCUACACAGUCAACACCCUCAAUAAUCCUUCCAAGGCUACUUCUCUGUUAUGGACUCUGUUAGAAUGGUUCUCUCCUAUUCCUCAAUGGAGAUCCCAACUCCAGCAGCUUAGUCACAACCAUCAUCUUUCCACCAUCCCUUCUCAUGAAGCUGAAAAAUUCACAUCCGUGUUCAUAGUUCACCGACCAUAUUUCCGUCACCCAGAGACAGCCGCCUUCUUUGCUCAACCACAAAUCAGCCACUACCACACAACCCCUCAUCCCAGCACACUGGAUCAAGACCCCAUGUUCAAAAAGGCUCUCAUGAAUCAUCUCCUGUCCUUAAAUCAUGUUCCUCCACCACCACAAGACAUCAUCUCCAGUUCUAUUGGACCUCGUCAUGACAUGUUCAUGGUACCUAAUCCUUCUGGUUCUAGCAAAGGUAUUAUUAUCAAAGAAGAACGUCCAGAUACUCCUCCACAGAUUUACUACCAGGAUUCUCAGGAUCCUGAAGAUGACUUUUUACCGCUCAGUCAACUCCUCCAAGAGUUUCAGACUCCACCAGAACAAGGCCAGUCAUCACGAGUCAUUUCACAAUCUGAGCCCAUCAUCACUCAUCCACCAUCACAAUGCAGAUCUCUCUGCAUUCCCGGGAUUGUCCAUGCUAAAGGAUGUCCUCAGUAUGAUGGCCCUACUUAUCUAGAACAGUGCACCUUAUUCUGUGAACCUCAUGGAGCCAAUUGCCACAAAAACUGCGUCAACUACCGCAGAUUUGAAUCCAGCUCCAGCUCAGAUGAUUACGGGAUGAAUCUAUCCUCUCCGUAAUCUCCGCCGCAUGUCUUGUCUUUUAUGUAAAAGAUAAAGUUAGGGGGUCCUGUCCCUACUUUACUUUAUUAAAGUAGCUUUUAUGUCUUGUCUUUUUAUGUAAAAGAUAAAGUUAGGGGUCCCUAUCCCUACUUUACUUUAUUAAAGUAGCUUUUAUGUCUUGUCUUUUUAUGUAAAAGAUAAAGUUAGGGGUCCCUAUCCCUACUUUACUUUAUUAAAGUUGUUUGCUUUAUGAAAAGAUGAGGGUCCUGUCUCACUUUUCAAAAUUUGGCUUUCUCCCGUUGUAAUCCUUAUAUAAGAGAGCCUCCUCUUAGUUUUUCACUAAGGAAGAGGUGCGCCUUAAAAUAAUAUAUUGAGUGUUCCAUUAUCCAUGUCUCUCUAAACUCCUAUUUCUUAAGUUCUAUGGAGCUCUGAAAUAGAUAAGAAAAAGAAUAAGGAAAAUUUUAAAAAACGAGUUUGUUCAAAACCAAGUUAGUAUGCUCUACACUUGCCUUUGUAUGAAGGAUCUUGUGUAUCAGAACACUUGAGACGGUCUUUAGCUGUUUUCUUAUCUGGUUUGGUACCCGUUUUAAGCUAAGGAAAGCUGUUUUAGGGUUGUAUAACCUAGCAAAGAAAACUGGUUUGAAAAGUCUCAAGAUAACGGAGUGGUAUCAGAGCGCCCAACUCAUAAUUGGCGAAUUCGUAGGGUCAAUUCCCACUGGAUGCACGCCAUCUCUCCUGUAUUAUAUUAGGGUCAAAAUUCAGAUUGUGGCAUAGUAGAAGUAUCAAGGAUAGUCCUAAUAGAUUUUUUUUAUUGUAAAUAUUAGUACAAUUCUGAUUGUAAUAUAUCAAUGUAUAAAAAAAAAGUCACAAGCCACUAGGGGUGGGCAAAAUCGGGUUCAGGUCGGGUUCGGGUCAACCCGAUCAGGUUUUAGGUUGUUCGGGUUAAACAAGAAUUAAUCCGAACUUAACCCGAAUUAGUGACCCGACCCGAUCCGACCCGAAUAUAAUUCGGGUCGGAUCGAGUCGGGUCACUAAUUCGGGUUAAGUUCGGGUUGGAUCGGGUUGGAUUUAAAUAACUAGUAAUUUAGCAUAUAUAACUAUUAAAAUAUAUAUAUAUACCAUGAAAUAUUGAAUUUGAAAUUAUGAAACUUCAAAUCUUAAAAAAUGAGUUCGGGUCACAAAGCCACAACACAAAGGAGAAAGCUCGGGUCAGGUCGGAUUGGAGGCUUCAGCCACGGCAGCAGAUGGCAGCAGCUCACGGCAGCAGAUGGCAGCAGCUCACAGCAGCAGAUGGCAACAGCUCACGGCACAGAUCGCGGCAGCAGAUGGCAGCACAGAUCGCGGCAACAGAUGGCAGCAGAUUGCGGCACAGAUCGUGGCAACAAAUCGCCUGUUUGGUGUCGGUUUCGGCAGCAGAUUUGGUUUCAGCAGAGUCAGACUUCAGGCCUUUGGUUUCGACAGCACUCACAGCAGAUUGGUUCUGUGUGUUUGUGUGACUGUGUGUGAAUUGUUGUGAGCUGUGAGGUCCGUCUGCGUCUGGUGUGCAGUGUGCAUAUGUGUUGUAAAGUGUAAAGUGUAAUGUAUGAGUGAUUUUUUUUUGUUUGGGAAGACCCGAUCGGGUUGCUAUAACAACCCGAUCCGACCCGAACCCAAUCUUUUUCGGGUCGGAUCGGGUCGGGUCAGAUCGGAUCGGGUAUUUUACCUACCCCUACAAGCCACCACCUAUAUGUUUCUUUCAACACAUUAAAAAUGCUAACAAGCUCAAUAAAGUGAUAUAUUCCAUCUCCAUUACUCGACUUGCACCAUUUUUCACAGUUUUCUUUUACCAUUUUUCUUCUAUUUAUGCUUCCUUCAAUAAUAUUAUGAAUAUGAUACCCCAAAAAAAGUCACAAGCUACGAUCUACCUCUAACUUUGUAAGCUAGCACACUUAGCAGCCACCACCCACCACUGCACCGCACCUCCAACUCUCCAAGCCGUAAGCUACAUCACUCUUCACAUUUCCCGCAAAAACCACACCUCUAUUUGCAAUUCACAGAUUAAUUGUCUUGUUGGCAAAUGUGUCAUCUCUUCUAUCUUCUCACUUCUCAACAGGCAGUAGCUGAAUUUGUUGGCCUUGGCGUGUGGCUUCUCUUCAUUCUCGAUUGUCAUUAUCUUAAAGCACAACCUCUUCAAUUUCUUUUUUAUUCACUUAUCUAGGAAGCUGAAGCAAAAAAUAAUAACUAGUGCCCAGAAGAUGUCGGGCUUGACUAGGCUCAUGUAUGUAAAAAUUGGGCAUAAACACGUGUCAAAGUAUUUGUUAAAGUAAUUCGAGCCGAUGCUGGGCAAGUCCAAACCAGCCCAGACUUGGUGUUUUGCCAUCUCUAGUGAACAAGUUGCCUGAAGCAGUAGUGAUGUGCAAGUGGGAUGCUAGUGAAGCAAUUAGUAAAAGAAACAAUGCAUGCAGUGGGAUGGCAGUGGUUGCAGUAGUAAUAAUAAUAAUGGACGACAUGAUUAUGAUGUAAAAGAUCAAGUUUCCAGUUGCUCAUUUAUACCUAAGAAUUCAACCUAAAUGGUUUGGAAAGUUAUAUUAGUUUGGUUUGGGUUCAGUUUGGUUUUAUAUUACGGUUAAGAUUCAAUUCAAUUUUUGGGUUCUAAUUGCGGUUUGAGUUAUAAUUUUAGGUUACCAAAAAAUUCAUAUUAGGGAAAUACAAAAAUAGAAAAUAUAACACCUAGAACAGUUCUAACCACUCUAAGAAAAGGAAUACAAAUCUUUAAUCCAACAACCUUUCAAAGUGAAGGUCCAAAUAUGAGGCUUUUAAGCCUGUUUUAUUCAUAAACAUCCUACUUGUUUCUCAACUAAGUUGAGGUGAUUCAAAUCCCGACAUAUCCACUGUUAUUAAGUGAUGCAAAUCCCACAAUGAAACUUUCAAACCCACACUUAAUUUGUAGUUAAAGUUCUAAACAGAUUUAAGACAAACAAAAUCUUGACCCUAUGCUUAAGAAAACAUGAACCAAAGGUAUAGAGAAUGAUAUUGAUGAUAAGUCUAAAUUUGGAACGCCACAAGAAUGCAAAUUCUUGAUAAGUUCAUUAGUUCUCAAAAGAACCAAAGAAAGAAUAAACUUUCAAAUUCAAAUAACAUUCAUCUCUAAUUUUUAUUAUAUAGCAAGGUUGCUGAGUUUAAAUAGGCUAAAAGAAACUCAAGAUCCUAAAAAUACAAAUGGAAAUAUUGGAACAACCCUCCAAGUAGGUUUGUCAAAGGAUGUUCAAAAGUCUUCACCAACCCACCAUAAUUAAUGUUAUCUUUGACAAACUCAAUGCUAGCCUACUAUAAUUAAUGCUAUCAUUGACAAACUUAAUGUUAGCCCACCAUCAUGGAUGGUAGACUUACCUUACACAUUGACAAAUUUGAAACAAAACAAACAAAUGAAGUUGAAAAACAAAAGAGUUGUUGAAAAUCCCAAGUCUGAACAAACUGUAAUGCAUUGGUCAUAACUCCUUGUAGAGAACUCCAAAUCCAGCUCUAUAAUAUUUAUUAGAAAGCUAACUUAAUUAUCUUUCCAACAGUAUAUAGCUUGCACAUUACUUCUGGCUCAAUCAAUACAGUUUUGAUUCCGAAUUUGACCUUUCUACAUUUAACACAAAUUGUGUAUUUGGCUGCCUAAUAACUUGAAUAAUGCCCACAAUGCCUUGUCUUCUCUUCAAGCCCAAUUCAUGAUGUCUUGCAUCUCGAAUUGCAUUUUCAAUCCAUAUUUUCUCAAUUAAUCCAUUUAAAGCAGCUUGCAUCUUUUUGGCUCUAGCUCUUGUAAUUGGGCCUCCAUGAAUGUGCAAAGGAUCACUUGAAGUUUUAAUGGUAUUCCCUUGAUGGUUCUCAUCAUUAAGUUUUUUUAAUACCAUUUUAUAUACUAAUAUGUAAAGUCAGGUUCUUUUGUUCAGUGUUCACCCUCAUUAGGUAUAAUGGAAUUAGAGUCAUAACUUGAAAAGCAGCAUCAUAGAAGAUUUAAAAUGGAAAUACGAUCUAUAUGAUGAAUUUAGUCAAAGCAAAAAAUAUGCAAAGAGAAAAAAAAUUGAAUGAUAGGGCUAACAAGGCUAGAACUAUGGAUUUAAAGCUUCUAAACACCUAGCAUCCACAUAUGUAUCAGAUAUAAAAUUACAACUGAUGUCAUAGGUACCAUCAGGUGAAGACGGAAGUUGAGAAAUCGAGUGCUGCAAUACUGAUAGUCGAUGAGAUGGAAGCCGCGAAAAUAGGCAGCAUUACAAGUAGGAGGCUGGGAGCUACAACUUAAUACCAUUUUAUAUAUUAAUUACUUUCCUGAAAAUGCAAGGAAAAAACCAACAUAUACUAAUCUAUAGAGUCGGGUCCUUUUGUUCAAUGUUCACCCUCAUUAAGUAGAAUGGAAUUAGAGUCAUAACUUGAAAAGUAACAUUUCAUCAUAGAAAAUUUGAAAAGGAAAUACAAUCUAUACGAUGAUUUUAGUAAGAGAAAAAAAUAUGCAAAGAGAAAAAAAAAUUGAAUGAUAGAGCUAACAAGGCUAGAACUAUGGAUUUAAAGCUUCUAAAAACUUGGCAUCCACAUAUAUAUCAGAUAUAAAAUUAUGAUAUCGAACUGGACAAUUGAUGUUAUAACUACCAUCAGGUGAAGAUGGAAGUUGAGAAAUCGAGUGCUGCAAUACUGAUAGUCGUGAGAUAGAGAUCGCAAAAUUAGGCAAUGUUACUAGUAGGAGGCUGGGAGCUACAACAACUUAAUACCAUUUUAUAUAUUCAUUAUAAGGAAAAAACCAACAUAUACUAAUCUAUAGAGUUAGGUCCUUUUUUUCAAUGUUCACCCUCAUUAAGUAGAAUGGAAUUAGAGUCAUAACUUGAAAAGCAGCAUUUCAAUGUAGAAAAUUUAAAAAGGAAAUACAAUCUAUAUAAUGAUUUGAGUAAGAGCAAAAAAUAUGCAAAGAGAAAAAAAAAAUUGAAUGAUAGAGCUAACAAGGCUAGAACUAUGGAUUUAAAGCUUCCAACUGAUGUUAUAGCUACCAUCAGGUGAAGAUGGAAGUUGAGAAAUCGAGUGCUGCAAUACCGAUAUUUGAUGAGAUGGAGGUCGCAAAAUUAGGCAAUGUUACUAGUAGGAGUCUGGGAGCUACAACACUGAUGUGGAAAGACCGACUGCUAACGGCAACUAAGAGAGACUACUUGUGGGAGAUGCGCCAUCAAUGCUUAAGGAUUGAUAGUUGCUGGUGCGCCGCUGAGAGAUGAUUGCUGAUUGCUGAGAGAGACAACUAGUGGUAGGCUGGUAGCAUGGCGUGGCGUGGUGUCACUAUGGGCUGGCAACACAGUGAGGGCUUGCUACAGGUAGAUGGUAGUGAUAUUUGAGAGAGUUAAGAGAGAAAUGAUUGUAUAAUUGUAUAGUUUGGCAAUCAAGUUUUAAAAUUUUUAAAUUCUUAGUUUUUUUUUUUAAAUGCAAAACUGAUCCAUUUUACAUUUUUGAUCCAUUUGGGUUUACAUUCAAACCAAAUUGGAUUGAAACUCAAAAUUUAAAGCCUACUACUAUAUAAAAUUCAAGACAUAGAGAAGAAUCUUUGCUAUAAAUGAUAAAAAACACUAGUGUAGAAUGACCUAACAAGGAAAUUUGGAAUCACAUGCAUUUCUAAUUUGCUUUACAUUAUAAGAUUUUAUCCCAUGUUUUCUUAGAAGAAAUGAGAGAAAAUGAUAGAGAAGUGGAAUAAAAAGGAGAGAGAAGAAGAGAAAAUAAGAGAAAAAGUGGAUUAAUCUUUUCUUUUUAUUUGAUUUAACAUAGAAUUCAUCUCUUCUACUAUUGGUGCUACUAUGUUUUGAUUUUCAAAAUUAGAACUGUCAUGACCCAACCCAGACUUGGCAGGAUAUUGUCCAUUUUGCACCUUAAUAAGGCUGGCACGGUUUUGUUCCUGAGGCGUCCAUACACUCCAAAACGCAUUUUGCCAAUUAAGGUGUGGAUCGCCCUUUAUAAACCCAGGAUCACUCUCGUGCUUUGCCAAUGUGGGAUUCACCUAGGGUGUUACAAGAACAAUGUAGGAAGCAAAGAAUGAGAGUUAGUGGCGGUGGGAUACACGUGACAAUGUUAGAGAUGAGACAAAAAAGAUAAGGUUGUUACAAUUUUUAAGUAUUGAAACAAUUGUGGGGAUCCAGAUAUCCAAAUUUCCAGAUGUACUUUCACACACACACACACACACACACAUAUAUAUAUAUAUAUAUAGUAGUUUUCCAAUCAGGGAUCCCUGACUUUAAUAAAGUCAGGGAUUAGCUAAAAGACAAAAAAAUUUAGAUUUUAUCACACUACAUGAUAAAAUAUAGUGCAUUGGAGUAUGUGUUUAUUUUGUCUUUUAGCUAAUCCCUAACUUUAUUAAAGUCAGGGAUCCCUGAUUGGAAAACUACUCUAUAUAUAUAUAUAUAUCCUCUCGUCAUCUAGUUUUUCAGAUAUUUUAAAGAUUUCAUGACAUGGGGUUAUUUUGUGAUGAAUAGUCAGGAUUCUUUUUUUUUUUCCUUUUAAUUGCUAUAUUACUAUAUAUAUCAAUGUGUUUUAUCUUCCCUAAUUUUAAAAUAUUGAUUACAUGAGUCUGUAUACAUCAAUCAUUAUUCUAAGGGUAAAUUUCACCCCCUUAUUAGAUUGACAUAUUUAAGUUCACCCCCCAAAAGUAUGAAAACUUCAAUCUACCCCUUAGAAACUAUUAUUUUUAAUAGCUGAGUAAUGUUGAGUGAUUAAAAUACGAAAUACCUUGACUUGUAAUGGAGUAAGCUCUUAACAAUAGUAUAUAAAUUCAAAAAUAAUAGUUGAUUUGACAUGUCUGCAACAGGACAUGGGACACUUACAAACUAAAUAAUGAAAUAUGAAAAAGUAAGUUGUUUGUAAGAUUUAAAUAUUCAAAAAGUGAAAUGCCUUAAUGGGCCAAAAAAUGUAAUAAAUAAUCCUAAUUUGGACUUUGAAGUUAAAUAAAUUACGAAGAUUGCCACUAAUAUUAUUUGUCAAUUGGGUUUUGAAGUUGAAAAAAAUUACAAGGAUUGCAUUAGUGUUAAUAGAAUUUGGGUUUUGAAGUCAGACAUAUUACAUUGCAUGCCAUCAACUUGGUAAGUUAAAAGAGCUGACGGUUGCAGAAACAACAAAAAUUCAAAAUUCAAAAUUGUAUUUGGCAGGUUUAUUCCUUUAAUCUAGCUCCCAACACACUUUACUGGCCACAAAAUCAUUAAUGCCAUCAAAAUAUCAACAAAGCAAAGCAAAAAAACAAGAAUAAUGUCAUCAUCCAAAGGUAGCUGGAGUGGUUUGCAGAUGAAGAUAGGGAGCUAUGGAUCAAUGGCAAAGUUAUCAAGUUCAGAAAAAAAAAUUUACACUGACUGUUGUGACCGAGUAUCUAUGAAAAUCUUAGAGUCUAUUCCAAAUCCUCAAAGGCUAUACUACAAAUGUGAGAAGAAAACUUGUAAUUUCAUCAGGUGGUGGAAACCAACUAAGCAAUAGUACAAAAUAAUUGCUAGAGGAGUGAGAUUGUUAGAUGAUGAUUUUGAAGAUAAUAAUGAGGUGGUUGCUAAAGAGCAUUAGAUUUUGGAGGUGUGAUGAGAUUAAGGAUAAAACUAUCACAAGCAUGUGGGAUAAGGCAUAUUCAAAUCUUAUUCAAGUUCCCGUCAGACCCGUUACAGGAGCUUAAGUAAAGAAAUUCAAAGAAGCGCUUAAUGGAUUGAUUAAGUGGGAUUGGUGAUGGAGUCUCAAAUUUGCAAUGCUUUGCAAUCCAUUUGAGUUCUUUUUGGUAAAAGGGUAAUGGAGCUGGUGGAGGUGGAGGAUCUUUGUGGUGGUUUAGGAUCAUAGUGGUGGCAGGAAACUAGAGGUUUUUUCUUUUUGGGUUUCUUUUUCCUUAUGGUGGCAUAAUCAUCGUCUUCGUCCCAAUCAUCCCAGCAGGGACAAUUUGGGUCACACAUGCCUGAGCCAGGGGCAUCCCAUAGGAAAUGGCCAUUUUGCUUGGCUGGAUAAACAGGGUAGCCUUCAGAAUUGAACCCUGAAAUGGGCAGAUCUUCUUGGGCUGUCUGAACAGCUGUGAUCAAAUUAGUGGAGGACCGUUAAAGGAAUCGCACGUGAUAAAUGCAUGAAAUAGGGAGUUGGCUUGCACAUUAUGGCAGGAAAAUAAUACUUUCGCGUUUUUUGAGGAGGCUAUUAGGGAAGCAAAUCAGUUAUUUCUAUUUUAAUCUCCUAGUUUCCAUUUUAAUUGAUGUAAGGCAUUAAGCCAAUAAGGAUCCUGAUUUGAUUUAGAUUCUUUCCUAUUUACUUAGAUUAGGAUUCUGAUUUGAUUUAGUUUCUUUGCUAUUCGCUUAGAUUAGGAUUCUGACUUGAUUUAGGUUAUUUCCUACUUGUUUAGAUUCAAAUUUAGAUUUGAUUUUUUGUUUACAAACCAAGGGCUCCCUUUUAUAGGCUCAAGGGAUCCACUAUUACACACUAUUAGCAUUAUUGAUUGAUACGAAAUCCCACAAUGAAACUUUGAAACUCACACUUAAAUUGUAGUUUCAACUUCCCAAGAAAAUUCUAAACAAAUUUAUGAUAAACAAAACCUUGACCCAAUGCUUAAGAAAAGCAUGAACCAAAGGUAUAGAGAAUGAUAUUGACGCCACACUCAAGAAAUAAAUGAGAAGGUGAGUGAUAAGUCUAAAUUUGGAACGCCACAAGAAUGCAAAUUCUUGAUAAGUUCACUAGUUCUCAAAAGAACCCAAGAAAGAAUAAUCUUUCAAAUUCAAAUAACAUUAAUCUCUUAAUUAUCAUACAUAGCAAGGUUGCUGAGUUUAAAUAGGCUAAAAGAAACCCAAGAUUCUAAAAAUACAAAUGAAAACAUUGGAACAACCCUCCAAGUAUAGGUUUGUCAAAGGGUGCUUUAAAAGCCUUCACCAACCCACUAUUAUUAAUGAUAGACUUACCUAACACAUUGAUAAACUUGACACAAAACAAAUAAAUGAAGUUGAAUAAUAAAAGGAGUUGUUUGAAUUCCCAAGCCUGAACAAGCUGUAAUAAAUUGAUCAUAACUCCUUCUAGAGAACUCCAAAUCCAGCUCUGUAAAAUGCAUUGGAAAGCUAACUUAAUUAUCUUUCCAACGGGAUAUAGCUUGCACAUUAAUUUUGGCUCAAUCAAUACCAGAUUUAUUCCGAAUUUGCCCUUUCUGCAUUUGAUCCAAAUUGUGUAUUUGGCUGUCCAAUAGCUUGAAUAAUGCCCACAAUGCCUUGUCUUCUCUCCAAGCCCAAUUCAUGAUGUCUUGCAUCUUGAAUUGCAUUUUCAAUCCAUAUUUUCUCAAUUAAUCCAUUUAAUGCAGCUUGCAUCUUUUUGGCUCUAGCUCUUGUAAUUGGGCCUCUAUGGAUGUGCAAAGGAUCACUUGAAGCUUUAAUGGUAUUCCCUUGAUGGUUCUCAUCAUUGAUCCUUAUCACUAAGGAAUCUACUUUACAACUCAUUACCUACUUUAUGUCACACCACACUCAUUAUACUCUUAUCCUUAUCCAUAUGGAAUCUCUCCUGUACACACGUGAGGCACACAUACAAUUAUUACAUAUAUUAUUAUCACCAUCGCUUCCACUGCGGGGUCCACUAUGCUUUCGCUUACAGUCCUAAGUUGUCACUUGUCGGCGUGCUCCUUCCUGACAGGUUCGCUCUUCUUUCUUCUGACAGGGUUUCCAUAGCAUCUGCUAGCUCUUGCCAAUCCACAUCUUCUGGUUGUGGAUCUAAUUCUGGUUGUGGCCAUUGUUCAUUGUUCAGCCAGUCUGCCAUCUCUUCUAGCUCUCCUCUCCAUCUAUCGACUUCAGGGGUCCUCCAUGGAUAACCUUUGAGUUCUCUUCCAUGACGCAUGAGAUACUCUCUGUAUCUCUCCUGCAUGUCUUCUUCUCCUUCAUUGUCGUUGUGGAGUCUAGAAUCUCUUAUUCCUUCCCUGUAGUAGAGAUCUGGUGUUGUCUGGACCUAUGGGGGAGAUUGGGCUAUGAGUUAUGUACAUAGGGACUAUACCAUAAACUUCAGCCAAUGCUUUCCUUGCUGUGAAGCAUCCUGUCCACAUGGAAUCGACGUCUUCAUAUGAGUGGUUGUGUUCCACUACCUGGACUAUUGGUUCCACGAACUCCUUUUGUCUUCCCCAGAUAUCCGUUAGUUUCACAAUCACAAUAGUAAUGUGUGUGAUGUGGAAACCAUUAAUUAGUUUGAGCGUCAGGAUAUCUUCAAAGAUUGGGGCAAACAUUCGAUCAAACCAGUGCCCUUUCCCAUAUCUUCUGCUGGUGUAGUUUAAUGUGUUCAAGUGUUACUUGUAAACCUAGACGAAAUCCCAUCAACAUGGCAUCUUCAUCUACAAACGCAGUUUCGUCUGAAUCUUCCAUAUUUCUCUCUCUUCUAUCCUCUCUUUACCUCGUUCUUAUCAGAAACAUGUUGCUUCAAAAAUCAAAAAUCUUGUUGAGUACUCAUAUGUCCCUGAAUCAACCCAAAUUAAUGAAUCACAAUUUCUAGUAAUGAGCCCAUACCAUCUUUACAAACAAAAAACCUCUUUCACCAAAGCAUCAGAACCUUGAUUUCUACUAAAAGACCUCUACCCAAAGAAUACAUUCAGUCUUCAAGACUAGACCAAUGUGCUCUUCAGGCCUCUCAGAGUGAACAAUAUGUUACUCUAGAAAUACCCACUGAUCUCGUAACCAACUGGAAAUGAGAAGGGUAUACAUACCUUCAUCUUGGAGGUGUAAGGCUAAUUCUCACUCUACAUGGAAGAAAAGGCUUACCUGUCACAGCCAGAAUUGCGCUACUGGAUACCAGAUUCAAGCAAUACCAACAUGCUAUCAUUGGAACAGUUUUAACUACACUCCAUGCUGGAAGUGUAUUGUUAACUUUUGUUCCCAAUUUCAACAUGUCCCUUAAAGACCCAAAUCUUCCAACAACAACAAAAGUCCAGAUCCAUCUCCAAGGAGCAGACCAAACAGCUACUUCUAAGAUAGCCACUCUCCAUAACCAAAUAAUGUAUCGAUUACUGAAUCAUGCACUAGAUCUUCCCACUGUACAAACAACCACAGAUGCAUUGAUGAUCCUUACAGACACUAAUACAAUCCCAACAAUAAUUCAAAUCCCCAAACAAAUUCAAAAGCAAGAGUUGCUUAAACUUAUGCCGCUUGAAUGGCUUUCCAAUUAUGAGCAAUUUCACCAGAAUUCAGAGCCAAUCCAAACCUCUGAAGCCAUUUUUGAAAGAAGAUCUGAUGGCCAAGUUAAGCUGUCCUUCCAAACCCUAGGACAAUCUUCAAAUCCAGAAGCUCCGAGGCUCUCUUAUAUUGCUAUGAUCAAGGCAGUGUCCUCAGCACAGGAGGAAAAUUUUCCAGUCUAUGGAUUUUCUUCAGAAGGAUAUCUAGUUUAUCCUGACAAAGUCAAUGGUCAUUUCUUAUGGGAUGUUCCAGAAGCCCUUUGUGCAACCCUGAUUGCCCUUGUCUGGACGAUCCAUAUGAUGAUGAUGAAGACUUUGAAAUCAUGAGGAGAACAUGAAGGAGAAAGAAGAAAACUUCCCAUUCAAAAACUCCUUGUAGAUCAUAUCCUCCAAAACCACCAAAUGAUCCAAGUUCAAGCCAGCCUUUACCGAUCUAUAAAAAGGCUCUCAAAUGGAUAGAAAAGGAAAAUAGAAUGGCCAAUCCCCAUGAACCUAUUCCUUCUAUAACAAAGCUCAGGUCAUGCAUGAUGUUCUCUUCCUCCUGCUAGUCUUACCAAGAAUCUUUUCCCCCUCUUGAAAAACAAACAGAUCCACAAACAAAAGUUAUUUCCCAGCCUUUUGUGCAGUCACCCAUAACUUCUUCUGGCCAACCAGAAGCCCCAAAACAAUUUGAAGCAGUCUUAAAUUGGCAAACCCAAAAUGCCAAUGCUCAAAAUCAAGCACUUCAUAAUCUUAGGAGAAAAAUCGAUAAAGUUGCAACUCAGGUGACAAAAACAAAAACAAAAGUAGAUUCUCUCAAUGCUCAGCUAGAACAGAUUUAUUUGAAUUUGCAAAGUCGAAUCUCUAAACUGGAUGUUGACCUCAGAACGAUGAUUAACAAUCGUAUAUGGGGACCAGAAUUCAACAAAAAGGAAGCAGAUAUUAGAAAGUUAAAAGCAGAGCUAGCCAGAAUUGAUGCAAACAAAGAACAACCAUCACUCUUUACCAAAACUCAAUCUUUACCCAUUUAUGCCCCUCUAUUUGAUACAUAUAAACCUUUCUAUAAUCCUUCUAAACCACCAAUGGACUAUAACAAGUUCUUUGGGCUUUCCCAUCUUCUCUAUAGAAACCAAGAUCUACCAACCUCUCCAUCAACUUCCAAAAAGCCAGCCACAAAGGUUAGAAUCUCAUAACCAAAACCAAAAGAAACCUCUCCAAUACCCGAAGACUCUCCAAAAUCAACCCCUGAGCCAAUAAAGAAAGACAAAGCUCCAGUCCACUAAUACUUUUACCAGAGUGUUAGUACGCAGAGCAAUGAUCCCAAUCCAGACUCAUCCUCUGAAAAUAGUUCUAGUUCCUAUGAGCAAUCUUCCUCAGACUCAGAAUCUCAAUAUGCAGACAUUUCUGGACUACUCAUGGUUCAACCGUCUACUAAGACAGAAGAACCAAGUACAUCUACACCUGUUGUAGAGGAAUCUAAUGAUGAAAACGAAGGACAAGACACUUCACAAACUGAACCGAUUCUCCCAAAUCCACCAGCGCCUGAACCUUCUUCUAAACCAUCUUCAACACAGUGGUUUACUUUUGAUGACAAAUGGCUAGCCAGACACCAAGAAUUUGCUGCCUGGGUCGACGUACAAAUGACAUAACCAAAUGCAUAAUCUCAGACAGUCCUCCGAGAAUUUUGUUCCCAAUUUACUAGUUCUUUGCGAGAUUGGCUUGAAAGUCCAGGAGAAUAUAGACAACUUCAACUAAUCCAGACCAUUAUCGCUACAACACUCACAGUUAUUUAUGAGCAAUUCAUUGGAGAACCAACUGCAGCAAAUGAAGCUUCUAGAAAAGAAUUCCACUAGAUGAAAUGUUGCUCUCUCAAGUGCAAUCAUUUGGAGAUGCAUUACAAAAGAAUGAGCAUGCUCUACUACAAGUUAAAUGGAUUCAAUGAUUCAACUUUAAAGCAUGUUUUCAUUGCUUCACUCCCUUCAGAACUUCAGCCAGAACUCUAGAGGCAGCUUACAGCCUUCAACCUGGACAUAGCCAACAUCUCCCUUUGGAAAAAUCUUCCAGUUGACUAUGUUAUGUCUUGAUAGAUUGUGUGAACAAAAAGAGUUCUUCAAAGACCUCAUUGAAAAUAGACAUCCUUUUGCCUCAGCCUGUAAAAAACCAUAUCUCUAGAUCCAGUGCAAAGAUGACAAAAAAUGCACUUGUCCAACCAAGAAGACCCCCACGGAUCUUCCAAGAAAGGCAAAAAACCUUACAUAUACUUUAAGAAGACAGAUCCUUCCCAGUUCAGAAAAAAGAAGCAUAACCGUUGUUUCAUUUUGCCCGAAAUUGUCCAAACAAGUUUGCCAAAGAUGUUCGCCUUAUUCAACAUCUACAACAGUCCAAUUUCUUUGAACAGACUGAAUAUGAUGAUCAUAAUUCAUCCUUACAGAGUCAACAGAUGAUUCUGAGGUAGAUGAAAUUUCUGUUAUUUCUAUUGUUCAAGAAAUUAACCAGGUCCAUUACAAACCUACUGUCCCUUCAGUUAAAAUUUCUGUCCUCCCAUCCAAGUUUCAUAAACCCAUUUAUGUUAUUGGUUUUAUUGAAACUGGUGCAUAACACAGUAUGCUCAAUCCCACAGUUCUUCAUUCCUCAUGUUGGGAAAAUCAUACUGAAUUCUUCAAAUCAGCUAAUGGUGAAAUCUUCAAGACAUCAUUAAUUACCAAAAAACCCAUUGGGAUUCAAUUUUUUUCCAAACUAUAUCAUAUGGCAAAAAAUCAUUAGUUCAGAUUUACAAGACAAAGAUCUUCUCAUAGGGUUUGAUAUCCUUCAUCUGGUAAAAAAUCUCCACAUCACACCAACUGAAAUCAAGUUCAAACAAAUGUUUUGGCCUUAUACAGAUGUUCUACGUCUGUACACUCUCACAGAUACAACCCUUUUUUAUGCAUCUGUCACUCAAAAACUUCUUCAAUUCUGUCUUGAGAAUCAUUCUCAAUUCAGUCAUCCUUUCCCUCUUUGGAAAAAUGAUAAGUUCUUCAUUCAACUCCCUUUUAAGUUAAAUGAAGAUAUAAAUCCCACAAAGGCAACUCAUCUAGGAUUGCCACCUUCUGAUCUUUUCCUAGCCAAACAAGAAUGUGAUAAAUUGCUUCAGCAAGGUCUCAUUGAGCCCACAACUUCAUAUUGGGCCUGUCAAGCCUUUUAUGUUGAAAAAAGAUCUGAGUUAGUUCGAGGAAAAAAGAGAUUGGUAAUUGAUUAUCAGCCUCUCAAUGCUUUUCUCAGAGAUGAAAAAUUUCCUCUUCCAAAAAUCCAGUCACUGUUUGUCCAUCUUCAAGAUGCCAAAAUCUUUUCAAAGUUUGAUCUCAAAGUAGGUUUUUGGCAACUUGCCAUUUCACCCUCUGAUAGACCUAAAACGACUUUAUGUAUACCCAAUGCCCAUUAUCAAUGGACAGUAAUGCCCUUUGGUCUCAAAGUUGCUCCUUCCCUGUAUCAAAAGGCAAUGGUAAAAAUAUUAUCUCCUAUCCUCCAUCAUGCUCUGGUGUAUAUCAAUGACAUUUUGUUGUUUUCCACCAACCACCAGACCCACCAAAAACUGCUCUCAGAUUUCUUUGAUAUUGUGCAAGCACAUGGCAUAAUGCUUUCCGAAAAGAAAAGCAGUAUCGAAAAGGAAUCAAUCGACUUUUUAGGCAUGGUGUUACACAAUGGUCAUUACCAUCCAGGACCACACAUUGUAGAGGAAUUGAUAAAGUUUCCAGACACAUAUCUCAAUAAAAAGCAAAUUCAACAGUGAAUUAUUUGCGAGACUUUAUUCCCAAUGUUACGGUUCACACCAGCAAAUUGUCACGCAUGCUAAAGAAACAACCCCCACCAUGGGGUCCUGAACAGACAACAGCUGUCAAAUAGCUCAAAAAGAUUUCUCAAUCACCACCACCACUGAAGAUUCCCACAACGGGACAAAGAAUUCUCUAGACCGACGCCAGUGAUGAAUAUUGGAGUGCUAUUCUUUUAGAAAAAGUUAGAGAAACAGAGUUCUAUUGCGCUCAUGCAAGUGGGCAAUUCAAGGAUGCAGAGAAGAAUUAUCAUAUCAUUUACAAGGAGAUUUUAGCAGUCAAGUAUGGAAUCAAAAAAUUUGAAUUCCAUCUGAUUAGUCACAAUUUCCUUAUCAAAAUGGACAACUCCUCUUUCCCAAAGAUUCUUUACUUCAAAAAAAAAAAAAAUCCUUACUCGUCCGUCUAUAAAUAAACCAACUCUAAUCACUUCCAUCCAUACCAUUCCCAUAAUAACAAUGAAUCGUUCUCUUCCUUUCAAAGCCUUAACCCAAAAAACUUUUCCCCUCAAUCUUUCCUUUAGUUCAACUUUUCAAAUCCAGGAUUUUGCUAUAAAAUUCCUCUUCAGGUAUUUCAUGAAUGUCCAUAGAACCCAACCACUUCGUUUUCCGUCCCUUCACCUAGAAUACCUAUUUCUUAUAGGAUUCACUCUCAAUCCAUCCCUAACUAUCUCAGAAGAUGAAUUAUGGUAUGUUUGGUGUUAGGGCCAGCUUUGGAGUUUGAGGGGCCUUAGGUGAAAGUUUUUUAUGAGGCCUCUAUUAUUUUGUAAUUUUAAUACUCAAAGACAUAUAAAAAGGAUCAAAAUUUAUUCUAUCUUUAAUUCUUGAAUUUCAACAAUAAUAAAAAAAUCAAAAAUUUAAAAAAUAAAACCUAAAAAAUAGUCAAGAAGAUUGAUUUUUUUAUUCCAUUAAAACCGUUAAAAAACAAACAAACAAAUAAAUAAAAAUAAUUUUAUUUUCAAAUAGAAUAUUUAGAAUGAUAGAAUAUUUAGAAUGAUAGAAUAUAAAAAUUUUAAAAUGAUGAGUUGAUGUUCAAAAAUAAAAAUGGACUUUAUAUUUUAAGAAACUAAUUAUUUUAAAUGAACCAAUGAAUAUAAUAAUUUUAUUUGUAGAGAAGAGAGCAAGAAAUUUUUUUUCAUUUACUAAUUCUUGAGAUUAUGAGAUUUUUAAUAGAAAUUAAAAGAAAUACUAAAAGUCAAAUAUGCUAAUAUUGAAUAAUUGAAAAGGAAUGAAGGUUAAAGAAUAUUAUUAAAUAUAUUUCUCUAAAAUUAAGGUUCCCAAUAUAGAUUUUUUAUAAAAAAUAAUUCUUAAUUAUAGAAUAAUUAAGAAUAGAGAGAUAUCUAAUAAACUUUUUGAUUUCUUAAAAUACGUAUUAAAAAUAUUUUAUUAAUUAGAGAAUUAUUAAGAAAAUACUCAAAAAAUGAGACCUUCUUAAAAUAUGAGGCCUUAGGCGACGGCCUUGUUCGCGUAUACCUAAAGCCACCCCUGAUACGAAUCCCACAAUGAAACUUUCAAUCCUACACUUAAUUUGUAGUUUCAACUUCCCAAGAAAGUUCUAAACAGAUUUAUGGCAAACAAAAACCUUGACCCAAUGCUUAAGAAAACAUGAACCAAAGGUAUAGAGAAGGGUAUUGACGCCACACUCAAGAAAAAGAUGAGAAGGUGAGUGAUAAGUCUAAAUUUGGAACACCACAAGAAUGUAAAUUCUUGAUAAGUUCACUAGUUCUCAAAAGAACCAAAGAAAGAAUAAUCUUUCAAAUUCAAAAUAACAUUCAUCUCCUUACAUACCAAGGUUGCUGAAUUUAAAUAGGCUAAAAGGAACCCAAGAUCCUAAAAAUACAAAUGGAAACAUUGGAACAACCCUCCAAGUAAUUUUGUCAAAAGAUGUUUCAAAAGUCUUCACCAACCCACCAUGAUCAAUGCUAUCUUUGACAAACUUAAUGCUAGCCUACUAUAAUUAAUGCUAUCAUUGACAAACUUAAUGUUAGCCCACCAUUAUUGAUGGUAGACUUACCUUACACAUUGACAAGCUUGAAACAAAACAAACAAAUAAGUUGAAAAACAAAGGAUUCGUUGAAAAUCCCAAGUCUGAACAAGCUGUAAAGAAUUGGUCAUAACUCCUUCUAGAGAACUCCAAAUCCAGCUCUGUAAAAGUUAUUGGAAAGAUAACUUAAUUAUCUUUCCAACGGUAUAUAACUUGCAUUUUAAUUCUGGCUCAAUCAAUACAGUUUUUAUUCCGAAUUUGACCUUUCUGCAUUUGAUACAACUUGUGUAUUUGGCUGCCCAAUGACUUGAAUAAUGCCCACAAUGCCUUGUCUUCUCUUCAAGCCCAAUUCAUGAUGUCUUGCAUCUUGAAUUGCAUUUUCAAUCCAUAUUUUCUCAAUUAAUCCAUUUAAAGCAGCUUGCAUCUUUUUGGCUCUUGCUCUUGUAAUUGGGCCUCCAUGAAUGUGCAAAGGAUCACUUGAAGUUUUAAUGGUCCCUUGAUGGUUCUCAUCAACCCCUGUUUGUUGUCUUAUAGUUAUGUAUGCCACUAAACUAGUUCUUCCUGUCCAACCUACCCUCAGGUAUAUCUCAACUCCUGACCAUGCACCAUCUCUCCUCUGGACAUUACUUGAAUGGUUUUCUCCACUCACAUGGUGGCGUAAACAACAUUCAGAAUAUCUCAACCCAUCAUCAGUUAAACAGAAUCCCUGACCAAGAAGCAGAUCUGUUUACCUCAUUUUUCAUAAUUCACAAGCUAUAUUUUCAGCACCCCAUCACUAGAGACUAUUGGACACAAGACCAGGCAUAUGAAUGGAAAACAUUUCCACAUCCAUUCCCACUCAACCAUGAUCCAACCAUAAUCUCAGUUCUCAAAGCCAGUUCCAACAAACAUCUGUCACACAUCCAUAGGACCAUCCCACUCUCUUGAAUUUUUACCAAGAUCUUGUGAAAACACUCCAGGAUCCAGCUCCAGUCCAAAGGGUAUUCUCAUUCGAGAAGAACGCCCUGACUACACAAAUAUCCUUUUUCAAGAUGCUCAAGACCCUUGGGAAGACUUCCACUCACUACUCCCUACUCAAGAUUCUCAGAGUUUCUCUACUAAGCCAGUUUCUAAACCAGCCACAACCACUGCAGAAAAGGAUGAGCUUAACGAAGACUAUCUAAUCUACUGACAGAUUUCCAAAGCUCGAAAGUAGUAUGAAAAAGAGACAGGAGACAUAUCCCCAUCCAGAUAUCCCUCUACUCCAUAAAGCUCCUGGCUUUUCACAUGGCUACAAAAGCUUUCCGAGAAUCUCGGCUUUAAUAAAAAUGACAGGGGUCAUGACCUAUCUAAAGUGUGCUUUUAUGUUUUCUAUGUGUGUACUAUGCUUUUUACUUUUUCUUUAUGAUUUUGUUGUUUGCUCUCAAAGAUAAGGGUCUUGUCUUAUCUUUUUGCUAUUAAAGGCUCUAUAUAAGAGUUCUCAAGUCCUUGUAUUUGGUAGAACAUCUUCAAUAAAAAUUUGAAAGCUUGUUCAUAAUCCUCUCAUGUCAUUCUAAGUUCUUUUCUUCUUCUAGGGAACGAGUGAACACUUGAGCCAUUAUUCUAAGAGCGUUUCAUCUCUAUCUCUAUACUGAGUAUGCUCUGCACUUGCCUUUGAGUAAGGAUCCUGUGCAUCAGAAAAGUCCUGAUUUAUUUUCAAACCAGUAUGCCAAAAUUAUUCUCUCACAACGUUCACCCUCUCUAAAAGUCUAGGAGAUGACUUGUCUUUGGGUGGUAUCAUGGGUAAUGGUUUUCUUCCACCGGUUUGAUAUCUAAAAGAUUAGGGUAUAUCGGCUGGAAACCUGAAUUUGCGGACUACUGGUCCAAAGAACAGUUUCAGACUGUUUUAAUUAUGGUAUAACAACGCCAAGUACUCUGACAUCCGUCUGGUAUCAGAGCCACACAUUCUCAAGCAGAGGUGGUAUCAUAGUUUAAUGUGUUCAAGUGUUACUUGUAAACCUAGAGGAAAUCUCAUCAACAUGAUUGCCACCGGUAGAUGUUUAGCCAGCACCAGAAAAUGUAGUAGGCUUGUGGGGUUAUGUCACAGAUGACGUAAUGACCCCAGUUUGUGUUCUCAUCGAUCACGUUGUAGAACGUGCAACCUAGCUUGAAGAUUGUUUCAUGCAUCUGAUUUGGAUUCAGUUGAGGUUCAAAAGGUCUCUGACUCCUUUUGUUGUAAGAGGAUCGAAAUUCCUGUAUGGCCAUGAGCUGCCAUAUCCACCAAGUUAGAGCCAUAUCCUCUGGAUCUCCUUUGUGGUCUAUCACCUUCUUAAAACUUAUUUUCUGCACAUCUUCUAGGAGCCAUGCGAUGAAGGUGUUGAGAUUUUCGAGGAAGUGUGCCCUUGCUUCAUGGGCUUUGGAACUUCCUUCUUCCCAUCGUUUUGCAAGGCUUCUUCUCGAGAUCAUGGUGACUGGCCUUGAUAGGAAAUCAGCUAUAGUGUUGGAUUCUCCCUUUAUGUGUUUGACCUCGAAUUUGAAUUUGGAGAGAGAUUCUGACCACCUAGCAAGCUAAGGAUUUGGGAUUUCUCCUUCUUUUCUUUUGAGUAACCCCUGGAGGUACUUGUAAUCUGUUUCGAUCACAAAAAGGGUGAGAGAAAGGAAAAACUGGAAUUUUUUUAUUCCUUUUACUACUGCUAGGACUUCUUUAUUUAAGGAUGGGUAGUGACUCUGGGCGUCAUUGAACUGGCCAGAUUUAUAGCCACAGACUUUCCUGUUUCCCUCGGAUUCCUCUAUCAAUAGUGCUCCCCAAUAAUGGUCACUAGCAUCUGUCUGUAGGAUGAGCUGUCCGUUGUUAGGUAUCUUUAAUGGCGGAAGUGACUAGCACUUUUGUCGCUUCUUCCGACCACUGUGGGGCACCUUUCUUCAAGUGCUUGGAUAUCGGACUCGUCAUCUUUGACAGGUUCUGGACAUGAUUUGCUGCAUAGUUGAUUAUCCUGAGGAAUUGCUGGAUCUGCUUUCUGCUUUAUAGCUAGUCAGGAAACUGAGAUAUUUUUUUCAGCAAUGUGUGGUUGAGGAAUGAUAUAUCCAUGCUUGAUGUGUAGUCCCAAGAAAUCUACUUCAUCGAGACUUAUCUUCAUUUUUUUUUCUGACAGUGCUUAGAGCUUUAAACUUGGACAAGUGCUCAACAUGUUCUUCUUCACUGUUGCUGAAGAUAAGAGCAUCAUCAAUGUAGAUAAGACAGAAUCCUGAGAUGGAUUUGUACACUUCAUCCAUUCUGUUUUGGAAUUUUGACGGGGCAUUCUUUAAUCCAAAAGGCAUCACGUUCCAUUCAUCGUGCCAAUGGGGGACCACAAAAGCUGUCUUGUGUAUGUCCUCUUCUUUUAUCCUGAUUUGCCAAAAGCCUGAUUUUAUGUCAAACUUUGAAAACACCUUUGCUCCUUCCAUUCUUUUCAAGAGGUGUGUCCGACGUGGAAUGGGGUACCUUAUGUCUUGCAAACAUAAGCACCCACACCCAAUCUCUAGGCUGAAAAACCACUUACUUACGUCCUUUGUUGGCUUGAUUAGCAUAUUGUUCAAUUCUCUUUUCUGUGUGUUGUCGCGUUCUCUCAUGCAAUUUCUUGACAAAUUCAGCUUUCUUUUUACCAUCCAUACUAGCACACUCCGGACAACCACUAUCACCCAAUGGAGAAGCCACUCCUUGGCUAUAAUUCAGGAUAAACUGUGGUUGGUUCGAUCGAUCUCAAACCCAAAAACUUUCUGAUGCACAAGAUCCUACAAUGAGGCGAGUGAGAGCAUACUCAUUAAAAGAGAUUGAAGUGAACUACUAUGAGAACCUGUGGUUAAAAAGUAAAAUCAAAAGCAAAAGAUUUCCAACAGCACAGGACCCUUGUCUUUUGGAAUUUAGCUAAAGAUAAAGCAAAAGGAAGAUGCUUUAAAGUAAAGCAAACACUUUGCUUUUUACGAAAGCAAAAGCAAUUAUUACAAAAUAAAGUGCCCUCAAAAGCUGUGCGAGGGAGAUAGGUUGUCAACAUCACUAUCAACUUCUCUAAAUGGCACUUUCUACCACUGCAGGUUUUCAUAAUAUGGUCUAGUAGGUGAGCUUGUUGGUGAAUCUGUCAUCAUGGGUAGAACAGUACUUGUAGAGGGUACAUGUGAGUCUGUUGGUGGGGCAUGGGAUGCUUCAGAAGGAUGAAGGAUUGAGGUGAAUUCUUCCCAUGGGUCUUACGAAUCUUGAAACAAGAUAUCUGUAAAAUCAGGUUUUUCUUCCUUGAUCAAAAUUCCAGAGGGAGGAGGAUUACUGGAUGUAGGUGACCGAAUAGUUGGGAUAGUCAUGAGUUUAUGUUGUGGUCCAAGGGAGGUGUGUUAGAUGUCAGUAGGAGGGGAUUGGAUGUUGUUUAACUCAAAGAGGAAUUGUUUUAGGGCAGAGACAAGGUUUGGGUCAUGAUCGAAAGGAAAAUUAUGAGGAACAAUUUUCCAUUCAUAUGAUUGGUCCUGAGUCCAAAAAUGUUUGGUAAUAAGGUGCUGGAAAUAAGGACGAUGGACAAUGAAGACUGAGGUGAACUGCUCUCCUUCUUGGUUAGGGAAGAGAGUGAUAUGAUGAUGUUUGAUGAUGAUAUCAAGCUGUUUCCUCUACCAGGAGAGAGGAGAAAACAAUUCAAAAAGAGUCCAUGUGUGAGAGUGAGCCUGGGUUGGAUCUGUGAGACAUCUGAACAAUGGAUAUAUAGGAAAGACUAAUUUGGUGGCAUAUAAGACAGUGAGACACCACAAUUCGUCUUCUGUGACAUCCCUGGAAGGAUUGAUUUUUAGGCCUGUAAGGAAGAGGUGGUCUGGAUGAAAGCUUGGGAAUUCGGUUAUUUAGGCGCGAUAGAUAUUCAUAAAAUAUCGAAAAACAAACUUCUUUGCAAAAUCUUGGAUCUGGUAAGGGCUGGAAAAAGUGAGGUUGAUAGGAAAAGACUUUUUGGUCAAGGCUGUAUUGGGAAGAGUAGGUGCCAUGAAAAUGACUGGAACUGAAGAGAAAGAGACUUUGAGGGAUGGAGAUGAAGGUCAGGACAGGAGAUCAGGGAUGAGGUUAUAGUCUCAUUUUAUAUGCUGAACGGUGAAGUCAUAUUUUGAAAACCAAGUCUUGACCCGGAGGAGGUGCUUGUUUGGAAGGACCUUAUUUUUGAAUUCAAGGAUUUUUGGAAAAGAAGAAUUGUCUAAUCUGACAAGGAAAUUAUGACCAAUAAGAUGAAAUUCAAAAUUUUGAAUUCCAUAUUUCACGGCUAGGAUUUCUUUGUAGAUCACAUGGUAGUGUUUUUCUGACUCCUUGAAUUGUCCGCUUGCAUGAGCACAAUAAGGACAUCAAACCCGAUUAAAAGAUCUUUGUCAGGAAGAUCGGAUCCAACAAGCUUAGUCCAAAGGACACAUCCUGGAAAGAAUUGAAUACCAAUGGGUUUUUUGGUAAUCAAAUUUGUAUGAAAUAGUUCUCCGUUAGCAGCUUUGAAAUAUUCUGUAUGCUUUUCCUAAAAAUGGAAUGGAAGGAUUGAAGGAUUAAGCAUACUCUUCUGAGCUCCAGUAUCAACAAAUCCUAUGAUGGGAACUGGUUUGCCAAAUUUUUUGGGGAGGAUUAAGCAUACUAUGAUCGAAGGAAUAAGAAUGGCUGGUUGGACUUUCUGAAUCUGUUGUACAGUUUGGAUUACAGAAACAUUUUCUGGAUCAGAAUGUUCUUCUGUUUCAGCACGAACAAAAGUUGUUUGUUUAUCAUAGUCCUCUUGUUUAGAGAAGAAUGAUUCAACAUCAUCACUUUCUGAAAGUAACAUGGAAUCCUGGAGAUGCUCAAUAAGCCUGACUGAUUUCAUAGGUCUAUUUGGACAAUUCCUCAUGAAAUGACCUUUCUUUUAUAAAUAAAACAACAGGUUCUUUUAGAUUUAGAGGACUAGUCAGAGGUCUUUUUUUGAAAAAAUCGAUAAGGUUUUCUGGAUCUAGAAGGUGUUUGGCUUUUCUUUUCUGAAUUUCAGAAUUUUCAGAACUGGGAGUUCUUUUUGGUUGAGCAAGUGCAAUCCUUCUCACUUUUGCACUUAAUGGAAAGAUGGGGUUUUUUACAAGCACUUUUGAAAUGUUGUUUGUUUUCUAUGAGGUCUUUGAAGAAUUCUUUCUGUUCACAAAGUCUUUCUAGAUGAUUGAUUGCUAACUGAUAGAUUUUCCCCAAGGAGAGGUUGGCUAUGUCCAACUGGUGGAUUGUGAAUUGUCUCUAAAGUUCUGGUUAAAUCUCCUUCGGAAGAGAUGCUACAGAAACAUGUUUUAAUGAAGGAUCAUUAAAACCGUUGAGCUUGUAAUACAUUGUAAACAUCCUCUUGUAGUGAAAAUCCAGAUCUUUUAUCUGGAGAGAACAGCACUUCAUUAGAUGGAACUCUCUUCUUGUUCAUUAGCAGUUGUAGCUUUCCCAAGGAAUUGCUCAUAAACUAUUCUUAAGAUCUCCGAAAUCUGAGCUUGAAUUACUUGUAGUUGUCUGUAUGGACCUAGGCUUUCAAAUCAAUCUCUUAAAGAUCCAGUAAAACGAGAACUGAAUUCCUUGAGGAUUGUUUGGGGGUGUUGCUCCAAUUCUGAACAUUUGAACAUCAAUCCAGGCAGAAAAUUCUUGAAAUUUGGCUGGCCAUUUUACUCUUGGUAUAUCAUCAAAAGUAAACCAUGGGCCAUUUGAAGGUUUAGAAGAAGAAUUUUCUUGAUGAGGGGUAGGAUUGGUAUCAAAAUCUGCUUCCUCAACUAUAGGUGUUUGAGGAGGUGAUGAAGGAGAAUGAUCAUUUGACCCAGUUAAUGGUUGGGCCAUCAGAAGCUUAGAGAUAUCAGUGAAGCUUUUUUCAUAGUUGGAGGAGGAAGACUAGGAUUCUGAAGAAAAGAUUCUUCAUCAGUUGAGGUUUCUUCUGAUUCUGAAAUGUGAGGCAGGACCUAAGAUGAGUAUUGGUGCAUAGGUUCUUUGUUCUUCUGAAUAAAUUGAGGUUCUAGAGAAGAUUGUGGAUUAGAGAGUUGGUGGUAAGUUGGAGGUGGUUCAGGCUCAGGAGGUUUGGACCGUGGUUUUGGAGGAGAAGGAGUUGGAGUAUGUUUGAGAUGAGACAAGCCAAAGAAUUUGGUAUAGUCUACAAGUUGUCGUGAGGUGGAUAGUGUGUAGAAAGGUUGGUAAGUGCUGAAAGCUGGUGUGUGUAAAGGGAUUUUGUAAACAAUGAAGGUUGUUGUUUGUCGGUAUCAAUUCUAGCCAGUUCAGCUUUUAACUGCCUAAUCUCUGCUUCUUUUUGGUUAAAUUCUGGACCCCAAUAUAUGUUUUGGAUCAUAAACCGUAUAUCUAAAUCAAGUUGUGUAACUCGAUUUUGCAUGUCAAGAUACAUCUGUUCAAGCUGAGAUGUGAUCUUGUCUACCUUUGUGUAUGUCUGCUUGACUUGAAAUGCCACUUUUUCAAUUUUCUUGUCAAGAGAUCUAAAAGCUGAGUUAUGAGCCCUGGCAUUUUGAAUUUGCCAGUUUAGAAUAGCUUCGAAAGGCUUUGGUUCUUCAGGCUGGCCAUUUGGUGUAACAGGAGAAUGGACAAAAGGUUUGGUGGUGACCUUUGUCUGUGGAUCAAUUUGUUUUUCCAGAGGAGGGAACUGUUCUUGGUAAGAGCUUGAUGAGAAGAUCAUGCAAGGUUGAAUAGGCAUAACAUGAGAUGAGAGCAAGGUUGUCUCUUGUUUGCACAAUCUUUGUUUAUACUCUUUUUGUAUAAGCCUUAAGCCUUUCCUAUAAAUGGGUAAAUACAUUCGACUGUCUGGAUCGUCUGGAGGCAGAUGAGGCUUUUUGUGACAUGGAUCCAAUUUGUGACUUUUCUUUUUACGCUGCCUGGGACGCCUAUUGAAAUCAUCAUCAUUGUCUUCUUCUUCGAGAUAAGGACAAUCUGGAUCACACAUAUGGGAACCUAGAAUAUCCUAUAAAAAAUUACCAUUAAUUUUAUCUGGGUAUAUCGGAUAGCCAUCUGAGGAAAAUCCGUGGAUAAGAAGAUUUUCUUGUGUCGUAGAUACGGCUAUGAUCAUGAAGGAGUAUGAAAAUGAGUUUCUAGGUGUUGAUUGUUCAGAGGGUGGAUGAGAAACAAUGGGUGUUUGGGAAGUUGAUGGUGAUUGAAAAGUCAACUUUACAGUUCCAUCUGCUCUUUUUUCAAAAUGAGCAUCAGUUGUUUGGACCGGCUGGGAGUUUUGAUGGAAUUUUUCAUAAUUGGAAAGCCAUUCAAGAGGCAUGAGCUUAAGCAGCUCUUGCUUUUGUAUUUGUCAUGGGAUUUGAACUAUGGAAGGGAUGCUUUCUGAAGAAUCCGCAAGAAUCAUCAAUGCAUCUGAUGUGGUUUGAGGAGUGGGAUGAUCAAGGGCAUGAUUUUGAAGGCUGUACACCAACUGAUGGUGUAAGGUUGCCAUCUUUGAAGAGACUGUUUGUUCAGAUCCUUGCAUCUGGAUCUGAACCUUCAGAGUAGUUGGUAGAUUUGGAUCAUCAAGUGAGAGGUUGAAAUUUGGGUAGAAGGUCAAGAGAACACUUCCUGCAUGUAACGUAGUCAAGACUAUUCCUAUGACUACAUGCUGAUACUCCUUGAAACGUGUAUCUAGUAAAGCCAGUCUGACUGUGACAGGUAAGCCUUUUCUCCCGUGAAGGGUGAGAAUCAAACGAACUCCUCCAAGAUAGAGGUGUGUGUAUCCUUCUCUUUUCUACUGGAUAACAAGUUCUGGUGGAAUUUCAAGGGUGACAUAUUGCUUUGCUUGUGAUGAUUGAAUGGCACACUGAUCUAGUCAUGAUGACUGGAUAUAUUCUUUUGGGGCAGGCCUUUUUGUUAAAAUUAGGGUUCUAAUACUUCGGGUUAAGUAAUUUGGUCGUUGGUACAAUUUAUAUGGGCUAAUGAGAGGCACGGAAGAUUCAUUAAUUUGGGCUAACUCUGGGACAUACGAAUAUUCAACAAGGUUUUCUAUUUUUGAAGCCAAGUGUUUAGAACAAGAUUUAGGAAGUGAGAGGUUUGAAGAAAUGAGUGUGUGAAAGAUAAGCACCCAUCCCACAUCGGUUGGGAUCCUGGCUGUGUGCUGACUUAUAAGUACUGGGUGCUAGCUUAUAAGUGUUGGCUAGUCCUCACCCCUCAGGACGUCUUUUGGGGCUGAGUUAGGCUUUGUCCCAAGAUGUAAUUUGUUUUUUCAUUCUAUUGAAUUGAUUAGCAUAUUCAAGCUCUCUUUUUGACAAUGAAUGUCUUGGAGAUUCCACUUUAACCUCGUUAGAAUUCUUAGACGACAAGUUAGGUUUUGAGACCUUCACAAUCUUGCUUUUCAUCUAAUGCUUAAUUGAUUGGAAAAAAGAGUUAUGGUUUGGGUUAAUGACAUUAAAGUUGUCAGGCUCUUUCAUUUUAAAAGGCCCAAGGGCUUUUUUUUGUAAUGAAGGACUUGUUUCUCCAUUAUAAACUUGUGCUUUGAGCCUUUCUGGGCUUUUAUUUAGGCCUAAAUUAUAAAUAUCUGGUACAAGAAUGGAUUUGGAGGGAUUUUUUGAAUCUUGAAAUGAUGUUGGCUGGUUGUAGCAUUUAAUUCCUUUGCAGUCAUUCAUCCAUAGGCCUAUUCCUUCUACACUCGUGUUGCUGGAACCACCCAUUGGUAGCAUGUUACUAUUCUCCUUCACCUUUCUUGUACCGCCACCUGUCCCUUUUUUUACCGCCCACUUCAUCUUCAACCUGUUUGAAGGUGUAUGAAACUUUUGUGCUAUCAUCACCUAUAGAAUCUUUUGUUAUUAUUCUGACGGAUGGGUGCAAUUUUUCACUUCUUUCAACAAUUGUAAUGACUGCUGGAAUAAAACUAGAGCUCAUUCCUCUCACUUUGAUUUUUGCUUCGUCCAGGUUGUGCACGUCAAGUGUUCUUCGAUAAAUUUCUGUCAGCCCUCCACAUCAAUCUCCUAUUAUUUUCAAAACGUACUUCUUCCACAAGGGAAAUGGUAACCCACUGAUUCCAACCCCUCUUCCUUUGUGAGUCAACCUUUUUCUUCUUUUAUUAAUGGUUGGAUACCAUCUCCUAAAGUGUACCUGAAAAUUAUCACUUAAUCUGUACACCCCCAUAGAUCUCAUCUUCUCUGCUUCCUUAGGGUUAUGGCUGAUAAAAAUAGCUUUAUCAUCAUAAUGUGGCUGCAACUUGUAGGCUUCUUUAAAUAUUCUUUCUAGCCCUUUCUGAAUUACUUCCCAUUUAUCAUUGGAGUUGUACAUGUUGCAAACUAUUGCUCUAUCCUAACUCAGCCUCAAAAGACGUCUCAAGAGUUGAGGACUGCCCAGCACUUAUAAACUGGCCAGGACCUAGUGCACCCAAGCGAUGUGGGAUUUACAACAACUACCUGCCAUCCCACUCGCCAGACAGUGUUAGGCUCUGAUACCAAGUUUGGGCCGAAGCCUAACUCAGCCUCAAAAGACGUCUCAAGAGUUGAGGAUUGCCCAGCACUUAUAAACUGGCCAGGACCCAGCGCACCCAAGCGAUGUGGGAUUUACAACAACUACCGUCUAGUUCAGAGAUACGAUCUUGUAGAUGGAUGUACAUCUGAUCAAGCUGAUUGAUCAACAACCACAUCUGGGGUCCAGAGUUUAAUAAAAAAGAAGCCGAGAUUAGAAAACUCAAAGCUGAAUUAACAAAAAUUGAUGCUGAAAAGACUUGACCUUCCCUUUUUACUCAAACACAAACACCACCAGUACCUCCUCCGAUCUUUGAAACUUAUGCACCUUUCUACACACCAUCCAGACCUCAACAACCUGUUUACAAUCAGUUCUUUGGAUUUUCACAUCUUCAGCCAACUCCUCAACCAAAGCCAUCUUUACCUAAAAAAUCAAAAUCCAAAGUCAAGAUCUCAGAACCUAAGUCAAAGGCCACUUCAUCUUCAUCUUCAUCUGUUCCUCCGGUACCGCCAGAAGAUUCACCAAAAGCCACUCCUAAACCUCCCAAAAAAGACAAAGGCCCAAUGGAUCAGUAUCAUUAUCAUACUGUCCAAAACACAUCUUCUGACUCCUCUAAGCCAGAAACAGUCUAUGAGUCAAACCCAUCAGAGUCCAACCCGUCUUCUUCUUCCUCAUCCGCAAACUCAGUCGGUACCUCCACUGACUCUGAAUCUGAAUAUGCUGACAUUACAAGCAUAUUAAUGGCCACCAAAACUGAAGAUCUAAGCACUUCAACUACCACACCUAUUGGUGAAGAUAGUUCUUCUGAUGCUGAAAAUAAAGCAUCUCCAACAGAACCAGAGCCAUCAAUGCCUCCACCAGUUCCUGAUCACUCAACAAAACCAUCUUCAGCCAUUUGAUGACAUUCCUCGUCAUAAAUGGCCUGCUCGACUUUAAGAAUUUGCCGCAUGGAUUGACCUCCAAGAAACCAAACCUAAUGCUCAACUUCAAGUUGUUCUCCGUGAAUUCAUGGCCCGAUCAACGGGUUCUUUUCGUGAUUGGUUAGAAAGCUUGGGAGAAUACCGUCAGCUCCAAUUCAUGCAAUCUCCCAUUGGCACAACACUCAAUAUCAUUCAUGAAUAAUUCAUCGGUGAAAAAACUGCUUCCACUGAUGCAGAAAGAAAAGAAUAUCAUCAGAUGAAGUGCUGCUCGCUCAAAAGCACCUUCUGGAAUCUCAUUACAAAAGGAUGAGUAUUCUUUUUUAUAAGCUGAAUGGGUUCAAUGAGCCAUCUCUCAAACAUGUCUUCAUAGCCUUACUUCCUUAUGAGUUACAACCUGAUCUCCAAAGAAAACUCACAACCACUAAUCUCAGCAUAGCUGAUAUUUCUCUGGGAAAGAUUUUCCAAAUGGCCAUGCUAUGUCUCAAUAAGAUCUAUGAGCAAAAGGAAUUCUUCAAGGACCUCAUGGAAGACAAAAAAAAUCAUUUUCUCAAGCUUGCAAAAAACCCUAUCUCAAGAUAGAAUGCCAAGAUGAAAAUAAGUGCGUUUGUCCAAGCAAAAAGAAAAGACAUUUUCAGAAACACUUCCAUAGAAAAUCAUCCUCCAAAAAACCUCUCCGAUAUUUCAGAAAAAAGGAUGCUUCCCAGUACAGAAAGAAAAAACACAAUCGUUGUUUCAUCUGCAAGAAACGCGGUCACUUUGCUCGAAACUGCCCUUACAUGUUUGCCAAAGCUGUUCACCUCAUACAGCAUCUUCAACAUUCUUCACUGUUAUCUGAGAAUGAAGAUGUCGAAUCAAAUUUUUCAGAACAAUCAAAAGAAGAUGAUCAGACUGCUUUCAUUAUUGCAGAAUCUUAUGAUUCUGAGGAUAUUUCAGUUAUUUCUACAGUUCAAAUUGUCAACCAUGUUUCAGCCAUUCCUCGACCUUCUCUAAAAAUGUCAAUCCUUCUUUCCAAAUUUCAUAAACCUGUUCCUAUCAUCGGGUUUAUUGAUACUGGUGCAGAUACCAGUAUGAUUGAUCCUACUGUCAUUCCCUCUGAUUGUUGUGAAAAACACUCGAAACUUUUUCGAGCGGUUAAUGGAGAAACUUUUGAAACCACUUUGAUUACCAAAAAAACCCAUUGGUAGUAAAUUCUUUCCGAAUUGCAUAAUUUGGAAAAAGAUUGUAGCAUCCAAACUCCCAGAUAAAGACUUACUUAUAGGUUUUGACAUUCUUCAUUUGGUUAAAAACCUAUUUCUCACCAGUUCUGGAGUUCGCUACAAGCAAAUGUUCUUGCCUUAUACAGAUAUAUUACGUCUGUAUGCACUUUUUGAAACACCAUCUCUAUACAGUCAUAUUUCACAAAAGUUCCUCGAGUUUUGUCCAGAAAACCAUUCACAGUUCCACCAUCCUUCACCUCUUUGGAAGAAUGAUCAAUUCUUCAUUCACCUUCCUAUCAAACUCAACGAAGACAUAAAUCCCACAAAAACAUCACACCCGGGUAUGUCCCCUUCAGACUUCCUACUUGCUAAGCAAGAAUGUUCUCAGUUAUUUCAGCAAGGUCUUAUUGAACCUACUGAUUCAGAUUGGGCUUGUCAAGCCUUCUAUGUUGAAAAAAGAUCUGAAUUAGUUCGUGGAAAAAAGAGGUUAGUCAUUGACUACCAGCCACUUAAUUCUUUCCUUAAGGAUGAUAAGUUCCCCCUUCCAAAACUCCAGACCUUGUUUGUCCAUCUUUAAGGGGCUCGUAUCUUCUCUAAGUUUGAUUUAAAAGUUGGUUUUUGGCAACUUGGUAUUUCACCAGUUGACCGUCACAAAACUGCCUUCUGCAUCCCUAAUGCCCAUUAUCAGUGGACUGUUAUGCCUUUUGGUCUUAAGGUCGCUCCUUCAUUAUUUCAAAAGGCCAUGACAAAAAUCUUCAGUCCUAUCCUUCAUCAUGCCUUGGUAUACAUUGAUGAUAUCUUAUUAUUUUCCUCUGAUCAUGAGAGCCACUCGAAGCUCCUUUUGGAUUUCUUUCAUAUUUUGCAAGAACACGGAAUCAUUCUUUCUGAAAAGAAAAGCAGCAUAGCAAAGGAAUCAAUUGACUUUCUUGGCAUGGUGAUUAAAGAUGGCCAUUAUCAACCUGGUCCACAUAUUGCAACUGAAUUAUUAAAGUUUUCGAACACACAUCUCAAAAAAACCAGAUCCAACAAUUCCUCGGGAUUGUUAAUUAUGUUCGUGAUUUCAUCUCUAAAGUUGCAAUCCAUACAAGCCAGCUGUCCCGCAUGCUCAGAAAACAGUGCCCUCCAUGGGGACCAGCACAGACAGAAGCUGUCCAACAACUAAAGGUGAUAGCCCAGUCACCUCCUCCUCUCCGAAUUCCCACAACUUGACAACGCAUUCUCCAGACCGAUGCCAGUGAUGAUUACUGGAGUGCCAUCCUUCUUGAAGAGAUAAAUGGUGUACGUAACUUCUGUGCACAUGCAAGCGGACAAUUCAAAGACUCUGAAAAGAAUUACCAUGUGAUCUACAAAGAGAUUUUGGCGGUCAAGUAUGGAAUCAAAAAGUUUGAAUUUCAUCUAAUCAGCCAUAAAUUCCUUAUUAACAUGGACAACUCCUCUUUUUCUCGAAUCUUUGACUUCAAAAAUAAGUUGCUCCCUGACAAACAGCUGCUUAGCCUCAAAAAAUCGUUUACUAAAUAUGAUUUUACUGUCCAACACAUAAAAGGCAAACAGAACCUCAUCCCAGAUUUACUUACACGUCCGGCUAUAAAUAAACCCUCACUUAUUUCCUCCAUCUACACCAUCCCAGUUAUAGCCAUGAACUGUCAACUUCCUUUCAAAGCUUUCAACCAGAGAACCUUCCCCAUGAACAUUCUUUUUCAUUCAGCCUACCAGAUUCAAGACUUUGCAAAGAAAUUCCUUUACCGGUAUUUCUUCAAUGUUCAAAGCAAAAAGCCUAAUCACUUUCCUUCCCUCUAUAUGGAAAACAUGUUUCUCACAGGCCUUACCCUCUCUUCCUUAACCAUCUGCGAAGAUGAGUUAUGGUACAUGUGGUGCCUCACUACCCUAUAUGCUACAAAACUGGUCUUCCCUGUCCAACCAGUCCUCCGCCAUCUCACCACUACUGAAUUCUCCCAGAUCUUCUAUGGACUCUCCUUGAAUGGUAUUCCCCACUCACAUGGUGGUGUAAGCAACUCAAAAAUCUGUGUACUUUUCACGGAUUAGACAAGAUGCCAGACCAAGAAGCUGACAUGUUCACUGCAGUCUUCAUCGUUCAUAGACCUUACUUCUAGCACCCAGAAACAAGAGACUUCUAGACACAAGAUAUGGCCUAUGAAUAGAAAACUUAUCCCCAUCCUUAUACCCUCAUCUAUGAUCCAUCUGUCACCUUUGUUCUCAAGUCAUACCUAAUGGAACUCAACAAUGUUCAACCAUCUGCCACAAACAUCCACCACACCUCUGUUGGACCAUCACACACCUUGGAAAUUGUCUCAAAGACACAAACCUGUACUCCAGGUUCCAGUUCAAGUCCUCAAGGAAUCCUUGUUAUAGAACAACAUCCUGAUUACACUAACGUCUUAUUCCAAGACGCUCAGGAUCCAUGGGAAGAUUUUCAGUCUCUUCUCCAUACUGAAAAUUCCCAUUACACUGUGACAGACCCAGACCCUCCUGCUACAUCAGCCCCAAAAAUGACUAACGCUGAUGAAGAAGCCUAUCUCCGAGCUUAAGCUUAUCUUGAUCAAAGACCGAUCCGUCGUGCCAAACGCCAAUAUGAAAAAGAAACUGGCGAUGUGUCUCCAUCACACUACCCAUCCACUCCAUGAUUGCAGAAACGCAUGGGAAUCUUUUGCUUUUGCUUUUCUAAAGUUUGCUUUAAUAAUUAGACAAGGGUCCUGUCUUGUCUAAAGUCUGUCUUUUGCUUUUUGCUUUUCCUUUUUAAAAGUUUGGCGUGGUGUGCUUUCAUAAUUAUGCUUUUGUCAAAGAUAAGGGUCCCACCUUAUCUCUCCUUCCUCGAGAUCUCUAUAUAAGGAUCUCUCUAUCCAUUUGUAAGCCAAGAGUUAAUCAGAAAUAAAAUUUAGUUUUCUUUACAUCAUGUUUCUCUAAACCUUUUCUCUCUUCUAGGAAUCAAAGAAAUUAUUUGGGUUAACAAUGAUACGCUCACCUCUAAUUUUCUAAACUGAGUAUGCUCUGCACUUGCCUUAAGCCUAAGGAUCCUGUGCAUUAUAAAGGUCCUGUUUUAUCCUCCAAAACUGAUUUUUGUAAAAUGAAAUUGUUUUCUCACAACGUUCACCCUCUUUGAAGGCCAAGAGUACCGUGUUUUCGGGUGGUAUCGUGAAAAAUUGUUUUCAAAAAUGAUUUUCGGAUUUGGUAUUUGACGGAUAAGUGUAUAUCGGCUGGAAACCAGAACUUGCGGGCUAUUGGCCCUAAGGACAAAAUUUAUUCUGUUAUAGAUCUGGUGUAACAACGCCACGUACAACUACCGACUUGUGAUUCUGUUGUCACCGAAUUCUUCUUCCUAGCCAUUUUAACCUCUUAAAACACCUGCAUGUGGCUUUUCUCUCCUCUAACCAAACUCUAUAAAUUAUCUGCUCAUUUCCUCCAGCCUUGAGAGUCCUUGCCUUGUGCAAUAAUAAUUCUUUGCACACCCUUUCCUCCCAUAUUUUUUAAUAUACUGAUUAUAGAGCCUUGUUUAUUUUCGUGCCUCUCUAUCCACAUUUGAACUUGCGUAGAAUGAUCUCUGAAAAUCCUAAAAUAAGUUGUGUCUAACUUGGAUUGAAUGACUUCUAAUGAAUUUUCUCCUAUUCACCUUGCAGAUUCUACCUACUCUGAGAAAGAAUAAUUUCUAAAUUUGCUCUUUUCAAUUAUCUUAAUGCUAGCACUACGAUAUUUUCCUUCCAUCUCCAAUACAAAAAGCUUUUGUUCUAUCUUAAAAUGUUUGAUACACAUUGAUGAUGGUGACUAACACCAAGAUGCAACCACAACUUUUACAAUGAAACUCCUAGUAGAUUGCAAAUGAGUUGAGCAAGCAUUGCUCUCAGUUGCUUUUUCAUAUUUCAGUCUAGAAAAUGGUCGAGAUACUAUUAUUUGGCAGGUUUAGAACUGUAAGAGAAGGCAUUGCUGUCGUUAUUAUAAUCUAUUCAUAGGUGUUCAUGUCUAACACCUUGUAUAGUAGAAUUAUGGCAUGUUUUUACGGUACAAUUUACAACCUUUUAUUUCUGCUAACCCAUGCAAUCUGUUUGGUUCCAUGAUACUUCUUUUAGACCAUUGAACUUAGUUCAUAGUAAUUAUAUUAUGAUUAUCUAUGUCAGUGAAUAUCAGGGAUGUUAAUUCUGAUAGAAGAUCCUAAGCAUGUUUGAAACAUAUUAGCUUUUUUUCCCCUCUUUCUUUCUUUCUUUAUUAUAAGAGUUAACAUGUCAUUACUAUGACUUGAUGAUGUAUGUGGACCAACUUAAAUUGGGAAAGCUAAUCUGUUCUAGGUUGAGUGCUUAUUUGUACAGUCUAGAAAUUGGCUUGGUCUGAUGGGCAUUAACAUUUUUUAGUACAAUUGCUGACUGAAUAGUUGUAAUCCUAUUUGUAAAUUCCAGGCCCUGGAAAAGUAUAGGUACGAGCAGUCCCUUAAGCAUAUAGGUUGGUUCAUUGAAACGUUGGACAGAGAGCUGGAAGCGUAUUAUGAGCAUGUCGCUCAGUACAAGAAAGGGAAAGAGGAUGCACAACCUGACUCCUCGGUGAGUCAUAUUUUUUGUUUGGGUAAAAUUAAAUGUAAGGCUAUGUUUGCUUGUUGGAUAAGAGGUGGGAUUAAACUAAUUUGAGGAGGAAAAAACUUAAUUGAAUCCAAAGUCAUGUUUGGCUGUCAAGACUACCAAAUUAUUUGAAAUUUCAUGGAACUAUUAAUCUCCAUUUUUACAUGGUUCAAGUAGGAUUGAAUAUCUUAUCACAAUCCAAAUUUCCUACUAAUGUCAAAUUUUUAUUCAUUAAUUUAUUUUUAAUUUAAGAUUAAAUAUCAAAACCUUACUUCAAUAAUUUAUUUUAACUAGUAUGUAAUACUAGACAUAAAAGUUAUUCAGUUAUUUAUUCAAAAUAAUAAUAAAUUCAACAAUAGUUAUUUUAAUUUCAUUAAAUUAAAUUACAUAGUCUUGUCCGAAAUUAUACCAAACAAAAGAUAGUACUAAAUAAUCCAGUAUAGUCCAAUGUAAUUUAAUCCAAUCUAAAGGAAUAAACUAUAGUUGGUUUUUUUUUGUGUGGAGACAGUAAGAUAAGACAAAAGGAUCCUCAAAUAUUUUUUUUCCCCUCUAUUUAGUCAUACAGGGAAACUAAAGUAAAAAUAGAAAGGAAAAAGCAACAUGUUUAAUGUUAUAGCACAGAAGCAUAAACAUGUUUAACUGUGUUCUCUUGGUUAGACUUAAGCACCAAACAUUUGUUGUGCUUCUUGAAAAAAUGCCAUUUCCACUAGUUGCUACUUGGUUUUAGGAUUCUUGUUCUAGGAAAAGAGAAUUACAGAAGAAAGAUGUAACGACCAAGAAGAAGAACACCACAAGAACUGAUUUAUGAAGAAAACUUUUAUUGAGAUAAUUAUCUUUUUGUUGUAUAGUGGAGCUCCAUUCUUUCCCUUUUUAAAGCAUUGGAAGAAAUUAAGAAUAGAGAGUAGCUUAAUUACAGUGAUUGAUUCCUACAAUUAAGCUCUUAAAAUUAGCUGACAACUUAUUAUCACAAAAUCAAAUCCUAAUGUUUCCUUAAAAGAAUUCUAGCCGUUACUAAAGAUAAAACUUUAUGAAAAAGGAAGUGCCAUCUAGCUAAUGGCAUAGUCACAUUGACACGAAGCUAGUUUUUGUUCCAAGACCUCUCUACUGUUAUACGCGUGGGGAUUUUUCCUAGUUUUUUUGGAUUUAAUUUAUUUUUGUACCUCCGAACUUCUUUUGGAUUUCCUUGUUAUUGUACAUGAUAUUCUUUUUUUUUUUUAUGGUUAUUGGCCUAUUGUCUCACAAAUUUUCAAGAAUCUUUCCUGCAUUUUCAUUUCCACAAGGAAAUUGUAAUUAUAAACGUGUGCUUGUUUUAGAAAUUCAAUAUUCAUUUUUGAAUUUGGACUAUUUUUUCCAUUGGAGGUAGAAUCUUGGGUGUCUGAUUAUAUGUUUGUCAAGAUUAAAAGUUAUGGUACUUUGUAUGUCUUGCAGGAUAAGCUUGCUGGUCAAUCCUUUAUCGCUAUAGCUCAGCAUAAGCUUGUUGGUUAAAUAUUCAAGCUCAGUUAAUAGUUUAGUGUCUGGAGUUACACAUAUCAGAUCAUUUCUCUGAACAGUACCAUAAAAGAGAGAGCUACGGUAAGGCCAUGGACAUAUGCAUAUACACUUGGAUAGGAUUUUGUUUUUUGAGCAUGAUCCCAAAAAACCACAAAACUACCUACUUCCAAGAACUUUUUGUGGAUGCUAUUGUUUAAUGAGAUUUGGAGGUUCUUUGAUGGACUUAUAAUAGCUGUCCUAGUCUAAAAUUGUUCCAGAUUCAGAAAAUGAUGGUUUUAGUAUAUAUUCAGUUUUGACACUGGAGAAACCAACGGCAGUUAUUGCCCCCCUAGUAAAAGUGAUUCCCUUUGGUGCCUGCAAAACGCUCUUGUGCAUUUUGGCUAAUGAUCAAUGGUUAAGGGAAAAUCUUAACAAGGCAUCACAGUGUUUUCUACAAGAUGCCAAUAGGGGAUCACUUGAUUGAAUGUACUUGAAAUCUAAGGUGCCUUUUAAGCUCUAACAAAUGGAGAUUCAUAAACUAAUAAACAUGGUCUGGUGAACAACCUAUGGGAGCCAUGUCUGUACCUUCGCGUAUAUGUCUGGUGUAUCAUAUAUGCCAGGUGUAUCGUAUGAAGUGAAGAAACUCAAUAAUGGCUUGGGCAACAGGUAGAUUAAUAUCCAUAAGAUUUUUUAGCUAAUUUUGGGAGAAACGAGACUCACCCACUAUAUUCCUUUCAGUUCUUUAUUUCAACUGCAGAAAUUAUUUUUGGUGUAAAAAACUCUGCAACUAUUUUGUAUACUAAUAUUAUUCAAUUUGAAAAUUUCAAUAGAUUAUAUGUAUAUUAAUUACCUUUGACUUUUGCUGCUUGGAGUUAUGUGAUGGAGAUUUUUUUAGGGAUAUUAUUUUCGUAUGAUUGUAAUUCAAGCACUUUGGUUAAUCUUAAUUUUCAAUAGUUUUAGAUUUUUUUUUUUUUUAGGAAAGGAAAAUUUAUAAAUCAGCCAAGAUAGUUAAUCAACCAAGAAGGUGGAACAUGUCUCCACUCUUCCAGACCUGACAAAGAAACCCCCACUCUAGCAAUAGUAUGGGCGGCUGUGUUCGCAGAUCGCCGAACAAAAGAGAAAGCAAAAUCUCCUAAAGAUUGAGCCAAAGCUCUACAAUCAUCAAUGAUAGUACCAAAACCAUUAGCAUAUUCGGCCCUAUCAUGUAACGCAUUAAACACUUAUAAGCUAUCCAUCUCAACAACAAUUGGUAUGACAGGGAGAGUUUUAAGCCAACUAAGAGCUUCUCACAUACCAACUACCUCUGCCUCAUGAGCAUCAAAAGUGCCAGGGAGGGAAUCACUUUUGGCUACAAUAAAAUCACCCUGUGAGGAGCGAAUAACAGCCCCAAAACUGAUGGUUCCCCUGUGUCGAGAGAUGGCAGCAUCAACAUUACACUUAAACCAUCCAUCCUGAGGUCGUUUCCAACAAACCAAACCAUGAUCAUUCGCAACAGUAGUGAGAGUAAAGUAAAGAUUCUUGCGAACUUGCUGCCAAUGAAAAAGGUUCUGCCCUGCUAGGUUGAGAACAGUGCUAACCCUUCCAUUGAUAUGCCUCCAAACUUUAUUAUUUCUAUUCGACCAGAUACCCCAGCAAAUCAUUGCAGCUAAGCUACAAUUAUCCUUAUUACAGCGAGUAAAGAGAGUUUCCAGCCAUUCCCCAACAUUUAAAAAAUGUCCAACAAAACCAACAAUAGAUGCUAACCAGCAAGAUUUAGCAAAAGGGCAAUCAAACAACACAUGAUAGAUAGUUUCAUUUGAUGCAUUACAUAUAGGGCAUAAAGGAUGUACCUCAACUCGAUGUUGCAUAAGAUUAUCGGCAGUGGGAACAACAUUGGCCAUAGUAUGCCAAAGAAAGUUUCUAAUUUUUGCAGGAAUUAGAAGCUACCACAAUUGUCGCCAUACACUGCUGUUAGGGGGAGAGGGCUGAUUCUCAAACAUUUUGUAACAACUACGAACCGUAUAUUGCCCUUUUGAAUCUAGCAACCAACACCAAUCAUCUUGAAUAAUCCGAGAGUUAAGAGGAAUUUGAAGAAUGAGCUCUCGAUCCCUAUGAUUGAAAAUGUCAGCCACCACAUCAAAGUCCCAACAACAUUGAUUUGGCACCAUAAGGUUGUCCACUGUAGCAUUAGUAAGAUGAUCCAGCAGUAAAGAGGUUACAUUAUCUUGAUCUGGAAGCCAAGUGGCUUGACCAAUGACUGUUUCUCGACCCCCUCCAAUCCGAAUGCGACUACCCUGUGAGAUAGCCUUUUGAGUUACCAAAAUCGACCUCCAAACAUAACUGAGGUUACUGCCUAAAGAAGCCUCAAGAAAAGAAGUUUUAGGAUAGUAACGAGCUUUAAACAGACGAGCCACAAGGGAAUUCAGAUUUGUUAAGAGAUGCCAACCUUGUUUGCCGAGCAUUGCUAUGUUGAACUGAUGCAAUUUCUUAAAACCAAGUCCCCCACGAGUCUUAAGCUUGCAUAGCCUAUCCCAUCUCAUCCAAAUGAUACUUCCUCUGCUUGCACCUUUACUGCCCUACCAAAAGGAGUUCAUCAUCUUCUCAAUAUCUCUGCAAAGCUCAAGCAGAAGCAUGUAAACACUCAUUGUGUAGGUAGGCAUGGCUUGCACCACAGUCUUGAGCAAAAUCUCCUUUCCAGCUCUAGAUAAUAGUUUCUGACUCCAGCCCUGUAGGCGUUUCCAAACCUUAUCUUUAAUAUAGUGGAAAACAGCGGACUUACUUCGGCCUAUAGAGGAAGGUAGGCCCAAGUAAGUACCAUGGUCAAUAGUUGCCUUAACUCCAAGCAAAUCACAAAUUUGUUGCACAACUUCUUCUUUCACAUUAUUGCUAAAGUGAGGAUACCCUUUGACCUGACACAGCCCCAUACAUAGACAGGAUACCCUUCAUUAAGUGAGCUUCCUGGACACUAGCUUUAAAGAAUAAAAGGCAAUCAUUGGCAAACAAAAGGUGAGAGGUAUCCUGAGCACCUCUAGCUACUCUAGCCCCAUGCAAAAGACCUGCCUUCUCAUAAUGAUGGAUUAACGAGCUCAACCCCUUUGCACGGAUAAUAAAUAGGUAUAGUGAUAAGGGGUCACCUUGUCUUAAUCCCCAGCUAGGUAUAGUAGGACCUAUUUCCCGCCCAUCUCCCGUGAUUUUGUAAGAAACAAUAGUACAAAGUCAACAGCAAAACCCAUCUUAAGCAUAAUCAACUUAAGAAAAGUCCAUUCCACUCUAUCAUAAGCCUUAGACAUAUCUAUUUUUAAUGUUGUUAUCCCAUCCUUACCUUGCCUUUUCCGCUUUAGGUAAUGCAUAACCUCAGUAGAGAUCAGGAUAUUAUCUGUUAUAGCUCUACCCGAGAUGAAAGCACUUUGUGACUCAGAUAUUACAGACUCCAAGACCAUUUUGAGGCGAUUAGCAAGCAUCUUAGCAAUGGUUUUAUAAAUUACAUUACACAAUGCUAUUGGUCUUAGGUUAGUUACAUACUCAAGAUUAGACUUUUUAGGAAUCAAGGCAACAAUAGUAUCAUUCAAGCCAUUAGGGAGUUCACAAUUUUGAAUAAAGUCUAAACAAGCAGAGGAGACAUCAUCACCAACAAUACAACAAAAUUUUUGGAAAAAAACAAGGUUCAUACCAUCGGGGCUUGGUGAUUUAUCAGGGUGCAUACUAAAGAUGGCUUCUUAGACAUCUAUAGCAGUAAAAGGCUCUAUGAGUUGAUGAUUCUGAUCAAGUGAUAUUUUUGAAGUUAUACGCUGAAGGACUUCAAGAUAGGAAUCUCUAUCAGAAGAGAAAAUGUCUAUGAAGUACUCAGCAAUCAGUUCAUUUACUUCCUCAGGCCGAGUGCACUACUGCCCUUGACUAUUUCAGAGCUUCCCAAUUGUAUUCCACCUCUUCCGUGUCAAAGCUGUGGCAUGAAAAUACUUGGAGUUCAUGUCUCCCUCCUUGAGCCAAAGUAAUUUCGACCUCUGUUUCCAAUAUACUUCGUGGCUGUGCAAUAACUCAUUAUACAUGGACUUAGCCUCUGUAAACUGAGUGAUACUCACAUCAUCCCGCUUACCCCGUAAUGAACCCAUCCUCCUUUUACAAGGCAGAAUUCGAUUACGAAAUUCACGCAAGAGGUGAUUACCCCACCGAAACAAAUCAGAGCCACAUUUAGUAAUCUUAUAUUGUAAAGGCAUUUCAACAAAAGAUAACCAGCUUUCCUUCACAACAUUCACACAAUCGGGUUCACGGAGCCAGAAAGCCGUGAGUGUACAACCAGAGGAGCAGGGUCGAGAAAAAUGGGAAGAUGGUCUGAACUGGAAGCUUCUAAAUUGAGUACCUUAGCUCACAGAAAUAGGCGAAUCCAAGCUGAAUAGUUUCAUAUUAAAUAGGUAUCGAAAAAUGAAAAACUAGUCAUGUUUCAUUAUAAAAGACAUUAUCAUACAACAAACAUGGGAUUUUGUAAUAUGUAAAGAUAAGCACUAAAAAAUAGAUACUAUUUAUCACAUCUAAAGAUGGCCAAUGGGUCAGGCAGAAGGCGAUACGGCACGACACAAACGUGGGCUGGGUUGGGCCUACAAAUGUAGGCAUGCAUGCCUUAAAAGCACGGUACGAUUAGAGAUGGGGCAAAACACGGUACGCGAAAAGACACGUAAUAAGCACGCUUCAUUGGUGGGUUAGCACGUGGGCCCAAAUAUAUUAAAAUAAAAAUUUUUAAUAAAAAAUAAAUAUAAAAUAUUAUGAUUUUACAAAUAUCUUAAAAUUAAAUUGUUUAAUAUUUUUUUAGCGUAGGCAUUUUAAAAUUAGUUUAAAUGAAUAUUCUAAUUAUUUUAUGUUUAUAAUUUAUUAAAUGAAUAAAUAAAUAUCAUGAUUUUAAUAAAUAAAAUUAUAAAUAUCAUGAUAAAUAUUUCAUUUAUGAAAUCAUAACUUAGUUAAUGGAAAUAUGUUUCAUUUGUAAAUGAAAUAUUUUUCAUAUUUAUACACAAAAAAAAAAUUAUUAACAAAAUAUUUUUUAUGAUAAAUUAAAGUGAAAUUAAAUAUAUAGUUGCGAAAUAAUGAUAAACUGAUAAUAAAAUGUUAAUUGCUCUCUUAAUAAAAAAUAUUGUUGUUGUUGUUGUUAUUAUUGUUAUUAGGCUGAUGGGUUUAAAAAAGUACGGCAGACACGUGGGCUUUUAAGCACGAUGGACAUGUGGACUUGAGGGAACCUAUACUAGUGUCGUUGGCUAUGCCGAGUCUUUAUAAAAAAAAAUUAGGCAUGGCACAGCACGACCCACCAACUUGGUGGGCCAUGUCAUGCCGGCCCAUGGACCCUAGUAGGCGGUGUCGACAAGGCCUGUUGGCCAUCUUUAAUCACAUCCAGAGCUGGAAGUGGAGCAAAAAAAGGAAAAUAUAAAUAUUAAAAAUAUAUAAAAAUAAAAUUCCAAACUCUCCUUAGUUUCUAGUGCACGAUGAAUCUCUGGGGGUAAGAAUAUCAUGUACUAACUAAAAGGACAUGCAAUCUGAAUAGCACACACUUGUCGAGAAAAACAUUACAAACAUCCACCAUAAGAGGAAACCUCAUUUUCUAGUCAAUUUUUUCUUCAUUUCUAUAUAUAUUCAUCAUGAUCCUCAAAUUUUCUUUUAUUUCUCAAAAUGGAUUGAAGCAAUUUUUUGUUGAAAUAAUGAUAGUAAACCUAUCGUUAAAUUUUUAAGAGAAAACAUUUUAAGUCGAUUUGGAAUCCCUCGAGCCAUUAUCACUGAUUGAGGUAAGCAUUUUUGUAAUAAGUCAUUUGAGUCUUUAAUGAAGAAAUACAAAAUUACGCAUAAAGUUGCUACCCCUUAUCAUCCUCAAACAAAUGGUCAAGAUGAAUUAGCAAAUAGGGAGAUAAAACAAAUUUUGGAAAAAAUGAUUAACCCAAACCAAAAAGAUUGGUCUCUUAGACUUAAUGAUGCACUUUGGGCCUACCGUACUGCAUUUAAGAUGUCAUUAAAAAUGUUACCCUAUUGGCUAGUUUAUGAUAAACCUUGUGGUAAACCUUAUCACUUGCUUGUUGAACUUGAACAUAAAUCAUUUUGGGCUAUUAAAGUUUUUAAUUCAAAUUUGGGUGAUGCUGAUUAUGUGCAAAAAUUGCAAUUGAAUGAACUUGAGGAAUUAAGGAAUGAUGUAUAUGAAAAUUCAAGAAUUAAAGUUAAUGGUCUUCAUUUGUUUCCAGGAAAGGUAAAGUUAAAAUAGAGUGGUUCAUUUGUUGUAAAAAAUGUAUAUUCAUAUGGGGCCAUAAAAAUUGAGAAUCCAAAAAACAAUGUCAUAUUUAAAGUUAAUGGUCAAAGAUCAAAACCAUAUCUGGAACAUCAACCACAUGAAUAAGACACCUAAAUCAAUUUGGGUGACCUACCAAAUCUUGAUUAAAUCUUUAAUAAGUGAUUCAAUUUUUUAUUUUGUUUUACUGUUAUUUUGUUGUUUGAUUGUUUUAUUUUUUUAUUUUUUUUCUCAUACAUUUUUUUUAGCAUUAUAUUUCUUGUUUAAACUUGUUUGUUUGACAAUUGUAUUUUCUCUCAUCAAGUUUCAUUAUAUGUCAUGAGUACGUCAAUAAGAAAGAUCCUGUUCACACAUCUUAAAACUUUUUGUAUAUGAAAUUUCACUUAAGAGACCUGAUACAAAGUUGUAAAUCACAUCCAAUUUGGGAUCUGCAGCCACCAACAUUAGUGUCCUACGUUGAGGAUCUAGAAAGACAACUCAGAGAAAUAGAGGGUCGUAUAUAUGAAUUUCAAUUGGAGCUUGAGGUUAACUCAAUAAAAUGACAAAUGUAAGUUCAUUCUUCUUUUUACAUUGUGUGAUUUCUUUUCUUUGUUUUGUUCAUUUUCACGGUUGAUUUCAUUUUGCAUAUUUGAUUCACUUUAUUUUGGUGUGUUUUGAUUUAUUUUCCCAUAUAAAUGGCGGAUAACGGUACUCUGUGACUUCUUAAGUGGGUAUCUUCAGUUUCCAACAAUAACUGAAACUCUGAAAUCAAACAUGAAAGAAACACAACAUCCUGGAAAGAAUUGAAUACCAAUGGAUUUUUUGGUAAUCAAAUUUGUAUGAAACAGUUCUCCAUUUGCAGCUUUGAAAUAUUUUGUAUGAUUUUCCCAAAAAUGGAAUGGAAGGAUUGAAGAAAGCAUACUCUUCUGAGCUCCAGUAUCAACAAAACCGAUGACUGGAACUGGUUCACUAUUUUUUGUUUCAUUUUACUGUUUACUUUUGAAUUAUUGAGCCACGAGCUUUAUAUGUCAUUUGAAAAAUAUGGCAAACCCAUUUUCAGCUGUUUCUCAUUAUUUAUGUCACUAAGAUAUUUAAAUAUGAGCUGCUUUUUCAAACACUCACAACUUGUUUUUGAAGAUUAUUCCAAUAGCAGUAUCUUCAAGUAAACAAUUCAAAAACAUAUAUGUGCUUUCUAGAUUUCAUUAUGGAAAGUACAAGGAAUUCAUUCAACCAGCUGUAAAUCUUGGUUGUGUUAUAGCAGAGAGGAAACUAUACCUUGUAUACGGAGGAGGUGAACGAGGGUUAUCAAAGCGUAUCUCAGAAACUGUUUUUACUACAGAAGCCAAGUACUAGACAUUAUCCCAAAAGCCAUUAAACCUCUAGGAUGCCUGUCUGGGCCACCAAUUGGAGAAGAAUUAGUGGUAUUAAGUAUGCAAGAGAGAAUAUUUGAAAUGCUAAAUCAUGCUGAUAUUUUUAUUUUUUUGCCAGAAGAUCUUGCAACUCUUGAGGCACUAAUUACAUUUGCAUCUUAGGCCCAUUUGAACAUUCAUAAAAAACCCAUCGGUUUGUUAAAUGUUAAUAAUUUUUAUAAUAUUUGCUAACUUUUAUUAACCAUGUAAUUAAGAAUCAUUUUGUUUCACACACUAUAAAAAAAUUCUUUAUUUGUGCUUCUACUGCUAAUGAGUUACUUGAUCUUUUACAAGCUUAUACACCAAAGCUAGAUCCCAAGACUUAUGCGCUGGAUUGGUAGACUGAUGAUGGUAGCAAUAGUAGUAGUAAGAAGUGCAAAUUAGAUUUAACUCUCCAUUUGUAAAUAUUUUCUGUUGAAGUGUUCUUGUGAUGUCUUCUAAACUCUUCCUCUUUCCUUUUAAAACAUUAAAGAUAAUGUCUCAUUCAGGCUAGGGGGAGGGAAUAGUUGAUAAUUGUAGAAUGUCUUAGUCAUGGUGAUGUUUUUAUAAAGUUUUGAUGUAAAGACUAACUUUGGACAAAUUUGAGUCGAAAAUAGUUGGAUCUGGAGAGUGCAGUACCUCGAAAAACGCAUCUUCUUAAUCUUAAAGUUUUAUUAUAAAAAAUGUAAUAUUUUCUCGUUCUUUGUCAUCUCCUUUCAAGCUUCUGCAUCGAGUUCAGAUGAGAUCUCCCCCACUUCUUCUUUUAUUAUUAUUUUUUCUUUCUCUUUUAUUAUUUCUUUCUUUUUUUUUGUAUGCAUAUUUGUAAAAUUAUAAAACGUUAAGAUAAUGUUUAGAUUAGGUUGGGGGGUGGGGAUAUUUGACGUGUGUUUUUAAAUGUGUGUUUGUUUUUCUCUUUUCUUUUUAAAAAAACCCAAAAAAUAAUAAUUUUUUUUGUCUAGGAUAGCUGUGUAAAAAGUCAACUUUUGAGAUGCAUCCUAAUAGUCUUGUUGUAUUAUAUUUUGAUUUUGAAAUUCAAAGCAAAUUGUUUUUGUUCCUUUUUUUUUAAUUACUCAAAUUUGUGAAUUCUCCAAUUGAUUAUUAAGUCAUUUAGUUGUUUACUCAUUUAAUAUGUAUUUUUUGUCUAGGAUAGCUGUGUAAAAAGUCAACUUUUGAGACUCAUCCUAAUAGUCUUGUUGUAUUAUAUUUUGAUUUUGAAAUUCAUAGCAAAUUGUUUUUUUCCUUUUUUUUUGAAUUACCCAAAUUUGUGAAGUCUCCAAUUGAUUAUUAAGUCAUUUACUUGUUUACUCAUUUAACAUGUAUUAUUGAAUCAUUCUUCACACACACUAUGACACAUACUAGUGGGUUGUAAGUUAAAAUUUUUGCAGCAUUUAGUUCUUUUGAUUUAUUAGGGAUAAUAUUUAAGGUAGUAGAAAGUGUAUAUUGCAAAAAAAUAAAAAGAAAAAUUAAAAAAAAAAAGAAAAAAAUAUUUGAAUGUGUUUAAUUUUGCUAUAUCUAGAACCUGAGUAAUUAAGUCUGUAGGGGUGUUUCAACACCUAAUGUCCUAAGGCCAACUGGCCUGAGAUAUACUGUUUGUUUGUUUAUUAAAAACCCGAGUAGUUAAGUCCGUAGCAGUGUUUCAACACCUAGUGGCCUAAGGCCAUUUGGUUUGGGAGUCACUGACCUAAAGCUCAUUAUAUGAGUUAUAAAUAUAUUGUUUGUUUCAACAAUAUAUUUAUAAGUCUGUAAGGAUGUUUCAACACCUAGUGCCUUAAGACCAACUGGUCUAGGAGUCACUGGCUUAAGGCUCACUACAUGGGUUAUAGAUAUAUUGUUCGUUUUUGUAUUAGAAACCUGAGUAAUUAAGUUUGUAGGGGUGUUUCAACACCUAGUGCCCUAAGGCCAACUGGUCUAGGAGUCAUUGGCCUAAAACUUGUUACAUGGGUUAAAAAUGUAAUGUUUUAAAAAUUAUGUGAAUAAUUUAUUGCUUAAAGAUAAAAUUUUUAAUGAAUUUUAGAAUGAACAUGUUGUUUUUCUGUUACUGAAGCCCCAUAAGUAUUGUGUUAAUUACUUGAGCACAGAAGAAUGUUUGAUAAAAUUCUGGAUAAUGAGUGAACGACAAGGAGCUAAACAAAUCUGGGAAAGUUUAUUUGUUUGGUAGUUUAGAGGAUAGAUGAACAACUAUUAACUUGCAUGUAAAUUUUAUAAAUCUUAAUUGAAUGUAACGCUUUAAUUGCUAGGGACUAGCAAUAAGCUGGUUGGGAGUUAUCCUUAACUGCAUACAUUCGUUUGCAUGCAGUGGUAACAAACAUGAUACCAAGAGAAAAAAUAAUAAUACUAAAACACACUCUUGAAUUAAUACUAAAAAAUAAUUCAAGAGUUCCCAUUCUUCACCAGAAACCCUCUGGAAACUUGGUUCAAUUUCACAUUAAGUCAAGAUUUAGACUCGUUAACUUAAUUUAAGAAAAAAAAAUUCAAAGAGCUUCAAUUUACCAAACAAAACUAAAGAAAUCAUUUUACACAUUGCUAAUUUGCAGUUAGCCAUACUAUGUUUGAGAGGUAAACAAUCAUGGAGAUUCCUAGAAAACUAACAGAGAAUGUUGUGAAUUCAGGUGCCUCCAAUCACAUAGCUUUAUAACUAAAACCAUCAAAUUGGCAAAGGAAAUCUUUGGAGUCUUAAUAAAUUUGGCUUUCACAAAAUAAAACAUCAAUUCAUCAAAAUUCAAAAUAAAACACCAACAUUGUCAGCCAUAAGUUUUAAACUACCAAUUGACCAAAAUGCUUCAGUUAAGUUUUGAAAAAUCUCCUCUCAUUCAAGGCUUGUCUAGAUUUACUUAAACAUUGACGGUCCACUUCUCUUUGUGUGAGGGCUAAUUUAAUUAAUCAAAUAGAAUAGUGUUAUAAUGGAGUCGAACAAAAGACCAUAUGGUCAAACCUUCUAUUACCAUGUUUACAGAUAGAGAAAAAGCAAUCAAUACAGGCUAAUAGAAUAAAAUAAAAGAAUACAUUGUUAUUGAUUUCUAUACACUAAUGAACUAGCACAAGGUUAUAUAGUUCUGAUCAAGAACUAAAAGGAAAGACUCUUGAACUUAUCAUUCUUGUUUUUGUAGAUUUGUAGUCCCAUCAAUCCUUGUACAUCUCUCUUAUAGUUUAAUAUACAAUCCUUUGUUUCUUAAAAAAAAAAAAAAGAAAAAAAAGAAAAGAGCUAAUAAGGAAAGACAACUCAUGGCAAUACAAACAUAUUAAACAAUAGCUAAUAGCUCCUUAUUUUUUAAUUAGCUUUAACAUAAGCAACAAUGUAAUUUGCAUGAAUCCAUAAUUAGGCAAAAGAGAUCAAUCCUGUGAUUGACAAAAAAGGUUUGAAUCAAAUUCCAUUAGUUCAUACAUACCAACUUGGGCCGGGCCUUUCAUUUUAAAAAUUGGUUUUGUAGGAUAAAAUAGGACAUUUCUGAUGCACAGGAUCCUUAGGCUUAAGGCAAGUGUAAAGCAUACUCAGUUUAGAAAAUUAGAGGUGAGCGUAUCAUUAUUAACCAAAAUAAUUUCUUUGAUUCCUAGAAGAGAGAAAAGUUUUCAGAGAAACAUGAUGUGAAGAAAAACUGAAUUUUAUUUCUGGUUAACUCCUGCCUUCCAAAGGGAAAGAGAGAUCCUUAUAUAGAGAUCGUCGAGGAAGGAGAGAUAAGGUGGGGUCCUUAUCUUUUACAAAAGCAUAAUUAUUAAAGCACACCACGCCAAACUUAAAAAGAAAAAGCAUAAAAAGCAGAAGACACACUUUAGACAAGACAUGACCCUUAUCUAAUUAUUAAAGCAAACUUUUAAAAAAGUAAAAGCGAAAGAUUCCCAUCCGUGUCUACAAUCAUGGAGUGGAUGGGUAGUGUGAUGGAGACACAUCGCCAGUUUCUUUCUCAUAUUGGCAUUUGGCACGACGGAUUUGUCUGUGAUCAAGAUAAGCUUCGGCUUGCAAAUAGACUUCUUCAUCAGCGUUAGUCAUUUCUUUUGGGGCUGAUGGAGCAGGAGGGUCCGGGUCUGUGACAUUGUAAUGGGAAUUUUCAGUAUGGAGAAGAGACUGAAAAUCUUCCCAUGGAUCCUGAGCGUCUUGGAAUAAGACGUUAGUGUAAUCAGGACGUUGUUCCAUGGCAAGGAUUCCUUGAGGACUUGAGCUGGAACCUGGAGUACAAGUUUGUGUCUUCGGAACAAUUUCCAAGGUGUGUGAUGGUCCAACAGGGGUGUGGUGGAUGUUUGUGGCAGGGGGUUGAACAUUGUUGAGUUCCAUUAGGUAUGACUGGAGAACAGAGGUGACAGAUGUAUCAUGGAUGAGGGUAUAAGGAUGGGGACAAGUUUUCCAUUCAUAGGCCAUAUCUUGUGUCCAGAAGUCUCUUAUUUCUGGGUGCUGGAUGUAAGGUCUAUGAACGAUGAAGACUGUAGUGACCAUGUCUACUUCUUGUUCUGGCAUCUUGUCUAAUCCGUGAGAAGUACACAGAUUUUUUAGUUGCUUUCGCCACCACGUGAGUGGGGAAUACCAUUCAAGGAGAGUCCACAGAAAGUCUGGGGAGAAUUCAGGAGUGGUGAGAUGGUGGAGGACUGGUUGGACUGGAAAGACCAGUUUUGUAGCAUAUAGGUAGGGAUGGCAAAAAUCCCCACGGGGACGGGUACCCUCGCGGAUUUUCCCCAUUCGGGGAGGAUAUAAGGAUAAUUUCACACCCAAUUUCUUAUUCGGGGAAGGGACGGAGAAAUUUUUUUACCCAAUUUCUUAUUCGGGGAGGGGAUGGGGAUUAGGUGGAAUCCCCAUCCCCUACCCAUUUCCCCAUUUUAAUUUUGAAUUUUAUUUUAAUUACUAGUAAAUAAAUAAUAAAAUUUAAAUUAUAAAAUUAUAAAUAUUGGUAAAAAUAAAAAUAUCAAAAUAUUUAUAUUAUUAAACUUUUAGGCCUAAUUAACUAAUUAAAGUCCUAAAUUUUUAUUUAGGACAUUAAAAAGACCGAGUAGAUUCUAUUAGCCCAACAUUUUUUUAAUUUUAAUAUUCUUUAAAUAUUUUAAACUUAAAUCUAUUUUUUAUUUAUUUUUAGAUGUUAUAAUUGCCCACAGCGAAUCACAAUUUUAAUAUCUAAUUUAAUUUAAUCUAAUCUAAUAUUUACUCUUGAUUUGCUCCGAUUUAACUAUUGUGUUGUAAAGGGAAUAGUCCACAUUUAUAAAGUGCUCACGCCAUCAUUGAAAAAGUUAAUUUUGAAUCUAAAUUCGAUUUUAUUUGUAACAAUUUUGUAUUAGACUAUUAAUUUGUUCAUGAUAGUUUGUAGAAGAAGUUUGUAUCCCUUGCAUGUUGCGUUACUUACUAAUUUAAUGUAUGUGACUUUUGUAAUAGAUAUUAAUGUAAGAUAUAUUUCGAACUUUACUUUUAUUUGAAUUUUUUAUUUUAAUAUGAUUAACUCAAAAUCAAAAACAAAAAAAAAUAUAUUAGUUAUUCGGGGAUCGGAGACCCUCGGGGAUCCCCUGUUAUUAUUCGGGGAGGGGAUGGGGAUUCUCUCAAGUAAUUCUGAUGGGGACGAGGAGGGGACAGGGACAUACGCAAAAUAUCAGGGAUGGGUACGGGGAGAUCGGUCCCCUCCCCUCCCCUCCCCAUUGCCAUCCCUACAUACAGGGUAUUGAGGCACCACAUGUACCAUAACUCAUCUUCACAUAUGGUUAGGGAAGAGAGGGUAAGACCUGUGAGAAACAAGUGUUCCAUACAAAGGUAAGGAAAACAAUCAGGCUUUUUGCUCUGAACAUUGAAGAAAUAUCGGUAAAGGAAUUUCUUUGCAAAGUCUUGGAUCUGGUAGGCUGAAUGAAAAGUUCGUUCAUGGGGAAGGUUCUCUGGUUGAGAGCUUUGAAAGGAAGUUGACGGUUCAUGGCUAUAAUUGGGAUGGUGUGAAUGGAGGAAAUAAGUGAGAGUUUGUUUAUAGCCGGACGCGUAAGGAAGUCUGGGAUGAGGUUUUGUUUGCCUUUUAUGUGUUGGACAGUAAAAUCAUAUUUUGCAAACUAGUUUUUGAGGCUAAGCAACUGUUUGUCAGGGAGCAGCUUAUUUUUAAAGUCAAAGAUUCUAGGAAAAGAGGAGUUGUCCAUGUUGAUAAGGAAUUUAUGGCUGAUUAGAUGAAAUUCAAAUUUUUUGAUUCCAUACUUGACCACCAAAAUCUCUUUGUAGAUCACAUGGUAAUUCUUUUUAGAGUCUUUGAAUUGUCCGCUUGCAUGUGCACAAAAGUGACGUAUACUAUUUAUCUCUUCAAGAAGGAUGGCACUCCAGUAAUCAUCACUGGCAUCGGUCUGUAAUAUGUGUUGUCCAAUUGUGGGAAUUCGGAGAGGAGGAGGUGACUGGGCUAUCACCUUUAGCUAUUGGACAGCUUCUGUUUGUGCUGGUCCCCAUGGAGGGUACUGUUUUCUGAGCAGGCGAGACAGCUGGCUUGUGUGGAUUGCAACUUUAGGGAUGAAAUCACAGACAUAAUUAACAAUCCUGAGGAAUUGUUGGAUUUACUUUUUGUUGAGAUGUGUGUUCGAAAACUUUAAUAAUUCAAUUGCAAUGUGUGGACCAGGUUGAUAAUGGCCAUCUUUAAUUACCAUGCCAAGAAAGUCAAUUGAUUCCUUUGUUAUGCUGCUUUUGUUUUUAGAAAGCAUGAUUCCGUGUUCCUGCACAAUAUGAAAGAAAUCCAAAAGGAGCUUCUGGUGGCUCUCCUGGUCAGAGGAAAAUAAUAAGAUAUCAUCAAUGUAUACCAAAGCAUGAUGAAGGAUAGGACUGAAGAUUUUUGUCAUGGCUUUUUGAAAUAAUGAAGGAGCGACCUUAAGACCAAAAGGCAUAACAGUCCACUGAUAAUGGGCAUCAGGGAUGCAGAAGGCAGUUUUGGGACGGUCAACUAGUGAAAUACCAAGUUGCCAAAAACCAGCUUUUAAAUCGAACUUAAAGAAGAUACGAGUCCCUUGAAGAUGGACAAACAGGGUCUGGAUUUGCUUAUAGGUUUUGAUAUUCUUCAUUUGGUUAAAAACCUAUUCCUCACCAGUUCUGGAGUUCGCUACAAACAAAUAUUCUUACCAUAUACAAAUACACUAUGUCUGUAUGCACUUUCAGAAACACCAUCUCCAUACAGUCAUAUUACACAAAAGUUCCUAGAGUAUUGUCCAGAAACCAUUCACAGUUCCACCAUCCUUUACAUCUUUGGAAAAAUGACCAAUUCUUCAUUCACCUUCCUUUCAAACUUAACAAAGACAUAAACCCCACAAAAGCAUCACACCCAGGUAUGUCUCCUUCAGACCUCUUACUUGCUAAGCAAGAAUGUUCUCAGUUGCUUCAGUAAGGUCUCAUUAAACCUACUGAUUCGGAUUGGGCUUGUCAAGCUUUCGAUGUGUCUUCCUCACACUACUCAUCCACUCCAUGAUUGUAGACACGCAUGGGAAUCUUUCGCUUUUACUUUUUUAAAAGUUUGCUUUAAUAAUUAGACAAGGGUCUUGUCUUGUCUAAAGUGUGUCUUCUGCUUUUUAUGUUUUUUUCUUUUUAAGUUUGGCGUGGUGUGCUUUAAUAAUUAUGCUUUUGUAAAAGAUAAUGACCCCACCUUAUCUCUCCUUCCUCGACGAUCUCUAUAUAAGGAUCUCUCUUUCCCUUUGGAAGGCAGGAGUUAACUAGAAAUAAAAUUCAGUUUUUCUUCACAUCAUGUUUCUCUAAAAACUUUUCUCUCUUCUAGGAAUCAAAUAAAUUAUUUGGGUUAAUAAUUAUACGCUCACCUCUAAUUUUCUAAAUUGAGUAUGCUUUGCACUUGCCUUAAGCCUAAGGAUCCUGUGCAUCAUAAAUGUCCUGUUUUAUCCUCCAAAAUCGAUUUUUAAAAUGAAAGGCCCGAGAGAUUGUGUAGAUACUUACCCAUGAGAUGUUCUAAACACAAUUCCAAUGAUACCAAUAGAAGGUUCAAGUUGAAGUCGGUAGCUAACGCCCUACGUUAUAUAUCAGCUAGUCCUUAGGUUUUUGAGAAGCAUCGACAACAAAGCACGCAUAUAUCAAUCUCUUUAGCAAACAGAGUUGGGUGUUCAGUGGGUGAGUGGCCGUUGAAGUACUUAGGUUUACAUCUAGGUGGUAACCCGAGAUCCUUGACCUUUGGGAUCCUGUAGUGGAAAGGGUUGGGAAAAUGCUUGAUGGUUGGAAAAGAGCUUUUCUUUCCCGAGGGGGAAAACUCACUGCAAUUCAUUCUAUUUUAUCUAGUCCUAGUAUUUAUUUUCUCUUCCUUUUCAUAAUUCUAGUAAUAGUUGCUCUUAGAGUUGAGAAAUUGAGAAAUUGAGGAGGGAUUUCUUAUGGGAACGAUUUGGAGAAGAGAGAGGCAUUCAUCUAAUUAAAUGGGAUGUGGUUUCUAGAUCUAAGGAGAAACGUGGUCUCAGUAUUGGGAAUUUGGUUAAAAGAAAUUCGGCUUUGUUGGGAAAAUGGUUGUGGAGGUUUCCUUUCGAAAGAAACUCUUUAUGGCAUGCUAUUAUAAAGAGUAAAUACGGCCUUCAUCCUAGGGAUGGCAAUAUGGCAGAUAUAGGUUGGAUCUGCUCUACUCCAGAUCCAUAUCCAUAAUAAAAAUUAAGAUCCGUAUCUGCUCCAGAUCCAUCAUGAAUCCAUAUUUUUUGCUCCCUAUCCAAAUCCUAAAAAGAAAUAAAUAUCUAUAUCUGCUCCAAAUCCGAAAAAAAAAAUUAAAAUCCAAAUAUGUUCUAAAUCCGUCAUGAAUUCUAAAACUUAGCAAUAAAAAAGUAAUAAUUUUUUAGAAUGAAAAUUGAAGGCUAAAAUAUACUGAUAACAAAUAAAUUAUAUAAUUUUUUUGUUAUCAAUAUAAUAAAUAUUGUAACUUAUACUUUUAUACAAAACAACAAAUAAGAAAGAUAAUAAAAUAUCCUUUAAAGGUAAUUGUAGGAGUAAAGAUCAAUCUAAUAUUAUAUUGUCUCCUUCAUCAUUCUAAUAUUCAGGACACACCCACCCUCAUUCCUACAACAUUAGAUAAUGACAUAUAAAUUAAAUAUGAUUUAUAUUUAGUGCUUUAUUAUUUUUAUUAUGACCAUAUUUGACUAAAUAUAUGAAUAACUAUAUUCCUUAAAAAUUAUUUAGCCAAUACAAUAAAAUAAAUUGUCAGGUUGUAUUACUUGACUUGCAAUUUGAAUAUUAUAUGUACAUGCUUUGGGGCUGGCUGACCUUUAAAUUUACAAAACUAACCUUUAAGUUUGAAGAGUUUAAAUGCAUGGUAAAUAUUACUAAUGUGCUAUGAAUAAAAUUUAUUAUCAUUAUAAUUCCACAAUUGUUAAGAAACUUUUAAAAUAAAAUAAAAGUAAAAGAUUGGUGGAUAUGAAUAUGGAUUUAGGUAUUAAAAUAGAUCCAGACCUGCUCCAGAUCCAUCUUAGAUCCGCAUAUCGAUAUCCAAAUCCGAUCCAAAUUUAUUUUAAACCGACCCAAAUCCGAUCCAAUUGGAUUUAGAUCACAUGAAUCUCAUAUCAGAUCCAAUCUAUUGCCAUCCCUACUUCAUCCUAACAGUUGGGACAUGAAUUUAGUUUCUUAUAGUUCGCAUUGAAGUCCUUGAAAAUCUAUCUUCCAAUGAUGAAAUAAUAAGUUUUUGGGAGGAUGUUUGGAUUGGGAUUCCGCUUUACGUUCUUCAUUCCCAAGUCUUUAUAGACUCUCCCGCUCUCACAAUGUUUUUAUCAACAAUAUGAUUACUCACGAUCUUUAGAUUGGAAUUGGAAUUUCAACUUUUUAAGGAACUUAAGCGAGAGAGAAAUUCAAGAAGUUUCAGCUGAUCUGGCUUUAUUGAUAAGGUUUCAAUUAAUGUUUUGGUAGAGGAUAAAAGAAUUUGGAAUCUAAGCCCCUCAAGGAUCUUUUAUUGCAGCCUUUUUCAAUCAGUUGAUUGAUGAUCAAGCUCGCUUGAACUUUUAGCCCACUCAACAAUUUGGAAUGCUAAAAGUCCCUAGUAUGAUUCAACUUUUUUGCUUUGCCGUUGGCUCUAGGUAAACUUAGUACUAGUGAUGUUAUUCAAAGACAGAACCCUAAUGUAUGCUUGUCUCCUUUUUGGUGUGCCGUGUACAAGAGGAAUGGUGAAAGUGCAGAUCAUUUGUUUUUGCAUUGUCACCAGGUUGUUUAGUUGUGGCAUAGAUUACUUCAGGCAGCCUGUACUUCUUGGGUGAUUUCAGCUCCUAGCAAUUCUCUGCUUUUAGAGUUUUUCAUACUUUUGGGAAAUGUGAAAAAGCUAGAGUGCUGUGGAAAUGUUCAGUUCUGGCCCUUUUUCUUGCGAUUUGGUUUGAAAGAAAGAAAAGCUUUUUCGAAGAUUCUGAGAAAGACAUAAUAUUUUUGUGGAAAGAGUGCUAUUUCUAGCUUCUCUCCGAGCCUCAGUUAUUAAGGAACUUUAAGAUUCUUCUUUCUUCUUCAUUCAUCUAAACUGGGAAUGGGUGUUGGCUUAAAUCUGUAUUUUUUACUUUGAUUUUGUUGUGAGAUCUUAUAGUCACAUAGAUCCUAUAUUUAUAAAAUCUGAUCAGUAUUCUGUUGUAUACAUCUAUUUGUGAUCUUAACACCCUGUUCACUUUUUGUACAUUUUUCUUCAAAAUCCAAGUUUCUUUGUUUCCUAUGACACACCAAAAAAAAGAAAAAAAGAAAAAAAGAUGAGCCCCAUAUAUAAACAGUCAUUGACAGUACCCUAUUUUACUUCUCAAAGUUUUUGUUAAGAAACUAAAUAAAUGUUGAUUAGGUAUAACAAGAAAGCAGAAAAGGAAUGCACAAGAAAGCCAAAGAAAUUCACCCAAAGGAGUGGACCUAAGUUAUACAAAAGUAGUAUGAAUAUCCAUGUGAUUUUCAGUUUACAAGAAACAAAGAACUCCUGCACCUACAGCAUAUUGACCACCGAGCUUAUAAACUAGCUUAAAACCAGCAUCCAUUCCAAACGAAUAAAGUAGAAAGUAUUAUCUUGAAAUUCCUUAGAACCAGAGGCUGAAAGUGAUGCCGAAAGGUUUUAUCCUAAAGCAAAAGAUGCACUCUCUUCAAUUUAACCUCUCCAUUAGAAAGCAUUUUCUCAUACACUGUUUAACUUCCUAAAAAUAACAUGACAAUAGUUUAUGAAAUUAGUUGCAUAUAAGAAGUGUAGGAAGAUGCCCUUUCACUCUUCAUUGAAAAAGCAUAUUGUUAAAAAUGCACUCAAUGUGGCUUCCUUUUGGAUCAUAAAACUCCUGAUCACGGUCUUCUGUUCAUAUAAACCUCAACUAGGGAGGGGAAUUAACUAAAAAGGGAAAACGUAACAAGAUGGGAGGAACCUUAAUCUGAAUGUUUUACUUUUGUUCAAUUAUUAUAUAAAUGACAGGCCGAUCCAAUUUCCACUCAUCAUGAUCCACAAAAACUUUUAAGUAUAGAUAUUACAUUUUUUGAUACCGGUAUGCUGUCAAUCUAUUUCUCCACAACAACUCAACAACCAACAGUUAUACCACGAUUCAAACUAGCCUAUUUUCUAACAUAAUCGAUCAAUGAAUUAGGAAAAUCUUGUUCGUAUCAGUACUCGAAGAUCUUGAUUCAUGGACAGAAGAAUUUUGCUUAAUAUCCAAAUUUGAAUCUAAUUUAAUUUUGGACAACUAGUUGUCUAAUACCAUCUACCAAAAAAACUAAGGAAUCCGUAUUUCUAAAGAAUUAAAUUGGAAGGGUGUCAAGAACAGUGCUAAUUUCCUAUUGGCUAUGCCCUAUUUGACAGGAAAACAAUCUAGAAGGUUACUAGAAAACUAACAAUAGAGCACGUUGUGAUUUCAAGCAUCUCCAAACUUCAUAGCUUUGUUAGUAACACCAAAAAAAUCUACAAAGCCAUCCUUCGAACCUUCAUAAGACUGGCUAUCGACAGAUAAACUAUCAAUCCCUCAAAAUUUCAAAGAAGACAACAAGGAAAUUCAGAAUCCAAAAGCAUGAUGAAAGAUAUGGCAAUCAAUGCUUCAGGUAUAAAAUUUGAAGCAGCCUUUUAGUAGGUUAUAUAUAACUGAUACGUCUCGAAGCAACAAGAUAAUAGAUAUUGUGUAGAUACUUGGACUUCACUUUUAUAAUUAAGAAAAAAAAAAUGACAAGAUACUAGAAAAUAAUUAAAUUCUAGAGCUCUAAUUCCUUUGCACUAUCAUAAAGUUAGCCAUUUUUAUCCUUAAAUGCCUCACGGUCAAAUGGAAACUUUAAAAUCUGACUGAACUGAAGAUCAAAUUAUCUCAUAAAUCAAAAUGAACUGCAUGAAAUUUUCAACUACAAUCAAUGAUACUAACAGAAGGCACGGAAGAUUCAAGUUGAAGUCUGUAAAUAGUAUCCAUUAUUAUAGAUCAGAUACAUCUAAUCCUUAAGUUUUUGGGAACCAUUGCUAGCAGAACAGGCAUAUUAUAUAAUCAGAGAUGUUGGAAAUGAUAAAAGUAGUAGAUUUGAGAACAUAAAAUGGUGAUUCACAGUACCCUAUUUUAUCUCUCCAUUUUUCUAUAAGAAACUGAUAAUUUUUGGGAACCAUUGCAUGCAAAGCAGGCAUAUUUUAUCUCUUCUAAGAAACAGAGUCCAGAUGAGAUGCCAAAGAAGUGAAUUUUUUUUCUACAAGCAAAAGAAGUUAACUUUCUAUUUGAAAGCAUUUAAUAAUCCAUUGUUUGGCUACCAAACAACACAAAAACCCGCUAUGAAGUUAAACAAACAUAAUAUCACAAGUAGUGGAAGUGUGAAGCAAUGAGUAAAUGGUGAUUGAAAUUUCUCACACAAAGAAUACAUGAGUCAACCAAGCAAAAGAAAAGACAAAUUUGUGUCUCAGCAAUGCACCAACUAAAAAUCAGGGGACUAUGCAGUGAUUCAUAUGAGCUAAGCCACCACUUUAUCUGACUAGUUACACAAAAACUUCAUAUUAACAUAAUGUAUAAACAUACCACAUAUUUGACAUCCAUACAAGCUCUAGAAACUAAAUAGAAAUAAGAAACAUCAGUAUACAUGUCUAUCGAAAGCAGCUAAACAAAACAAACAAACAUCAUAACAAGAUCCUGCCAAAUACAAAGAUAAUAAAAGCAGUUACCAGUAGACAAUAUCACUUGGAGACCAAAAGAAUCUCAGGUUUCUUUGCCUUGGUAGGAGUGUUAGAGUUGGACGAGGCAUUUGCCAAAGAUGCAGAAUUAGCGUUGGCCUUCGCAGUGGCACGCUCCCUCUUAUCAAGAUGAAUGAGACUCCGAGUUCCUAAAAUUGCCUGCGGAACCAAAUCAUGAGAAGCCCUAGCAUACAACCUCCUAACGGCAACAGCAGCCCCAUCUUUAACCUCUUGUGAAUUCAGCGGUCCCAACAGACAAUGCCCGAGAAUCCUCAAAACAGGCUGCAAGAACUCCCAAGGUAAAGGAAUUCUUACUCCCUUAAAUACCUCCCCAUUUUGUUCAAUACCCAAUUUAUCUAAAAACUCAUCAAGGUCAUUUUCACCAUCAAAAUCCAACUUGUUUUGACAAUGACAAUCCUGACCAGCCCACGCGGUUGCAAAUUUGCAAAAUUCAACUUUAGACCAACUAGGCAACUGGGAGAUGUGCUUAUGAUAAGCAUCAAAAGCUGUUCCAAGAAUUGAGGCUCGCUUGGUUGACUUAACAGCAAUGUGUGGCUCCAGUGGGGCCGACAGAACUCCAACCGACGGCCUAGAUUUGUUCUCCAUAAUUGGAAUACGAGGGGAGUGGUAGAGUGAAGGCUGAGAUAGGUCAGGGAUUUGAACUAAGAGGGGUUUGCCAGCACGGGAUUUGGCUUCAGAGCUGUAGAUUGCAAGAAUCACGGCCUCGAAUCCGGAGAGUGAAGGAAUUGAGGAGGUUUCGUUGGAAUGGACACGAGCGAGAUAAAUCGCGGAGAGUAAGGGAAGAAAAGAGAGAACAAUAAGACGGAGAUUGGAAUCGGAUAAAAUGUAGGUGUCGUACAGCCACUGGCAGAGAGGAUCAGAGCCAGAGCCGGAGGAAGGACAGGAAAGUAAAGAGGAAAGCAGGGAGUAGGCAUCAGGUGAAGAGAGGAGAGAAAGGGCAGGACGAUCAGAAUCAGCGAGAGAAGAGAGAGAGAAUGAUGUAGAGGGAGAGGGAGAGGAAGAGGAGAUAAUCGAGGAUAACGUGAGGAUUCGAGACCUUGCUUUGGAGACGGAUUCCCACCAAGAAUGGACUGGAUCUUGAUCGGCGGCGGCGGCGGUAAUUGGAUUUGGGUGGGGAGUGGAGGAAGAGGUGGAGGAUGACGAAGGAGAAUUGCUCGACUGGUGGUGAAUCGUAAAGUCCAUGCUUUUGGCUUUUUUUCGCUUGCCGGCGAAACGCUUCCUUUUGGCAUAAGAAUUAAGAUCAUCAAAUCUUAUAUGCUUCGCUGCUUACUAAGCACAUGCCAAACUCCGACCACAAGUAGAAUGGCAAAAUUCAGAUACAGAUUCAGACCUACAAGUAGUUCUGAAUCUGCAUUAAAGUUUUCAGUAAUGCUGUAACUUCUAAAUUUUUUAUCUCAAAAAAUUAUCUCAAAUGACGUGUCAUUUGAGUAGUUGAUAAUUCUUUACAGUAUAAUUUUAAAAAAUCUCUCCUGAGGUUUGGACUUGUUGCAAGUAGAUGGCAAGAAUUAAUUUAUUUGUAAAACAUCCCCUACCGUCAGUUAAUUUUAAUAUUGACCGUUAGUUGACUGUGCAAAGAUAAUAUUAUCCUUAACAAUAGUUUGUAGACAAAAAUAGAUAAAAAAAAAUCAAAAUUAUUGGUUAUUUUACCCUCUUUAAAUUAUUGAUAUUUUCUUAAAGUUCCUACAAAAAAAAUAAAAUUAAAAACUUAAAAAAUCCUCUUUAAAUUAUUGAUAUUUCCUUAAAGUUCCUACAAGAAAGAUAAAAUUAAAAACUUAAAAAUGAAAUAAUCAUAAUCUUUACUUAUGAUAUUGUAAAUCUUUGGAAUUGACAAAGAUAAAAUUGUCAAAAAAUAGGGUUUGUGUUUUUCGCGCCAACAAUUUUAAUUUUUUUUUUGUUAUGUUAGUCUACAAACUAUGAUUAAGGGCAAUAUUGUCUUUGCACGGUCAACUAACGGUUAAUGUUAAAAUUAAUUGACGGUAAGGGGUUUUUUACAAAUAAAUCAAUUCACGACAUCUACUUGCAACAAGCCCAAACCUCAGGGGAGGUUUUUAAAAAUUACCCUUCUUUACAAGAUACAAGUAAAUUAAUUUUAGGGAAAUUUACACUCGUCCACCUGUUUGUUUUGCCUUUUUCAAAAAUACACAAACACUUUUUUUUUUUUCAGUGCGCCACCUGAAGUUUGCUUUUUGUUGCAUUUUUCCACUUCCGUCUAAUUUCCGUUAGUAGAUUUAACGGAAUGUUAACGAAAUGACCUUUUUACCCCUCAAAAUUACAAUUUAACCCAAAAUAAAUGGAAAUGGAGAUAAAUGGAUGUAUUUAAAUUUUUUCAAACGGUGCAUGCUAGAAAUUGGAGGAAAAUAUUGUUUGUUGCUUGAAAAUUUACAAAAUUUGCAUGUAUUUGUNNNNNNNNNNNNNNNNNNNNNNNNNNNNNNNNNNNNNNNNNNNNNNNNNNNNNNNNNNNNNNNNNNNNNNNNNNNNNNNNNNNNNNNNNNNNNNNNNNNNNNNNNNNNNNNNNNNNNNNNNNNNNNNNNNNNNNNNNNNNNNNNNNNNNNNNNNNNNNNNNNNNNNNNNNNNNNNNNNNNNNNNNNNNNNNNNNNNNNNNNNNNNNNNNNNNNNNNNNNNNNNNNNNNNNNNNNNNNNNNNNNNNNNNNNNNNNNNNNNNNNNNNNNNNNNNNNNNNNNNNNNNNNNNNNNNNNNNNNNNNNNNNNNNNNNNNNNNNNNNNNNNNNNNNNNNNNNNNNNNNNNNNNNNNNNNNNNNNNNNNNNNNNNNNNNNNNNNNNNNNNNNNNNNNNNNNNNNNNNNNNNNNNNNNNNNNNNNNNNNNNNNUUAAAUAAAUACAAAUUUUCUAAAUUUAGCAAGCAACAAACACUUAUUUUCCUCCAAUUUCUAGCAUCCACCUUUGAAAAAAAAUUAAAUCCAUCCAAUUUAUCUCCAAUUUCUAUUUAUUUUGGGUUAAAUUGUAAUUUUGAGGGGUAAAAAGGUCAUUCCGUUAAAUUUGCUAACGGAAAUUAGACGGAAGUGGAAGAAUGCAACAAAAAGUGAACUUCAAGUGGCGCGCUGAAAAAAAAAAGAAGUGUUUGUGUAUUUUUGAAAAAGACAAAACAAACAGGUGGACGGUUGUAAAUUUCCCUUAAUUUUAUUAUCUCACCAACCAAUUGAUAAAUACUACAUCAUUUGAGAGAACCUUUUGAAAUAAAAAAUUUGGAAUGUGUAGUACUACUGUAAAGUUUUAAUAUUUGAUCCAAAUAUGAAUUUAUAAAAAAAUAUACGGAUUCAUAUGUAGCGGGCACAUUUUUCAAAUAUUCGAAUUCGUAUAAUAAUAAAUUCAAAUAUAAUUUUAAAUUUUAUAAUUUACCUAAUAGUUCAAAAUAAAAUUCAAUUAUAAUUUAACAAUCAACAAUUCGAUAUCAAUUCGGCAUAAAUAACAUACAAAAACACUAUAAGUUUACAAAUAAAAAUUUCACAACAUAAAUCAAACAUAAAAAAUUAAAAAAAAAUCUAAGGUAAACUGAUUCAUUACAAUAUUCUCUGAUAAUUAUUAUUAUUAUUUUUUUAAUUUCUUAACAUAUUUUUUAAAGUUAAUGAAGAUUAUAAAAUUAAUUAUGCUUAUACAUAUUGAAUAAAUAAUUUAAUUAAAUAAAUAAUUAGCUUAUAUGUUUUUCAAUUGAAAUUUAAUUGACUAAAUAAUUUACUUAUAAAAUAAUGCAGAUCCAGUAUCUAGUUUUUCGAAUUCACUUGUAUCCGGAUCUGAGUCCGCAUGGAUCUUAGAUUUUAGACUCCUAUCUAUAUUUUUUAAUACAAGGAUCUGAAUUUUUUUGGAUUUGAAUUUUUCAAAGCUUUGCAGAUGUGGGACAGAUAUGAGUUUUCUUGCCAUCUAGCCCCAAGGCUCGGCCUGCAAUCAGUUUCUUUUUUGGAUACAAUGAAAUCUCUGUCACUUGCAAAUAAAAAUGAAGUUCAUGGUAUAAUAAUUUAUAAAAUCAAAAUCAUGUAAAGUCUGUUAAUGUAAAGAGAGAUAAAUUUAUUGAUAAACUAAUAAUUAAUUGAUUUGUAGUAAGUAAAGGUCUGAGUUAGGACCGUGAAAAAUUAUUAUAUAACAUAAGUUAUUAAUUUAUCUAAUAUUAAAUUAUAAAAGUUUUACUAUAGUUUUUUUUAGAACUCGUCCUAAGAAAUCUGCCUCCACAUAAUAAUAAUUAUCUGUAUAUUACAAAAAAUAUAUGUCAUGUUAUAUUAAUGGUUUAAGAUGGAAUAUUUAUUUUUCUAAAGUUGUUCUGACAAUGAUUUAUUCUUUGUUACCAAAUUAUUGUACAAUAUUUAUAAAAAUGACAUUAAGAAAAAAUCAGUAAAAAGAAUGACAACAUUUAAACUUUUAAGAUGAUUUUGCAAUUGUCAAUCAUAUACGGUUAAUGUAGUGCAUAUUUUACCUUUACAUCACUUGAACUAAAAAUUAAUAAGUUGAACUGAGAUAAGUUAUAACUUUCUUGUAGUAAUAAAAUAAUUUUGUCUUAACAUUAUGACUAUAGAGAGAUUAUUCCAAAGGGCAAUAUUUGGGCCUGUCUUACUUAUAAAUAGAUGUUUUAUGUUUUAAACUCAAUUUAUGAGCUAAGUUUAUACGGCAAAAAUCAUUUUGUAACCAAUAAAUCUCUUUUCCUUGUUAUUUUCUUGCCCCUCAAUUAGCAAAUUUGUGUAUAUUCUUUAAAAUAUAGAAGGUAAUCAAUUUUUUCUUCAUCUACAACUGGAGGGUAUAGCCAAAGUCUCUUUUUUUUUUAGAGAUGGGUCUCUAUUUAUAGAUGAUAGGUAAUAUAGAUUUAGGAUUUUUUCUUAAAUCUUAUCCCUCACGAUGCAUGUAAUCUGCCAUUACAAUACACACAAAUGUGAAUUUGAUUACUGGAAAACAUACAUAUUUAUUAUAUACGUGCCUAUUUCCCCAUCCUUAUGACUUUGAGCAUAGUUUCCUUAGACCAUGAAUUUUGAAAAUCAGUACGAGUCUAAUUCCUUCUCUUGUUAUUUUUAUAAGUUCCUAAAAAAAUUUAUUUUGGGUGUUAUUUCCUUAAAAUAAUUCCUUUUUACCUACAAGAGCGACAUGUGGUUUAAUGUCCCAUGAAAUAUGGCACCUACCAUACUUCCCCCAUAAGUAUAUUUUCUUUAGAAAAUACUUCAGGAGGAAUGUUAUUAGUAAAUUUUUCUCUUAGUUGACUUAGGAAAAAGUGAACUAUUUUCUGUGAACUAAAGUUUCAAGAUUGAAUGUUAUUUCUUUGAAUUUUUCCUUUAAACUAAAGUUCCAGUAGGAAAUGUAGUCAUUUUUUGAACUUUUUUCUUUAGGUGGGCUUGUGGAUUGUUCUUAAAUUAAUGUAAUCGAUUCUACUUAAUUUUCCCUUUGAAUUGAAGUUCUAAGAGGAAAUGUUAGUUUCCUAACUUUUUUUUCUUUAAAACCAAGUUCUAAGGGGGAGCGCGAAUUUUCCCUAGCCAUUCCAACUAGUAGGGGAAUUAGUGGCAAACCUACAGCUGGGCUACACAGGGAUGUAUCUUCGGUCUUGAUUAGGAAAAAAAUAUUUAUACCCCUUAUGUUUUCAUUAAUUUUAUAUGAUAAUAGUGAAAUACUAACUAGGCAACCCAAGAGAGGGGUGAAUUGGGUUUCUAAAAAUUUAAGCAACUAAAAUUUAAUGCAAUUUAAACAAGGUAAUCAAAUUCGAAAUAAACAAAUUAAAGUGCAAUGAAAAACAAAGAGAUAGGGUAAGAGAAAGAAAACACACGAUUUUUACGUGGUUCAGUCAAUCGUGCCUACGUCUACGCCUCCAAGCUCACUGGGCUUGAAGAUUUCACUAAGCUUGAAGAUUUCACUAAGCGAGCCUCCAAGGCUUCAACAACUUUUACAAUUGACUUUCAAGUUGUCAAUAGACCUUUAUAACAAGAGAUUAUUCUCAAUCUCUUAACCCAAGUGUAUCCCAACACUUGCAACUUCUCAACUUGAUUUUACAAAAAAGGAUUACAAAUAAAUUUCUCUCACACAAUGUGUUUGAUUACAAAUGAAAGCUCAAUGUGUGAAUGAAUGAAAGAAAAACAAGUAUAAAGUUCAAUAAGAAUUGUAUACUCAGUAGUAACCUCAAUGAUAACUCUUGGAUCUCUCUUUAUUUGAAUUUGAUUAAGUCAUUUUAUAAUUGUAGCUGAAAACUAGCUGUUAAUGACUUUCUGCACACAAUCGGAUCACCGUUAACUAUUGUUGGUGAUGUGAACCGUCGAGGGAAUACUGUUAAAGCUUCAAUUGAUCUUUUAAACAUUCAUGGAGGCCCAAUUACAAGAGUUAAGCCAAAAAGAUGCAAGCUACUUUAAAUGGAUUAAUUGAGAAAAUGUGGAUUGAAAAUGCAAGUCAAGAUGCAAGACAUCAUGAAUUGGGCUUGAAGAGAAGAUAAAGCAUUGUUGGCAUUAUUCAAGUUGCCUAGUAGCUUGAAUAAAUUUGGAUUAGGGUCGAUCUUGAAUAAAUUUUCAUUCAAUUCUAGGUUUGGAUUCGAUCUUGGGGACUAAAUUGAUUAGGGUCGAAUUAGUUCUUGACUGGGUUCAUCUAUCUUUAUUGUUUAGGCACCAAGGUCAAAUUGAUUAUACAUCAAGGUCAGAUUCAUCUAUCUUUAUUGUUUUUAAUUCUUAUUUGAGAUUUUUCAUUCUUGUUCUAGUGUAUUGAAAAAAAAAAAUUUUUAAAAGUUGUGAACAGUAUCGUGUGAACAUUACUGCGUGAACAUUAUUAUGUGAACAAUAUUUUUAAGGUUUCUUUUAUCUUUUUAUCAAUUUUGCACCUGUGUGUUUAAUUCUCCUUAAAUCUGCAAAUUUUACCUAUUCCUUUCCCUAAAAAAAAAGAGAGAGAGAGAGUGAGAGUCCCCGUGCUCCACUUAAAACCUUUUGUUCAUUUUUCCAUUAUUAGUGUCUUGGAGAGUCCAAAAUUAGUUUUACCCCAUAGGUGAAAAUGUUUGCCCAAAAUCGAAACCCGACCUUAUGUACGCAUUGUAUUCUUGCUCUUGAAAUUCAAGUCUCCUUAUAAUCUUUGUUAAUUGCUGCUGGAAUCUUGAUAUUGGUUUGAUUAGUUUGAUAAGAACCGAGUGAGAAUUACUACGAGUGGAAAAGGCAAGAGAGUGUGAGUGUUUUAGAGGGUAAAAAGCCAAUAAAUUUAAGUGAAACACAAGUGGAAUUGAGUGAAUCAUUUUCUUGAGUGAAACACAAAAGGGAGUGAGGUAAGGUCCUUUCCACAAUAUUUCUAACUUUCUUUUACAGACGUUAGCUAUGUCUGAUAACCCAGAACAAAACACAAAUAAAGAGGAUCAAUCUGCAACUACUCAAAAUUUGCAAAUUCUAGCAUUGGUGGGAAAGAUGAGAAGGAUGAUGAGGGCUGAAUUAGAGCAUAUACACGAUCGUUUGGAUCAAGUAGAGAACACACGUGUAGGGCAGCCAAAACCCAUUCCCCAAGCACGUAGGAGGGAUAGAGCUCCAGCUAGUGGAGAGAUCGAUGACUAUUAGAGGGAUGAGUAUGAUGAAGGGGAGGACUCAGUGGAUAGUGUUGAGUGUUAGAAAAUGUAUAUUUAUAAAGGAGAAAAUCUUCAUUUUACACUUCAAGUCUUACUAACACCCUUACUUUUAUGUAUUUAAGUUUCUUGUGAUUUAAUUACGUAUGUUUUAUUUUAAUUAAGUAUUUUAUAUAUUUUAGGGGCAUUAUGGUCAUUUCACAAUGAACGAGAGAUUAGACGGCAAAACGAGCAUCACUUUUGAACUCAGGACGGUCGAAAACCUUAAGAGGAGCAUAAAAGAAAAAAUGGCACUGUUCACAUAUACGGUACUAUUCACAUAUACGGUACUGUCUACGUUACUGUUCACGAUACUGUUCACAUAGACGGAUCGAUGAUGUGGCAUUGACCGAUGUGGCAUUGACUGAUGAGGUGUCACGACCCUGUUGGACUAAAAUUCUUAUGCACUGUUGAUCAAUGACGUGGCAUGGACCAAAAAUCUCGCGUACGGUACAUGCAUUACACAGGAUUAUUUUCAACCAAACCGCGUCACUGUUCAAGUCGGGUCAAACUGUGUUACUGUUCACCCACGUGGUCAAACCGCGUACUGUUGACUAAUGACGUGGCGCAAUCCUGAGCGUCCGAAAUGUUUUCGAUCCGAUGGCCAUGAUUUACUCAAUGUAUAUAUAAAAAGGGGGCUCUCCCCCCCUAAUUUGAUAUCUGCGAAUCCAUUUUUGGACUCCAUUUUCUGUAAUUCCUUCUCCAUCUUGUAUUUUCUACAUAUUUUAAUAAAUUCCCUUUUUGCCCCUAGUUCAAUUAUGAGUAGCUAAUUUUCUUUCAAGCAUGGGUUGAAUGUGAAGUCUCAACAUGUGUCAUGGGCUUUACUUGAUAAAUUUAUUUUCUCUUCCCCUCUAAUUUUUGUGGAUGUUUUGACUUUUCGUCGACAAAUAAUAAUAAUCUUGUCUAGAUACCGCCUUAGUUUCACCGGCUCUCUAGUACAAGGUUAUUAUUAUUUGGCACGAUAAGCCCUUAGCACCAUAUUGAUUAGAGUGUGGUUCAUGAGGUGUGGAUUCCCCUCUCAUGAUUUAAUUAGUAUUAAUAAGGAAUAUUUAGCCUAUGAUGCAUGUUGAUACGGAUCCAGAUACCCAAGUACGUCAUUUUAAUAGAUUUCUAUUCAAUUUAUUUUUGCCAUUUAAAUUCCAAUUUUAGGAUAAUCUAAGUCACUUUCACCACAAAUCCAAUCACCCUCAUACAAAAUUAAUUCUACAUAUAAUUAAAAUCAACCUCCUCGUGGGAUUGACACUCGUCACCAUUAAUUUAUUCUACAAUAGAUUCAUGCACUUGCGAGUUCAAUAAAAUUUGCACAACAAGUUUUUGGCGCCGUUGCCGGGGAGGUAAGUCAUUUUAAUUCGUAAAAUUAAUUUUUGUGAAUAAUUUCUUUUAUUUGUUUUCUUGUAUUUUUUAUUCUUAAAAAAAAGAAAAAAAAGUGUAUAUGCAUUUAGAGGUAAUAAUUUCUUUUCUUUCUCUAUUCUUUACAAUUCUGUAAUUUAAUUUUUAAGUUAUUUUUCUUUGUAAUUUUUAAGUUAAUUUAUCUUAUUAAUUUAAUUUUUAGUCAAUUUAUUUCACGAAUUUUUUUUUUAGUGUGUUUUUAUAGAAAGGUUUUAACAGCGUAAUAAGGUUAGUACCGUAAUUUCUCCUUCUUUAUUUUUAUUUGUUUUGUUCCCAUUUAUCUUUUGUUCUUUGCAUGCAUGGUCGUAGGUCAUUAUUACCUAAUCUUGAACCUAUAAACCUUGAACUUGAGAAAACACUUCGCACACACAAACAAGUUAAAAAUAAAAUGGAUUUGCAACCACAGGAGAGGCCAUUUAAGGACUACUUCAGUCCUUUAGCUAAUUUGAGUACAUCAUGAAUAAGAUACCCAAAUGUAGCUACUAGGAGUUUUAAACUAAAACCUAGUGUGCUAAAUUGUCUCCCAACAUUCUAUGGCCUAGAAAAUGAGGACCCAUAUAAUCAUUUGAAUGAUUUUCAUGCUGUUUGUCAAACAUUUAGAUAUGAGAAUUUUUCAGAUGAUGAUGUUAAACUUAGACUAUUCCCAUUUUCUUUAAAAGAUAGAGCUCGUUCAUGGUUCAAUACAUUGCCUGCUAAUAGCAUUACAUCAUGGGAACAAAUGGUUACAAAAUUUUUGAAUAAAUAUUUCCCAGUGUAUAAAACCAAUGCUAUUCGCAGGGAAAUUUCAGAGUUUACCCAGAGAGAUGACGAGCAGUUUUUCGAAAUAUGGGAGUGAUUCAAUGGGUUACUCUUGAAGUGUCCACAUCAUGGGUACGAGAAAUGGCACCAAUGCCAAUACUUUUUGGAGGGAUUAUUGCCGAAUGUGCAAGAAUGACUAAUGGCAACAAGUGGUGGAGAGCUAAUGUCAAAAAGUGCAUCAGAGAUUUGAGAAUUCUUCCAGCGACAAGCAGAUAAUUCCCAACAACGGAGUCGGUCACUCAGGAAUACUAAAAGAAUUAAAGGAGUGAAUGAGGUUCACAUUGGCGAGUCAACUUCGGGAAUCAAAGAAGUCAAGGAGAUGGUUGAAGGUCUCUCUCGACAAAUCGCAUCGUUAACGACUGUUAAAUCAACAGAACCACAUGACCAUGACUCAUACUCAGAUCAAGCCAAUGCCAUAGGUGUAAUAAGAAAACCAUCAAAUUACAACCCAUACUCCAACACAUAUAACCCUAGAUGGAGAGACCACCCUAAUUUUUCAUGGUCUCAAGGAUUCCAAAAAAACGGACCAGCAACUCCAGCUCCACCAAUGCAACCAAUUCCUCAAAUUUCUCAAGCCUCUCAGCCACCAUUUAGACCAUAUAAUCAGAACCAGAACUACUCUCAACCUAGACCAUGGGAGGAUUCAUUCCAAAUUCUCAAGAAUCUUACUCACUCCACGAUUAAGCAACAGAACCACACCAUUGAUGGACUACGAAAUGAGUUGAGAGCAGGCUUCAACUCACAAGCCCAAUCAGUUUCAAGCCUCGAGAAGAUGGUGGGACAACUUGCUUCUUCAGUUCAGACCUUGGCAAUGACUGUUGAGAAAGGUAAAUUUCCAAGUCAACCAGUGCCUAAUCCUAAAGGAGUACAUGAAGCAAGUACCAGUUCACCACAGCAGCAUGGAGAGGUCAAAGCAGUCAUGAUCUUGUGAAAAUGAAAAGAAGUCGACAACAAAGUGGAGAUGCCAAUGACAAAAGAAAAUCAAAUUGUACCUGUGAAUGUUGAGGACUCACCAUCGGAGGAGAAAGAAGAAACUAACCCACGAGAAUACGUUCCCAAAGCUCCAUUUCCUCAGAGGUUAGCAAAAGGAAAGAAGGGAAAAUCCACAGGUGAGAUUCUUGAAAUCUUCAAACAGGUAAGUGUUAACAUUCCUUUGCUUGAUACUAUUAAACAAGUUUCAUCUUAUGCUAAGUUUCUUAAAGACCUUUGUACUAAAAAGAGAAACAUUCACGUUCAAAAGAAGGCAUUUUUAACAGAAAACGUUAGUUCUAUACUCCAACAUAAAAUUCCUCUAAAAUGCAAAGACCCAGGCUCCCCUACAUGUAGCACAGGGAACCACACAAUUGAGAAUGCUUUGUUAGAUUUAGGAGCUAGUGUAAAUCUGUUGCCUUACUCAGUAUUUUUGAAACUUGGACUUGGAGAAUUACACCCAACUCCAGUGGUGUUACAGCUUGCAGAUCGGUCCACGAAAAUACCUCGUGGUAUUGUGGAGGACGUGCUUAUCCAGGUAGACAAAUUUUAUUUUCCUGUUGAUUUCAUUGUAAUUGACACUCAACCAAUACAGGAUUCAAGGAAGCACAUCUCCAUUAUUCUAGGCCGACCUUUCUUGGCAACUGCAGAUGCUCACAUUCAAUGCAGGACUGGAAAUAUGUAGUUGUCCUUCGGUAACAUGACUAUGGAGAUGAACAUCUUCAACAUUGCCAAACAACCUCACAAUGCAGAUGAUGGAAUUGUUGAUGUGGAUUUAAUAGAAACAAUAGUUGAUAAUACUUUUCUUUCAAACCUUAGUGAUGAUCCUUUACAAACAUGUUUAACUCACUUUAGUAGAUCGGUCGAUGAGGUCAAUGCCCUACUUGACUCAGCACCAUCCAUGGACACUAAUAAAUGGAAGUCAAGAGUUAAACAACUAGCACCAUCGGAGAAGAAACUCAUCCCAUCAUCAGAAUCACCACCGAAACUCGAGCUCAAACCAUUACCCAACACUUUGGAUUAUGCGUUUUUGGGAGAAAAAAGUACUCUACCGGUAAUCAUCUCAUCAUCCUUAAAUGACGAACAAAAAGGUAAGUUGUUGGAUGUUUUAAAAGAGCACAAAGGAGCAUUAGGAUGGACCAUAGCAGACAUCAAAAGUAUAAACCCAGUAGACUGCAUACAUUACAUUCACCUUGAUGAAAAUGCUAAAUCUACUAAGGAAAUGCAACGUCGGUUAAAUCCUAAUAUGAAAGAAGUUAUCAUAACUAAAGUCCUUAAGCUAUUAGACGCAUGUAUCAUUUAUCCAAUUUCUGAUAGUUUGUGAGUAAGUCCUGUACAAGUUGUCCCCAAAAAGUUAGGAGUCACAGUAGUUACCAAUGCUGAUAAUGUAUUGAUACCAACUAGAGUAACUACAGGAUGGCGUGUAUGCAUUGAUUAUAGAAAGUUAAAUUUUGUCACACGUAAAGACCAUUUUCCUUUACCAUUUAUCGAUCAAAUGCUUGAUAGAUUAGCAGGCCAUGAAUUUUAUUGCUUUCUAGAUGGCUAUUCAGGAUAUAAUUAGAUUCCCAUUGCACCAAAAGAUCAAGAGAAAACUACUUUCACUUGCCCUUUUGACACUUUUGCAUAUAGGAGAAUGUCAUUUGGAUUAUGUAAUGCACCUGCUACAUUUCAACGAUGCAUGUUAAGCAUUUUUUCUGAUAUGGUUGAACGAUUCCUUGAAGUCUUUAUUGAUGACUUUUCUAUUUUUGGUGACUCGUUUGAUCAAUAUUUACAUCAUCUAACACUAGUUAUGUAGAGAUGUAUCGAGUAGAACUUAGUCUUAAAUUGGGAGAAGUGCCACUUUAUGGUAAAAUAAGGUAUUGUUCUUGGUCACAUCAUUUCGAGCAAAGGUAUUGAGGUUGCCAAAGCAAAGGUGGAUCUCAUUUCUAAUCUUCCUCCACCCAAAACAGUCAGAGAAGUAAUAUCUUUCCUUGGGCAUGCUAGUUUCUAUAGACAUUUCAUUAAAGAUUUUAGCAAAAUUUCUAGACCCUUAUGUAAUCUACUUGCUAAGGAUGUACCUUUUAUCUUUAAUGAUUCAUGUCUUGUGGCGUUUGAAAAAUUAAAGUAGUUGUUGACAUCAUCACCCAUCAUUCAGCCCCCAAACUGGAACUUACCAUUUGAACUCAUGUGUGAUGCAUCUGAUUAUGCAGUAGGAGCAGUGUUAGGAUAAAGAGUUGAUCGAAUUCUCCAUGUUAUUUAUUAUGCUAGUAUGACAUUGAAUGAUGCACACUUUAACUAUUCAACUACUAAAAAAGAAAUGCUAGCAGUUGCAUUGGAAAAAUUUCGAUCUUAUCUCAUUGGUUGUAAAAUAAUUGUAUUUACGGAUCAUGCUGCUCUUAAAUAUCUUCUCACAAAGAAAUAUGCAAAAGCUAGACUAAUUCGUUGGGUGUUACUUUUGCAGGAAUUCGACUUGGAAUUUAAAGAUAAGAAAGGCACAGAAAAUGUUGUGGCAGACCAUCUCUCUCAUCUCCAUUUUGACACAAUUUCAGAACCAUUAACAUUGAAUGAGUCAUUCCCAGAUGAACAAUUGAUGAAUGUGGAAGGAUUACCAUGGUAUGCUGAUAUCAUUAAUUAUCUUGUUACAGGUUAACUUCUAGAGCAUUGGACCAACCAAGACAAGGCUAAAUUCUUUGUAGAAAUAAAGAAUUUCUUUUGGGAUGACCCAUAUUUGUUCAAGUAUUGUACAGAUCAAAUUGUUAGACGAUGUGUCCCAAAAAAUAAAAUUCAGAAUAUUCUUUCAUUCUACCAUGAACAAACUUGUGGAGGUCAUUUCAGUGCUAAGAAAACAGCAACUAAAGUCAUGUGAUAGGUGUCAACGAAUAGGGAGCAUUACGCGAAGGAACAUGAUGCCACUAAAUCCAAUUUUAGUGGUUGAGAUUUUUGACGUAUGGGGUAUCGACUUCAUGGGAUUCUUUCCCCUUUCUUUUGGCCAUCAAUACAUAUUGGUUGCUGUUGACUACGUAUCGAAAUAGAUAUAAACAAUUCCAUAUAGAACCAAUGAUCACAAGGUGGUGAUAGGAUUUUUGAAAAGUAACAUUGUUUCACGCUUUGACAAAGUAUUCAAUCACUCACAAAGUGACGACCCCAUAUCAUCCGCAAACCAGUGGCCCAGUUGAGAUCUCCAAUCGAGAAAUAAAGCACAUAUUAGAAAAGACGGUGAGGCCAGACAGAAAAAGAUUGGUCAUUAAGACUUGAUGAUGCAUUAUGGGCAUAUAGAACGGCUUUCAAGACCCCGAUUGGGAUGUCACUCUACAGGCUAGUGUAUGAAAAAGCUUGCCACCUACCUGUGGAACUCGAACAUCGUGCAUAUUGGGCCAUCAAGAAAUUCAACUUUGACAUGCAGCAAGCUAGCUCAGAAAGAAGAUUACAGCUGGCAUAACUUGAAGAAAUUCACAAUGAUGCAUACGAAAAUGCCAAGAUUUACAAGCAAUGAAUGAAAGUCUUUCAUGACAAGCAAAUUAUGAGAAAAUCUUUCACUUCAGGUCAGAAAGUGCUUUUAUUCAAUUCCUGUUUGCACUUAUUCCCAGGUAAGUUACGCUCUCAAUGGUCUGGCCCCUUUAUUGUUCAUAUUGUUUUUCCACAUGGGGCAAUUGAAAUUAAGGACUCAAAGAACGGUGUCACAUUUAAAGUUAAUGGUCAAAGAUUAAAGCCAUAUCUAGAGUACCAACCACAUGGAGAGGACAUUGAACUAAAUUUGAGUGACCCACCAUAUUUGAAUUAAGUUUUUCUCUCUUUCUUUUCGGUGAUUUGAUUUUUUUCUUUAUUUCUUUUUAUUAUUUUUUUUGCUAAUUGAAAUUAUUUUUGCAUAAGUGUGUUUGUUUAACCAUUAAGUUUUCUCUUAUCAUUGUUAAUCAUGAGUACCAUAGCUAAACAGUUCCUCCUGAACAUUCUUAAACCACUUCAACGUGUAAAAUCUCAUCUCAAAAGACAGAUUCGAUUUUGUAAAACACACCGUAUUUGGGUUCUGCAACCACUAGAGUUAGUAGCCUAUGUUGAGGAUUUAGAAAGCCAAUUAAGAGACAUUGAGAGAGGUGUCUACAACAUCCAGUUGGAGCUUGAGGUAAAUUCAAUAAGAGGACAAUUUUAAUUUUCUUUGUGUGUUUUAAUUUGUUUUUCUGUUGAUGUGCUUUAGUUUGUUACCCCGGUGAAGUGGCGGAUAACGGUACUCUGUGACAAUCAAGUCGGUUACUUCAGUUUUCCCAUAAUAACUGAUAUUCUAAGGCGAAGGUAUGGACAAAAACGAGAUUCUAGCGAAGCUUCACAAGCGAUUCCCUUCACUUCCUCAGAAUGCCCUCCUUACAAUCUAUAAAGCUCGGUCCGAACGCAUGCGAUUGCUCAUGAGGAAUAACAUACCUGCUGACAUCCGUUGGUUAAUCGAGGCUAAAGUACGAUUAGCAGGUGAGUUACCUCCAAAAUUUAUUGCAUACAUGCCUGGUUGUGGUAAAGGAAAUUAUGCAAGAAAACGAAGAGCUCAAAAAAUUUAGUUGCUUGUCAUAAGUGUGCCAGAAUGAAUUGCGAUAAAAAAUCAUGUUCUUUAGGAAUGGUGUCUGAUAACAGGGAAGAUAAGAUUCAAUUCAUUAGGGAUGGCUUGAAUAAGGAGUCAUUGAAUGAUAUCCUUUUGUCUCUUGAAACGCAUCCCAGUGGAUAUGUGCAAGGAGCGAUUCUCCAGUUAUGGCCAUUAUUCCAGAAAGAGCAUGCACGAUAUAGUCUCGGGAAUCUGACUAUAAACGACCCCGUUUGCCAGUUUAUAAGAAAACUGGAUGGGAAGCCUAUCCUCAACCCAUAGAGGGCGUUCAAGCCGUUUCUGGACGUAAAACCAGAGGAAGAUGUGAGCCACAGUCGCAACUACCUGUAAAUAUCCUUAUGCUUCACUAUUAUUUUAUUUCACUGUUGUUUUAUCUUUUCCAUUAUUGUCUUUAAUAAUUUUAUUUUAUCAUUUUUUUUCUUUUUACUAUUUCCUUUUUUACUCACGAACCAUGUGCUUUACCCGUUAUUUGACACUGACAUGCCACCUUAUACACAGUUGUGACCCAUUGUCACCAAGAUUCUUAAAUAUGACUUUUUGUCAAGCACUCACAAAUUGUUUUUGAGAAGUAUCCCCAUGGCAGCUACUCCCAAUAGACAAUUCAAGAACAUUUGUGUGCUUUCUGGAUUUAACUAUGGCAAACAUAAAGAGUUCGUUGAGGCAGCCAUAGAUCUUGGUCGAAGCAUAGCAGAGAGAAAAUUACACUUGGUGUAUGGAGGAGGUAACCGAGGGUUAUCAAAAUUGGUCUCAGAAGCUGCUUUUAUCAGAGGUAGCCAAGUGUUAGGCAUCAUCCCAAGAGCCCUAAAACCUUUGGCAGUUUGACUGACUCACCGACUGGAGAAGAGUUAGUCGUCUCAGGUAUGCAAGAAAGAAUAACUGAAAUGCUUAAUCAUGCUGAUGCUUUUAUUUUCCUUCCAGGAGAUCUUGCAACACUAGAGGCACUUAUCAUACUAGCAUCUUGGGCCCAUCUGCACAUUCACCAGAAACCCAUCGGUUUGUUAAAUGUCAAUAACUUUUAUGAUUGCUUCAUCGCAUUUCUUAACCAUGCAAUAAAAAACUAUUUCAUUCCUUCCGCAGCGAAAAAGCUUUUUAUUUGUGCUCACACUACUAAUGAGCUUCUUGAUUUGUUACAAGUUUAUAAAUCGGAGCCAGACCCCUGGACCUUUGUGUUGGAGCGUCCAAAUAAUGAUGGUCACAAUAGCUGCAGUAAGAAGUACAAAUUAGAUUUAACUCUCCGCCUGUAAAAAAUUUUUUCUGUGUUGCACCACCCAGGUGAUGUCUUUUAAACUCUACUUCUUUCCUUUAAAACAUUGAGGACAAUGUUUCGUUCUGGUUGGGGGGAGGGAAUAGUCGACAAUUGUGGAAUCUUGGUUAAGUUUUUACUAAUUUUUUGUUGUAGAAACUAACUGUUGCUAACUUUUUGUGUUGAAGAUGGCUGAAUAUGGAGUGUAGUGACUCUAGAAACGCAUCUUCAUCGUUUGAAAAAACAAAAAACAAAAAAAAAAUUUUUUUUUUAAAAAAUUCAGACAUUUUCUUUUUCUUUAUUUAGCUUUGAUAUUCAUUUUUCUUCCUCUUUUUAAUUUCUUCUUUAUAAAUAUACAUUUUUAAAUUUUUGAGUCGAAGAUGGCUGAAUAUGGAGUGUAAUGCCUCUAGAAACGCAUCUUCUUAGUUUUUUUUUUAAAAAAAUAUUUUCUUUUUCUAUCAUUUUAAGUGUAACUUUUCUAAUUAGUUUUUCUGCAUCAUUUUCACAUUUCUGCAUGCAUAUUUUCCUUUCAUGUUUAGAAUAGGUUGGGAGGUAGGAUGUUGUUUGAAAAAAAAAAUAUUGUGUGAAUUGUUUUAACAUUGGAUGACAUGAUUAAUUUCAAAUUUUAGUAUUUGUAUUAUCUUUGGUCUUAAGUGAUGUUACGCUAUGUUUGCCACUCAACAUGUUGAUGUCGGAGACAAAUAUGAGUUGCUUGAAGGAAUGAACAUGUCAUUUUUCUUGGAGAGUAACCCUUUUGCCCAUUCUUUAUACAGCUUAGUAGUUUAUUAUUUUAUACAUGAUCUCUAGAUUUCUUUUGAGUUAACCCUUAAAAUUUUUUUUUGUAAAAUUAAAAAAAAAAAGAGAAAAAAAAGAAAAAAUAUGUGUUGCUAUAUCUGGAGGCCCAUCUAACUAGUAGAUAUGAAAGAUUCUUUAGAACCCUAAAAAAUGAUGGAAAGGCCAUCUUUGAUUCGUUUGAGCCUUUUUAGCCAUCCAUUUUGUGAAAUAUCCAUACUUAACCCUUUUGAGCCUUCAAACAAAAAAAAAAGAAAAACAUUUUCUUUGUCAACUUAUCAUCUUGACCCACUCCGAUUUGGAGUAUUACCCGAUGUCUUAUAAGUUCCAUCACCUCUUUAUGUUUGAGAAAAAUGUAAAUAAUUAUUUUUUUUAGUAACGUUGUGCCAAACAAAAGUAAAAAAAAAAAACAAUAAUAGGUGAAAUCCACCUUGCAACUUCCAAAAAAAAAAGCAAAACAAAAAUCUAUGCAUUUUUCUCAAACAUACACUUUAUUUUCCUUAUUUCCCCUCCUUUGUUAGCCAUGUCCCUAACCUACGUAUGUCCUAAUAAAAGUCCUUCUUGAUUUUAGGGAACUAUAGUCUGAAGUAGAAGCUAGUUAUAUGGGCUAAAAAGAUGUAGUGGUGCAUAAAAAUAAUAAUAAUAAUAAAUAAAUAAAUUGGGUUGACUAGCAUUUUUAUUUGACUUGAGAUCGUAUUAUUUCUAAGCUGAGGGCAUAUUUCUUGCAUCUUGGUGAGAGCAUGUGAUAUCACUUCUUUAUUAUUUUCUCUCAAUUACCAUUCAUUGCAGUGACUAUUUUUAUUGGGUUUAAUUUCUUUGUGAGAGUGUCACUACUUCCAGUGAAAUUUUGGGGUUUGACAUGUCAUUCUUCAAAGUAGAUGUGACAAAGUCUACUGGGCUGAUUCAUGUGGAUGGUUGAUGUGGGUGUGAUGUUUCUUUAGGCUGGAGAUAAUACUUAUAUUUUUAUUUGAUUACUAUCAUUAGUCUGAUUGAAUAAACAUGAUUCGUUAAAAAAAAAUCAUUUUGGAUUUGAAUUUUGUUUUCGCUUUAUUUGCUAGAGACUAGCAAUAAGCUGGUUGGGGGGUGUGUUGAGUGUUAGAAAAUGUAUAUUUAUAAAGGAGAAAAUCUUCAUUUUACACUUCAAGUCUUACUAACACCCUUACUUUUAUGUAUUUAAGCUUGUUAUUUAAUUACGUGUGUUUUAUUUUAAUUAAGUAUUUUAUAUAUUUUGGGGGUAUUAUGGUCAUUUCACAAUGAACGAGAGAUCAGACGGUAAAACCGGCAUCACUUUUGAACUCAGGACGGUCGAAAACUUUAGGAGGAGCAUAAAAGGAAAAAUGGCACUAUUCAUAUGUACAGUGCUGUCUACGUUACUGUUGAUGAUACUAUUCACAUAGACGGAUCGAUGACGUGGCAUUGACUGAUGAGGUGUCACGAUCUUGUUGGACUAAAAUUCUUAUGCACUGUUGAUCAAUGACGUGGCAGCAUAUCAGUGGACCAAAAAUCUAACGUACGGUACAUGCAUUACACAGGAUUAUUUUCAACCUAACCGCGUCACUGUUCAAGCUGGGUCAAACCGUGUUACUGUUCACCCACGUGGUCAAACCGCGUACUGUUGACUGAUGACGUGGCGCAAUCCUGAGCGUCCGAAAUGUUUUCGAUCCGAUGGCCAUGAUUUACUCAAUGUAUCUAUAAAAAGGGGGCUCUCCCCCCCUAAUUUGAUAUCUGUGAAUCCAUUUUUGGACUCUAUUUUCUGUAAUUCCUUCUCCAUCUUGUAUUUUCUACAUAUUUUAAUAAAUUUCCUUUUUGCCCCUAGUUCAAUUAUGAGUAGCUAAUUUUCUUUCAAGCUUGGGUUGAAUGUGAAGUCUCAACAUGUGUCAUGGGCUUUAUUUGGUAAAUUUUUUUUCUUUUCCCCUCUAGUUUUUAUGGAUGUUUUGACUUUUCAUCGAUAAAUAAUAAUAAUCUUGUCUAGAUACCGCCUUGGUUUCACCGGCUCUCUAGUACAAGGUUAUUAUUAUUUGGCACGAUAAGCCCUUAGAACCAUAUUGAUUAGAGUGUGGCUCAUGAGGUGUGGAUUCCCCCCUCAUGAUUUAAUUAGGAUUAAUAAGGAAUAUUUAGCCCAUGAUGCAUGUUGAUACGGAUCCAGAUACCCAAGUACGUCAUUUUAAUAGAUUUCUAUUCAAUUUAUUCUCGCCAUUUAAAUUCCAAUUUUAGGAUAAUCUAAGUCACAUAUAAUCAAAAUCAACCUCCUCGUGGGAUCGACACUCGUCACCAUUAAUCUAUUCUACAAUAGAUUCGUGCACUUGCGAGUUCAAUAAAAUUUACACAAUAGAUAGCUAUAGGAGAGAUGGACGGGGUAGAAGACCUAAGAAUAAGGAUGAUCGAUUAAGUGGCAUAAAGAUGACGAUUCCAUCUUUUCAAGGUACAUUUGGCUUGAAAGCAUACCUUGAAUGGGAGAAAAAAAUUGAGUUCAUAUUUGAUUGCCAUAAUUAUUCAGAGACAAAAAAGGUAAAAUUGGCUGUGAUUGAGUUUUUUUACUAUGCUAUUACAUGGUGAGAUCAGAUUGUUAUAAAUAGGAGGUGGAAUAGGGAACAUCUAGUUGAUACAUGGGAUGAAAUGAAAUUGUUGAUGAGAAGGUGUUUUGUACCUAACCACUACUAUCGAGACUUGAACAAAAAAUUACAAAGUCUUACACAUAGUAGCCGAAGCGUGGAGGAUUAUUACAAAGAAAUGGAGAUUAGAGCAAAUGUGGAGGAAGAUAGAGAAGCUACCAUGGCACGAUUCUUGAAUGGCCUUAAUCGGGAGAUUGCAAAUAUGGUUGAUUUGCAACAUUAUGUGGAGAUUGAGGAGAAGGUCCAUAAGGCCAUCAAGAUUGAGCUGCAGAUUAAGAGGAGGGGUAACAUUUGUGCAACCCCAACCUCAAGUUCCACUCCUUGGAAGUCAAGCCAUGUGAAUCGAGAGGAAAGGCCACAAGCAUCUAUUGCACCUAAGCCGAGAUAUGAGCCCUCCAAGCAUGAUUCACAAGGUAACACUGUGACUCCCAUUAUUAGGAAUCGUGACAUUAAGUGUUUUAAAUGUCAAGGCAGGGGGGCAUAUGGUAAGUGAAUGUAUGAAUAAAUGAGUUAUGGUAUUGCGGGACAAUGGUGAGAUUACCAUUGGAGGAUGUUGAAGAUAAAGAGUAUACAGCUCAUGGGGAAUUGGCUUUAUAACUAGGAGAGCUUAGAGUGUGCAAAUAAAGGAAGACGAAGCAGUGCAACAGGAAAAUAUUUUCCAUACUAGGUGCUAUGUUCAAGACAAAGUAUGUAGUAUGAUUAUUGAUGGAGGAAGUUGCACUAAUGUUGCUAGUACUAUCAUGGUAGAGAAUUUGGGACUUCUAACACUUAAACACCCACGGCCAUACAAACUACAAUGGUUGAAUGACAAUGGUGAGGUGAAAGUGAACAAGCGAGCGCUAGUGACUUUUUGGAUUGCAAGUUGGACACUUGUUACUUGGGCGGCCUUAACCAUUGGAUAGACGUGAAAAGCAUGAUGGCUCCAACAAGUAUUCAUUUGUGUUUGAUCAACACAACAUCACUCUUGUUCCAUUGACACAAAAGCAGGUUUAUGGAGAGCAAGUGAGCUUAUAGAGAGUGAGCAACAGAAAAAGAGAGAAAAAGAGAGUGAAAAUAAAAAAGAGGCUGACGAAAAUGUGUGAGAAAAAGCCAAGAAAAAUACACCCAAUAAGAGAAAAUCAGAAGGAAAACAAAAGAAUUUUUACGCAAGAGCGAGUGAGAUAAAAAAGGCAUUAUUUUCACAUCAGCCGAUGAUUGUACUAUUGUACGAAGAGGCACUUUUAAACACUAACAAAUUUGACCCUACUUUGCCUAGUUCUAUUACUUCUCUCUUGUAGGAAUAUGAGGAUGUCUUUCCUGAGUAAACACCAUAUGGCUUAACUAUAAUCCGAGGGAUUGAGCAUCAAAUUAAUUUUGUACCCAGUGCGACCAUUCCAAAUUGACCAGCCUAUAAGUGUAUCCUGGAGGAGACAAAGGAACUUCAAAGGCCGGUUAAUGAAUUGAUGGAAAAGAAAGCAUGAUCCCAUGUGAAGUUCUAGUUUUGUUAGUUCCUAAGAAGGAUACAACGUGGAAGAUGUGUGUUGACUAUCGAGCUAUCAACAAUAUAACGAUAAAGUAUCGACAUCUCAUUCUUAGGCUAGAUGAUAUACUUGAUGAAUUGCAUGGGUUUUUAUGUAUUUUCUAAAAUUGACUUGAAAAGUGGAUAUCAUCAAAUUAGAAUGAAAGAAGGAGAUGAAUAGAAAACUGCAUUUAAAAUAAAAUAUGGUUUGUAUGAAUGGUUAGUCAUGCCUUUUGGUUUGACUAAUACUCUGAGCACCUUUAUAAGACUUAUGAAUCAUGUUUUGUGAGCUUUUAUUGGCAAGUUUAUGUUGUUUAUUUUGAUGAUUUUCAAAUUUGAACAUUUGAAAUUUGUUUUAGAUGUGCUUAGAAGGGAAAAGUUGUUUUCAAAUUUGAAGAAGUGUACCUUUUGCACCAAUAAACUUAUACUUCUAGGAUUUGUUGUGAGUGCACAAGGAAUAUAGGUUGAUGAGGAGAAGGUACGUGCAAUCCAAGAGUUACCGAGUCCCACAAGCGUAAGUAAUGUGAGAAGCUUUCAUGGGCUCACUAGUUUCUACCGACGAUUUGUGAAAGACUUUAGCACAUUAGCCGCAUUGCUUACUGAAAUAAUAAAAAAAGAUAGAAAAGGCAUUUCAAAUGUUCAAGCAAAAGCUAAUCAAUGCUCUCUUAUUGUCUUUGCCUAACUUUAAUAAAACAUCUUGAAUGCGAUGCCUCAGGUAUUGGUAUUGGCGCAGUCCUAAUGCAGGAGGGAUGACCAAUUGCUUAUUUUAGUGAGAAACUGAGUGGGGCAACCUUAAACUACCCUACUUACGAUAAGGAGUUGUAUGCGUUGGUUCGAGCGUUAGAAACAUGGCAGCACUACCUAUGGCCUAAGAAGUUUGUGAUUCACAGCGAUCAUGAGUCCUUGAAACACUUUAAAGGCCAACACAAGCUGAACAAGAGGCAUGCUUGAUGGGUAGAAUUCAUCAAGACGUUUCCAUAUAUCAUUCGUUACAAGUAAGGUAAGGAAAACGUUGUUGCUACUGCACAGGGAAUGCAGGUAUGUCUUAUUCUCGACACUCAAAACUGCUUAGUUUUGAAAAUAUUAAGGAAUUGUAUGCUAAUGACCAUGAUUUUAGUGUUGAAUGCCAAGCUUGUGAAAAGACUGUGGUUGGUAAGUGCUUUAGGCAUGAUGGUUACUUAUUUCGGGAGAAUAAACUAUGUGUGCCUAAUUAUUCUUUGAGAGAUUUAUUAGUGAGAGAAUUCGAUGAAGGAGAGUAGAUGGGGCAUUUUGGAGUUGUAAAGGCUUUAGCAGUUUUGCAAGAACACUUCUAUUGGCUACAUAUGAAACAAGAUGUCGAGAGACUUUGUGGUAGAUGUGUCAUAUGUAAGCAAGACAAAUCGAAAGUGCAGCCUGAUGGCUUAUACACCCCGUUGCCAAUACCUAGUACGUUUUGGACUGAUGUUUCAAUGGAUUUUGUAUUAGGGUUACCUAGGUCUAAAUGAGGGAGAGACUCAACUUUUGUGGUUGUGGAUAGAUUUUCAAAGAUGCCACAUUUUAUUCCAUGUCAUAGAAUGAAUGAUGCUUCUAAUGUCACUGACCAGUUCUUUAGGAAGAUUGUGAGGUUGCAUGGUACACCCAAGGCAAUUGUUUUUUAUAGGGAUGCUAAGUUUUUAUGUUACUUUUGGAAAACAUUAUGGGCUAAGUUAAGAAUUAAGUUGUUGUUUUCAACUACUUGUCACCCUCAAACAGAUGGUCAAACAAAUGUUGUGAAUAGAACUUUAUCUCCUCUGUUGUGGGCUAUCAUUAAAAGAAUAUCAAAACUUGGGAAGAUUAUUUUCCACAUGUUGAGUUUACUUAUAAUCGCUCUGUUCAUUCUACUACUAAAUAUUCAUCAUUUGAAAUUGUUUAUGAUUUUAAUCCUUUAACCCCAUUAGAUUUAACUCCACUACCUGUUUUUUUUAGCGUGUUAACUUAGAUGGCAAGAAAAAGGCUGAAAUUGUUAAACAGAUACACGAGAUGGCAAAGUUCAACAUCGAGUGGAGAACUGAGCAAUAUGCUAAACAAGCCAACAAAGUGCAACAUAAGCUACCCUUUGAACCUGGCAAUUGAGUGUGGUUACACAUGCACAAGGAAUGAUUUUUUGAAUGAAGGAAAUAUAAGUUAUUACCUCCAAAGGAUGUCUUUUCCAAGUUUUAGAACAGAUUAAUGAUAAUGCAUACAUAAGUGCUACUUUUAAUGUUUCUGAUUUGAGUCCUUUUGAUGUAGGUGAUGAUUUGAGGACAAAUCCUCUUCAAGAGGAGGGAAAUGAUGAGAUUGAGGACAAAACUGUUACAAGCACGUGGGUUGAGGCAUAUUCAGAUCUUAUUCAAGUUCCUGUUAGACCUGUCACAAGAGCUCGAGCAAAGAAAUUCAAAAAAGCCCUUAGUGGGUUGAUUCAAGCAACUUAAACUCAAUCAAAUUCGUGGAGGCAUGUUGAAGGAAUCACUCAUGAUAAAUACAUGAUUCAGACUCUUGAAGUUUCCAAAUAAUCACUUCCAUGAAAUAGGAAGUUGGCUUCCACAUUAUGGUGGGAAAAUAUAUUAUUUUCCUUUUUCGGAUACUUUCUUAUUUCUUGAGGAGGCUAGUGGAGAACAAAUUAAUUAUUUCCUUUUAAUUGCCGAGUUUCCAUUUUAAUUAAUGUAAGGCAUUUAAGCCAAUUAGGAUUCUAAUUUGAUUUAGAUUCUUUUCUAUUUGCUUAGAUUAGGAUUCUAAUUUGAUUUAGAUUCUUUCCUAUUCACUUAGAUUAUGAUUCUUAUUUGAUUUAGAUUCAUAUUCCAAUUUGAUUUUGGUUUAAGAUUUAAUUCCAAAAAUUCUUGUAACCAACCCUAUAUAAUGUACUCGCAUCCAAUAAAUAAAGGAGAUAAGUUUUGAUGCAAUUGGUGAGAGAGUUAAUUCUCUUUGGUUCUUAAACAAACUUUUUGAACAUAUCGAAUUUCCGUGGUGUUCAAACUCUUGAAUUAUCAAUCAGAUCAUCCAUAGCUGAUUGUGGCAUCCUCACAUACCAAGCUUUGUGAUUUUAUUAAGCAUUGGGUCGCGGUUCCAUUCAAUUCCAGGUUUAUAUUCGAUCCUAGGGACUAAAUUUGUUAGGGUCGUGUUAGUUCUUGACAGAGUUCAUAUUAGUGUGUACAUUACAUGCAAUACACCAAUUCACAGCCUUAAUUAUCCAAUUAAAUCUUGGCAUGUGGCACAAUCCUGUGCGUCCAAAUUAUUUUUAUCCAAUGGCCAUGGUUUACCCAUUAUAUAUAUAAAUAGGAGACACCCCCUAAUUCAAUAGAUUUGAAUCCAAAUUUAAGCCCAAUUUUGUGUAAUUCUCACUCUAUAUUGUAUUUUAUGUAUUUCAAUAAAAUUACCAUUUUACCCCUUGUCAAUUAUGAGUGGUUAACGUAAUUUCAAGUUUGGGUUGGAAGUGAAGCCUCAACAUGAUCUAUGGGCUUGAUUUGACUAGUUUAUUCACCCUCUCUCUUUGAUUUAUGUGGAUUGUUUUGACUCAUCAUUGAUAGAAAAUAAAUUUUGUCCAGAUUUUGCGCGAUAUACCUGAUCUCUCGUGCAAGGUCACUAUUGUUUGGCAUAAAUGAGCAUUUUACAUUAUAGCUAUUAGGAAAAAAACUCUCCUCUAGUAUUCGUGAUUUAUCUUGACUCAGUGUUAAUAGAGAAUGUAUAUAAAUUAUUUAGUAGAAGGUCUUACCACUUUGUUGACAAAAAGAUUGUUAUCACCUGGCAGAACGUGUACUUGACACCAUAUUUAGCAAAAGAUUAUUUCCCCUAACACAAUGAGUGCUUGAUGCUAUAUUUACCAAACUAAGACUUAUGAAGAAUGGAAAUUAUCUCCUCAUAAAUUAAUUGGAAACUAAAAAGAAAUAUUAAUUGGAAAUUAUCUCCUCAUAAAUUCAAAAUAACAUUCAUCUCUAAUUGUCUUACAUAGCAAGGUUGCUGAGUUUAAAUAGGCUAAUAGAAACCCAAGAUCCUAAAAAUAGAAAUGAAAACAUUGGAAUAACCCUCCAAGUAUAGGUUUGUAAAAUGAUGCUUCAAAAGUCUUCACCAAUCCACCAUUAGUAAUGCUAUCAUUGACAAAUUUAAUGCUAGCUUACCAUAAUUAAUGCUAUCAUUGACAAACUUAAUGUUAGCCCACCAUCAUUGAUGGUAGACUUACCUUACACAUUGACAAACUUGAAACAAAACGAAUAAAUGAAGUUGAAUAAACAAAGGAGUCGUUGGAAAUCCCAAGUCUGAACAAGCUAUAAUAACUUGGUCAUAACUCCUUCUAGAGAACUCCAAAUCAACCUCUGUAAAUUGCAUUGGAACGUUAACUUAAUUAUCUUUCCAACUGUAUAUAGUUUACACAUUACUUCUAGCUCAAUCAAUACCAAUUUUAUUCCGAAUUUGUCUUUUCUGCAUUUGAUCCAAAUUGUGUAUUUGGCUGCCCAAUAGCUUGAAUAAUGCCCACAAUGCCUUAUCUUCUCUCCAAGCCCAAUUCAUGAUGUCUUGUAUCUUGAAUUGCAUUUUCAAACCAUAUUUUCUCAAUUAAUCCGUUUAAAGCAGCUUGCAUCUUUUUGGCUCUAGCUCUUGUAAUUGGGCCUCCAUGAAUAUACAAAGGAUUAGUUGAAGCUUUAACAGUAUUCCCUUGAUGGUUCUCAUCAUCCAACCAACCCUUCAAGAAUCAAUCUUUGUGACCCAAAUCUGAUCGUAAACCUUAGCAUAUGUCUAAUAUAAUCUAAUAAAGUGAAUAAAGCCCAAAGAUUCAUCCAAGAAUUUCAUGAAAAUAUAAAAUAAUUGGAACCAAGAUCGAUGUUCACAAUGAGACUCUCACGAUGGAAUUCAAUAAUGAAGUGAUCCGCUUCAAUAUCUUUGAUGCAAUAAGGUAGCCCAGUGAUCUAGAUUUUGCUUUUACUAUAGAUGCUAUUAUGAUUUUAUCAAAUGAGAAACUUUUACUUUCUUUUAUACAGGCACUACCUUGGAACUCAAGCCACUCUCAAAGCACCUUAAAUAUAUUUACUUCGGUGAGAAUAAAACACUUCUAAACAUCAUUAUUAAAACUCUCACCCCAAUUCAACAAAAAAAGCUAAUUAUAGCACUUCGGGAUCAUAGAUGGUGAUUGGAUUGACCAUUACCGACACAAAGAUACUAGUCUUGAUGUGUAUGCAUCACAUUUUGCUAGUAGAAGGAUUUAAACCGAAAACAGAAGCAUAAUGCUGCCUCAAUCCAUCAAUUAUAGAAAUCAUAAAAAAGGAGAUAUUGAAGCUUCUUGGUGUAGAUAUUAUCUAUCCCAUCUCUAAUAUCAGGGGUUUAAGUCCUAUACAGGUAGAGGGUAAAAGGAACCCCAAGGAGACAAAAGAGGUCAGGUUAUAAUCAGAUCGUUAUCGAACUGGAAGACCAAGAGAAAAUGACCUUCACUUGCCCCUUUAGCACAUUGGCUUAUCAGCACAUGCAAUUAACACUCCUGCUACAUUCUAAAAGUGUAUGACAAGCAUCUUUUCUAAUUACAUAGAGAAUAUCAUUGAGGUAUUUGUGUAUGAUUUUAUAGUUUAUGGUGAUUACACUUGUGCUUAAAUGAUGCAUUGCCACUAACCUUGUGUUUAAUUGGGAAAAAUGUCAUUUUAUGGUCCCGGUUUCAUUUUCAUAUUCUUCUUUUGCUCUUUGAAUUUCUUGGUAGAUCAGGAAGUCUUCAUCUAAUUCGAGGCUUGCUGGCCGUUGAGCUUGGAUUAGAUGAAGAGCCUGGUAGUGGAACGGAAGGGAUAUUAUGGAGAUGGGAAAGACCAAAGAAUUGGUCGUAAUUGACUGUUUAGAAGGAGAAAGAAAAAGUGGCGUUGUUACACCUGAACUAUGAUAGUGCUAGACUAUCCUUUGGACCAAUAGUCCACAAGUUCUGGUUUCCAACUGAUAUACCUAUAGUCCCUGAGAUAUAAAACCUAAAAAAGCAAAAACCAUUGAUCACGAUACCACCCGAAACCAGGUCACCUUUGACCUUCAAAGAGGGUGAACGUUGUGAGAAAACAAUUUCAUUUUAAAUCGGUUUUAUAAAUAAAUCAGGACUUUUCUGAUACACAUGAUCCUUGAAGCAAGGCAAGUGUAGAGCAUACUCAGUAUAUAAAAAAGAGAUGAACGCUCUUAGUUUAAUAACUCAAGUAUUUUCUUCGGUACCUAGAAGAAGAUGAGAGACUUAUGAAGCCAUAGAAGUUUAAGAAAAACUUAGAAAUAUUAUUGAUGGCAAUCUGAAUUUUACAAGGACCGAAGAGCUCUUAAAUAGAGCUGGAAAGCCAAGAUAAAGAUAAAAGCAUAAAGCUAAAACACACUUUAGACAGGGUAGGACCCAUGUCUUUUAUUGAAAGUAGGAAAAGCCGAGAUUCCCGGAUGAUUCUGUAGCCAUGUGAGGCGAUUACGGAGUUGAGGGAAAUCUGGAUGGGGACACGUCACCGGUUUAAUUUUCAUAUUCUUCUUUUGCUCUUUGAAUUUCUUAGUAGAUUAAGAAGUCUUCAUCUAAUUCGGGGCUUGCUGGCCGUUGAGCUUGAGUUGGAGUAGACGAAAAGCCUAGUUCAGUGACGGUGUACUGAGUCUCUUGGGUUGCCAAUAAAGACUGAAAGUCUAUCCAAGGGUCUUGAGUGUCUUGGAAGAGAACAUUAGUGUAGUCAGGUUUUUGUUCUCGAACAAGAAUGCCAUGAGGACUGGAACUGGAUCCUGGAGUACAUAUUUGGGUGCCUGAUAGAAUUUCAAGAGUGUGGGAAGGACCAAUGGAGGUGUGGUGAAUGUCUGUUGGGACAGGUUGGACAUUGUUGAGUUCUAACAAGUAGGCUUUGAGAGUGGAGAUGAUUGUAGGAUCAUGGUCAAGAGGGAAAGGAUGAGGGAAUGUUUUCCAUUCAUACGCCAUGUCCUGUGUCCAGUAGUCUUUUGUCUGAGGAUGUUGGAAAUAUGGCUUGUGGACUAUGAAUACCGAAGUAAACAUAUCUACUUCUUGAUCUGGAAUUCGAUCUAACUGAUGAAAGUUAGAUAUAUUCUGUAAUUGUUUACGCCACCAAGUGAGUGGUCAAAACCAUUCAAGGAGUGUCCAGAGAAGUGUGGGUGCAUGAUCUGGUGUGGAGAUAUGCCGAAGAGUGGAUCAAACAGGGAGAAUAAGUUUUGUAGCAAACAGGACUGUGAGACACCACAUGUACCAUAACUCAUCUUCAGAGAUGGUGAGAGUGGGAACAAUGGUGAAACCCGAGAGGAAUAGAUGUUCUAAACAUAGAGAAGGAAAUCUUUUGGGUUUGUUUCUAUGAACAUUCAUGAAAUACCUGUAAAGGAGCUUAUUUACGAAGGUUUGGAUUUGGAAAGUUGUACGGAAAGUGAGGUUGAGAGGAAAAGCAUUUUGAGUGAGAGCUUUGAAGGGGAGUGUUCGAUACAUGGCUAUUAUUUGGCUAUUAUUGGGAUGGUUUAGAUGGAAGAGAUGAGAACAAGGCUUUUUAUAGAUGGUCGGGUGAGGAAAUCAGGGAUAAUAUUUUUAUCACCUUUGAUGUGUUGGAUUGUGUAGUCAUACUUUGCAAACUAUGUCUUUAAAUUGAGCAAUUGCUUGUCAGGAAAUAAUUUGUUCUUGAAGUCAAAGAUCUUUGGAAAAAGACUGUUGUCCAUUCUGAUGAGGAAAUUGUGGCUGAUGAGAUGAAAUUCGAAUUUCUUGAUUCUAUAUUUUACCGCAAGAAUUUCCUUGUAAAUGACGUGAUAAUUCUUUUCUGAAUCUUUGAACUGUCCACUUGCAUGAGCGCAAUAGGACUCUGAGUCACCGAUCUUUUCCAGGAGGAUAGCACUCCAAAAGUCAUCAUUAGCAUCUAUCUGAAGAAUGCGUUGGCUGGUAGUGGGAAUUUUGAGUGGAAGAGGUGACUGGGCUAUCUUUUUAAGUUGCUUGACAGCUUCUGUCUGAGCCGGACCCCAUGGUGGAGUGUUUUUUUAAGCAUGCAUGAUAGCUAGCUGGUGUGGACCACAACUUUAGGAAAAAGUCUCUGACAUAAUUAACAAUUCUAAGGAACUGUUGAAUUUUCUUUUUGGUGAGAUCGAUGUCGGGAAACUUUAAUAAUUCUGCUGCAAUAUGUAGUCCUGGAUGGUAGUGGCCAUCUUUUAAGACCAUGCCAAGAAAGUCAAUAGAUUCCUUUCCCAUGUUGCUUUUCUUUUCAGAAAGCAUGAUGCCAUGUGUCUGCACGAUUUCCAGGAAAUCUGAAAGGAGUUGUUGAUGUGUUUGGUGGUCAUGGGAAAACAAUAGGAUGUCAUCAAUGUAGAUCAAAGCAUGAUGGAGGAUCGAAGAGAAGAUCUUAACCAUUGCUUUUUGAAAUAAGGAUGGAGCAACUUUGAGACCGAAGGGUAAAACUGUCCAUUGAUAAUGAGCAUCAGGGAUACAGAAGGCUGUUUUGGGACGGUCUUCUGGAGAAAUGCCAAGUUGCCAAAAACCAGCUUUGAGAUCAAACUUAGAAAAUACCUUUGCAUCUUGAAUAUGAAUGAACAGGGACUGGAUCUUUGGAAGAGGAAAUUUAUCAUCUUUAAGGAAAGCAUUAAGGGGCUGGUAAUCAAUGACUAAUUUCUUUUUUCCACGAACUAAUUCAGAUCGUUUUUCAACAUAGAAAGCUUGAUAAGCUCAAUCUGAAGUAGUGGGUUCUAUGAGACCUUGCCGAAGCAAUUGCAUGCAUUCUUGCUUGGCGAGAAUGAGAUCAGAGGGAGGCAUCCCUGGAUGUGUGGCUUUGGUAGGAUUGACAUCUUCAUUGAGUUUGAAAGGAAGAUGAAUGAAAAACUGUUCAUUUUUCCAAAGCGGUGAUGGAUGAGUGAAUUGUGAGUGAUUUUCAGGACAAAGUUCUAGGAACUUAUGGGAAAUGGAGGUAUAAAGGGGAGUUGUAUCUGACAAUGUAUAUAGACGAAGAACAUCUGUAUAAGGCAUAAACAUUUGUUUGAAUUUAAUGCCUGUUAGCGUAAUGAAGAGGUUUUUUACCAGUUGGAGGAUAUCAAAUCCGAUGAGGAGAUCUUUGUUUGGUAAAUUUGAACCAACAAUCUUUUGUCAAAUGAAACAGUUGGGGAAGAAUUGGAUACCAAUGGGUUUUUUGGUAAUGAGAGAAGUUUCAAAAACUUUUCCAUUUGGUUGAGCAUACUGCGUUGAGCAGCUCUGAAGUAUUCAGUAUGGUUGUCCCAAUAGUCUGGAGGAAGGAUUUUAGGAUUGAGCAUACUGCGUUGUGCGCCAGUAUCAAGGAAACCAAUAACUGAGACAAGUUUAUGGAAUUUAGAAGGGAUGACUGAAAUUUUUACUGAUGGACUAGGAAGUGCGGGGCGAAUGUGGUUAAUCUCUUGAAUAGUGGAGAUCACAGAAAUGUCAUCUGGAUCUAAAUCUGUUGGAAUCAGCGAGGAUGAAGGUUGUAUGAUCAUCUUUCUCAGACUGUUCUGAGAAGAUGGAUUCAACUUCUUCGUUGUUAGAAAGGAUAGAAGAUUGUUGCAGGUGCUAAAUGAGACGAACAACUUUGGCUGACUUAUUUGGGCAGUUGCUUGCAAAAUGUCUUCUUGCAAAUAAAACAGCGAUUGUGUUUCUUCUGUCUGAACUGGGAAGGAUCUUUUUUUCUAAAGUAUCUGUAAGGCUUCUUUGGUUUUUUGGAAGAGGAUCUGUGGAAAUGUUUUUGGAAGUGCUUUUUUUUUUAUGGUUGGACAAGUGGACUUUUUGUCAUCUUUGCACUGGAUUUUGAGGUAGAGUUUUUUACAGGCUGAGGCAAAGGGUUCUUUGUGUUCAAUAAGGCCUUUGAAGAAAUCUUUUUGCUCACAGAUCUUAUCAAGGCAUAGCAUGGUUAAUUGAAAGAUUUUGCCAAGAGAGACAUUUGCUAUGUCGAGGUUAAAGGCUGUCAAUUGCCUUUGAAGCUUUGGCUGAAGCUCUGGUGGUAAAGAUGCAGCAAAGACAUGCUUUAAAGAUGGAUCAUUGAAUCCAUUCAGUUUGUAAUAAAGCAUGCUCAUUCUUUUGUAAUGCAUUUUCAGGUGAUGUCUUUUAAGAGAACAACAUUUCGAGAUGCUUCAGUUGAUGCUGCUGGUUCUCCAAUAAACUACUCAUAAAUGACUACAAGAGCUAUAGGAAUUGUGGUUUGAAUCAAUUGGAGUUGUCUGUAUUCACCUAGACUUUCAAACCAAUCUCGUAGAGAUCUAGUGAAUCUGGAACAAAACUCACGGAGAACAUUCUGAGAUUGUGCAUUGGGUUUGGUCAUUUGCACAUCAAUCUAAGCAGCAAAUUCUUGAUGUCAGGCCUGCCAUUUGUGACGAGGAAUGUCAUCAAAUGUAAACCAUGGAGAAGAAGAUGGUUUGGAAGAUUUUUUAGAAACCGGAGGGACAGAGGGAGCCGGUUCUGUUUGUGAGCCUUGGACAUUAUCAUUAUCAUCAUAAGAUUCUUCUACAAUAGGAGUGUCUACAAUAGGAGUGGAUGUACAGAGGGAGCCGGUUCUGUUUUUGUGGCCAUGAGAAGACCAGAAAUAUCUGCAUAUUGGGACUCAGAGUCUGAAGAAGUUUGUUCAGAGGAGCUGAGAUUAUUAGUGGAGGGUAAACUUUCUUCUGAGGUUGAAUCUGAGUCACUGUUUUGGUAAUCAAUCUGCUGAUAAUGGUAUUGGUAAGCUAGGGCUUUGCCUUCCUUUGGAGGUUCAGGAGUUACUUUAGGAGAGUCUUCUGGGACUUGAAGAUCUUCCUUGGGUGGAGGUUUUGAGAUCUUGACUUUUGAUUUGGAUCUUUUUAGUGAAGUAGUUUUUGGUGGUGGAAUGGAAGGGAUAUUAUGGAGAUGGGAAAGACCAAAGAAUUAUUCGUAAGUUGACUGUUUAGAAGGAGUGUAAAAAGGCUGGUAGGAUGUGAAUAAUGGUGCUGGUAUAGGUAUGGACUGUAUCUAUGUCUGUAAGAUUCAUCAAUGCAUCACUGGUUGUUUGUGCAGUUGGGAGAUCUAGCGCAUGAUUUUGCGAUCGAUACACUAUCUGAUGAUGGAGUGUGGCUAUUUUGGAAGUGGAUGUUUGUUCUGCUCCUUGGAGCUGGAUUUGGACUUUCAGUGUAGUGGGAAGGUUGGGAUUUUCUAGGGACAUGUUGAAGUUGGGGUAGAAGGUUAACAAGACACUUCAAGUAUGGAGAGUGGUUAAAACGGUGCCAAUAACAGCAUGUUGAUACUGUUUGAACCUUGUGUCAAGGAGAGCAAUUCUGGCUAUUACGGGUAAGCCUUUUCUGCCAUGUAAGGUGAGGAUAAGCCGGACACCACCUAGAUGGAGGUGUGUAUACCCUUCUCGUUUCCAGUUAGUGACAAGAUCCGUGGGUAUAUCCAUUGUGACAUAUUGUUCACUUUGAGAGGCUUGUAGAGCACACUGAUCAAGGCGUGAAGACUGGAUGUACUCUUUGGGAAGAGGUCUUUUGGUAGAAAUUAAGGUUCAAAUGCUUCUAGUGAAGGAAGUUUUUUGUUAUCACCGCGGGCAAUCAUGGCUCGAAGGUCACGGUCAAGCUGUGCAACCUUAGUAUGAAGACUAUUAUACAAAUUGGUCAACUGGUCUGAGAGGGAAGUAACCCUUGUUUCAACAGCAGAGGAUCUGUGAGCGAUCUGAUCAACUUUAGAGUGUAAGGAAGUAAGAGAAGCAUUCUGGACUCUGGCAUUCUGAGUUUGCCAGUUAAGGACUGCUUCAAAAGGCUUGGGUUCUUCAAGAUGUCCACUGGAGGAAAUAGGAGAGUUGACAAAUGGUUUGCUCCAAAAGUGGUGACCAGGGAACUGGGAUUCGUUAUUCUGAGCGGAUUCAGGAAUAUACGAGUACUCAACAAGAUUUUCUAUUUUUGAAGCUACAUAUUUUUGACAAGAACGAGGUAGAGAAAGAGUAGAAGAGAGAGAAAUAGGAGAGGAUUUUGAUGAAGCCAUUUCGGUUGAAGAAGAGGAAGAUGCCAUUUUUUAUAGAGUUUCUUCUAGGUAUUGAAUAAUAACACUUAAGAACUAAACCAUGAUACCACCUCUGAAAAGUUUCGUUUGGCUCUGAUACCACAAGGGGGAUUGAAGUUGAUAAAUCUAAGAUAAAUCUUAUUCGCUCUUUACCACCUCUCACUAGUGUGAGGGAGGUUUAUUCCGUUCUUAUUCAUGCAAGUUCCUAUUGUAGGUUUAUCAAAGAUUUCUCCAACAUAGCAUUGCCCUUUUCUAAAUUACUUCAGAAGGAUAUGACUUUUUGAAUUCAAUGAAAAAUGUCAGAUAGCCUUUGAGAAUGAUAUGAGCCCCACUAAGAAAUUCUUUUGUGCGAUUCCUUCAACGGGCCUCCACUAAUUUGAUUGAGCCCAAGUUGCUUGCACUAACUCAUUAAAUGUUUCUUUGAUUUUCUUUGCAUGAGCUCUUAUGACGGGUUCGACGAGAACUUGAAUAGGAUCUGAAUAUGCCUCAUCCCAAGUGCUAGUGCUGGUUUUGUCCUCAAUUUCAUCAAUUUCUCCUUUGUUAAAAAAGAUUUGUUCUCAAAUUUUCACCUACAUCAAAAGGAGAUAAAUCAGUAACAUUAAAGCUUGCACUUACAUUUUACUCACUUGGAAGGUCCGACUUAUAAGCAUUGUCAUUGAUCUUUUCAACCAUUUUAAAUGGUCCAUCUCCCUUCGGAAGUAGUUUUGUACAUCGCUGAAUAGGAAUGGGGAUUGUAAUAUGGGUCAGGAUUCAUUUAUUCUAUUCAAUUUGAUACAAACUAAAUGGGUUUAGAUUUGAAAAAAUUGAUUUGUUUAAUAAAUGGGUCAAUUCGCUACUUAAACAAAUCAAAUCCAGGUUUGAGGAUAUUGAUUUGUUUAUUCAUUUAGGAUUCAUUUAAUAAGUAGGUCAUAAAAAAAUUAAAUAUAGUUUAUUCGUUUAAAAUUCAUUUAUUAUUUGUUUAAUAAAUUUACUUAUUUGUCCUUAAAUUUUUUUUAAAUUUGAAGGUUAAUAUAGUAAUUUACUACGAUAAUAAGAAAAACCAUAUAAGUGAAAUAAGAAUUAGGGCAGCUGGGAUUAAUUUUUUAAUUUCACCAAUUUCUUUCCCUUCAUCUCUCAGCCGGUAGCACUCUCUUGUCUCCAAUCUCCACCCUUAAUAAUUGCUUUUUGUUUUCUCCACAAUUUCUCAACUGACACUAUCUCACCUAAUGCACAGUCGCACAGUAAGCUCUAAUUCUUUUUUUUUUUUUAAUUUUUGAGAUAUGGGUUUUGGGCUAAUUGUUACUCUUGUCUUGUUUUUAAUCUUAUUUUAUUAUUGUGUUCAUGGUUAAGCAAUAAUGAUCACACAAGCAAUUUGGUUAAGAUCUGAAAGUGAUGGUGGGGUUGUUUGUUCAAUAAUUAUCCUGCAAAGUUGUAAAGUAUUGAAGGAUUCAAAAUUGUUGUGAUAACUACUAAUAUUGGCCAAAUCUAGUGGUUAGAAUAUGAGAAUUUUUUUUUUUGGUGAUUACAAUUAUAAUAGUUAAGAUUGUCGUAUUUCUUUAAUCUAACAAUAUUAAUCUCUUAAUUCAACAAGAUUGUUGGGUUUGACUUUGAGAUAUUGCUGUAAGGAAUUGUUUCUAAUUAAGAUUUAUUUUUAUAAAAUUAUUGUAGAAUAUUUUGAUGUCACUGUGGACCAACUUACUCAAAACAUUAUGAACAUGAGCACUAAGCACUAAUAGUGCUCCAUCUGCAGAGAGUACCAAUGACCCCCCAUUGACAAUAUGGGAGUGUGGUAGGUCAAGUUUUAUCUUGCUUAUUUUUCUUGGCUUUGUAGAUUUAAUUAUUAUUUUCUUAACAGCACUAUAAAUUAACUAUAGACUUGACUAUUAUCAGUGUUGUAGCAUGUUAAUACCAUUUUAUUUAUUUUUGGUGUAGGAUUCUUGUUUUCAAGAUGACAAAGAAAAAAUGAAGAGAAUUAAACAAAUUACCUUGGUUUAUAAUUUGAAUUUUUAAUUACUGUUAUUUGCAUUGUUAAGAAUUUAUAAUUUGGUGUUUGGAUGAAUGUGUAUUUAAUUUUAGAAUAUGGUUUGGAUUAUUUAUAUUAUGUAGGAUGUUAAAUUUGUCAUCUUUUUAUAGUUCAUUUUGCUUAAUUUUGUUUAUUAAUUAUAUUUUUCAAAAUGAAUUGUAAAUGAAUUGAAUCAACAAAUUGAAUUGAAUAUUCAUUUAACGAAUGAAUCAAAUUUGAAUCAUGUGAUUUCAAUUCGUUUAAUAAAUUGAUCGAAUCUAAAUCAGUAAAAUUUUGACUUGAUUGAUUUACAAUUAUUCAUUUUUCCACACCUAAAUAAGAAAUGGUUUGUCAUGACUUGACCUAGACUUGCUAAGAUAUUGUUUGUUUUGGGCCUUAACAAAGCCAUUACGGUUUUGUUUCUAGGAUGCCCAUACACCCCAAAAUGCAUCUUGCCAGUUAGGAUGUGGAUCACCCAUUAUAAAUUGAGCAUCUCUCAUGUGCUUUGUCGAUGUGGGAUUCGCCUAUGGUGUUACACCAUUCCUUCCUGCCCUUUUAUUACCUUGGUUAGCAUAUUAUUUUGUUCUCUUCUCAAUUUUUUGCCUUGCCUUUUAACGGAUGUGCCUAACAAUGUUAGCUUUCUUUUUUCCAUCUGAAUUAAUUCGUUAAUCCAUGGGUAAAGAGGUUAAAUCUAAAGGAGUUAAUGGAUUAAAACUACACAUAAUUUCAAAAGGCGAAAAACGUAGUUGCUGAAUGCAUAUUCUGAUACGAACCUCACCAAGAACUAACGUGACCAUAAUCAAUUUAGUCUCCAAGAUCGAUUCUAAACCAGGAAUUGAAUGGAACCACGACCCGAUGCUCAAUGAAGGCACGAACCUUCGUAUGUUAGGACACCACAAUCAGCUAUGGAUGAUCUAAUUAAUUAGUCAAAAGUUUGAAUGCCACAGAAAUCUGAUAAGUUCAAAGGGUUUGUUUAAGAACCUAAGAGAUUUAACACUCUCACCAAUUGCAUCAAAACUGAUUUGUCUCUGAUUAUUAGAUGCAAGUACAUCAUAUAAGAUUGGUUGGUUACAAGAAUUUUCGAAAAUUUAUCCUAAACCAAAAUCAAAUCGGAAUCUUAAUCUAUUGCAAAUAAGGUGAAACGACCCAUCCUGCACUCCUAGGGUGAGUCUAUCUAAACUCGUAUAAUCGAAUCAAUAAUAAUUAUGAUAUCUAAGAAUUCUAUCAAAAAUUCGACAGAAUCUACCCUAUAAAUAAAACAUCCCCAAACCUGCAAUUUACAAAACAAUACUCCCAAAAUAAUUCAAUAUCCAUCCAUCCUUCAUAACCAACUUCUCAAGUCAACAUACCAAAUAUCACCCAAAUCAUUCUAAUAUUAAAAACAUAAUGGUUAUCCUUAAUUACAAAAUAUAACAAUAAAUACAAUUCGCAAUAUCCCAAAUAUCAAAAUAUUAAAUCUACAACUCCUAGCACCAUCACGUGGCCACAAUUUCAAAUCUAACUAUCAUUGCUGGGUCGACUGAUGUACCUACAAAUCUCCUGGGGGGGGGGAAUAUAAUAAAAACGGGGUGAGUAUAAAACUUAGUGAGCUCAGUGAGUGGAUAAUAGUUUUUGAAAAAUAAAAUUUAUUUAAAAUGAUUUAAUCUUUCUCAAAUCAAUUUCAUCAAAAUAUCAUAAGAACUUAUAUAAACAUAUUCAAUUCAAAUCAUGCACUGAAAUAACUAUAUUACAUAAAUUUGCAUAAAAUCAAUGAAAUCAUAAUACUUAUAAUAUCAAAUACUGAAUACCAAAAACUAUCACCAAACAAGUACUCAGGGGAAUGAUCUCAUCAUAUCCGGACCUCGACAGACGGACAAUCAGGGAACCAUCAUGCUACGGAGCUACAACGGAUAGACAGGGAAAUGUCAUAUCAUAUCUCAUGUAUCUCAACAUCUGUAUCUCUGUAAUCAUCAUACUGCAUGCAUAAGCCUCCAAAAGGUAAAAGCGCCCAAACACACGGCCGAAAGCCUCUAUGUGUGUUCAUACCGGCCCCAAAGGCCUCUAUCUCAUCUCAUUUGUAUCUCUGUAUUCAUCUCAUAUUAUCUGUAUCUCUGUAUUUGAAGGGGAAGGGUACUGUCCAAUGAUUUUCCAAAAAACAUUUUAUACACAUGUACGUAAACAUAUAAUAACAUCUGAAAUCUCAUUUCUUUUUAUUCGACAUAUCUCAAAAUCCACUCAAUUCUAAUAUCAUGCAUUUACUCAAAAAUGAUAAUGAAAUCAUUAAUGAAACUCAUUCUUAAUAACAAUAAAUAUCAACACAUAGAUAAAAAUCAAUUUUCUAGAAAAUCAUUAAAUCGAAGCAUCGAAAACAUGUUGUACUAUAUGGUAAAAUCAGAAUAUACUAUGAAAAUAGGUUUUCUAUAUUCCACUCACAGUGACGAAGUCCAGACUCGGUAUCAACAACGUCCGCGGGUUGAUUCUCGUUCGCGGAUCCUCCUAAUCAAGGAAACGACAUAAUCAUUCUCCGUAAAUUUGAAAUACAACUAAUUUUACAUAAUAAUUCUCGAAACGAAUAUCUAUCCACAAUAAACUAUUCCCGCAUGCACAUAAUUACCAAAAUACCCCUACAUGCCAAAAUUACCAAAAUGCCCCCAACAUCAUUAUUUUACCAAAUUAUCCUCAGAAUUUUCAAUUACUAAAUUAUCUUCAAUUCAGAUCACGAAAUUACCACAAUGUCAGAAAUUACAAAAUUACCCUCGGAGCGUAAAAUUACCAAAAUGUCCUUAACGACUUAAAUUACCGAAUUACCCACAAAAUCUCAAAUUACCUCACUGCCAUAACCUAAAAUUACCAAAUUAUCCACUAAUUCCACAAAUUACAAAUUCACCCUAAAGUUUUAUGAAUUUACCGAAUUGCCCUGCCGGUCAACGGUGAUCGGACUUCAAUCAAUGACGACAAGAAGCUUAUGUUUGAUAGUUCAGACCUCAGUGAGUCCAACGGUGCCGGCGGUGACCUCCCACGCACGGUGAUGGCGGCAGAUCAAAGCUCCAAAGUCCGUGAGUUUCCCGGUGGUCGUUUGCGGCCAAGACGAAUGUUUCAGGUGAUGAGGAUGGCCGGAAAUGAAAGUUAGUGAUGUGAGGAGUCGAACCCAGCCGGUGGUGCAACCUAAUUCCGGCGAGAUUGACAGCAACAAAAAUGGGUUGACCCACGGGUUUUUCAAGCUAAAUCACCGGCGUUCUGGCUGCUUUCUGGUGACGAUGACAGUGGGGAUAUAACCGGCGUCACUCUGUUAAGGAAUAACAGAAUGCAUGCCAGCUGGCAUUUUAUGAUUGGUUAAUAUGUUAAGAUUCUGUUAUUUGUAUUAUAGUUUGUUGUAGCUUCUGAACGAAUAUAAAAGGAGUUGUAUCAAUUCAGUUUAUUAAUUCAUUCAGUUAAUAAAACAAAUUGUGCUUUACAUAUAGAUUCAUCUAGACUUUUCCUUUACACUUUCUUUCUUAAUUCUCUCAUGAUCCAAACACCAUAACAAUUCUAAUACACUCAAGCUUUAGAUCGGUACCAAGCUCGACCGGUGAGGUGGCCGGAAUUGGCGGCUGGAGCAGGGUCAAGAACGUGGGUCGGAUCCGGGCUAAACGAGUCAAUUUCUCUCUCUCUCCUUCUCUCUCACGUGCCCCUCUUUCUUUCCUCUUUUGGAAAUCUGCUUCCCCCUUUCCAUUUAUAGAAACCAACUUCUUUUUUUUUUUUUUGCACUUAAGCUUAAUACAAAUUAAGCUAAUACCAAACCCGUGACGAAAAUAAAAUCCGACUACCCGAGCUUUUAAUCGCGCUCAAUUUAUCUCGAUUUAAUGUUGUGACAAUUUUGAAAGUAAUAUCGAAGAGGAAAAAUUAAAUCAUACACUUAAUUAGGAAAAAUCAAAGUGCAUAUGUUACAAUCCUCCCUCCUUAUAAAAAUUUCAUCCUUGAAAUUUACACAUCUGAUGAGAACAGGUGAGGGUAUUGGGCUCGCAUUAAGUCUUCGCGUUCCCAAGUAGCCUCUUCCCUUAUGUGAUUCCUCCACAACACUUUUACUAACGAAAUGGUUUUUGAACGCAAAACUUGGUGCUUCUGUUCUAGUAUUUUCAUGGGCUCUUCUUCAUAAGUCAAGUCUUCUUUCAACUCAAUUGGUUGUCUCGAUAACACAUGACUAUGAUCAUACACGUACUUCCGGAGCAUCGAGACAUGAAAUACAUUGUGGAUUCUAGAUAACUCGGGUGGUAGAGCUAAUUGGUAUGCCAAUGGACCAAUACGCUCCACGAUCUCAUAUGGUCCAAUGUAACGUGGACUUAGCUUCCCGCGCUUCCCAAAUCGAAGUACCGCUUUCCAAGGAGAUAUCCGUAUGAAAACCUUAUCACCCUCUUCAAAUUCAAGUUCCCGCCUACGCUUAUCUACAUAGCUCUUUUGUCUGUUUUGGGCUGCCUUUAAUCUUUCCCGAAUAAGUUGUUUCUUCUCAUUAGUAUUCUGAACCAAUUCACGACCAAAAAGCUUCCACCCUCCAACCUCAUCCCAACAUACAGGAGUUCUACAUUUCCUGCCAUAUAAAACCUCAUAAGGUGCCAUCUCGAUGCUAGCUUGAUAACUGUUAUUAUAAGCAAACUCCAUCAAGGGUAAAUAAAUGUCCCAACUACCCUUAAACUCCAAAACACAAGCUCGUAACAUAUCCUCCAAGGUUUGAAUAGUACGAUCUGACUGACCAUCAGUCUGUGGAUGAAAAGUUGUACUAAAAUUCAACUUGGUGCCUAAAGCCCUUUGCAAGCUUGUCCAGAACUUAGAAGUGCAUCGAGAAUCUCUAUCUGAAACAAUAGACACAGGUGCUCCGUGAAGUCGAACUAUCUCGGCCAUAAAAAUAUUCCCUAACUUGUCUAUCGAAUAGGUGGUCUUGAAUGGUAAAAAGUGAGCAGAUUUUGUAAGUCGAUCAACAACUACCCAAACACUAUUAUGACCACUCUGGGUACGUGGAAGUAUAGGAAGCGGUUGUGAAAACCCUGUAGGUCUCUGAUGUUCAGCCUUAAUCUACUGACAAACUAAACACCGAGAUACAAAUUCUGCUAUGUAUCUCUUCAUACCUUGCCACCAGUAAUGAUCUCUCAAGGUACGGUACAUCUUCGUACUACUAGGAUGCAUUGCAUAAGUUGAACAAUGAGCUUCUUCCAUGAUCUCCUUUUUCAACUCCUUAAUGUCAGGUACGCAAAGUCGAUUACCCAUAACUAAAACUCCAUCAUCUCUCACCGUAAAAUCAGUUCGUAAGCCUUUUUGCACAUCCUCUUUCAACUUCAGUAACUGCAAAUCCUGAUAUUGCAUCUAAUGGACUUUGUCAAUCAAAGUCGGCCUAACUCGAAAAUUAGCUAUCAAAGCUCUGCAAUUUUCAACUUCCAAUUAAACUCCCAAAGAUCUCAACUCGAUCAAUAAAGGCAUCAGCUACCACAUUCACUUUGCCCAGAUGAUAAUCAAUAGUGCAAUCGUAGUCCUUAAUCAGCUCAAUCCAUCUCCUCUGUCGCAAAUUUAAUUCCUUCUGAGUAAAUAAAUACUUCAGGCUCUUAUCUUGAGUGCAAAUACCACUGCUGCCAACUCUAAAUCAUGAGUUGGGUAGUUUUGCUCAUGCUUUUUAAGUUGUUUAAAAGCAUAAGCCACUACUUUCCCAUGUUGCAUUAGCACACAACCUAAUCCUUGCCUAGAAGCAUCAUUGUAUACUACAAACCCUUCAUUACUAGAAGGAAGUGUAAGAACUGGUGCUGAAGUAAGGCGUGUCUGCAGUUCUUGAAAACUCUUUUCACAGUCAUCAUCCCACUGGAACUUAGCAUUCUUUCUAGUUAACCGUGUCAGAGGAGUAGCAAUCUUGGAGAAUCCCUCCACAAAUCUACGAUAAUAGCCAGCUAAUCCAAGGAAACUUCGAACCUCAGUCACAUUUGUAGGCCGUUCCCAAUUUACAACUGCUUCGAUCUUUUGAGGAUCGACAUAAAUUCCUUCAGCUGAUAUCACAUGGCCCAGAAAUACUGCUUUAUCCAACCAGAACUUACACUUGUUGAACUUAGCGUACAAUUGCAUUUGCCUUAAAGUCUGCAAAACAGUCCUUAACUGCUCUGCAUGUUCCUCCUGACUCCGAGAAUACACUAAAAUAUCGUCAAUAAACACAAUCACAAAUUGAUCCAGAUAAGGGUGAAAUACCCUAUUCAUAAGAUCCAUAAAAGCUGCUGGAGCAUUUGUUAACCCAAAUGGCAUCACCAAGAACUCAUAAUGUCAAUAACGAGUUUUGAAUGCUAUUUUAGGAAUAUCAGCCUCUUUAAUUCUACGUUGAUGAUAUCCCGAGCGCAAAUCGAUCUUAGAAAACACCUCCACCCCCUGAAGUUGAUCAAACAAGUCAUCAAUACACGGAAGUGGAUAUUUAUUACGUACUGUAACUUUAUUCAACUGUCUAUAGUCAAUGCAGAGUCUAAGAGUACCAUCCUUUUUCUUAACAAACAAAACUGGAGCUCCCCAUGGAGACACACUAGGUCUAAUAAAUCCUUUAUAUACCAAUUCUUGCAGUUGAAUCUUAAGUUCCUUUAGUUCAGCUGGAGCCAUCCUAUACGGUGCUAUAGAUAUAGGAGCCGUUCCAGGGACUAAAUCAAUAGAAAAUUCAAUCUCUCUGUUAGGUGGCAUCCCUGGAAGUUCAUUUGGAAAUACAUCUGGAAACUCUUGGACUACUGGAAUAUCCUUCAAUCUCAACACCCGAACUUCAGUGUCUAUUAUGUGUGCCAGAUAAGCCGAGCAACCUUUUCUUAGUAACCGUCUUACAUCAAUGGCUGAUAUGACACAUGAGGGUAAAACUCUACGCUCACCACAAAAUUUCACCCCAGUUUCUCCUGGCUUAUUGAACACAACUUCUUUUUUGAACCAAUCCACGGUAGCAUGGUGAGAUGCAAUUCAAUCCAUGCCCAAAAUGGCAUCGAAAUCUCAAAUGUCUAAAAUAAUCAAAUUCGCCCCAAAUUCAUGCUCACCCAAUAGAAUCAUGCAAUCUCGAUACACCCUCUUGGCAAGCAGUGACCCUCUGGUAGGUGUACUAACAACUAAACCAUAAUCCAGCAAUUCAGGCUCUCUCUCUAUAUGCAUAACAAAUGUACGAGAAACAAAAGAAUGCGUGGAUCCAGGAUCAAUAAGAAUAUGAGCAUCAUGGCCAAAAAAGGAUAGUGUACCCAUAAUAACUUCUGGUGUAGCAUGAGCCUCCUACUGUGUCAAGGCAAAGACUCAAGCCUGAGUACGAGGUCGACCAGGUUGACCUCUCUGACUUGGAACAGUGGCCUGACUCCUAGAUAUGGAACCCCCUGUCUGCAUACCCCUUUGACCCUGAGCUGGUACAGAGUGAGAUUGAUACUGUGGGGCUGUCCCUCGAGCAGAACUAUCACCCUUAGAUAAAGUGGGGCAGAAUCUCUUAAUAUGUCCAGGCUUUCCACAUAAAUAACAUACAUUGUGUCCAAAACGGCAUUGGCCUUGAUGGUUCCUACCACACGAAGGGCAAGAGGUCUGUUGUAUACUCCUACGGUGUCCUCCGCUAUUCCUGUCAUACUGCCCCUGAGUCCUAAUAUUACUCCCCACUGAUGGCUGUGCCAAACUGUAACUAACGGCCUAUCUCUGAUCUCCCCUGCUGCUUAUACUCUGAUUCUUUUGCACGCCAGCAGAGUAAUUUGUAUGUGAGCCUCUCUUCGGCAGUCUACUACUCGAGCCACCCUCUGUCUAACUCUAGCUACGUUUUUGUUUCAGAGCCUGAACUCUACGUCCCUCAGAGAUACUAUGCUCUACCCUCAUGGCUGCCUCAACUACCUCAACAAACUCAGUGUACCGUGAUGCCGUCACAGUUGCACGAAUCUCAAAUCGGAGACCCUCCUCCAAACGCCUGCAUCUCUCUCUCUCAUCACCAAUUGCUGAAGUGGAAAAUCUAGAAAGAUCCAAAAAUUUCUUCUCGUACUCUUCUACUGGCAUAGAUCCUUGAACCAACCGAAGGAAUUCACUUCGCUUAAUAUCCUGAUACACAGUUGGAAAAUAAUGAUCGUAGAAUUCCUUAUGGAAAAUAGCCCAUGUAGGCGCAGCAUGUCCUUGGUAUCUACGCUCUACUGUUUGCCACCAAUGAUAAGCCCUAUCCUCGAGUAGAAAAGUGGCAAAUGAAAGUCUAUCCUCCUCUGAGCAUCUCAUCACAUCAAAAAUACGUUCUAAUUUAACAAGCCACGACUCUGCCUCAGGUGGAUCCCCAAAACCAUUAAAACUCUUGGCCCCUAAACUUCGUACACACUCGAUAGUAUUUACAUGACCGACAUGCGGAUGAGUCUGAUUCUAUACCACUGUAGUCACAAUCUGAGCUAAUCUAUCAAUUGACUGCUCAAUGUUCGGAGCAUUGAAUGGUGCCUGUUGUCAACCUCGUGCGUUGAAGACUCAACUAUUCCCUCAUUUAUAAGAUCAUUUUCCCCCGCAGGUACAUCUCCUGGAGUCAACCCAGCUACUAGCCUCGUAUGGCCACGGCCACGUCUACUACUACGACGAAUCAUGAUGGUGCCUACAAAAUAUCAAUUCCGACUUUAAUAACAAUAAAACUUAUUCUAUUUACUACAGUAAAGUCUACAGAAUCUAAAACCAUGCCCUGAUACCAACUUGAAAUGACUCGUCCUGCACCCCCAGGGUGAGUCUAUCUAAACUCGUAUAAUUGAAUCAAUAAUAAUUAUGAUAUCUAAGAAUUCUAUCAAAAAUUCGACAGAAUCUCCCUUAUAAAUAAAACAUCUCCAAACCUGCAAUUUACAAAAUAAUUAUCCCAAAAUACCUUCAUUAUCCAACUUCUCAAGUCAACAUACCAAAUAUCACCCAAAUAAUUCUAAUAUUAAAAUAUAAUGGUUAUCCUUAAUUAUAAAAUAUAACAAUAAAUACAAUUCGCAAUAUCCCAAAUAUCAAAAUAUUAAAUUUACGACUCCUAUCACCAUCACGUGGCCACAAUUUCAAAUCUAACUAUCGUUGCUGGGUCAACUAAUGUACCUGCAAAUCUCCUGGGGGGGGGGGGAAUAUAAUAAAAACGGGGUGAGUAUAAAACUCGGUGAGCUCAGUGAGUGGAUAAUAGUUUUUGAAAAAUAAAUUUAUUUAAAAUGAUUUAAUCUUUCUCGAAUCAAUUUCAUCAAAAUAUCAUAAGAACUUAUAUAAACAUAUUCAAUUCAAAUCUUGCACUGAAAUAACUAUAUUACAUAAAUCUGCAUAAAAUCAAUGAAAUCAUAAUACUUAUAAUAUCAAAUAUUGAAUACCAAAAACUAUCACCAAACAAGUACCCAGGGGAAUGAUCUCAUCAUAUCCAGACCUCGACGGACGGGCAAACAGGGAACCAUCAUGCCCCGGAGCUACAACGGAUAGACGGGGAAAUGUCAUCUCAUAUCUCAUGUAUCUCAACAUCUGUAUCUCUAUAAUCAUCAUACUGCAUGCAUAAGCCCCCAAAAGGCAAAAGCGCCCAAACACACGGCCGAAAGCCUCUAUGUGUGUUCAGAUCGCCCCCAAAGGCCUCUAUCUCAUCUCAUUUGUAUCUCUGUAUUCAUCUCAUAUUAUCUGUAUCUCUGUAUCUGGAGGGGAAGGGUAUUGUCCAAUGAUUUUCCAAAAAACAUUUUAUACACAUGUACAUAAACAUAUAAUCACAUCUGAAAUCUCAUUUUCUUUUUAUUCAACAUAUCUCAAAAUCCACUCAAUUCUAAUAUCAUGCAUUUACUCAAAAACGAUAAUAAAAUCAUUAAUCAAACUCAUUCUUAAUAACAAUAAAUAUCAACACAGAUAAAAAUCAAUUUUCUAGAAAAUCAUUAAAUCGAAGCAUCGAAAACAUGUUGUACUGUAUGGUAAAAUCAGAAUAUACUAUGAAAAUAGGUUUUCUAUAUUCCACUCACAGUGACGAAGUCCAGACUCGGUAUCAACAACGUCCGCGGGUUGAUUCUCGUUCGCGGAUCCUCCUAAUCAAGGAAACGACAUAAUCAUUCUCCGUAAAUUUGAAAUACAACUAAUUUUGCAUAAUAAUUCUCGAAACGAAUAUCUAUCCACAAUAAACUAUUCCCACAUGCACAAAAUUAUCAAAAUACCCCUACAUGAAAAAAUUACCAAAAUGCCCCCAACAUCAUUAUUUUACCAAAUUAUCCUCAGAAUCUUCAAUUACUAAAUUGUCCUCAAUUCAGAUCACGGAAUUACGACAAUGUCAGAAAUUACGAAAUUACCCUGGGAGCUUAAAAUUACCAAAAUGUCCUUAACGGCUUAAAUUACCGAAUUACCCUUGAAAUCUCAAAUUACCUCACUGCCCUAACCUAAAAUUACAAAAUUAUCCACUGAUUCCACAAAUUAUAAAUUCACCCUAAAGUUUUAUGAAUUUGCCGAAUUGCCCCUGCCGGUCAACGGUGACCGGACUUCAAUCAACGACGACGGGAAGCUUGGGUUUGAUAGUUCAGACCUCGGUGAGUCCAACGGUGCCAGCAAUGACCUCCCACGUGCAGCGAUGGCGGCAGAUCGAAGCUCCAAAGUCCGUGAGUUUCCCGUUGGCCGUUCGCGGCCAAGACGAAUGUUUCAGGUGACGAGGAUGGUCGGAAAUGAAAGCUGGUGAUGUGAGGAGUCAAACCCAGCCGGUGGUGCAACCUAAUUCCGGCGAGAUUGACGGCAACGAAAAUGGUUGAGCUGCGGGUUUUUCAAGCUAAAUCACCAGCGUUUUGGCUGUUUUCCGGUGACGAUGACAACGGGGAUAUGACCGGCGUCACUCAAGCUUCAAAUCAGUACCAAGCUCGGCCGGUGAGGUGGUCGGAAUUGACAGCUGGAGCAGGGUUAAGGAUGUGGGUCGGAUUCAGGCUAAACGGGUCAAUUUCUCUCUCUCUCCUUCUCUCUCAUGUGCCCCUCUUUCUUUCCCCCUUUGCAAAUUUGCUUCCCCCUUUCCAUUUAUAGAAACCAGCUUCUUUUUUUUUCCACUUAAGCUUAAUACAAAUUAAGCUAAUACCGGACCCGUGACGAAAAUAAAAUCUAACUACCCGAGCUUUUAAUCACGCUCAAUUUAUCUCGAUUUAAUUUUUGACAAUUUUAAAAUUAAUAUCGAAGAGGAAAAAUCAAAGUGCAUAUGUUACAUAAGGAAAGAAUCUAAAUCAAAUCAGAAUCCUAGUUUUAAACAAACGGUAAAUAAUCUAAAUCAAAUCAGAAUCCUAAUUGGCUUAAAUGUCUUACAUCAAUUAAAAUGGAAACUAGGCCAUUAGAAGAGAAAUAACUUAUUUGUUUUGCCACUAACCUCCUUAAGAAAUGGGAAAGUACCCGAAAAGGAAAGUAGUGUAUUCUCCAAACAGGAAAAUAUCUGAAAAGGAAAGUAAUAUAUUUCCUAUCAUAAUGUGCAAGCCAACUUCUUGAUUUCAUGGAAGUGAUUAUUUGGAAACUUUAAGAGCCCAAAUCACGCAUUUAGUGGUCUGAAUAUCAUAUGCAAUUCUUUUAGCGGACCUCAACGAAUAUGAUUAAGCCUAAGAUGCUUGAAUCAACCGAUUAAGCGCUUCUUUAAAUUUCUUUGCACGAGCUCUUGUGAAAAAUCCGACGGGAACUUGAAUAGGAUCUAAGUAUGCCUCAUUCCAUGUGUCUAUGAUAGUUUUGUCCUCAUCUCAUCAUUCCCCUCUCUUGAAGAGGAUUUGUCCCCAAAUCCUCACCUGCAUCAAAAGAACUCAAAUCAUAAACAUUAAAAGUAGCACUUACGUUGUAUUCACUGGGCAAAUCCAGCUUGUAUGCAUUGUCAUUGAUCCGUUCCAAGACUUGGAAACGACCAUCCCCUCAUCGUAAUAACUUAGACUUCUUUGUUCAAGAAAUCGUUCCUUGUACAUUCGUAACCACACCUAAUCACCAGGUUUAAAGGCUUGCUUAUGUUGCCCUUCAUUGGCUUGUUUAGCAUAUUGCUAUGUUCUUCGCUCGAUAUUGAACUUCGCCAUCUCAUGUAUAUGUUUAACAACUUCGGCCUUUUUCUUUCCAUCUAAGUUAACAUCCUUAGAAGCAGGUAUUGGAGUUAAAUCAAAUGGUGAAUACUUAGUAGCAGAAUGAAUAUAAGUAAACUCAACAUGUAGCAAACAAUCUUCCUAAGUUUUGAUGUUCUUUUUAAUGAUAGCUCGUAAUAGAGUAGAUAUAGUUUGAGGGUGACAAGUAGUAAGUAGUUCAAAACAACAACUUAGGUCCUAACUUAGCCCACAAUGCUUUCCAAAAGUAACUUAAACGGUUAGUAUCCCUAUUAGAAACAAUUGUCCUAGGCAUACCACACAACCUCACAAUCUCUCUAAAGAAUAGGUUGGCGACAUUGGAAGCAUCGUCAGUCUUGUGGCAUGGAAUAAAAUGUGUGAUCUUACAAAAUCUGUCCACAACCACAAAAAUGAGUUUUCCCCUUAUUUAGACCUAGGUAACCCUAGUACAAAAUCCAUCGAAACAUCAGUCUAAGGUGUACUAGUAUUGGCAACGGGGUGUGUAAGCCAUAGGGCUGCACUUUCGAUCUGGUUGGCCUACAACCGACACAUCUACCACAAAGUCUCUCAACAUCUCAUUUCAUAUGUGGUCAAUAGAAGUGUUCCUACAAAACGGCUAAGGUCAUUACAACUCCAAAAUGCCCCAUCAACCCUCCUCCAUGGGAUUCUCUCAAAGAACAAUUAGGUACACACAAUUUAUUCUCCCAAAACAAGUAGCCAUCACACCUAAAGAACUUACCAAAGAGCAGUCUUUUCACAAACUUGGUAAUCUAAGCGAAUAGAAAAGAAUCUAAAUCAAAUCAGAAUCCUAAUCUAAGCGAAUAGAAAAGAAUCAAAAUCAAAUUAGAAUCCUAAUCUAAUCAAAUAGGAAAGAAUCUAAAUCAAAUCAGAAUCCUAAUCAGUUAAAUGCCUUACAUUAAUUAAAAUAGAAACUCAACAAUUAAAAGAGAAAUAACUGAUUUGUUUCUCCACUAGCCUCCUCAAGAAACGGGAAAGUAUCCAAAAAGGGAAAAUAAUAUAUUUUCCCGCCAUAAUGUGCAAGCCAACUUCCUAUUUCAUAGAAGUGAUUAUUUGGAAACUUCAAGAGCCUGAAUCAUGCAUUUAUCAUGUGCAAUUCCUUCAAUGGGGCCUCCACGAAUUUGAAUGAGCCCAAGUUGCUUAAAUUAAUCGAUUAAGUGCUUCUUUGAAUUUCUUUGCAGAGCUCUUAUGAUGGGUCUGAUGGGAACUUGAAUAGGAUCUAAAUAUACCUCAUCCCACAUGUUUGUGACAGUUUUGUCCUCAAUCUCAUCACACUUCUAUUAUAUGCAAAUUCUACAUGUGGCAAGCAUUUUUCCCUUGUUUUCAAGUUCUUAUGUAUUAUAACAUGUAACAAAGUGGAUAAAGUCCUAUUAACUCCUUUGGUUUGUCCACCAAUUUGUUGAUGACAAGUAGUAGAAAACAAAAGUUUAGUUCAUAACUUACCUCAUAAAUUUUUCUAAAAUAAACUUAAAAACUUUGCAUCCCUAUUUGAAACAAUACUUCUAGGCAUGCCGUACAAUCUCAUGAUCUCUUUGAAAAGCAAGUUAGCAAUAUUUAAAGCAUGAAAUACUAAUUAAUAUCCCAAUUCAUCCCCCCUCUUGGGUUGCUUAAUUAGUAUUUCAUUUGGUAUCAGAGUGAGGUGCUCUUGUGUAGACUUAACCGUCUAGAGUUAAAGAUCUAUAGCAACCCAAAUUAGCUCAACCUUCAUGGAAGGUCAAUCUACCACUAGACCUCCAUUCUUUGAUGGUAAUGACUAUCCUUAUUGGAAAACUAGGAUGAGAGUCUUUUUACAAGCUUUAGACUAUGAAAAUUGGGAAAUAGUUUGUAAUGGUUCAUUCAUUCCUAGGAAGAAUGCCUUAAGUGAGUUGGAUAAGAAAAAUAUGUUUUUAAAUUCCAAGGCUAUGAAUGCUUUAUUUUGUGCCUUAGAUAAAAAGGAAUUUCAUAGAGUUUCAAAUUGUUCUAAUGCUUAUGAAAUUUGGAGAAAACUUGAAGUUGUGUAUGAGGAGACUACAAACGAGGAGGAAUCUCAUGAAGUAUUGAAUUUGGCACUUAUGGCAAUUGGAGAUGAAUCGAAUGAUGAACUUGAUGAGGUAAGUGAUCUUCCUACUUAUGAUGAAUUACAUGAUGCGUUUAAAGAAUUGCAUGAUGAGUGGAUGAAAAUUGGAACAAUUAUUGGAAGUAUGGUCUAUGAAUAAUGAACACAGAUGUGAACAUUUUUGCUUCUGAUGCGGGCAUACGUUCCAAAUUAUGGAAUUGGGACAAUUGUUGGAGUUUCAUUCUCCACCAUGGAAGAAUGCAUGUCUUAAAAAGAAAAUGGUAGAGCUUACAAAUAAAAAUGAAUCUCUAAGUGCAAAGAUUAUAUGCCUAGAACUAGAUAAUAAAACAUUGCAUGAUAAAGUUGCAUUAUCAAAUGAGAAAUGUAGCACUUCACACAAGCAUCUAGAAUCACAUGUAGAUGACUUAAAAAAUGAAAAAGAUGCCCUGCAAAAAUGCAAUGUUUCAUUAAAUAAAAAGAUCAAACAAUUGGAAUUAGCUAAUGAAAUGUUACAUGAUAGGAUUGCAUCAUUUAAAUGUAAACAAAGUACUUCAUAUGAGCAUGAUUAAUCACAUGUUGAUGAAUUAAUGAAAGAAAAUGAAGUGCUUAAGAAGAAGAGCAAUGAGUUAAAUGAGAUUGUCUUAAAAUUUACAAAUGGACAAAAGAUGUUAGAUAACUUGCUUAAUUCACAAAAAUGUGUGUUUGACAAAGGAGGUAUUGAUUAUAAGCCAAAUUUGAAACAAAAAUAUUAUAAGAGUUAUUUUAUUCAAACUACCUCCAUUAAUGAUCAAAUUGUAUGUCAUUAUUGCUAUCAAAAUGGUCACAUGAAACUUAGAUGUCCAGUUAAAAGAAAUGCAUAUUAUGGAGCAACAUGUAUUUGGGUUCUAAAAGGAACCAUUGCUAAUACUCAAGAACCCAAGAAUAUUUGGGUACCAAAGCACACAACUUGAAUAUUUUUUUGAAGGUACCACAAACAAGGAAUGGUGGAGAGUUCCUUGAUGAAACUUGUGAAGAUAGUCACUUGAUCAUGGUCUAAGCAAAAAAUAAUGAGGCAAGAUGAUUUAACUGUUUUAGAAACAAUUAUUGCCUUAUUGAUUAUAAGUGACGGUCUUUUAAUCUUAAUAAGUAUUUCAUAUCUUAUCAUAACAUUAAGUGCAUUAAUAUGAGGUGGAUAAGCUUAUCUUGCCCAUUUGUUAUAUUGAGUGGAUCAUGAUAAAUGGAUAAUAACUUAAAUUUGCGAAAGUAUGCUUGUAUGUUUACAUGAUGGAAUUAUCAUUGUGUAUACCAUUGAGUGAUUUAUCAUGAUGCCUCUGUUUGAUUUUGAUGAUUGUAUGGUCUUUGAUUUCAUCUUCUUAAUUGUCUAUCAUCAUUGUCCAUCUCUUAUGUAUGUGUGAAUUCAUAUGCCAUUAAUUGUGUUAUAUUAUUUAUAAAAUUCGUACUAAUGACUUAUUGAGCUUAUGAUGGCUUUUCUUAAUAGCUAUGUUGAUUUUGAUGAUCUAUAUAUUGCAAUUAUAUACUUAUGUUUUGCUUAAGAUUUGAGAUAAAGAAUAUACUUUGAUGAUUACAUGUAUUUGAUGAAGUUUGAUCUUAUGAGAUCUAUGAUUCGUGAAUGGAUGCAUUUUUUGUACUUUAUUGAUGUAUUGUUGAAUAUGCAUUACUUGCUUUAAAUAAUAUUGAAAGGGGAUAAAUACGUAUACUUCGAGAAUUUUAAGCAUAUGAGAUUUUUUAAGUUAUAUGAAAAUGUCACAUUAGAUCUUUGAUGAGUUUAAUUGUCUUGAUUUUUAAAAUGUGUUUAGUUAUUAUGGAGUUUGGAUAGUUGAUAAUAUGUUCUUAUAACUUUUGCAUGCUAUUUUGGUAAACAAAUCAAAACCUUUUUGUGAAUAACAAUUUUCAAAAAUUCGGCAUGAACUUAGGAUGAUGAAAUUUAUUAAUAUCUCUAAGAAUGUUAUUAAUACUAUUAAAAUUGAUUUCUUGAUGAUUUUGAUGAUUGAUGAUUAUAUGUGUGUUGCUUGAUGAAUUGAUAGAGUUGUUGGUUUGUUAUAAUUGUUUAAGCUUAUAUGGAAGUAUUUUUAACCAUGUUGUGUAUUUAAGGAUUUGUUCAUUUUUAAGGGGAGACUUUGCCGAAAUUUUUGUUCGCACAAAAUGGGUAAUAUCUUCAUCGAAUUAUUUUUUAUGAUCUUGUUUCGAUUGCAUCUAUCUAUCUUUUCUUUUUUAUGAUGAAGGGGGAGAUAAAUAUGAUAUGUUUUUGGAUAAAAUCAUUUUGGUUAAAAUUUUAAAUUGGCCAUAUAUUUAGAGGGAGCAUAUAAUAUGAUUUUGGAUAAUAUGCAUUUUGAACUUUUUUGUUGUCCAAAGGGGGAGACAAAGUAAUAUAUCAUUUUGAUGUUAUCAAAAAGAGGAGAAUAAUAUGGACUUUUGAAUAUUGUUUUGAUGAUUAAUAUGUGAUUAUGGUGAUGAUUUUGAGAUAUGAUGAUGAUUUGAUUACAUGGUGUGUAUUAUGAUUUAUAAUAAUUUGGGAGUAAUAUUACUUCUAUCCCAAUUUCUACUCGGACAACAUGGGUAACAAAUUUGCUACUCUUUUUCUUUUCCACUAAGUUUUCUUUUUGAUGAUGAGGGGGAGAAGAAUACAUGUAUUUAAAUUUGUUAAUUUAGCUAAAUUGUAAGAGAAACUUACAUUUAAGGGGAGCAAUUUGUGCAAUCAUUCUUUAAAUACAUGAAAGGUUUGCCAUCAUCAAAAAGGGGGAAAAUGUUAACAUAUAUGUUUCCAUAGUGUUAAUUUUGAUGAUAACAAACAAGAUUAAGAAUGAUUAAUCUUUUAAGCUCAAAUUGUAAGGGGAGUUUACAUUUAGGGGGAGCAAGUUGUGGAAUCAUUCUUUAAAUACAUGCAAGGUUUUUCAUCAUAAAAAAGGGGGAGAUUGUUAGCAUAUAUGUAUCCAUAAUAUUGAUUUUGAUGAUAACAAACAAGAUUAAGAAUGUUUAAGUUUUAAAAGCUCAAAUUAUUUUAAAUAAAUCAUUAUUUUCAUAAUAUAAAUGUUUUAUACUUAAUGGAAAAAUGAUUUUAUGAAAUUGGUUAUUUUCAAUUAAUGGUCUAAAUUGAAAAAAGUUUUGAAACUCUGGAAAUGGACUUAUUUGUAAAGUUUUAUGACAAUUUGGGUCAUAGUAUAAUUUUAUGAAGUUUUGGGGCCAAACUAUAAUUUUGCAAAAAUAGUUCACUGUAGCAGUCACUGUAGAAAAUGGCGAACGCAUGUCUGCCCUGUUCCAUAAAAUUGGUGGUAUCAAUGACCACACCCUCAAGCAUGUCUUCUUGUCUUCUUUGCCUGAAGAAUUACAACCUGAAAUCCGUCGCCAGAUUGCUAAUGCCCAGCUCGACAUCAAUAAUCUUUCUCUUGGCCGUCUCUUCCAGCUGGCUUUAGUGUCUCUUGAUUACCUCUGUGAUCAGAAGAAAUUCUUCCGAAACCUCAUGAAAGACCAAGAAGGAUUCCAAACCGCCUGCAAGAAACCCUACUUGGAAAUCAAGUGCAAAGACUCUAAGCAUUGUACUUGUCCCUCCACGAAGAAACACCACAAAGUCAGGUUUCACAGAAAAUCUUCCAGAACUCCACAGUCACGCCCAUUCCCUAGGCGUCCCAAAAAGAUUCGGUACUUCAGAAGACGACAACCUUCUGAGAUCCUUGACCGACGAAGAACAAAGAGCAGAUGCUUCAUUUGCAAAAAGCUCGGACAUUUUGCUAAAGAAUGCCCUAAGAACCCUAAGCGGUCUCAACGCUUAGUUCAACAGUUUCAAUCCUUACAUCAGUUCUCUCCUGAUGCUGACCAAAUUGAGUUUUUAUACUCUGAACAAGAAAGUCCUGAUCCGGAUACAGUUUUUGCCCUUGGCACUUCUGAUUCAGAUUCAGAUUCAACUUCAUCUACUGAACCAGAAGACUAUUCCCCUGUCUUCCACAUCCAGUCAGUACCUUCAUCCUCCACUCAAUUGUCAGUUCAACCCAUUCCUUCCGUCAAAAUCCAAAUCCUGUUAUCCAAAUACAGUCGGCCCAUUCCUGCUAUUGCCUUCAUAGACACUGGCGCUCAGCGCAGUAUUUUAAACCCUGCUAUUUUGCCGCCUGAAACCUGGAUUUCAAAUGAAAAUCAUUUCCGUGCUGCUAGUGGAAAAUUGUUUUCUACAAAGCUCCGCACCAAGUCUAGAAUUGGAAUUCAGCUAUUCCCAAAGCUCACAGUUUGGACCCAUGUAAUCGGGUCUAGCCUACCUGACAAAGAUCUUCUUCUUGGGUUUGAUAUCCUAUUCCAAGCCCAAAAGAUUCAAGUCCUUCCUACUGGUCUCAGAUUCCAGUCCAUGUUCCAACCAUACACAGACCAGCUCAAACUCUAUCAUUUGGCCCAGUCCCCUCCUGAUUAUCAGUCUAUUUCGGCCCAGUUACUAAGGUUUUGUCCUCCAAAUCAUUUGGCCUUUGCCCAUCCACAUCCUCUGUGGAAAAAUCCAGCCCAUUUCGUUAAGCUCCCUUUUAAGCUUAAUGAAGACCUUAAUCCUACCAAAGCAACCCAUCCGGGUAUGCCUCCUUCUGAGCUUCAGUUAGCCCAAACAGAAUGUGCAGAGUUACUCGCCCAAGGCCUCAUUGAGCCCACAACUUCUCCGUGGGCCUGCCAAGCCUUUUAUGUUAAUAAACGUGCCGAAACAUUACGGGGUAAAAAGCGUCUUGUUAUUGAUUAUCAGCCUUUAAACCAGUUUUUACAGGAUGAUAAAUUUCCUUUACCUCGAAAAAAUUCCAUCUUUACCUACCUCCAAAAUGCCAGAAUAUUUUCUAAGUUUGACUUAAAGUCUGGGUUUUGGCAGCUGGGUAUUGACCCUGCUGAACGUUAUAAAACUGCAUUCUGUAUUCCCAAUGCCCAUUACCAAUGGACCGUUCUUCCCUUUGGUCUCAAAACUGCACCAUCCAUUUUCCAAAAAGCCAUGACCCAAAUCUUCCAGCCCCUCCUUCACCAUACCCUUGUUUAUAUUGACGAUUUACUUCUGUUUUCAGGUACUCCAGAAGAGCAUCAAGUUUUACUCCAACAGUUCCAUGAUAUCAUAGCUCACUACGGUAUUAUGCUUUCCGACAAAAAGAGUACAAUUGCCACAGAUACCGUAGAAUAUCUCGGUCUGCAGAUAAAGAAUAGAUUCUAUCAGCCUGGACCCCACAUUGCACAAGAAUUACUCCACUUUCCAGAUAAGGAUUUCACAAAGAAACAAGUCCAACAGUUCCUUGGCAUCAUCAACUACAUCCGCGAUUUCCUGCCUCAUGUGGACCAGCAGACCAGUAUACUUUCUGCUUUACUAAAAAAGAAUCCUAUCUCUUGGGAUUCCCGUCACGCUACAGCUGUCCAGCGGCUAAAGCAGAUAGCCCAGAAUCCACCACAACUCAAGAUCAUGACAGAUGGCAAACGUAUCCUACAGACUGACGCUUCAGACACAUCAUGGGGAGCCCUGUUGCUUGAACAGAUCGACAAAAAGGAAUAUCUAAUCGGAUAUGCUAGUGGACAUUUUAGUCCAGCCCAGCAGCACUAUCACACGAUCUACAAGGAGAUUCUUGCCGUAAAAAACGGCAUCAAAAAGUUCGAAUACCACCUCCUUGGCCAUAGAUUCCUGAUCAGAUUGGAUAAUUCCUCUUUCCCUAAAGUCCUCCAGUUUAAAGGUAAAACGAUUCCCAACAGCCAGUCACUUCGGUUGCAGGAAUGGUUUUCCCGAUAUGAAUUUGAUGUUGCACAUAUAAAAGGACAAAAGAACCUCAUUCCAGAUUUCCUAUCUCGCAUUCAGACACCUGCCUCUCCAAUCUUCUACACUUCCCCAGUCUUCCCGAUCUUCAUGGCUACUAGAUCUACUGCUACCUCUCUGCCUUCUAAGGCUCUUACCCAAAAGACCUUCCCACGGCCUGUACAAACUUUUCCUUCCCUCUACCGCCUUCAGGAGUUUGCUAAACAAUUUCUUUUCCGCUACUACAUGAAAGCUUUCUUCCUUGAAGAAAACCCUCACAAUCAGUUCCUCACUUUUCAUCCCGAGAAUCUCUUCCUCACCGGAUUCUUCAUCCCCUCUAUCCGGGAUAUUAGUGACGAUGAACUCUGGUAUUUCUGGUGCUUAACUGCACUCCAUGCAACUCAGUUAAUCAUCCCCUUAGCCUACACAGUCAACACCCUCAAUAAUCCUUCCAAGGCUACUUCUCUGUUAUGGACUCUGUUAGAAUGGUUCUCUCCUAUUCCUCAAUGGAGAUCCCAACUCCAGCAGCUUAGUCACAACCAUCAUCUUUCCACCAUCCCUUCUCAUGAAGCUGAAAAAUUCACAUCCGUGUUCAUAGUUCACCGACCAUAUUUUCGUCACCCAGAGACAGCCGCCUUCUUUGCUCAACCACAAAUCAACCACUACCACACAACCCCUCAUCCCAGCACACUGGAUCAAGACCCCAUGUUCAAAAAGGCUCUCAUGAAUCAUCUCCUGUCCUUAAAUCAUGUUCCUCCACCACCACAAGACAUCAUCUCCAGUUCUAUUGGACCUCGUCAUGACAUGUUCAUGGUACCUAAUCCUUCUGGUUCUAGCAAAGGUAUUAUUAUCAAAGAAGAACGUCCAGAUACUCCUCCACAGAUUUACUACCAGGAUUCUCAGGAUCCUGAAGAUGACUUUUUACCGCUCAGUCAACUCCUCCAAGAGUUUCAGACUCCACCAGAACAAGGCCAGUCAUCACGAGUCAUUUCACAAUCUGAGCCCAUCAUCACUCAUCCACCAUCACAAUGCAGAUCUCUCUGCAUUCCCGGGAUUGUCCAUGCUAAAGGAUGUCCUCAGUAUGAUGGCCCUACUUAUCUAGAACAGUGCACCUUAUUCUGUGAACCUCAUGGAGCCAAUUGCCACAAAAGCUGCGUCAACUACCGCAGAUUUGAAUCCAGCUCCAGCUCAGAUGAUUACGGGAUGAAUCUAUCCUCUCCGUAAUCUCCGCCGCAUGUCUUGUCUUUUAUGUAAAAGAUAAAGUUAGGGGGUCCUGUCCCUACUUUACUUUAUUAAAGUAGCUUUUAUGUCUUGUCUUUUUAUGUAAAAGAUAAAGUUAGGGGUCCUGUCCCUACUUUACUUUAUUAAAGUAGCUUUUAUGUCUUGUCUUUUUAUGUAAAAGAUAAAGUUAGGGGUCCUGUCCCUACUUUACUUUAUUAAAGUAGCUUUUAUGUCUUGUCUUUUUAUGUAAAAGAUAAAGUUAGGGGUCCCUAUCCCUACUUUACUUUAUUAAAGUUGUUUGCUUUUUGAAAAGAUGAGGGUCCUGUCUCACUUUUCAAAAUUUGGCUUUCUCCCGUUGUAAUCCCUAUAUAAGGGAGCCUCCUCUUAGUUUUUCACUAAGGAAGAGGUGCGCCUUAAAAUAAUAUAUUGAGUGUUCUAUUAUCCAUGUCUCUCUAAACUCCUCUUUCUUAAGUUCUAUGGAGCUCUGAAAUAGAUAAGAAAAAGAAUAAGGAAAAUUUUAAAAACGAGUUUGUUCAAAACCAAGUUAGUAUGCUCUACACUUGCCUUUGUAUGAAGGAUCCUGUGUAUCAGAACACUUGAGACGGUCUUUAGCUGUUUUCUUAUCUGGUUUGGUACCCGUUUUAAGCUAAGGAAAGUUGUUUUAGGGUUGUAUAACCUAGCAAAGAAAACUGGUUUGAAAAGUCUCAAGUUAACGGAGUGGUAUCAGAGCCUCUUCAAAACGCAAAAUGAUUUUGGUAUAAUUCCUUUUGACAAAUUCCUUAUUCUGAUUUAAGUUUGCUUCAUCUCCAGAGAACUUAAGAGCUUUAUAAUCAUGGCAUCUUCUUCACAAACUCCAGUUCAAUUAUCUUCUUCCAUGUCCCUUCCAAAAACUGUUACUAAGCAUACUACGUCUAAGCUAGAGAGUCUUGUUGAGUAUUCCUAUAUCCCAGAUUCUGUCCACGUAAAUGAGUCUUCUCUUCCUCUUGUUAAUCCUUACCAGUUGUAUCAACGUCAUUCUCGUUUCACUCGUUCUAUCCGUUCUCUUAUUAGUACUUCCCGUUCUACUCCUAAAGAGUACAUCCAGUCUUCGUCUCUUGAUCAAUGUUCCCUCCAAUCUACUUCUGCUGAGCAGUAUGUCACUUUAGAAAUUUCCCCUGAGCUCAUUUCCCACUGGAAACAGCAACGAUAUACUCACUUUCAUCUCGGUGGUGUCCGCCUUAUUCUCACCCUCCAUGGGCGAAAAGGUCUUCCUGUCACAGCCCGUAUUGCACUCCUUGACACCCGCUUCAAACAAUAUGAGCAGGCUACCAUUGGUACUGUCCUCACUACCCUGCAUGCUGGCAGUGUUGUUCUCACUGUCUAUCCCAACUUCAAUCUUUCCCUUGAUGACCCCAACCUUUCCACUUUCUUAAAAAUCCAAGUUCAGAUUCAAGGAGCUGAACAAGUCUCCAGUGCAAAGAUUGCUACCGUCCACCAUCAGUUGGUUUACAGACUUCAGAACCACUCCCUUAUCCUUCCCACACCUCCCGAUCUCAGUUCAGAUACACUCAUGAUCCUUGCUGAAUCUCCAGACAUCCCCACCAUUAUCCAGAUCCCACGACAGAUCCUUCGUGCUGAUCUUCUCAAGAUCAUGCCUCUCGAGUGGAUAACCAACUAUGAGCAUUUCCAUCAAAACACCACUCCUGUUCAAACCUCUGAACCUAUGUAUGAGAAACGGUCUGAUGGUUCUGUUCGCCUUCAGUUCAAACCUCCUCCUUCUGCCCCUGCCGAACCUUCCCGAUUAUCCUUUACCUGCUCCAUGGUCCAACCUGUUGACAUCAUUCCAGAAGUCCUUCCUUCUGGCAAACCAUUACCCAUUAUGUCCUUCACCUCCCAAGGUACUCCUGUUUACCCAGACAAAAUUGAUGGCCAUUUCUUAUGGGAUGUUCCCGGCUCUGGCCGAUGUGAUCCCGGCUGUCCAUGUAAUGAUGAUGAGGAUGAUUAUUCUUCUAGAUCGAAAAAGAAGAAAAUUAUCUAUCCUGCCUGCAAAUUAUAUUUGCCCGAAGAUGAUGAUGAUGAACCCGAUUAUCCACCUCCUUUGCCACUUUACGACAAAGGACUUCAGUGGAUCCAGAAACAUCAGCCCAGAUCAUGCAAACCAGUCCGGUCCUCGGCUGGUCUUCUGCCUACACCUCCUAUGGUGUCCUGCAUGAUGUUCUCAUCUGCCUCUGCCUCAGAUUAUAGUUCUGAGUACCCGCCUCUUGAGAAACGCUCAGACCAAAAGCACCAGGUUUGGAGCAAACCAUUUGUCAACUCUCCUAUUUCCUCCAGUGGACAUCUUGAAGAACCCAAGCCUUUUGAAGCAGUCCUUAACUGGCAAACUCAGAAUGCCAGAGUCCAGAAUGCUUCUCUUACUUCCUUACACUCUAAAGUUGAUCAGAUCGCUCACAGAUCCUCUGCUGUUGAAACAAGGGUUACUUCCCUCUCAGACCAGUUGACCAAUUUGUAUAAUAGUCUUCAUACUAAGGUUGCACAGCUUGACCGUGACCUUCGAGCCAUGAUUGCCCGCGGUGAUAAUUCUCAUGAGUUCACUCGAAAAGAGCAAGAAAUCAGACAGCUUCAAGCUCAAAUUGCCAGAAUUGAUGCUGACAACCAACGGCGUCAAGCAGUUCAUACUGCUCCCCUAUCCUAUUUUCCCACAGAACCAUAUCACCCUCUCGGGUCCUUUUUCCCUACUACUCCAAGGGAUUAUACUCCUGAGAAAGUCUUUCCCAUGACCUACCACUUGAACCCUCAACCUGCAAAACCUAAACCUCGACCUCCUCGACGCCCUGUUCCACCUCCUACAGUGUCUAUCCCUCCUCCAGUUCGUCCUAUGUAUUCAAACGCUAUCCAAAAACCCCUUCAGAUACAUGAACCAGUAUUCCCUGACCUUCCAUCUACCUCAGCCUUACCUCCAUUUCCGGAAUCUCCUUCUAAAGCCGAACAAAAGAAGCCUACUGAGACUUACCUUAUCACUGCACCAGUCCUUGACCAGCUUCACCGCUCCUCAGAAGAAUCCAGUCCCUCUGAUUCAGUCGACACCUUUGAUUCUAUCACUGAGACUUCUGAGCCCCAUAGUUUCAGUUCCGAUGAAUCCCAACAGCACUUGACUGAUAUUUCUCGUCUUCUUAUGGCGGAUCAUGCUGAGUCUACCACUACUGAUCCCCCUCCUCGGGAACCUGGCCAACCCUAUGUUGACAUUCCUUCCGAUGUUGAAGGAGAAAAUGAAGGAGACAACUCUAAUCCUCCUCCACGAAUUCGAACUAAAGUUGCCCCUGGCGCUGGACCAUGGUUUACCUUUGAUGAUCUUCCACCGGCUCGGUGGCGUGAACGUCUCCAGGAACUCUCUGCCUGGUUAGAUCUACAGAUGGUUAAACCUGAUGCAAAACUCUCUACAGUUCUUAAAGAAUUUGUCUCCCGAUUUACUGGCUCUCUCCGUGAUUGGUUUGACAGUCUCGGACAAUACAGACAAUUACUAUAUCUCCAGCACCCUACUGUCUCUGCUGCUCUCAUGGACAUUCAUUCCCAGUUUCUUGGAGAACCUGCAGCUAUCUUUGCCACUGCUCGUAAAGAAUAUCUCCAAAUGAGAUGUUGCUCGAUGCAGAGAUCUGACCUGCAUUAUCAUUUCAAACGCAUGUCUGCCCUGUUCCAUAAAAUUGGUGGUAUCAAUGACCACACCCUCAAGCAUGUCUUCUUGUCUUCUUUGCCUGAAGAAUUACAACCUGAAAUCCGUCGCCAGAUUGCUAAUGCCCAGCUCGACAUCAAUAAUCUUUCUCUUGGCCGUCUCUUCCAGCUGGCUUUAGUGUCUCUUGAUUACCUCUGUGAUCAGAAGAAAUUCUUCCGAAACCUCAUAAAAGACAAAGAAGGAUUCCAAACCGCCUGCAAGAAACCCUACUUGGAAAUCAAGUGCAAAGACUCUAAGCAUUGUACUUGUCCCUCCACGAAGAAACACCACAAAGUCAGGUUUCACAGAAAAUCUUCCAGAACUCCACAGUCACGCCCAUUCCCUAGGCGUCCCAAAAAGAUUCGGUACUUCAGAAGACGACAACCUUCUGAGAUCCUUGACCGACGAAGAACAAAGAGCAGAUGCUUCAUUUGCAAAAAGCUCGGACAUUUUGCUAAAGAAUGCCCUAAGAACCCUAAGCGGUCUCAACGCUUAGUUCAACAGCUUCAAUCCUUACAUCAGUUCUCUCCUGAUACUGACCAAAUUGAGUUUUUAUACUCUGAACAAGAAAGUCCUGAUCCGGAUACAGUUUUUGCCCUUGGCACUUCUGAUUCAGAUUCAGAUUCAACUUCAUCUACUGAACCAGAAGACUAUUCCCCUGUCUUCCACAUCCAGUCAGUACCUUCAUCCUCCACUCAAUUGUCAGUUCAACCCAUUCCUUCCGUCAAAAUCCAAAUCCUGUUAUCCAAAUACAGUCGGCCCAUUCCUGCUAUUGCCUUCAUAGACACUGGCGCUCAGCGCAGUAUUUUAAACCCUGCUAUUUUGCCGCCUGAAACCUGGAUUUCAAAUGAAAAUCAUUUCCGUGCUGCUAGUGGAAAAUUGUUUUCUACAAAGCUCCGCACCAAGUCUAGAAUUGGAAUUCAGCUAUUCCCAAAGCUCACAGUUUGGACCCAUGUAAUCGGGUCUAGCCUACCUGACAAAGAUCUUCUUCUUGGGUUUGAUAUCCUAUUCCAAGCCCAAAAGAUUCAAGUCCUUCCUACUGGUCUCAGAUUCCAGUCCAUGUUCCAACCAUACACAGACCAGCUCAAACUCUAUCAUUUGGCCCAGUCCCCUCCUGAUUAUCAGUCUAUUUCGGCCCAGUUACUAAGGUUUUGUCCUCCAAAUCAUUUGGCCUUUACCCAUCCACAUCCUCUGUGGAAAAAUCCAGCCCAUUUCGUUAAGCUCCCUUUUAAGCUUAAUGAAGACCUUAAUCCUACCAAAGCAACCCAUCCGGGUAUGCCUCCUUCUGAGCUUCAGUUAGCCCAAACAGAAUGUGCAGAGUUACUCGCCCAAGGCCUCAUUGAGCCCACAACUUCUCCGUGGGCCUGCCAAGCCUUUUAUGUUAAUAAACGUGCCGAAACAUUACGGGGUAAAAAGCGUCUUGUUAUUGAUUAUCAGCCUUUAAACCAGUUUUUACAGGAUGAUAAAUUUCCUUUACCUCGAAAAAAUUCCAUCUUUACCUACCUCCAAAAUGCCAGAAUAUUUUCUAAGUUUGACUUAAAGUCUGGGUUUUGGCAGCUGGGUAUUGACCCUGCUGAACGUUAUAAAACUGCAUUCUGUAUUCCCAAUGCCCAUUACCAAUGGACCGUUCUUCCCUUUGGUCUCAAAACUGCACCAUCCAUUUUCCAAAAAGCCAUGACCCAAAUCUUCCAGCCCCUCCUUCACCAUACCCUUGUUUAUAUUGACGAUUUACUUCUGUUUUCAGGUACUCCAGAAGAGCAUCAAGUUUUACUCCAACAGUUCCAUGAUAUCAUAGCUCACUACGGUAUUAUGCUUUCCGACAAAAAGAGUACAAUUGCCACAGAUACCGUAGAAUAUCUCGGUCUGCAGAUAAAGAAUGGAUUCUAUCAGCCUGGACCCCACAUUGCACAAGAAUUACUCCACUUUCCAGAUAAGGAUUUCACAAAGAAACAAGUCCAACAGUUCCUUGGCAUCAUCAACUACAUCCGCGAUUUCCUGCCUCAUGUGGACCAGCAGACCAGUAUACUUUCUGCUUUACUAAAAAAGAAUCCUAUCUCUUGGGAUUCCCGUCACGCUACAGCUGUCCAGCGGCUAAAGCAGAUAGCCCAGAAUCCACCACAACUCAAGAUCAUGACAGAUGGCAAACGUAUCCUACAGACUGAUGCUUCAGACACAUCAUGGGGAGCCCUGUUGCUUGAACAGAUCGACAAAAAGGAAUAUCUAAUCGGAUAUGCUAGUGGACAUUUUAGUCCAGCCCAGCAGCACUAUCACACGAUCUACAAGGAGAUUCUUGCCGUAAAAAACGGCAUCAAAAAGUUCGAAUACCACCUCCUUGGCCAUAGAUUCCUGAUCAGAUUGGAUAAUUCCUCUUUCCCUAAAGUCCUCCAGUUUAAAGGUAAAACGAUUCCCAACAGCCAGUCACUUCGGUUGCAGGAAUGGUUUUCCCGAUAUGAAUUUGAUGUUGCACAUAUAAAAGGACAAAAGAACCUCAUUCCAGAUUUCCUAUCUCGCAUUCAGACACCUGCCUCUCCAAUCUUCUACACUUCCCCAGUCUUCCCGAUCUUCAUGGCUACUAGAUCUACUGCUACCUCUCUGCCUUCUAAGGCUCUUACCCAAAAGACCUUCCCACGGCCUGUACAAACUUUUCCUUCCCUCUACCGCCUUCAGGAGUUUGCUAAACAAUUUCUUUUCCGCUACUACAUGAAAGCUUUCUUCCUUGAAGAAAACCCUCACAAUCAGUUCCUCACUUUUCAUCCCGAGAAUCUCUUCCUCACCGGAUUCUUCAUCCCCUCUGUCCGGGAUAUCAGUGACGAUGAACUCUGGUAUUUCUGGUGCUUAACUGCACUCCAUGCAACUCAGUUAAUCAUCCCCUUAGCCUACACAGUCAACACCCUCAAUAAUCCUUCCAAGGCUACUUCUCUGUUAUGGACUCUGUUAGAAUGGUUCUCUCCUAUUCCUCAAUGGAGAUCCCAACUCCAGCAGCUUAGUCACAACCAUCAUCUUUCCACCAUCCCUUCUCAUGAAGCUGAAAAAUUCACAUCCGUGUUCAUAGUUCACCGACCAUAUUUCCGUCACCCAGAGACAGCCGCCUUCUUUGCUCAACCACAAAUCAGCCACUACCACACAACCCCUCAUCCCAGCACACUGGAUCAAGACCCCAUGUUCAAAAAGGCUCUCAUGAAUCAUCUCCUGUCCUUAAAUCAUGUUCCCCCACCACCACAAGACAUCAUCUCCAGUUCUAUUGGACCUCGUCAUGACAUGUUCAUGGUACCUAAUCCUUCUGGUUCUAGCAAAGGUAUUAUUAUCAAAGAAGAACGUCCAGAUACUCCUCCACAGAUUUACUACCAGGAUUCUCAGGAUCCUGAAGAUGACUUUUUACCGCUCAGUCAACUCCUCCAAGAGUUUCAGACUCCACCAGAACAAGGCCAGUCAUCACGAGUCAUUUCACAAUCUGAGCCCAUCAUCACUCAUCCACCAUCACAAUGCAGAUCUCUCUGCAUUCCCGGGAUUGUCCAUGCUAAAGGAUGUCCUCAGUAUGAUGGCCCUACUUAUCUAGAACAGUGCACCUUAUUCUGUGAACCUCAUGGAGCCAAUUGCCACAAAAGCUGCGUCAACUACCGCAGAUUUGAAUCCAGCUCCAGCUCAGAUGAUUACGGGAUGAAUCUAUCCUCUCCGUAAUCUCCGCUGCAUGUCUUGUCUUUUAUGUAAAAGAUAAAGUUAGGGGUCCUGUCCCUACUUUACUUUAUUAAAGUAGCUUUUAUGUCUUGUCUUUUUAUGUAAAAGAUAAAGUUAGGGGUCCCUGUCCCUACUUUACUUUAUUAAAGUAGCUUUUAUGUCUUGUCUUUUUAUGUAAAAGAUAAAGUUAGGGGUCCCUGUCCCUACUUUACUUUAUUAAAGUAGCUUUUAUGUCUUGUCUUUUUAUGUAAAAGAUAAAGUUAGGGGUCCCUAUCCCUACUUUACUUUAUUAAAGUUGUUUGCUUUUUGAAAAGAUGAGGGUCCUGUCUCACUUUUCAAAAUUUGGCUUUCUCCCGUUGUAAUCCCUAUAUAAGGGAGCCUCCUCUUAGUUUUUCACUAAGGAAGAGGUGCGCCUUAAAAUAAUAUGUUGAGUGUUCUAUUAUCCAUGUCUCUCUAAACUCCUCUUUCUUAAGUUCUAUGGAGCUCUGAAAUAGAUAAGAAAAAGAAUAAGGAAAAUUUUAAAAACGAGUUUGUUCAAAACCAAGUUAGUAUGCUCUACACUUGCCUUUGUAUGAAGGAUCCUGUGUAUCAGAACACUUGAGACGGUCUUUAGCUGUUUUCUUAUCUGGUUUGGUACCCGUUUUAAGCUAAGGAAAGCUGUUUUAGGGUUGUAUAACCUAGCAAAGAAAUCUGGUUUGAAAAGUCUCAAGUUAACGGAGUGGUAUCAGAGCACAAAACAAAUAAAUGAAGUUGAAUAAUCAAAGGAGUCGUUUGAAUUCCCAAGCCUGAACAAGCUGUAAUAAAUUGAUCAUAACUCCUUCUAGAUAACUCCACAUCUAGCUCUGUAAAUGCAUUGGAAAGCUAACUUAAUUAUCUUUCCAAUGGUAUAUAGCUUGCACAUUAAUUCUGGCUCAAUCAAUACCAUAUUUAUUCCAAAUUUGCCCUCUCUGCAUUUGAUCCAAAUUGUGUAUUUGGCUGCCCAAUAGCUUGAAUAAUGCCCACAAUGCCUUGUCUUCUCUCUAAGCCCAAUUCAUGAUGUCUUGCAUCUUGAAUUGCAUUUUCAAUCCAUAUUUUCUCAAUUAAUCCAUUUAAUGCAGCUUGCAUCUUUUUGGCUCUAGCUCUUGUAAUUGGAGGAUCACUUGAAGCUUUAAUGGUAUUCCUUUGAUGGUUCUCGUCAUUCCCCCUCUCUUCAAAAGGAUUCGUCCUCGAAUCUUCACCUACAUCGAAAGGAAAAAGAUUAGAAACAUUAAAAGUAGCACUUACAUUAUACUCACCAAGAAGAUCCAAUUUGUAGGCAUUGUCAUUGUCAUUGAUCCGUGCAACCACUUGAAAUGGACCAUCUCCCCUUGGAAGCAACUUGGAACGCCUUUGUGCUGGGAACCUCUCCUUUCUCAUAUGCACCCACACCCAAUCUCCAGGCUGAAAAACCACUUGCUUAUGUCUUUUGUUGGCUUGAGUAGCAUAUUGUUCAGUUCUCUUUUCUAUGUGUUAUCGCGUUCUCUCAUGCAAUUGCUUGACAAAUUCAGCUUUCUUUUUACCAUCCAUACUAGCACGCUCAUCAAUAGGUAAAGGUAAUAAAUCCAAAGGAGUUAAUGGAUUAAAACCAUAUACAAUCUCAAAUGGUGAAAAUUUAGUAGCUGAAUGGACAGCUCUAUUGUAAGCAAAUUCAACAUGUGGCAAACAUUCUUCCAAAGUUUUCAAGUUCUAUUUACAACCUCAGUUUGUCCAUCAGUUUGUGGAUGACAAGUAGUAGAAAACAAAAGUUUAGUACCCAACUUACCCCACAAAGGUUUCCAAAAGUGGCUCAAGAACUUAGCAUCUCGAUCUGAAACUAUGCUCCUUGGUACUCAAUGCAAUCUGACUAUUUCCUUGAAAAAUAAAUUAGCUAUGUUUGUUGCAUCAUCAGUUUUGUGACAUGGAAUGAAAUGUGCCAUCUUUGAAAACCUAUCAACAACAACAAAAACAGAAUCCUUUCCCCUUUUUGACCUAGGUAAACCCAAAACAAAGUCCAUAGAAAUAUCAACCCAAGGUUCACUAUAUGGGUAGAGGGUUAUACAAUCCAUGGGGUAAAACUCUAGACUUAGCAUGUUUACAAGUGAUACACUUCUCACAUAUUCUUUCAACAUCACGUUUCAUAUGUGGCCAAAAGAAGUGUUCUUUUAAAACAUCUAAAGUCUUUGCAAUGCCAAAAUGUCCCAUUAAACCUCCCCCAUGAGCUUCACGCACAAUCAAUUCACGCAAAGAACUAUUAGGCACACACAAUUUAUUUUCUCUAAAUAAGAACCCAUUAUGCCUAUAGAACUUACCGAAUGAAACUUCUCACAAGCAUUAAACACAUUAGCAAAAUCAAGAUCAUUAACAUAUAAUUAUUUAAUGUACUCAAAUCCUAACAACUUUGCAUUUAAUGUAGAGAUAAGUGCAUAUCUUCUAGAUAAUGCAUCAGCCACCACAUUCUCGUUACCUUGUUUGUAUUUGAUCACAUAGGGAAUUGGCUCAAUAAAUUCAACCCAUUUGGCAUGUCUCUUAUGCAACUUACCUUGCCCUUUCAAAUGCUUCAAGGACUCGUGAUCAGUGUGUAUAACAAACUCUUUAGGUAGAAGAUAGUGUUGCCAAGUUUCUAAUGCUCUCACCACUGCAUACAUCUCCUUGUCAUAUGUAGGAUAGUUUAGGGCUGCUCCACUCAAUUUCUCACUAAAAUAAGCAAUUGGACGCUCUUCUUGCAUCAAAACAACUCCAAUACCUAUACCUGAAGCAUCACACUCAAUUUCAAAAGUUUUAGCAAAAUCGGGUAAAGCGAGUAAUGGUGCAGAAAUCAAUUUCUCCUUAAUAAGAUUAAAUGCCCUUUCUUGUUCACUACCCCACUUAAAUCCCACAUGUUUCUUCACAAUUUCAGUCAAUGGUGCAGCAAGGGUGCAAAAAUCUUUCACAAAUCUUCUAUAAAAACUAGCCAAACCAUGAAAACUUCUUACCUCACUUACACUUUUAGGUGUAGGCCACUCUUUAAUAGCCUUUACCUUCUCUUCAUCAACCUCAAUUCCUUUAGCACUUACAACAUAACCAAGAAAAACAAUCUGAUUUGUACAAAAGGAACACUUCUUUAAAUUAGCAUAUAACUUUUUCUUCCUUAAAACAGUCAAUACAGUUUGCAAAUGUUCAAUGUGUUCAUCUAAGCCUUUGCUAUAGAUCAAAAUAUCAUCAAAAUAGACAACUACGAAUUUACCAAUAAAAGCACGCAAAACAUGGUUCAUUAACCUCAUAAAAGUGCUAGGUGCAUUAGAUAACCCAAAUGGCAUCACUAACCACUCAUAUAAACCAUAUUUUGUUUUAAAGGCAGUUUUCCACUCAUCUCCCUCUCUGAUCCUAACUUGAUGAUAUCCACUUUUAAGAUCAAUUUUACUAAACACACAAGAACCAUGCAAUUCAUCAAGCAUGUCAUCAAGUCUAGGAAUAGGAUGUUGAUACUUUACAAUGAUUUUAUUAAUUGCACGAUAGUCAACGCACAUCCUCCAUGUGCCAUCCUUUUUGGGCACUAGUAAAACUGGUACCGCACAUGGACUCAUGCUCUCCCUCACAUAUCCCUUUGCCAAGAGUUCUUCAACUUGCCUUUGAAGCUCCUUUGUCUCCUCAGGGUUACUUCUAUAUGCGGGUCUAUUAGGAAUGGUAGCUCCAGGGACUAAGUCUAUUUGAUGCUCAAUUCCCCUAAUAGGAGGCAAACCAUUAGGGACUUCAUUUGGAAACACAUCAUCAAAGUCCUGCAAAAGAGUCACAAUAGCACUAGGCAAAGAAAAGUUAAGCUCAUUAGUAUGUAAACAAGCCUCUUUGCACAAAAGUACAACGAUAGGCUGUUUUGAAAAGAAAGCCCUCUUAACCUCGCUCUCUUUUGCAAACAAGUUCACUUGCUGCCUCUCUUUUCUCUCAACAAUAUUUUUUUCUAUCUUUUCACUUGUUUUUCUCUCAAUCUCUCUUUCUUUUGUACUCUCAUUUUCUUUUUUUGUAUCACUCUCUUUUUAUUUUGACAUUUGAUCCUCAUACACUUGCCUAGGUGUUAAUGGUGCAAGAGUGAUUUGCUUUUCAUUCAUUACAAAAGAAUAUCUAUUUAAGUAACCAUCAUGUGUCACACGCCUAUCAUAUUGCCAAGGUCGCCCCAAAAGAAUGUGUCCAGUAUGCAUGGGUACUACAUCACAUAGAACUUCAUCCGUUGUAUCUCUCAUAGAGAAUGAAACUAGCACUNNNNNNNNNNNNNNNNNNNNNNNNNNNNNNNNNNNNNNNNNNNNNNNNNNNNNNNNNNNNNNNNNNNNNNNNNNNNNNNNNNNNNNNNNNNNNNNNNNNNNNNNNNNNNNNNNNNNNNNNNNUCCACCAUCAAUUAUCAUACUACAUACCUUAUCUUUGAUGUGGCAUCUAGUAUGAAAGAAGUAAUCAUGUAGUACCUCUGCAUCUUCUUUUACUUGCACGUUGAGAGCAUGCCUAACAACCAUCAAUUUCCAUCAACAGGAUACUCUACACCAUCAUUAGCAUCCUCCAAAGGUGGCAUAGGUUCAUCAUCUGAUUCACUCUCGGUUUCAACAUCUCCAUCAUCCCUCAAGAUCAUUACUCUCUUAUUUGGGCAUUGAGUCCCCAAACAUUUAAAACACUUAAUAUCUCUAUUUCUAGAGUGUUGGGAAUCAGAUUUACCUUUAUGAUCCUUGAAUGGCUCAAUCUUAGGAUUUGAAAUAGCCUUUUCAUCUUUGCUCCAUUUUGACUUAGUGGAACCUUUCUUUUUCAGUUGUUGUUCCACUUUCAUGGCCAUGUGAACCAUGUCUUUCAACUCAACAUAGUGCUGCAAGUCAACCACAUUAGCAAUAUCUUGAUUUAAACCAUGUAAAAAUCUUGCCAUAGUGGCCUCUCGUUCUUCUUCAAUGUUGGCUCGAAUCAUGAUUAUUUCCAUCUCCUUGUGGUAAUCUUCCACACUUCUGGAACCUUGUGUAAGGCUUUGAAGCCUUUGAUGCAGCUCCCUAUAAUAAUGACUAGGAACAAAUCUCCUCCUCAUGAUGGCCUUCAUCUCCUCCCAAGUGUUUAUAGGUCUUUCACGAUUUCUUCUCCUACUCAAAAAAAGUUGAUCCCACCAAAUAAUAGCAUAAUCAGUAAAUUCAACAGCAACUAAUUUUACCUUUUUCUCCUCAGAGUAGUUGUGGCAAUCAAAUACUAGCUCCACCUUUUUUCCCCAUUCCAAAUAAACUUUCGGAUCAUUUUUACCUUAAAGUCAUGGAACUAUGAUAUUUGGAAGUCUAGAAUAGAGGAUCUACAUUGUAUGAAGGAGUUACAUGAAUCUAUUAAAGGUGAAUAAGUUGCGACAUGAAUCUGUGAUCAAAGUGUAUAUGUUGCGACAAGAAUCUGAGGCUGAUGUUCUUUGGAGAAAAGUGGAAACAAUUUAUGGAAACUAAAGGAUGCAUUAAAUGAAGCAGCCGACAACACAAACUAAAGGAUGCAUUAAAUAGAUUAAUUGAGCACAUCUCAAAUUCAUGCCUUUUUCAAGAUACUAAUCUGUCCAAAUUAGGAAUUGAAGAUAUCAAUGCUUCGUCAAUAUUAUUCAAACUUCUAAAUUUGAUUUAGAGUGACUUACAUAAAGAACAAACAAGGCCUUAUCAAAUUAGGAACAUAAAUUUGGCAAAAUCUUGUUUUCCUAAUCUUCUUUGAAAACAAGAUCUUUUAUUUCUUUUUUACUUUAGGAUCAACAAGAUCUUUUAUUUCCUCUUUACUUUAAGAUAGAAAAAAUCUUUUAUUUCCUUUUUACUUUAGGAUAGAUAAGAUCUUUUAUUUUCUUUUUACUCCACGCGAGCAAAAUUAAAAUAAUAAAAGAUUGCAGACAUAUAGAAUCAAACAUCUAGAGAUAAAAUCAUAAAUAUACUAUGAGCCCAUGAAGUUACUACCUUUGCAUUCUAACUCACAAAAUUUAGUUGCAUCAACCUAACUCAAAGCUAAUUUUAUGCAACAAAGAACUUUCCCAAACAAAGAAGCAUGAUUUUAUUUAAACAGAAAUUUGGCUAAUAAACCAUUUGUAAAGAUAGAUUAACAAAAAGUCUUUAAAAAAUUUAGAAUUAAGGAAAUAACUAACUGAGAAUAUGAGAGAAAAAAAAUGAAAGGAUAAAAAUCUAAUUGGAAGAACAGCCGAAUUGAUGGUGAGGAUUGGUGCAACAUUGAUGGCGAGGUGUGGCAUUAGUUUGGUUGGAAUCGAUUGGUCAAUUGGUGGCCUAUGCUAUUUGGUUUAUUAGUAAAAUUUUUGGGACUUUGGGAAAAAUAAAUUAGGUUUACUAGUUUAGCUUCGAUAUUUUAUAUGAUUUGACCCGAUCUAGACACAAUAUCUAGCAAUAUUUAAUCAAAUUAUUGAAGAGUAACACUUCCCUACAAUAUCAUUUUAAAAAUAAUAGUUUACUACAUUUAUGUUAUGUCCACCGAUCGCCGCGGCUGCGGUCGCCGAGGACUCAGAUUUGGGCCAAACGUGAGCGGUCAGCGCACGGGAGGCCAAUCUCCGCCCCCACCCCGGGGCCCCCGCCUUGGUUUGGGGGGGUGGGGUGGGGCAAGGAUGCGUGACACCCAGGCAGACGUGCCCUCGGCCUAAUGGCUUGGGGCACAACUUGCGUUCAAAGACUCGAUGGUUCACGGGAUUCUGCAAUUCACACCAAGUAUCGCAUUUCGCUACGUUCUUCAUCGAUGCGAGAGCUGAGAUAUCCGUUGCCGAGAGUCGUUUUGGAUACAUGUGAAAGAAGGCGCCGCACCCCGCGGCCCACCGUCUCCGGGGCCGCGGGAGCGUGCUCUCUCGUUAGAUUUCCUUGGCGCAGUCCGCGCCGGAGGUUCGUUGUUUCGCCAGACGGGAGCGGGACGAGUCCCUCUCCUCGCGGCGUGGGGCGGGAAGGAGGAGCGCCCGUUGCGGACGCGCACCCCCUCCCGGCGCCGGUGAUCCUUCCGCAGGUUCACCUACGGAAACCUUGUUACGACUUCUCCUUCCUCUAAAUGAUAAGGUUCAGUGGACUUCUCGCGACGUCGCAGGCAGCGAACCGCCCGCAUCGCC
rnacentral:lncRNA from 1 species